AGCUUUUAGAAGCAUGAAACAAGCAAUGAAGGUAGAAAAGGGGGAAAAAAACCAAUACUAGAUUUUUUAAAGCAAAAGGAAAAAGUAGGAAGUCCCAAAAGGAAAAUUUAAUGGAGAAAGAGAAGGAAAAGCUUUCUUUAUUAGCUGAAAAUCAACAUUAUCAACAAAGAGACUAAACAAGCAGAACUGUAGAAGUGAAAAAAAAAAAAAAAACCUUCAAUACUUCUUGUACCAUCCAAGGAUUAUAUCCUUAACAUGAAAUCUUUGUUAUACGACAAAGAAACCCACAAGAAAAGUACGAGCAACAAAUGGCAUCAAAUCAAGGUCAAUAAUGCAGAACGAAGACGUGGAAGUCGAUAAUUUCAUUCUGGGUGGUAUCAUUGUAAGUAUGGAUUAUUGCUGUAACUAUUCCACGGGCCAAUCGAAAAGCCCCAGAACCACCUACUAUUGGCAUCUCCUUGUACUUCUGGAAGAAGGGAUAAUCACCUAGAACGGUAAGGGAACUACCAUUGAACUUGCCAUUGUUGAAUACCAAGUUCAUGAUGCCAAUUUGUGAAGCAUCUUCCUCUUUCGAAGCCGAACUGGUUAUGCCGUGGGCGUGACCGAUGAUCUUGGAACUGGGCUCAGGUCCCAGUGUCAUCGGGUCAUCGAAGACGUAGGUUGCCCCGAACAUCGUGGGUGAUUUGCUAGUACUGUUGGCUUGAGCAACUAGUACAGAUGUGGGGCUCUCUGCAGUUACCCUGUCAUGAACAUAGAAGUGAAGCUCUGUCAACUUCUCCUUUGCAUGUCGAAGCUCUUUGAACCAUUUUUUAACUGCUGCAGGACUUUGAUCAAUGCUGCCAUGAGCCAAUAUUGGCAGGGCCAUCAUCGCCACGACCCACCAUAGAAUUGCAAUGAGUUGUGUUGUCUUCAUCUUCAUGCUUAUCUUGUCCAUAGUAGGGGAGAAUAAGAGCAGUGCUUUGAAAGGCUAAUAGUGCUGAACUUCGUCUAUGUUGCACAUAGAUCAAUAGAGCUGGCUGUGGUCCUCAAAUUAUUGAAGCCUCAGAGAGACUUUGACUUGACUAUCAACAUCUUUGGAAAGAGUAAUUCGCUUUUGCAGUUUUGCUGGGUUACAUUGACAAGUCAACAAUGGAAAACCAUUGAAAACUCAAGUUUUAUUUCUCAUUUAUGAUUUUAGGCCAUGAUGUUAUAGGUCUAGGCAUUAAUUUGAGUGGAAUUUUGAUUGGAAUCUAAUUAGGAUAAGAAUGUAUUCAUUUUUGGCUUGAUUAGAGACAAAUAAAUUUAACUGGUUUCAGUCUGAUUUUAAUAUGUACAUUUAAUGUACAAGAGAAAGAUCCACAAAGAACAGCAUCGGACUGAAACUAAUGUUUCAUGGUUCGCACUUCAAAUUUUCUCCAAUAAUUGUUGACAAUAUAAUUUGUUUCUGCCCCUGAAACAAUUUGUUUCAGAAAAAUACAUCAACAUAAAAGUGACAUUAAAAAUAGAAUUGGGAUUGAGGGGAGGAACGUUCAAUUUUUUAUUACGUGGUUCAGAGCUACGUAUUGGUUAAAAUCUCUCUUUUUAAGCUCAUAUGCUAAUAUUUAUCUCUUAUUGCUAUCGGUGAAGCACUUAUUUAGUAAGUUUUUUUUGUACAAUGUACUAAAAUUGGUAAAGCCAGAAAAUAUGAAAAAAAUUUGGAUAACCAAUGUUCGAGGGAUAGAGACCAAAAUGGUCUCUUUUGCAUACACGUUAGACAACACAAAUUUAGCAAUCAAAGUUUGGUAGGUGAAAAAAUUUGGUUUAAAUAAUAGUUCUUUUUCUUAGGUAAAUGAAAAAAGAAAAGAAAUUUUAGUCUGCACAAUGUUUUCUAAGAAUCGUAGUAAUUUUUUUUUUUUUAACAAUGCAGAAACUUCCAUUUCAAGUUUAAGAUGGAAAAAUACUGAAACGGAAAAUUAAAUUGAAAGAAAUAGAUUUCAGUGCAUACAAGUACAAAAGCAGUGGAAAGUAGUUAAAAUACUUGACUUUGGAAGCAUAUAUAAUGCUGAUAUGUGCCUUAGGCAUAAAUAUAUCAUAACAUCCUAUAUGCAAAGUAGAUUAAACCUAAGAAACAAAAUAUUUUUCUUCUGAUCUACCUUACUUCUGCAAUUCGUAGAAUCCUUCAUAUACUAAUAAAAAGUAAUUUGUCCUUAGUUUUGACUAACUUUUCCUCAUUUCUUCAUAUUUUAUAAAUGUUCGUCCAAUGAAAAGUAAUUUUGUUAUUAUUCUAAAGUUGAACUAUUCAUUUAGUCAUUCAUUUGUAAAUUAGGAUUUAGGUUGCAAAGGUGCACAACUUAAUAUUUUGAGGCUAGAAAAAAAAAGUCAGUCAUAUUUACACUAUUCAAAUUGAUGGCUAAUAGGAUACCGUAUUGACAAAGGACCAAGGCCUCAAAUUUUCCUGCAAAUACAAAGGACCAAGACCUCAAGACCUCAAGACCUCAAAUUUUCUAGCAAAGAAAGAGACUUCACUAAACUGGAGAAGUAUUUGAUUUAAACUCUUUACGUGUAGAAUGUGCAAAUUUUAUUAGUUGUCACAAUCACAACCAUGCCAAAUAUGCCAAACUUAUAAGCAUUGUAAGUAAUUGCAAUUUCUAACUAAUAAGAUAACUUUCAUUUCAUGGAGUCAAGGAAUAUCAUAAUUUUGCUUUAGUUUUGAAAAUUUUUUCUCCAAUAAAUUCAAAGCAAAAAAUUACGUAUUUCCAAAUUCAAUACCACAUCAAGUAUUCUAUUUACACUAAUUAUCAUAAGGUUACUUUUCAUGGGUGGAAAUUAAAAUUAGAGCAGUAAAUAUUGACAUUAUGAUCCUUGCCAUAUUACAUUGAGGGCUUAUUGGAUUUCGUACAGACUAAAGACCAAGACUAAAUACCAAGAUUUCAAAUUCUACAGCAAAGACCGAAGAUUUUACGUGUGGAAUAUGCAAAUGCCUCUAGAAAACAAAUUCUCAGAAAGGUCUAUUGUUUUAAACAUAAGAAACUUCAUAUUCUUUUACAAUGACUAAUGGGAUGCCGUGUAGACAACGGACCGAGACCUCAAAUUUUCCAACAAAGACAAAGGACCAAGACCUCAAGACCUCAAAUUUUCCAACAAAGACAAAGGACCAAGACCUCAAGACCUCAAAUUUUCCGGCAAAGAAAGAGACUUCACCAAAUUGGAGAAGUAUUUGGUUUAAAGUCUUUACGUGUGGAAUAUGUGCAAAUUUUUUUCGUAAUCAUGAUCUGGACUAUGACAAAUAUGUGAAAUUAGACAAAGUUGAUGGGAAUGCUUUGACUUUUUCAUGCAUAAUUAUAUCUUAUUACUUCUUCUAUUUCUUAUUUCAUCUCUUUUGAAACUUUUCUUAUGCUAAACUUGUUUGGCUUGAGAUCUUAUAUUACAAUUUUUCAUGUUACACUUUAUUAUACAACUUCUUAAAGUGACAAGUGUUCACGAAUAAGGAGAUUUUAAAUAACUUGAAUUGUUACUUAUUAUUACAUGGAACACAUAGCAUUCAGAUGUAUAUUAUUAACAAAAAUAUAACAGAAAAAGUUGUAACGGAGGAUCUUUUGCUGCCGGUUAGGGCUUUCCUGUAAUAUAGGACAGCAUAGAAUUAGUGGAGUUGUUAUUUAUUGAUAAAAGACUCAGUAGAGAAGAUUGUACUGCUGUGACUCGUUCACUAUUGUUUUGUCUUAUUUUUUGGGGCAGUGCUUCAGCAUCGAGAGUUACUGUCAAUGGCAGAGGGACUAAAAAAUAUCAGUUUGAAAAUAUUUUGUAGUGGACUAAAAAAUUUAUUGUCAAUGCGUUUUAUCCAAAAACUGAUGUAUAUAUUUGAUUUAAAAUAUAUUAAAUACUUCCACUGAAGUUAUUGGUUACAAAAAUUUUCGAUUGAGAAGAGAACUCUAUGAAAUUUAAAAAGGAAAUUUGCAAAAGUUGAGGAGGGGCAAAUAAGGUGCAAAAUUAAAAAUAUUGUAAAAUAUCAAGUCUAUUACAUAAUUUUUUUUCUUUGAGUUUUUAUUCUACAUAUUAUUUGUUUCCAAAAUCAAUAUGUUGUCAUUUUACCAUGUAUCCAAGUUCAAGGGAAAAAAAUUAAAGUUUUAGCAGAAUUGGAGAAUACUAUUAACCGAUUCACGAAAUAGACCAUAAUAUAAUACCACAAAACUUAGUUUUGACUUUAUUUUCACAAGUUAAAAUUUUAGAAGAUGUUUCAUUAAAUAUUGAUGCCAUUCUAUUUGAUUAUUUUUAUAAAUAGAACUUAAAUAACACUUUGUCCCCCUUAACCUAUGGGGUGGUAACACUUUAUCACCCUGAAUUUUUUAAAGAAAAAAAAUAUUUUGCCCACUCAAAUGAAUUAUGUUUAUGCUUUUAAUUUUGAAAAACCUAUGUGCAUAUUUUUCUUCCUAGAUUACCCCCAAUUUUUCGAGUUUCUCAAAGGUCCACUUUUAGAUUGUUGCAUUUUCUUCUUAUGUUUUCAUCAAAAUAUUCUGUUAUUGUGUGCUAUGAUGUUAGAUUAUAAUAUAAAUUAAAUAAAAAACUCCCCUUACCUCAGUCACCUUAUCCCACUUUCUUAGGAGUGCUCCCAUAGUGGCCAUUACUAUUUUUUAUUUGACCUAAUUUUUAAAAAAAUGUAUAUAUAUCACCAAUAAAAAUCGCAAUUAUCAGCCUUUUGAAUUAAUCAAAAAUUCAAUGUUAAUUAUCACAUUUGAUACUAUGCGAAAUCUAAAUAAAUACCGAUUAAUUUUUUUACAAACAAUAUAUAAAAUGUGACAAAUAAAAGUCAAAUAAAUUAAUAUAACAAAAUCAUACUUCUGUCACAAACAUAAUAAAAUGCCAAGAAAUGGUAUAUUAUUUUAUCACAAUAAAAUACCAUAUUGUUUAUUUUAAAUUUGACUAUUUAUAUACAUAAUAGUACUACACUACAUUAUAUAUAAGGUGAGGGAGAGGAUAGGGGUUUAGCCCAAUUUAAAUUGAUACUAAAUAUACAUAAAUCUAUGUAAUAGACCAACUUUGAACAUUUAUAUGCAUUUUUUCCAUUUUGUAACAGUUCGCCACCGACCGCAGUUUCAAACAGGAAAUUGAGGACCUGGCUUCCACAAACACAAAUAAAACUUUUUCCCCCCUUUUUUCUGGCAAACCGUGGGGAUUUAACUCUUAUUGCUAUUGUUGACGCACUCAUGCAGUAAGAUUCUUGUUGUAACAAUGUACUAAAACUAGUAAAAACAGAAAAUAAGACGAAGGAAAAAUAAACAUGAAAGUUGUUUAGAUCAUUCUACUUUUGUAUGAUACUCUACUAAAGUUCUAGUACCAGAAUAAUUCAUCAAAAUCUGGUGUUGUAAACACGCACUUCAAGCCUCUUGCCUAAAAAAGUAAAAGAACACCAACUGAGGAAUUACUCAGAAUUUUUUUUGUUGCAAAUGUCAUGAUUUACUUUUACGAGAGAAUUACUAUUUGGAUAUCCAAUUUUUGGGGGGAUAGACAAAUGUAGCCCUGGAUAAUUUGGUAAAAACAAAAAAUAAUUCCUUUUCUUAAGUAAAACAUAAAAUUUUUGUUUAAAUACAGCUUCUAAAGCAUCAUAGUAAUUUUAUUACAAUGCACGAAGGAAUUUCUAUUUCAAGUUUAAGAUGGAAAAGAACUGAAUGAAAAAAAUGAAGUUCGACCGAAAUAAAGGAUGUCAGCCAACAAGCUCAAACAAAAAAAAUAAUAAUAAUAAAGGAUAAGUGUCUAUGAAUGAAAAUACUUGACUGUGGGGGAGCACAUUUUAUGCAGAUACAUAUUUUCAAGUGUAAAUAUGUCAUCACAACCUACAUAUAAAGAUGAUUAAGCAUAAGAGAAUUCAUAUUCUUUUAUGUUUAUCCUCUGUCCCUGCAAUUCACAGAAACAUUCAUACGCUAACAAGAAGUUAUUUAACCUUAUUUUCAGCUUAAGUUUUUCUUUUUUCAAAUUCUUUAUGUUCGUUUAAUGAAAAUAGUUACAAUCAUUAUGAAAACCUUUUAAUGAGGGACCGAGUAAUAUUUUGUUGUUGUUUUAAAGUUUAAGAAGCGAUUUAGUUGCAAAUUAGCAUUUAGGAUACACGGGUACACAGCUUAAUAUACACUCCAGCCUAAUCAGACCAAUGACUAAUGGGAUGCCGUAUAGACAACGGACCAAGACCUCAAAUUUUCCAGCAAAGAAAGAGACGUAUUUGGUUUGAAGUCUUUACGUGUGGAAUACGUGCAAAUUUUAUUCGUAGUCAUGAUCUGGACUGUGACAAAUAUGUGACCUCAAAUUUUCCAGAAAAGACGAAGGAUCAACACCCUAAAGACCUCAAAAUUUUUCAGCAAUGACAAAGGACCAAGACCAACAAGACCCAAAUUUAAAGUCAAUAUAAUAUUUUUUCAUUAUUAUGCUUAAAAUAUUGAUUUUUUUAGAUUAAUUAUCUUGGGUGUUGUUACAAACUAGAGUUUACUAAAGGUUUUAGCAAUAAAUAUACAAGUUGGAAAAAGAACGAUGUAGGGUUAAAGUGUAAAACACAAUUUACUGUAUGAAAUUAACUAUAUUAACCCCUUGGAAGUAACCCCUGCAGAAGAGAUAGUUUGGCCUCCAUCAUCAAGAAAAUAUCCAUUGAAAUGGUGUUGAAGUGAAAAUGCGACCCUUUAAUACGCGAGCUGAAGUCGCAUAUUCCUGAGAUCGCGUAUUCUCUUCUGUUUUCUACAACUUGCUCAUCAACUUACCCCACUUUAACACAAUUUUUUCAGCUUAAUUCCAGCUCUCAAUUUUGGUUGUACCUGAUCAAGAAGAGUGUGGAAAAUUGGAGAAACAACUCAUGAGAGUUUCAAGAGUCAAAAAUGAUAACUAGAAACAACUCAUUUGUCUCUUAAAUCCUCUAUAAAUGGCAGCCUUUGGAGACCAUUUUAACAACUUUGGAAGGGUAGAGAAACUCCACAAAAAUGUAGUCUUCACUAGAAUUUUCUUAGUUCAUUAGUUAGAGUAGUAUAGUAUAGGUAGUGUAGUUUAUCCUUUAUGUAUUUGUAGUUAGAUUUGGAUGAAGAUUGAGGAGCAAAGAUGGAGUGAUUGAUCUCAUGUGACAAGGGUGAUAUCUCUUCUACUACUUUAUCUUUUAUAUUGGAUUUUAUGUUUUGCUAUAAUACAAGUUUGGCUUUGUGUUUUAACAUACUUAGUUAAAGUUUAUGCCUAGAGCAUCGAUAAACUUACUAUAUCUUGUUAGUGAUGUUUACUUGGUUAUUUGAUGAUAUUAUUUUGUACAAGUUAUUUAUAACUCCUGCUUUUCUAAUCACGAUUAAUCGGCCAUUAGUUGUGAUUAUCUAAAGGUGUUAAGUUUGCAAUGAAAAUUGGAAUUUAACACUAGUUCAAGAAAGUGAUAAACCUAGGGAAUUCACUCACAAGAGUAGAUGAGCACCUUUGUGACUUUGGUGACUUGUUUCAUGUAACUUAAUAGAAGAAAUGAACUUGUAGUUAAUUUCAUAACCACGAGAGUAGGUAUGGUUUAGCUACAAGUAUAAUUGAUUCAUUACGUGAGUAGGUUUCACAUACAUUAGAAAAUUACGCCAUAACUAGUCAAGAUAAUAUCAUUCACUUAACUGGUAACCUUAUUUGCAAGAAUAGUAAGGGAUUUCAUAUCUCUAAGAGUUUUCUAGUAUUAUUUUUAUUACUUUUACGUUUAUGGUAGUUUAGAUAAUAAAGGAAUUAAAAAAUCACCGGUAAUUGAAAAUCUUCCCUAUGGGAUCGAUACCUUUAAUACCCUAUACUCAAUCGCAACUCGUAUACUUGUGAGAAAUCGCAUGUGGAGUAUUUAGAAAUUUAGAAAUGUAAAACUUGAUUGUGGAUAAGUUAAUUGAUAUAUGUAUACCCCGCGCUCAUCACUGUACCUCAAGGGGAGUUUUGUAAUUAAUUCUAAUUCUAAUUAACAUUCUUAGAGAUAUUUGAAAUCUGUCCAUGAAGUUGAUUGUGGAAAAAAAAAAUUAAGAGCAGGAUUUGGAUUGAUAAAUUCUAAAAGGAAGGUAAUAUGGCACAUAAGUUUUCAGUGAAGGAAAAUUCCAAAGAGUAAAAAUGCUGAAGCCACGUAAGAAUCCAUGACUUAGCUAAUGUACUUAUAAAGUAUGGCUAAUAUCGAUCACAAUUUAAUUUUGUAAAAGAAUGUUUCAUUAAAUUCUGACGCAACUCCAUUUGAUGAUUAAAAUUUAAAUAUUUUAACAUAAAUCAACUAUCAAUAGUUAUGCAUUUUUCUUUCAUUUUGUAACCGUAAUUCAAAUUUCAAACUUCCAGAAUUAUAUAUGAAUAAAUUAAUUAUACAAGUUGGGUGAGAAAGGAAAUUUUUUGAGUUGCCAUAUAAAUGGCAGACUUGACAUCAAUACUUGAGAAACGAAGCUUUUCUCUUGAUUUCUCAAAACAAAGUGUAAAAAUCGUACUUCUUUAUAGACGUUAAAAUAGGUAUUUGAAGCAUAGUUAUUAAAUCUAGUUCUUCCCGGUAGUCGAACCGAUCAUCACAAUGACUCGGUCAUUGGGCCGGGUUGAGUCUCUAAUUGGAUCGUUUAAGCAUAGAAUACAAUGUCUGGUCAAUGACCCGACAAUUCAACCAAAUUAAACUAGGAACCCGACCGAUUUUGUCAACAAAUCAGAUUUUAUGGAAAAAAUUUUAGUAAGCCUUUACCAAGAUUCAAACUUGAAACUUUAAGCAUGUAUCUAUAGUAUACUCAACACUAUACCACUUGCCAUAUGUAAGUUUAUGGAUGGCAACGGGGCGGGGUUGGGGCUGGGAACGCCUCCCCUGCCCCUGCCCCGUUGCCUACAAAUUCCCCCCGCCCCAUUGCCUACAAAUUCCUCCCGCACCCGUCCCUCACCUCUCGCUCCCCCCACCCUGCUUCCCCUGCAAGAUUAAUAAAAAUUUGUUACAUAAUUUUAUUACAGUUAAAUUUUAGCAAAUAAUCAAGUACUAAAAUAUCAACACAUCACCAAAUUAUUAUUCAUUAUAAUUUCAUAAUUGAAACUUAAAAAAAAUUAAACAAAAGUUAUUUGAAUAAAAUCCAAUAUGAUGAAAUAAAUACAACUAAAGUAGUCAAGUUUUUACUUUUGGCACAAAUAUAAUGUGACGCCCCCACUUCUCCCUAAGGCAAACCAAAGGGUAUCCGCGGAACGCCUGCCCAACUCUCGCCAGGACUCACGCAAUUUCUGUUUAAACUUAUAGCGGUGCUAGAAGUCAACAACUAGAUAAUAUAAAUACAAUUAGUGCGGAAGCGUUCAAACUUAACGAUAUAUAACAAUCACUCAAUCCUUACAUCGGGUUUCCAUAAUACAGCCCAAAAUAUACAAUAGCCCAAAAGUCUAGACAAAAGAGUUGGAACCCUAUUACAAGAAUACACAAAAGGGAAUUUCCUCCGAAUCUCAAUCCAAACUCAAAUCCUGUUAAGGAAAACAAAUCUACAGGGUGAGCAAAACGCUCGUGAGGCCAAGAACAGACAUGCAAGCAUGUUGUUCAAGUAACAGUCCCAAUUUAACAAGCAGAGUAAUAAUAUUGCAUUAAAUAAUAAUUCGAGCGGAAAAAGUAAAAAGAAACAAUUCAAGGAAAUCGGAGCUCUCAUGAGUUAAUUUUCACUUGCUGUGCCAAUGACAUUCGUAUACCUUCCCGCGAUGACACUCCAUCAAUCGGGUCGAUAUUUUCAUUCCGUAGAUCACCACUUACUUUCCUUCGUCCACCGUGCACCUCCCAGGCCCGCAAGACAUUUAUAAGGCGAUACUCCACGAGUAUGCCAAACAAGAUCUCUUAUUAGGUCAAGCUUAAUUAUUUCAUGGUUCGCCAAGAUUCCCGACCAAUCCUAUGCCGACUCGAGUUCAAGGUCGGCCUAUGAGUUUGGGCGUCCCUCAUGUACAUUUGAGAGUCGAAGAGAUUCAUGCCAACGACGUAUGCAGUCAUAGCAUACCAUUUCAUUUCAUUCAAACAUUCAAUCAUCUCAUUUCAUUCAAUUAAAUCAUUCAUAAUUCAUUCGUUUCAUUUUAAUCAUGAGUCAUUCAUUUCAAAUAAGAACGAGUGCGGUAAAGUACACACUCGCCUCCAUUUUCAAAAUCUUCAAGCAAUUAUAACAAUCAAGCAUGUAUCAAAUAUUCAUACACUUGAAACUCACCAAUAUAAGUAAUGAGGAAGAAAUGUCACUCGGAGCUUUAGGCGUUCACUGGGGGAUUCUCUUGAAGGUCCUUUUGUGUGCCUGACCAAUUAAUAAUGGGCUAUUACUGAUAAUUUCAAAUAAUAAGGGAAAUUGUACACUAGUACGAUAUUAGAAUGUAUCUCGAAAAUCGAGCCUAAGUUUCUCUUUUGAAAAAUUGAGAUUCAAUAGGGUUACGAAACUCGAGUCAGAGCGGAUCAUUAUUCUAAAAAUCAUUAGAUGGAAACGAGUACGUGCAAAUAGAUUUCAAAAGGAACGACCGAAGUCGGAACAGGAUUGCCACGUCACAAUCCGGCCGGAUUCUGGCCGGAUUGGAGGCAGAGACCAACCUCCAAUUUUUUUCAAAUUCCAACACCAAUCCGGCCGACUAUCAGGCCAAGAACUGGCCGGAUUCAAGGCCAGAUUCUGGUGAACAGUUUCCCGUGCGGAUUGCUUUCAAAUGGUCACAAUUUUCGAUUAUUGGUGAAAUCUUUGAAAAAUUAUAACUCACUCCAUGAUUGUCCAAAAUUGAAAAAUUUGGUACCGUUGGAAACGUCUUUCAGAGUAUUAAAAGUUUUUAGAAGACACUUUUCCGUGAAUCCAAGUGAAAGGCAUUCAAAUUUUGGCUUGAAGUUGAUAACUUAUGUUAUCACGACAGAUUGAAGUUGGUUUUCGGCUAACUUUGAAAAUUCGGCAAAAUUUACUCAAUUUGAAUUAGCUUUUGAAAUUUGAUACACUACUAGAGUUACAAUCCAAGUUUAGAACAAAACAAGCAGAACGAGAAUUGAAAUUUUGAAUACCAAGAUAUGAUAACUCAAAGUUACCCAAAUUUCCUUGUUAACAAGGGUUUUCCAAAAUCAAAUCAUGAAUUUUGAAAGUUUAGUUGAGCAAUGAAACGGUCUCGGAAUAGCAUCAAAAUUAGCAGUAUAAUACUACCAUAUAAGGACUAUUUCUCUGCCAAAUUUCAUGAAUAAAUAAUCACGGAAAGUUGGUUAACUAAAUCACCCAAGUUCCAAAAAUUCCAAGGCAAAUCUACCUUGUGAGUCUCGUUUUCCGUUUGCAAAACGUUUGGCUUACAAAGUACCUCAAACACGGUCCAUUUGUAUAGAAAAUGUCUAAGCGGCAUCCAAGACAAAUUUUGUGGGUGAUUAAUACCAAAAAUUUCGAGUACAAGUCCCAAACCAAGAUUAGUUAAGGAUUUAGCCCAAGAUGAGGAAUUUCCUCAUUGAGUCAGUUUCAAACUUUGGUCACAACUCGCUCAAUUCAACUUGGAAUUGAACGUGGUUGGUUGCAUUGGAAAAUAAAUUCAUAAGGCUAUAUUUUCUCAGAAGAAACCAUUUUCAAAAUCCAUCCACAACUAGCUCACAUUUGAGCAUCAAGUUGUAGUUCGUGUUCUGCCCUGGAGUGAACCAAUGAAAUAGGACAGCAAAUUUCAAAUGAAUGGUUUGGCUCACACAAGUGGAACCAAGAUGUACAUUUUAUACCAACAGAAAUCUGGGAAUGUCUAGUUUCCAGUGCUGCAAACGGCACUCGAUUCCGACAUCGGAGUGAUGAGUUAUAGCCAAAACAAGAUGACUGCCUGGGCAGUGACGGGAACCAAUUCCAAAUUUCUAAGCUUCCGAAAUUCUAACAUUUGGGUGACCAAAUCAAGUUAUUUUCCAAUGAAACUUUUUACACACUCAAUAUAACAUGCAAACAAUAUAAACAAGCCAUUAGAACCUCAAAUUUUCGUACCAAAGUGCUUGAACAAAGUAGGGGCAAAAUGGUCACUUUUGGUUAUUGCACCAUCAUUAAGUUUCUAUCAACAACCCAACAUUAAUCCACUAGUUUAGGCACUAAAUAAAUAUUAUUACCAGCAAAACACCACAAAUCAGUUCAUAUAUCCAAUGUGGGAGUUCAUAGAGACCACACAACCAUUUCCACCAUAAACAAGCUGCCCAUGAACAUGCAUGAGUAUAUAAGGGCACUAGAACUUCCAUAAACCAAGUUUUGAAGGUUAGAUCGUUACCUACUUCACUUGGUGUGCAAGAACAGAAUUUUUGGUCCUCUCCUUGGCCAAGAAAACCGUGACAGCAGCUCAUUUUCUUAGCUAGAUGAACUCUCCAAGUAUUAAGCUAAAUGUGGGUAAAAUUUGAAGUGAAUUGGAGGAAGUUUUGGUGAAGAAUUGGAGAUGAAAGUUGAAGAACUCUUGGCUGUUUUUCCAAACUUGAUGGCCGGCCAAAUGAGAGAGAGGAGAGAGAGUGUUUGUCCAAAAGUAGCUUCCAAGAGAAGCUUUAAUGUGUGGCCCAUGUGUUUGUCCAAAAGUCAACUCUCCCUCGCACUCGCGCGAGUGCGUUUUGUGCUCGAUUUCUCUCGAGUUUAUUUCAUUAGUGCACGAAACCUCUAAUGCACUUAUAUUCAUAUAAAUAUUAUUCACUCUUAAUUGUCCCAAAAUAAGGGUCUAGAGUCCCUCAAUUAAAUCGCGCGUGUGAAAAUGCGUAUUUCCAAUUUAAGCGCGAUAAAGUGAAAUCUCCAAGGAAUUCUUAUAACGAUGGUACUAAUAACUAUCAUUUGAAUAUUUAAGCACAAAAAUACCUAUUUCAAGACCAUUGUGCAAACCUCUAAUUUUUCCAAACUUAUUGUAUUCUCGAAUUGAUUAUUGACUCCAAUCGCGUAUUCGCUAUUUUCACUUAAUGAGCUUCCAAGAAUUAUAUUUUGAAACGAGUCACUUUAAAAAUAUAACGAAACUAUAAAUCCAUGUAAUUAGAUCUAAAGAGGCUAGAAAAUAAUAAUCAGAGUAAAUAGGCAAUUAAAUAUUUAAAUAAGCUCGAAAUGAAAUUUAAAAUAUUAAAUUUUUGUGAGUCCUCACAUCCUCUCCCCCUUAAGAAAAUUUCGUCCUCGAAAUUUACCUUGAUUGGUGAACAGGUUUGGAUACUUUUCUCGAAUUGCUUUUUCGACUUCCCAAGUCGCUUCCUCUAACUCAUGGUUCCUCCAAAGAACUUUUACCAACGGUAUUUAUUUAUUUCUCAACUCAUUCACUUUCCUAUCCAGAAACUUCACUGGUUUCUCCUCAUAGGUCAGGGUUUCAUCAAUUUCAAUACUUUCCAGUUGUAAAAUGUGAGAGGGGUUUGGAUGAUACUUCUUAAGUAUGGACACAUGGAAUACAUUAUAAAUUCUGGAUAAACUCGGCGGUAGUUCCAACUUGUAUGCUACCUGUCCCACGCGCUGGAUAACCUUAUAAGACCCUUUCAAAGGUGUAAUCUUAAGAAAGACUAGAUCUCCAACCGAAAAUUCCAAAUCCUUCCUCCGAUUAUCUGCAUAGCUCUUUUGACGACUCUGUGCGGUUUGGAUUCUCUGGCGGACUAACUUCACUUUAUCAUUAGCUUCUUCAAUCCACGACACCGUAGUCGGCCCUAAAAUCUUUCGUUCACCUAUUUCAUCCCAACAAAUCGGAAACCUACAUUUUCGACUAUAAAGCGCUUCAUACGGAGCCAUUCGUAUAGAGGAGUGGAAACUAUUGUUAUAGACAAAUUCUACCGAAAUUAAAAACUUACUCCAACUUUUUUCGAAAUCCAAAACACAAGUCCUCAACAUGUUCUCCAGGGUCUGAAUUGUCCUCUCAGACUAUCCAUCGGUUUGAGAAUGAUAAGUGGUACUAAAAUUUAGUUUAGUCCCCAACACUUCUUGCAUCUUUUGCCAGAAUCUCGAAACAAAUUUUGGAUUUCUAUCAGACAAAAUACUGACAGAGAUUCUAUGUAACCUAAUGAUUUCAUCCAAAUACACACUUGGCCAACUUCUCCAAUGGGUAUUUCAUAUUAAUCGGCAGAAAGUGAGCUGAUUUGGUCAAUCUAUCCACUAUUACCUAGAUAGCAUCGUGGCUCUUUUGUCUCCUCGGUAAUCCUAAUACAAAAUCCAUAGUGAUAUUCUCCCAUUUCCAUUCAGGUAUCUUCAAUGGUUGUAAAAGUCUCGAUGAUUUCUGAUGUUCAGUCUUAACUUGUUGACAAACUAAACAAGUCUGGACGAAAUGGGCAAUUUCUCUUUUCAUAUUAUCCCAUCAAUACAGACUCUUCAAGUCUUGGUAUAUUUUAUUCCCCUAGGGUGUAUCGUAAACUUUGAUCGGUGUGCCUCUUCUAAAAUUUUCUUUUUAAGUCCCUCAUCUAUCGGCACCACUAUCCGAUUCCGAAAGCUCAAUACACCAUUUGAUCCUAAGUUAAAAUUCGACUUGUCUCCUUUUUUAAUUUUUUCUGACCAUUUUUGUACUUCAGUGUCCUUUUCUUGAGAUCCCUUGAUACGUUCCAACAAAGUGGAAUUCACUACAAUAUUUCCCAAAAUAACCUUCCUCGAUUCCAGUCAAGGACUCCAAUAACUGAUUUCUUCCAACAAGUGUAGUUCCUUAAUCAUUAAUCCAGUCAUUUGUACUGGACGGCUCAAAACAUCGGCCACUACAUUGGCUUUCCCAGGAUAGUACUUAAUAGUGCAAUCAUAAUCUUUCAGAAAUUCUAUCCAUCUACAUUGUCUCAAAUUCAGCUCCUUUUGAGAAAAUAGAUACUUAAGGCUUUUGUGGUCAGUAAAAACCUCAAAUGUCACUCCAUACAGGUAAUGCCUCCAUUUCUUUAAAACAAAUACCACCGCUGCCAACUCCAAGUCAUGAGUCGGGUAAUUUUCUUCAUGCGGUUUCAGUUUCCUAGAGGCAUAUGCUAUUAUUUUGUUAUUUUACAUUAAAACACAUCACAAUCCUUCCUUAGAGGCAUCGGUGUAAACUACAAAACUAUCAUUUCCAUUGGGUAGAGCUAAUACUGGGGCUUUGGUCAAACGUCUUUUCAAUUCCUGAAAACUCUCUUCGCACUUAGGACUCCAAAUAAACUUUUCACUUUUCCUGAUCAACUCAAUCAUGGGUCCAGCAAUUUUAGAAAAAUCUUGGAUAAAUCUCCGGUAAAACCCUGCUAAUCCAAUAAAACUCCGAACCUCAGUAGGAUUUUUCGGGCGUUUCCAUUUCGAAACAACUUCAACUUUAGCUGGAUCCACUUUAAUCUCAUCCUUAGAAAUUAUGUGUCCCAAGAAAGUCACUUCUUUUAACCAAAACUCAUACUUGCUAAACUUAGCAUAUAACUGGUGUUCCCUCAGGAUUUGUAAAACAAUUUUCAAAUGUUUCUCAUGUUCUUUCAUAUUCUUAGAAUACACCAAAAUAUCAUCAAUGAAAACUACCAUAAAUUGGUUCAAAUAAGGUUUAAAGAUCCUAUGCAUUAAAUUCAUAAAAGUUGCAGGAGCAUUUGUUAACCCAAAUGGCAUCACGGUAAAUUCAAAGUGCCCAUACCUCGAGUUAAAAGCAGUUUUGGGUAUAUCCUUCUCCAAAAUCCUCAAUUAGUAAUAACCCUGUCUCAAAUCCAAUUUCGAGAAUACUACCGCCCCUUGCAAUUGAUCAAAUAAUUCAUCAAUGUGGGGUAACGGGUACUUAUUCUUAACUGUGACAUCAUUCAAGCCUCUAUAGUCUAUACAUAGUUUUAAACUUCCAUCAUUUUUUUUUAACGAACAAAACUGGGGCUCCCCACGGAGAAUCACUUCGUUUAUAAAACCCCUUUCCAACAAGUCUUGCAGUUGCAAUUUCAACUCCUUCAAAUCCGCUAGAGCCAUCCGAUAUGGCGUUUUAGAGAUAGGUGCCACUCUGGGAGUUACAUCUAACUCUUCGGGAAAAACAUCUGGAAAGUCUUUCACUACAGGCACGUCCUCCAAAUUCACCUUAUCACUAGGGGCGUUAAUAAGAAAAGCCAAAUACCUUUGAGUUCCUCUACUUAAUAAUUUUCUAAUCCGAAUCCUUGAAAUAAGUGCAGACGAAACCAAUUUACCCCUUACAUCCAACUUCAGAGUUGCCUCGCCUAGAAUGCACAAUUUUACAAUCUUUGUUCGCCAGUUCAACUGGGUAUUAUAACGGGCUAGCCAAUCCAUUCCUAAAAUCACAUCAUAUCCCUUAAUUGCUAAACCUAUCAGGUCGGCCAAUAAUUUUCGCUCUCCAACACAGACUUCACAGUCUCUAUACACUAGGUUAGCAAUUAAACUUUGAUCUCCAGUAGGUGUUUUAACCUCCAAAUUAUACGAUAACUUAAUUAGUUUCAAAUCUAUCCCACUCAUGAAAUUAGGGUUUACAAAAGAAUGUAUUGCACUCGGAUCAAUUAAAACUCUAACUAAACGAUGAAAGAUUGGAAUGGUACCUUCAACCACUUCAGUCGCUUCAGGGAUUUGUUGAUAAUCCAGUGCAUAAACCCUAACCGGUACUUUCGGUCGACUUUCUCCGGUACUGGUCUGCUUAAAGGUUGACUUUUCUGGUCUCUGAGUGUUACUUCCUGUCUUUGGCGAUUUCGGACAGUUGGCGACUUGAUGUUCAGCACUACCACAAAACAAAUACUUUCCCAACUUUCUCUAGCAGUCAUUCUCAGAAUGGUUGGAUUUACCACAAAACCUACAUGCAACUUGAGGAGUCAUAGCCGAACCAGUAGAAGGUACUCCUCUAGUCUGAGUCGGUCCACUACGACCUCCUCUGGAUAAAGCUCCCCUAGAAGUUUCAGUGGUUCUUAUUCCUCCCAUUUCUCUUCCUAUUUUGGAAGGCUGUGCAUUCUUACUAGCCUAUCCAUAAGUGUGGCUAGAAAAGUUCCUUUUUCUAUUGUGAAAGUCUCUCACUUGCAGUCUUGCACUCUCAACCCUUUGUGUCUUCUUUAAAACCUCAGUAAAGGUAGAAAUUUGGGCUGCGGCCAAGCCCUCCUGAAUUUUCACAUUAAAUCAUUGCACAAACCGUCUAAUUCUCUCCCGUUCAUUGACUACCAACUCAGGAGUAUACUUAGAAAGUUUAGUGAAUUUCCCUUCAUACUCCGCCACUCUAAGGGCUCAUUGUUUCAAUUUGAUAAAUUCAUCCUCUCUCUUUUCUUGAAUCAAUGGUGGAAUAAACAUUUCAUUGAAUUCUCCCGUGAAGUUCUCCCAGGUCCAAGGGGUUUGAGCUCUCUCUCAUUUCCCUUUUAUCAUAUCCCACCAAGCACGAGCUACUCCCUCAAAUUGGAAAGCAGCAAAGUUCACUCGCUUAUCCUUAGUGUAGUCUAAAGCGGCGAAUAUGUUGGUCAUCCUCUCUAACCAAUUUUCCGCUAUUUCAGGGUCGGGUUCUCCAAGAAACUAAGGCGGGUUGAACUUUAAGAACCUCUCUAAGGCUCUAUCCUCUCCUCUUUCCUGACCCCCAAGUUGGUUGAACGGUCUAGAACCUUAUCUAUCAACUAAGCGUUCUAGGAUAUCAGUCAUCCUAUUAAUGGCAGUAGCCACUUGAUUACCCUCAAUAUUUUCCUGUCCUUGAGUCGGUUCAGUUGCCAAUCCUUGGUCAUCUCCCUGAGGUUGGGCCUGUCUAGUCCCUCGCCCACGAUCUCGACUACCUCUUAGUCCUUCCAUAACCUAGGCGUGUCUAGUGCAAGAAAUAAAUCAAUUAUGCGAUAAAAGUAAAAAGUAAGAACCAAUCAAGAAAAUAUUGGAAAUAACAAUAAUUUGCAUUCAUUGACAUGUCAAGUUCAUACAAUUAGCAAAUCAUGGGGUAGUCACAAAAAUAUAGCACACAGGUGCCACAAGAGUACUUUUAGCCACAGAAGACUAAAGUAAAAGCAAGUGCCUCAAAAGUAGGCCACACAAUCAUGCAAAAUAUAAUGGUUUCAGCACUUAGCAUCACCCCUGCUAAUCCCAUUUGUACUAGUCAAAAGAUCAAAAGUCAAGUAGUCAAUCACUAGACCUAGUCCACAGUAGGACUACCGGGCGGAACCUCCUUCUCAGGAUUCUCCUCCUCCUCAGAGUUCUGGACUACACCCAUCGCCUUAUCCACUAGCCUAGUAGCAUCAGUCAGAAUCCCGGAAGCCUAAUCACGGAUCUCCUCUCUUAGUCUAGUAAGUUGAGGUCUAGUACUCUGAAUCUCCUCACGAACCACUGCAGAUGUGGCCACCUCGCCCUCGAGUACCUCCUCGAGCUUAGCAAUCCUCUCACCCUGAGCCCUCACCAUCUGUCUAAACUCAUCCACCUUAGCCUGUAAGUCCAAGUUGACAUUCACCAACUGAUGACGCUCGUCGUCCAAGACCAGUACAACGUGGUUUGGGUAGGCAAAGGUUACCCUACAAGCACAUCGGGGGUAUCGAGUAGCAGGCGAAUAGCGUACACGAGCUCCUCCACCUAAACCUCGGUAAUAAAUAGGCCUAGGAGGUUCUACGUGACCAUUAAUAUGGCCACUCCCAUUAGCUGCCGGAGUCCCAUUUCCAUUUUCCAUCCCUGCAAAAUAAUCACACCUUUCGGGUUAGAAAUUAAAUCACUAUCUAGUUCGGAUGUCGUUUAUGCAUGUCUAACCCAAUCACUAGUAUACCCCAAGUACCUCUUAAGGUAUAACUUAAUUAUCCGGUGUCAGGUCUUAAGGGUCGAGUAUCUAAUAUGUCUCCCAUAUAGAUCUCUAAUCUAGCGCUUUGAUACCAAUUGCGACGCUCCCACUUCUCCCUAAGGCGAACCAAAGGGUAUCCGCGGAACGUCUGCCCAACUCUCGCCAGGACUCACACAAUUUCUGUUCAACCUUAUAGCGGUGCUAGAAGUCAACAACCAGAUAAUAUAAAUACAAUUAGUGCGGAAGCGUUCAAACUUAACGAUGUAUAACAAUCACCCAAUUCUUACAUCGGGUUUCUAUAAUACAGUCCAAAAUAUACAAUAGCCCAAAAGUCUAGACAAAAGAGUUGGAACCCUAUUACAAGAGUACACAAAAGAUAAUUUCCUCCGAAUCUCAAUCCAAGCUCAAAUCCUGUUAAGGAAAACAAAUCUAUAGGAUGAGCAAAACGCUCAUGAGGCCAAGAACUGACAUGCAAGCACGUUGUUUAAGUAACAUCCCAAUUUAACAAGUAGAGCAAUAAUAUUGCAUUAAAUAAUAAUUCGAGCGGCAAAAAUAAACAGAAACAAUUCAAGAAUAUCGGAGCUCUUAGGAGCAAAUUUCCACUUACUGUGCCAAUGUCCUUCGUAUACCUUCCCGCGAUGACACUCCGUCAACCGGAUCGGUAUUUCCAUUCCGUAGAUCACCACUUACUUCCCUCUGUCCACCUUGCACCUCUCAAGCCCGCAAGACAUUUAUAAGGCGAUACUCCACAAGUAUACCAAGCAAGGCCUCUCAUUAGGUCGAGUUUAAUUAUCUCAUGGCUAACCAAGGUUCCCGACCAAACCCAUGACGGCUCGAGUCCAAGGUCGGCCUAUGAGUUUGGGCGUCCCCCAUGUACAUUUGAGAGUCGAGGAGAUUCACUCCAACGACGUAUGCAGCCAUAGUAUACCAUUUCAUUUCAUUCAAACAUUCAAUCAUCUCAUUUCAUUCAAUUAAAUCAUUCAUAAUUCAUUCAUUUUAUUUUAAUCAUGAGUCAUUCAUUUUAAAUAAGAACAAGUGCGGUAAAGUACACACUCGCCUCCAUUUUCAAAAUCUCCAAGCAAUUAUAAUAAUUAAUCAUGUAUCAAAUAUUCAUACACUUGACACUCACCAAUAUAAGUAAUGAGGAAGAAAUGUCACUCGAAACUUUAGGCGUUCACUGGGGGAUCCUCUUGAAGGUCCUUUUGUGUGCCUGAGCAAUUAAUAAUGAGGUAUUACUGAUAAUUUCAAAUAAUAAGGGAGGUCGUACACUAGUACGAUAUUAGAAUGUAUCUCGAAAAUCGAGUCUAGGUUUCUCUUUUGAAAAAUCAAGACUCAAUAGGGUUACGAAACUCGAGUAAGAGCUGAUCAUUAUCCUAAAAAUCAUUAGAUGGAAAUGAGUACGUGCAAAUAGAUUUCAAAAGGAACGACCGAAGUCGGAACAGAAUUGCCACGUCACAAUCCGGCCGGAUUGGAGGCAGAGACCAACCUCCAAUUUUUUUCAAAUUCCAACACCAAUCCGGCCAACUAUCUGGCCAAGAACUGGCCGGAUUCAAGGCCGGAUUCUGGUGAACAGUUUCCCGCGCGGAUUGCUUUCAAAUGGUCACAAUUUUUUAUUUUUGGUGAAAUUUUUGAAAAAUCAUAACUCAUUCCAUGAUUGUCCAAAAUUAGAAAAUUUGAUGCCGUUGGAAACAUCUUUCAGAGUAUUAAAAGUUUUUAGAAGACAUCUUUUCAUGAAUCCAAGUGGAAGGCAUUCAAAUUUUGGCUUGAUGUUGAUAACUUGUAUUAUCACGACAAAUUGAAGUUGGUUUUCGGCCAACUUUGAAAAUUCGGUAAAAUUCAUUCAAUUUGAACUAGCUUUUGAAAUUUGAUACUCUACUAGAGUUACAAUCCAAGUUUAAAACAAAACAAGCAGAACGAGAAUCGAAAUUUUGAGUACCAGGAUAUGGUAGCUCAAAGUUACCCAAAUUUCCUUAUUAACAAGGGUUUUCCAAAAUCAAGUCAUGAAUUUUGGAAGUUUAGUUGAGCAAUGCAAUGGCCUCGGAAUAGCACCAAAAUUAGCAGUAUAAUACUACCAUAUAAGGACUAUUUCUCUGCCAAAUUUCAUGAAUAAAUAAGCACGAAAAGUUGGUUAACUAAAUCACCCAAAUUCCAAAAAUUCCAAGGCAAAUCUGCCUUGUGAGUCUCGUUUUCCGUUUACAAAACGUUUGGCUUACAAAGUACCUUAAACAUGGUCUAUUUGUAUAGAAAAUGUCUAAGAGGCAUCCAAGACAAAAUUUGUGGGUGAUUAAUACCAAGAAUUUCGAGUAAAAGUCCCAAACCAAGAUUAGUUAAGGAUUUAGCCCAAGAUGAGGAAUUUCCUCAUUGAGUCAGUUUCAAACUUUGGUCACAACUCACCCAAUUCAACUUGGAAUUGAACAUGGUUGGUGGCGUUGGAAACAAAAUUCAUAAGGCUACAUUUUCUCAGAAGAAACCAUUUUCAAAAUCCAUCCACAACUAGUUCACAUUUGAGCAUCAAGUUGUAGUUCGUGUUCUGCCCUGGAGUGAACCAACGAAACAGGACAGCAAAAUUCAAAUGAAUGUUUUGGCUCACACAAGUGGAACUAGGAAGUGCAUUUUAUAUCAACGGAAAGCUGGGAAUGUCUAAUUUUCAGUGCCACAAACGGCACUCGAUUCCAACAUCGGAGCGAUGAGUUAUAGCCAAAACAAGAUGACUGCCUGGGCAGUGACGGGAACCAAUUCCAGAUUUCUAAGCUUCCGAAAUUCCAACAUUUGGGUGACCAAAUCAAGUUAUUUUUCAACGAAACUUUUUUCACACUCAAUAUAACAUGUAAACAACAUAAACAAGCCAUUAUAUCCUUAAAUUUUCGUACCAAAGUGCUCGAACAAAGCAGGGGCAAAAUGGUCACUUUUGGUUAUUGCACCAUCCUUGAGUUUCUAUCAACAACCCAACAUUAAUCUACUAGUUUAGGCACUAAAUAAACAUUAUUACCAGCAAAACACCACAAAUCAGUCUAUAUAUCCAAUGUGGGAGUUCAUAGAGGCCACACAACCAUUUCCACCAUAAACAAGCUGCCCAUGAACAUGCAUGAGUAUAUAAGGGCACUAGAACUUCCAUAAACCAAGUUUUGAAGGUUAGAUCGUUACCUACUUCACUUGGUGUGCAAGAAUAGAAUUUUCGGUCCUCUCCUUGGUCAAGAAAAUCGUGACAGCAGCUCCUUUUCUUAGCUAGAUGAACUCUCCAAGUAUUAAGCUAAAUGUGGGUAAAAUUUGAAGUGAAUUGGAGGAAGUUUUGGUGAAGAAUUGGAGAUGAAAUUUGAAGAACUCUUGGCUAUUUUUCCAAGCUUGAUGGCCAGCCAAAUGAGAGAUAAGAGAGAGAGUGUUUGUCCAAAAGUAGCUUCCAAGAGAAGUGACGGGAUUUUUAUAUCAAUGCAAGUUCAAUUCCGAUUUUACACCCGUUGGACUGCAAGUAUACAGGUCGCAAUUGUAGUACAAGAUGUGUAUCGGGUCAAUCCCACGAGGAGCAAUUUAAACAAUUACUAAGCACUUGUUUUCUCUAUUAUUUAGACUUACAAUUAAUUUGAGCAGAGAAAGUCUAAUGCUGUAAUCUACAAAUCUGAUAUACAAAUCUAGUUUAACAAAUAUUGAAUGCAAAUAGAGAAAUUUCACUCAAGGAAGAUUUUAGGGAUGUAGAUUCCACUUAUGGCAUAAACAACACAAAUUAAUGGAUUUACUUCUUGCUAUUAUUCUUGUUUAACCAGAGAUUCAUUUCCAAAUUUACCAAGUCUCAUUCUCAUGAUGAAAUGGCCUAGAAUAGUUCAGUUUUCCCUAUUUUCAUGGUGAAAUACUACUACUACUCUGUUUUCUUUCAUGAAAUGCUAAGUAAUCCACUUAAGUGUAUCUCUAUUUUCAUGAACAUACAACUUAGGCUCUACUCAUGUGUUUCCAUUGUUACUACCAAUUCUCAUUGAAUAAUAACAACUAUAAACAUGCUAUUGGUGAUCAAUCAAUAACAAGUAAUUACAGUUACACAAGUAGACAAGUUAAUACAAGAUAUAACAAGUGUAAAUCACAUUCAGUUAGUAUUAUUUAGCCAUAAGUUUCAUCUACUCCCUAGAUUAAGGGAUUUAACUACUCAUAAAUGAUUUAACAAUCAAACUCACAAGUUUAUUAAUGCCAAACAUCAUGAAGUACAAGUACAUGAAAGAUAAAAGAAAGCUUAGCCAAUUGAAGGUGAAACUCUCCAAUUCCUGCUAUGCUCUUGCACAAUAUGAUUACAAGUGAAAAUUUCAAAUACUUCUCCAAAAACUCCUAUCUAGAGAGAAACCAGAUACAAGAAAGAAAACUAGCUACGUAUGGUAAUUCCUACCUCUCCCCUGUGUUUCUGCAUAAAAGGUGGUAGAAAGUCUACCACCUCUCACUUCAUAAUUUCUUCCACUCAGAUUUUGUAAAAAGAAGUCAAAGAUAUGAUGUUUCCUUUUGUCCACACUCAUUUUGUCUUCUCUUUUGUUGCAGAAGCAUGUGCCACCGAUUUCUAUCCCUCAAAAUAUUGGAAAGUUGUGAAAAAGGUAAAAAAAAAACGGCUGUGGCACUUGCUGAGAAGAGAGACAGAUCCGAGCCUCGGAUCCGAGGGUUGAAAAAUGAUCCGAGCUCAGAUCUUCAGGAUCCGAGAACUUUCCUUGAUGGAUCCGAGGUCUGAUCUUCCUGACCUCGGAUACACUCCGCCAGAAGUACAGACGAGGGCUCGGAUCCGUGUUGAGCAAUUUUCCAGUUUUUCACUUCUUCCCUUUUUCUACAUUUUUGCUCCCAAUUUCUUAUGUACUUUGUCCUCUGGAUGACCCUUACAUUUCUUUCAACUUGUGCAUGAAUUUCAUAUAUCAAUUACCUUCACAAUUUCACAAAAUUAACGCAUUAAUCCACUCAUUUAUCAGUUUUUGAACCCUUAAACAAUAUUUAAGCAAUUAUCACCAAAAGAGUUCAAAUAUGGCUUUAAUCUUCUCAAAACAUACCAAAAAUUCAUGCCAAAUUCGUACAAAAUGUACGUUAAAUAUUCACUUAUCAAAUUCCCCCACACUUGAAUCGUUGCUUGUCCUCAAGCAAUUUUACACAACUUACUUCAAUGGUUCAAUAGAUAAAACAAUAUACGUACUUUUGUCAAAUUUAAUUCCUCAAAAACCUAGAAACCAAUCAUUAUGCCAUUUCUGAAAUUACACUAAAUACUCAUAAUAUUCAAUUAAAUAAAAAUAAUUAUGCCUUAAUUUCAACAAAUUCAAAUCAAUUCUCUCAUUCUAUCCUAAUUUCACAAAUAAGUAAAUCACAUAGUCAAUUUUAUGGCCUUCCUCAUCCCAAAACUUAUCAAUUUAGAUGAAUUUAUUCACAUAUCAUCUUAUUUAAAUAGUGAAAACGUUUUUUUACGCGAAAAUCAACACUUUUAGGUGAAAAUUUCCGGUUGCUCAACAUUUCACUUAUUUAAAUUGCUAAGCAUACUCUUAAUUCCAAUACCUUUUUACGCGAAUGUCGACAUUUGUAAAUGCCAACCUCCGGUUACUCAGUAUGUGAAUCAUUCGAGUAGAAAAGUAAUAAUAUUAUUCUCUUUUUUUUUUUAUUUUUUUUAUUUUUUUUUAUUUUUUUAUUUUUUUAUGUUUUUUUAAACAUAUAAUUUCUUUUUCCCUCUAAGUAUAAUUAAAGGAAGAAUUUGGCCUUGUCUUUGACUAUAUCAAUCACUUACUUAUAAAAUUAAGUAAAAAUGAUAAAUAUCAUUAAUCUUGCAAAAUUCUAAGCAUAAUUUUUCUUAUUAACCAAAUAUACUUUCUAAAAUGUAAAAAUCGUAAUUGCAUAAUAAUUCAUUCCAAGCCAAAUAAAAACUAAACUUUUCCAAAAUACACAUAGCAUUUUAUCCAAUGGAAGAAUUAGACACUUAAAAUUUUAACAUUUUGGCCAUUUAAUUGGAAGAAUUGCAAUGAAAUAUUGGAAAAUGUUUUAGAAAAAUUUUGACAGAGUUUCCCCAUAAAAAUAGAUGAAACUCCCUGCCAACAACCUCAAUUUUCACAAAAAUUAUCCUCAUGACUAUAUCUCCACAUAUAAUUCCAACAUUUUUAAGCCAUAAACAACUAAAAUCAUGCAUUUCAAGACACAAUCACCCAUAAGAUAAAGUAAUCCCUCCCCCACACUUAAUAUCUAUAAUGUCCUCAUUGUAGAGGAAGGUAAAAGAACUGAAACUUUUCUCACAUAAGUGGUGAUGCAAUUUGAAACCCUUAAUCAUCACGAUCAUCCAUUUUCUGUCCAAAAUGAGACAACAAGAGUACCAAACACCAUAAGUAGCACAAGAUGAUUCAAAUUAAAGAAAAAUAAAAUCUACAAAGUUUGUCUUAACAAAAGAAAAGAAAAAUAAAGAAAUAAAAGGUCUAAUCCGCUAAAGAGCAUCAUGGCUGCUCGGAACGAGGGUCUACUGCCUCCUCGGCUCCAUGAGGACCAUGUGAUGUACCAAUGUGUCCCUCCUCCUGCUGAGGUGUCGGAGUAGGGGACCGGCGGAUAUGGAAAUGAUCCUCGAUCAUACGAAGACGGCGAUCAUAUCGGUCGAGUCGCUCGGUCAUCAUCCGCUGGUCUGGUCAAUGCGCUCGACAACACGUGUCUCCAUACAGCAAAUGGCAUUGAGGAGCUCUUGCCAUUUGGAACGCGGUUGAGGAGGUGGUCGCUGAACCGAAGGAGGAAGAGUCUGCUGUGUCUCCGUCUCUUGAGUUUCCGCUUGCGGUUCAGUUUGAGGCGGAGGCUGAGUGGAAGUCGAUGCUUCUCCUGUGUCCCGGAUCAAAGCAGCUCCAAAAUCCAUAGAAAUACCCAAGGAUUUGAGUAUAGAAGCGUUACCUUCUCGGCCGACCUAGUUACCACCGAUCUUUCGGUUCCAAGAGGAACCUUGAGUUUCUCAAAAAUGAGGGAUAGCAGUCGAGGGAAUCCAAAGCAAGUCUCGCCGGCCCUCAUGCGAGCUGUGGUCCGCAUAUAGCUAAUGAUAAUGCUGGGUAGAGGAAUACCAGUCAAUUGCCUACCCACUCCAUGUAUCAUCUUAUCCAGAAAGUAGAGAUCGCUAUUUCGGAUCUCCCGUUUGCCACUCCUUUUCGGCACCACAUUAAAGGCAAAAAGAUAGAAGAUGAGGUGGUACUGAUGCUCGAAGGAGUCAGCAUAUACCGUGAGUUUUUUCGAAUUUUCUCGCUCACGGUACUGACCCUUUAGACGUCCCACGGCCUCUCCCACUUCCCAAGGGUCUCGAGCCUUGAACUCCUUGGUCAAUUUGACAUCUUCGCCUUCGUUUUUGAGUUGGACGAAGCGUCUCAACGUAUCUCGAUUGAGAGCCACUCUCCUGCCUCGAACCCAUGAGAUGAUGAGGUUGCCACUGUGGCUUUGCUUGUUUUCUACAUUAGCGUAAAACUCCCGGACCAGAUUGGGGUAGUAGUGUUUGGGCAACUGAAGGAUGUUCUCCCAUCCAAGUCUUUUGAAUGCUGUAGAAAUGUGAUAGUGCGCGUCCACCUCCGGUGCCAAGUGUUUCUCAAUAAUGAUUUCCUUGUCUAGGCCGGCUUCAUACCAUUGUUGAUUCGCAAAUGAUGUGAAUCGUGUGGUAUCAUAGUCCGGAGGUGGCUCAUCACGGCUAGUAGACGCGGUCUUCCGGCGAGAGCGAGGUGGCGGCUCAGGUGAAUGAGAUUCCUCUUCAGGUGACUCCUCUUGCAAGGAAGGUGUGUGUUCCUCACUUGAAGAAGGAGUAGGAGUACGAAUGCGAGGCCUCCUUGUGCGAGCCAUAAUACCUAUACACAACAUUUUAAACUUGCUCUCAAAUAAUAAAUAAGAAUUUAAGAAAAUUUCGGCAGAGUUUCCCCUUGAAAAAGGGCUAAACUCCUUGCCAAAAUGUUCCCAAAUUUAAACAAAUAAACUUCCUAACAAUUCUCAAAUAAAAUUCCCACAUUUAGAAAGAAUAUUAUCAAUAAAGAAAUCAUGUCAUGCAUAAUAAGUCCAAACAAUUGAAAAUUAUAUUCAUGUGCAAGAAUGAACACCCAAACACUUGAGAAUAUCUCCAAUCCAAUUCAUAACAUUCAUAACACUCAGUUUACAUACACAUGAGUUCCAAUUCAUCCAAACAAAUGCAAAUUAUCUCAAGUAAAAGUGGUUCAAUGUGCUUAAUUUAAUUGCAAACAGACUUUUUUAUCCAAUGGGUUUUUGCUCUAAUGAUAGCAUGUCAUUAAUAUAACAGUGAUUUAUACUCCUCGGAACAAGUUCAUAUAUCCAAUGAAAGCAAAAUUCACAAGUCUAAAUCACUAAAAUGCUCAAGCCCAAAAAUUGAGAAAAAUCUUAAAAAUAUCACCAAAUCCACAGUUUUCUCAAAAAUAAGUAUGAAAAUAGUUGUAACAAUCUAUUUAAGCACAAUGUAGCACAAUUAUAUCAAGAAAUUCCAACAAAUAUGCAUUUAUCAUAAUAUUCCCAAAAACUAGAAAAAUGUAGAAUAAGAAAUUAUAAAAUGUCAAAGAAAUUCGCAAAUUGUUACCUCAAAUGUGUGGGAAGAUGAUAGAGGAUGAUAAUGAUGAAAAAUGAGGAGGAAACAAGUCCAAUUUCACCCAGAAAUCAAAGAAUUUCCGUGCGGCCCAAAAUUCCCUUUUGAAGAUCAAAAUCCACUUUUGAUGCUGUGUUGUGGUGAAAUAGUUUAGGGUUUCUGAUCAUACAUGGGUUGGGGAGGUGUUUAUGAUGAAAUAUUGGAGAUUUGAUGGUUAAAAUGGAAGAUUGGAGGAAAGGGGUAGGGUUUUGGUGAGAAGAGGGAAAAGGGAAUUCGAAAAAAUGAGGAACCGAGACCUCGUUUCUUUUCUUAUCGCGAACAGAUCCGAGGUCGGAUCUGUUCUGAACGUCCUCGGAUCCGACAGGGGCUCGGAUCAGUCCCAACAGAAACACAGACGAGCCCUCGGAUCUAUCUGGAUUGGAAUAGAUCCGAGCUCGGAUCGAUGGAUUCGCAGUCGGAUCUGUCUGGGCUUUUAGGAUCCGAGCUCGGAUUUAUAUUUCUCUGCACUAAUUGCAGAAACUGCAAUUUUUCAAACUUUUUCUCCCUUUUCCGGCCAAUUCCAAAUCACACAUUGGACAUAUUUUUUAUUAAUUCCAACCUCCCACACACAUGUAAUAUACCAUAAACACAAUAUCCAACCUCUCAAAACACAACAAACACAUUUACAUUGAAAAUCGAGGGGUAGGGUCCUUUGAUCAUUUCUGUACUUUUACACUAAAAUGACAUUUUUGGGCAUUAAAUACACAUCAAAUGAGUCCAUGAGCAUUUAUAACAUGUUAUCACCAAAACUCACUUGAAUAUACUUGAAAUGCACAAUGCAUAUAUGAAUGAUAAUUCUAAACACUUAAAGCACAAUUUUGGUAAGAAAACCUCCCUUUUUACACUUGUUCUUCAAUUGUACCUCCAAAAUGGAUGAUGAAACUCCGGUACCUCCUACAAACAAGUGAAAUACAUCUAAUUAGUUAAUUAAAUCACACCAAAAUGUAAAAAAAAACACAUAAAAAUGCAAAUACAAUAUUAUUAUUGGGUUGCCUCCCAACAAGCGCUUUUGUUUAUAGUCGUUGGCUCGACUCAAAAAAAUUGAAUCAUUUUAGAACAUUAAGGAGCGAUUUUCUCCCCAUGGGUCGAAACUUUCGAGCCAAUCCACCAUGUGGUGAGCCAUGCAUUGAUCUCCAUAGUCCAAUUUCCUCAAAUGCCAAGGAGGAGUAUUAGACUUGUCAUAUAAAGGCUCGACUUCACCUUGGAGUGGAAUUUGCUUGUCUUUUUCGAGUUGGCUCAAUUUUUCUCCACUUUUUUCAUGGAGUGUCGAAUUUAUUAAGCCAACUUCCACCCUUAUCUUCUCUUCCCUUGCUCCUACACCAUGAAAGUUAGUACCAAGAACAUUUAAUAAUUUAACUUCUUCGUUCCUUUCUUGGUUAACCUUUUCAUCACAUGGCAUAUUAGAAACAAGAACAAUAGGCUCUAUACUCCCUUCUUUAUUAUCCAAAUUGAAUUCCAAUUCCUCACCAUUAACCCGUAGUAUAAGCUUACCUUUUUCCACAUCAAUUAUAGUUCGUGCGGUGGCUAAAAACGGUCGUCCUAGAAUAAUUGGCAUUCUCACAUCUUCCUCAAUAUCUAAGACAACAAAAUCCACAGGUAUUAUAAAUUGUCUUACACUUAUGAGCACAUUUUCCAAAAUACCAAUUGGAUGUGUGAUUGACCGAUCCGCCAACUGCAAUAUGAUAUUGGUAGCUUUCAACUCUUGAAGUCCCAACCUCCGGGCAACCGAUAAUGGCAUAAGUGACACACUUGCACCUAAAUCACAUAAAACAUUAAAAAAAUGCAAUUGACCAAUAGUGCAAGGAAUAGAAAAACUUCCCGGAUCUUUUAAUUUAGGAGGGAGUCUGUUCUUAAUUAAUGCACUACACUCUUCCGUUAAUACUAUCAUCUCAUUAUCUACAAUUUUCCUCUUUCUUGACAUGAUAUCUUUCAAGAAACGCGCAUAAGAGGGAAUCUGUGUUAUAGAAUCAAUGAAAGGAAUGUUAAUGUGCAAUUGUUUAAACAUUUUGAAGAACUUUUGAAACUCCCGAUCCUGUCCAUCUUUCUUCAACCUGUGAGGAAAAGGAAUUUCAUUAGAAUUUAAUUGAGGAGGAGGUUCAUCAAUAUUAAUGACUACAUUAUCAUUUUGGCUUGGUUUUACUCCUCCAUAUGCUUGCUCCUUAUCUUUUUCACCACUUGAAUUACUAGAGUUAGGUCCCUCAACCAUUUUACCACUUCUAAGAGUGAUAGCAUUGACUUGCUCUCUCGGAUUCACUUCGGUUUUACUCGGCAAUUCACCAGGGUUUCUGUUGUUGAUCGCAUUGGCAAUUUGACCAAUUUGAAUCUCCAAAUUUCUAUACAUCCCAGCCAAUUGGUCCAGCCGCCCCUCAACUCGCUCGAAUCUAUCCGAAGUAACCUUAGCACGCGUUUCCACAGCGAUCUCCCAACCAGGUUUGGUUUCAACUUGUUGUUGCCUUGAUUGAAAUCCCGGUGGAUUGGCUGGCCUUGGUUGAUUUCCUUGGUCCUUCCAUCCAAAAUUUGGAUGAUUUCUCCACCCCGGAUUGUAAGUAUUCGAGUAGGGGUUAUUUUGAGCAUUACGAUUAUAAUUAUUAACGAAUUGUACCUGCUCAAAAUCAACACACUCAUUAGUAUCAUGUUCACCUCCACAUAUAGAACAACAUGCUACAUGUGCAUUAGAUGAACUUGGACCAACUCCACCUUGUCUACUUAGCAACUUCAUCACAUUAUUCAUUUGAGCACUCAGCAUAUUGAGAGUGUCCAUUUCUAUCAUACCUGCAUGACGUCUUGUAUUACCUCUCUCAUUGGCCCAUUGGUAGUUAUUUGCUGCCAUUUCUUCUAUCAAAGUAUGAGUUUCUUGGGGUGAUUUACCCAUUAAAGCUCCACCUGCAGCUGCAUCGAUCAUAGUUUUAGUAGAAAAACUAAACCAUUAUAGAAGGUUUGUAUGAUUAACCACUCCGGCAGUCCAUGAUGUGGACAUUUCCGAAGCAAAUCUCUAAACCUUUCCCAUGCCUCAUAUAAUGAUUCACCUUCUAAUUGGCUAAAACUAGUGAUAUCCAUUCUAAGCUUAGCAGUCUUACCUGGUGGAAAAUACUUAUUUAAGAAUGCUCUUGAUAAAUCAUCCCAUCCGGUGAAAGUAUUAGGAGCAUGAGAGUGUAGCCAAAGUUUGGCCUUAUCUCUCAAUGAAAAUGGGAACAAUCUUAGCCUUAUAGCAUCAUCACUAACUCCAUUCAUUUUAAUUGUAUCACAAAUUUCCAAGAAUGUAGCUAAGUGUGUAUUAGGAUCUUCUACUGCAUUACCUCCAAAUUGAGAUUGUUGAACCAUUUGGAUAAGUGAUGGUUUAAUCUCAAAGUUGUUAGCAUUUACCGAAGGCCUUGCUAUACUCGUUUGAGAUCCUUGUGUUCCCGAUAGAGCAAAAUCUCGUAGAACUCGCCUAUUUGCUUCGUUUUCUGCCAUUUCUUCUUCAAAUUGUAAUUCUAUCAAGAUAUCUUCUAUUGGCUGCCAAACCUCUUGUUCCUCUUGAUGUGAUGUACUCCUCCUUUGUCUGUGUAAUAUUCUUUCAAUUUCAGGAUCGAAAUGUGUAACUUCUCGAUUUGAUCGGUGCAUAUACUACAAACAAAAACAAGAGAAAUUUUGCAGUUUUAAUUCAACAACUUGAAUAAAAAACAAUGAAAAUAUCUAAAUUAAUAGAGAUGAUUAGGCCCUAAUAUUGCCGCUCCCCGGCAACGGCGCCAAAAACUUGACGGGAUUUUUAUAUCAAUGCAAGUUCAAUUCCGAUUUUACACCCAUUGGACUGCAAGUAUACAUGUCGCAAUUGUAGUACAAGAUGUGUAUCGGGUCGAUCCCACGAGGAGCAAUUUAAACAAUUACUAAACCCUUGUUUUCUCUAUUAUUUAGACUUACAAUUAAUUUGAGCAGAGAAAGUCUAAUGCUGUAAUCUACAAAUCUGAUAUACAAAUCUAGUUUAACAAAUGCUGAAUGCAAAUAGAGAAAUUUCACUCAAGAAAGAUUCUAGGGAUGUAGAUUCCACUUAUGGCAUAAACAACACAAAUUAAUGGAUUUACUUCUUGCUAUUAUUCUUGUUUAACCAGAGAUUCAUUUUCAAAUUUAUCAAGUCUCAUUCUCAUGAUGAAAUGGCCUAAAAUAGUUCAGUUUUCCCUAUUUUCAUGGUGAAAUACUACUACUACUCUGUUUUCUUUCAUGAAAUGCUAAGUAAUCCACUUAAGUGUAUCUCUAUUUUCAUGAACAUACAACUUAGACUCUACUCAUGUGUUUCCAUUGUUACUACCAAUUCUCAUUGAAUAAUAACAACUAUAAACAUGCUAUUGGUGAUCAAUCAACAACAAGUAAUUACAGCUACACAAGUAGACAAGUUAAUACAAGAUAUAACAAGUGUAAAUCACAUUCAGUUAGUAUUAUUUAGCCAUAAGUUUCAUCUACUCCCUAGAUUAAGGGAUUUAGCUACUCAUGAAUGAUUUAACAAUCAAACUCACAAGUUUAUUAAUGCCAAACAUCAUGAAGUACAAGUACAAGAAAGAUAAAAGAAAGCUUAGCCAAUUGAAGGUGAAGCUCUCCAAUUCCUGCUAUGCUCUUGCACAAUAUGAUUACAAGUGAAAACUCCAAAUACUUCUCCAAGAACUCCUAUCUAGAUAGAAACCAGAUACAAGAAAGAAAACUAGCUACGUAUGGUAAUUCCUACUUCUCCCCUGUGUUUCUGCAUAAAAGGUGGUAGAAAGUCUAUCAUCUCUCACUUCAUAAUUUCUUCCACUCAGAUUUUGUAAAAAGAAGUCAAAGAUAUGAUGUUUCCUUUUGUCCACACUCAUUUGGUCUUCUCUUUUGUUGCAGAAGCAUGUGCCACCGAUUUCUGUCCCUCAAAAUAGCUGGAAAGUUGUGAAAAAGGUAAAGAAAAACGGUUGUGGCACUUGCUGAGGAGAGAGACAGAUCCGAGCCUCGGAUCCGAGGGUUGAAAAAUGAUCCGAGCUCGGAUCUUCAGGAUCCGAGGACUUUCCUUGAUGGAUCCGAGGUCGGAUCUUCCUGACCUCGGAUACACUCCGCCAGAAGUACAGACGAGGGCUCAGAUCUCUCUUGUACACACGGAUCCGAGCUCAACACGGAUCCGAGCUCAACUUGUGCAUGAAUUUCAUACUUCAAUUACCUUCACAAUUUCACAAAAUUAAUGCAUUAAUCCACUCAUUUAUCAAUUUUUGAACCCUUAAACAAUAUUUAAACAAUUAUCACCAAAAGAGUUCAAAUAUGGCUUUAAUCUUCUGAAAACAUACCAAAAAUUCAUGCCAAAUUCGUACAAAAUGUACGUUAAAUAUUCACUUAUCAAGAAGCUUUAAUGUGUGGCCCAUGUGUUUGUCCAAAAGUCAGCGCGCGCGUUUUGUACUCGAUUCCUCUCGAGUUUAUUUCAUUAGUGCACGAAACCUCUAAUGAACUUAUAUUCAUAUAAAUAGUAUUCACUCUUAAUUGUUCCAAAAUAAGGGUCUAGAGUCCCUCAAUUAAAUCGUGCGUGUGAAAACGCGUAUUUUCAAUUUAAACGUGAUAAAGUAAAACUCCAAAAAAUUCUUAUAACGAUGGUACUAAUAACUAUCACUUGAAUAUUUAAGCACAAAAAUACCUAUUUCAAGACCAUUGUGCAAGUCUCUAAUUUUUCCAAGCUUAUUGUAUUCUCGAAUCGAUUAUUGACUCCAAUCGCGUAUUCGCUAUUUUCACUUAAUGAGCUUCCGAGAAUUAAAUUUUGAAACGAGUCGCUUUAAAAAUAUAACGAAACUAUAAAUCCAUGUAAUUAGGUCUAAAGAGGCUAGAAAAUAAUAAUCAGAGUAAAUAGGUAAUUAAAUAUUUAAAUAAGCUCGAAAUGGAAUUUAAAAUAUUAAAUUUUUGUGAGUCCUCACAUAUAAUCACUAAUUCAUUAUUGUGCUUGUACUUUUUUUUUUGAGAAAAAAUGUUAUUGUAUUAAGUGUAAUUAGGGAUUUAGUAUAAAUGUAUUAGUAAAUUUAGUAUAACUAAUUAAUAUUUCUAUUAGUAGACAUAUAAUUAUUAGUAUAAUUGAUAAUAUCAAUUAUAUUACAUAUACCAAUAUACAUUAUAUGAUACAUAUAACUAAUAAUAUCAUUAUCAGGUAACUAAGUAAAUUAAAUAUUACAUAUAUAAUUACAUAUAUAUUUAUUUAUAUAUAAAUAUGUAUAUAUUUUUAAAUGGAUGGUGGGGUAGGGGAUGAGGCGGGGGUACACUCCCCUGUCCCCCACCCCGUUUCUAAAACGGGCCCAACCCUCGGGCACCCGCCCCCAUUGUCAUCCUUAUGUAAGUUGAAUAGCUUUCUUAUACUAUAUGAACAUUUUGUCAAUUCUAUCUUUAUUCAUUUUUUAUUUCUUCAAAACAAAUUUAUUUAGAAUCUUUUAAUAAAAACUUAUGACCCCUCAAAAAUUUUAGCAAGCUCUUACCAAGAUUCACUUUAAGCAUGCAUCUAUAGUAUACUCACCACCAUACUAGUUGCCAUGUGUAAGUUGAAUAGCCUUCUUAUACUAUAUGAACAUUUUAUCAAUUUUAUCUUUAUUCUUUUUUUAUUUCUCCAAAAAAAUUUAUUUGGAAUCUUUAAUAAAAACUUAUGUCCUCCCCCCCCAAACUUUAUAAGUUAUAAAAUGGAUUUCAAAGAUAUUAUAUUACAUAAACCUUUUUGAAGACAAAUAUUGUUUUCAAUAAUUUUUUGCACUUAAAAUUUGUAAAUAAGUUAGAUAAUUACACUAAACACAGAUAAAAUUUUACACUUCAAGUUUGGUGGAUUACUAAUUAAAUUUAUGUUUUGUUGAUUCUUAUGUAAAUUAACAAUUCUAUAGCAAAUUAAAUUAAAUGAUCAUUUGCUAUGGCAUUUUUUUCAUUAUAGUUUAUAGCAUAAUCUUAUAUCAAAAUUAUGAGAUAUAAUAUUUAUAUAUAUUUAGUGAUCUAUUAGUUCAACCACUCACCCACCUCCUUUGCUGGGUUCCUUUCUAGACCACGUUUAAUAACUAUGAUUUGAAGAGAGCUAUCAUUAAAUCCGGACACAAUUUGGACUUCAGAGUUCAGAAGACAUUGUUUGGGGUGCCAACACUUGCACAGAUUUGUGUAGUUUUUCAAACUACUCAACAAUCCCCCACUAAUUUGCAAAAACUUGUGUAUCUUAAACCAUGAACUCUUCAAUAGUUCAACUUUAAUGGAUGAAUCUUAAGCAUAAUAAGUAUCUCUCGAUUUAAAUUUCUAACAGGUGUAGGUGAUUUGAAUUCUUAAUGCAGUUGUUAGCGUUUUUAAAUUAGGGGAAUUCUAUAGUCUCUUUAGAGCAUUGUGCCAAAUAGAUUAAAUUUAGGGAUAAUUUCAGAAACCUCUCCCCAGGUUUUCGACAAUUUCACUCAGCUCCCUUGAAGUUUACAUAAUUACGGAGACCUCCCUUGCUAUGAUAAAAAGACAACAAUGCUCUUUAUUCAUUGCCAACUCAUUGAAAAACUCUAUCAAAUAUUAAAACUCUCUUAUCUAUUGUCAACCAAUAAUUUAAUUCUCUAUCAUCUUCCUCCUGUAUCUGUUUUCCUUUUAAACUCAUUUAUUUAUUCUGAUCAACCAAAUAUGUACCGUCACCACUAACAAAACUACCAUACACACCAAACCACCAAUGCUUACCUAUCUUGGUGUCUAUUCCCAAUUCUCUUUUUUUUUUCAUUAUUAUUAAAUAGUUUCCUUACACCCAUUUUUGUUUCCAAUUUUUAAUAGGCAUUAGCAAAUUGAAAUUGUCAAAUGACAAAUUGAAUGAUAAUUUCAUUAUCAAACUAGAUGGAGAUGAAGAUAGUGGCAGUGAUAAACAAUAAAAAAUUAAGGAUAAGAAGUGGAAUAGAGACUAAAUAUAGAUUAUACUGUCAUGGUUGUUAUGAAAAAAAAAAGCGUUCAUGGUAUAUUUAUAACUGCAUUGUGUUUCUAUUUUUUAUUUACAAUUAUUGAUGUAUUCCUAUAGAGAUAAUUUGAUUGAUUUUGAACUUUUUGCCAAUGAAGUAUAUUGAAUAUUGAUAUUAGUAGUGAUGGCCUAGAUUAUUUUGUAUAAAAAAGGUGGCAGCCAUAGAAUUGAAAUUUAGAGAUAUUGAUAAAUAUUGUCGUGUGUUAAGCAAAAUCUGAUAUUGAUAUGAGAUUGUAUGUAAACUUUUGGAUAUCUAAUGCAGCAUUUUAUAGUUGAUAAAUGGUCUGCAUAAAAAAUUUUUAAGUAAAAGAGCAACAUUAGAACAAAGAUAAGUGUUAAUUCAGUGGUGAUUUGGAUGUUAAUGGGUAGGCAACAAUGAUAGCAAAUAAAGAUGAAUGAAAUAGAGACUGUGAACCAUUUUUUCUUUUUUAUUUUUUUUUGGUGAAUUAUAACUCAAGGGCAUUAUAAAAUUUUUGGAAAAAUAUCUAGCCUCUUGGACCUAGAAUGUUACUUAAACAAUAAAAACAUGGGAGGGUAAGUGUAAUUUUUAGAACUUGAGGGGAGUUUUUUUUACAAUUAUCAAUAACCUCAGGGGAGGUAUACGAAUUUAUCCCUAAUAAAAAUUUGUUGGAAGACGCAACUACACAUUAAGCAAUGUCGCAAUAAAAAUUUAGAGCAAGCAGCGCUUCUCAUAUUAUUCAGCCUCAGAGACUUUGACUUGGCUGUCAAAAUCAGGCUUGGAAAGAAUUACACAGUUUUGGUCGAAGAGGAAGAGAGGCCCAACUGAGACAAUUGGAGGAAUCAAUGAAAACUUAAUGACCAUCAGAUUAGAUGAAUAUACUAUUCAUCUAUAUGAAUUUUUGGAGCAAUUAUAUAUAGUGACACAAUAAUGAGAAAUAAUAUUUAUACUCUUGACCUUUCACUCCCGUAAAGACUUCAAUUCUUUGACCGUGACGAACAGUUCAAAGGCCGUUGGUUGCUUCUCAUAUCAGUCAAGCCUCAGAGACUUUGACUUGGCCAUCAAAAUCAGGCUUGGAAGGAAUUACAUAGUUUUGGUCUAUUACACUGACAAGUCAGCAAUGGACAACUAUUAAAAGUUAAAGUCUUUUUCAGAUUUAAGAUUUGAGGUUUCGAUGUGGUAGGUGUUGACUAUUCGGUAAAACUAGUAAUCUAGAGUGGAGAUUAAUUAGGAUUUCGUUUUUUGGCUUAACUAAUGACAAAUAAAGGAUCUAUUUGGAUGUUGUGUUUUUUUUUCGUGAAUUUAUUUACAAUUUUACUAUAACCUAUUAUAAUUGUAUUAGGAAUUACAGUAGAUGUCUUGGGAAAAAAAUUGGUGUAUUAAAAACAACACUGCUUCCCCUACUAUCCAUAGCCAACACCCAUCGCCACCGUAACCACCUCCCCGUCCUCCUCAUUUUACACUGCUAUCCACCACCCAUUCUUCUUUUUCUUCCCUUGUCCACCAUCCAACCCGCUACCACUUCUUCUCUUCUCUUCCUUCUCCUCUUCUUCCUUCUGCAACUCGCCACCUCUCUUGUCCUUCAUUCUACCUUCCCUCACUUCCCUACUUCCCCUCUUCUUCCCCAUCUCCUCCUACUUUUCCCUCCUUCCUCCCCCGCCACCUCUUCUUCCCACACAUUCUCCUUCUUUUCCUUCUCCCUCUUUCUCUCAACCAGUAUACUUAAAGAGCCCACAACAAAAGCAUGAUAAUGUAAAAAUUGCAGGGCAAUAAAAUGUUGGGCAAAUUACAUUUUAUCUUCUAUAAUUUAGUGUUUUUGUACAUAAUCCUCUAUAGUUUCAAAAACUAUACAUAACCCUCUCAUAAUUUAAAUUAAAGUGGCAAAGUGACAAAAAUAAUCAUUCAUAACAAAAUCUUUAAAAAUAUCAAAAUUAUGCUUGUUUAAAAAUUAAAAUGGUUAAAGUGAUCAAAAUAUAUAAACAUAAUAUACAUGACGCACUAACCUCAUAUGAUUUUAUGUUUUACUAAAUAAUACCCUUAUGAUUUAAUGUUUUAUCAUAUAACGUCUUUAUGAUUUUCAAAAUAUACACAUAAUCCCCAAUGGUUAAUAAAUAAUUUUCAACUUUGCAUAGGAGCAUUUUUAAUUUUAGGUGACUCCGUUAUGGAUUGUAAAUUCCGUUAUUUUGACAAUUUAAUCCAAAUCAUGAAGGGGUUAUGCAUAAUUUUUGAAAUUAUAGGGGAUUAUGUACAAAAACACUAAAUCACAAGGGGCAAAUUAUAAUUUGCCAUAAAAUGUUUAGAACACUUCAACAUAAUACACAAGAAUAUUUCGGGGCAAGAGAGUGCAAAAAAUUGUAGCGAGCAUCGGCGUCUCUAUCAUAGAUUUUGUUGACAACCCAACCGCACCCCUACUAAGGAGACCAGAAAGACCCCUAUCCCUACCCAAUAAUAGUUAAAAUCCCCAGCAUAUCUAAAAAUUGCAGUAGCAAAAAUCAAACAUUUGCAGCAAUACAAUACCGGCACAAAUCAAACUUUAGCAUGCAAUACAACACCGGGAAUCUAUCUUGGCUAUAAUGUUCUGAAUUGAAUAUUAAAAUCACAAUCUACAAAAUUGUUAUUGCUAUGAUGCUAUUCUUUCUUAUCCAAUCGUUAGAUUUUAAUGUCUUUCACCUAAGAAAAACAAAUUGAAGAGGAAUAACAUGAGGUUAUGGCUCACGAGGUUUUGGGUUGUAAAACACUUAGAUUCUCCAAAAUUUACUUGCAAAAGCACUUUUCAAUAAUUUAGAGAAGCUCCUUUGUGGCUUUUUAUCAUGUAAUUUCAAAGACCCUAUUGAACUUAUAUUUAAUUUCAUAAUCACGAGAAUAUGUGUGCCACAUGUAAGUGCUUUUUUUUUUUUGUUUAGUGUAAGCAAUAGCACUCGAACCCGAGACCUCUCAUUUACACUCCCUCCCCCCGUACCACCCAACCCAACCCUCCCUCCCACGAGAGUAUGUGUGGAUUAGUUAUAAAUAUAAUUAAUUCGCUACAGAGAGUAGAUUUCAUAUAUAUUAAAAAAUUAUGCCAUACUUAGUCAAGGUGAUAAAUUGCAAUAAUUGGGUUGUUUAUCUAACAAGGGGCUUGUUUGGAAGGUGAGUUUUUUAGGUGUUUGUAUAAAACUUUACUGUAGAUCACUGUAGAAGUUGUAGAAAAACUUUGUAAGAUGAAAUAUUUUUUUUUAGAAGUUGUAGAAAAACUUUUUGUGUGAUGAAAAACUUUUUUUCCUUUUCUUUUCCUCUCUUUCUUUUUCUUUUUUCUUUUCUUUCUUUUUUUCUUUUUUCUUUUCCUUCCUCCCUUCCCACUUCUUCUCCCUUCCCUUUCCCCCUCCCCUGUUCCCUCUUCAGAUCACUGCCAAUGCAGCUUUGGAUUUUUCUGCAACUUUUUUUUUUUUGCUUUUUUUUUCUCCCCCUCUCCUGCCUGCCACUCCUCCCUCUCCCUCCCCCCCCACCCCUUUUCUCCCUCUCCCCUUCCCCUUCCUUCCCCCGCCACCCAUUUCCUCCCCUUUCCCCGGCACCCCCCUCUGCCCGCCACUGCCUCCCCCGGCACCCAUUUCCUCCCCUCUCCCCCGGUACCUCCCUCUGCCUGCCAUCCCCUCUGCCUCCCCCGGCACCCCUCUUCUCCCCUCUCCCCCGGCACCCCCCUCUGCCCGGCAACCCCCUCUGCCUCCCCUGCCACCCAUUUCCUCCCUUCUCCCCCGCCACCCCUCUGCCCGUCACCCCUUCUCCCUCCCCGCCACUCGGCACCCCCUCUCUCCUUCCCCUUCCUUCCCCCACCACCCUUCUUCUCCCUCCCCCGCCACCACUAUCCUCCUCUCUCCCCAUCCCCCUUCCCCUCGCCCGUCUCUACUCAAUCUGCCGGCAGCGGAAUUUUUUUUUUUUUUUUUUGCAAUUUUCCUUCUCCCCCUCUACUCCCCUUCCCCCGCCACACUCACCCUCCCUCGGUGUGAUCUGGUCUAGCGACCGGCCAGAGAGGAAGGGGAAGGGUGGUGGGGGAGGAGUGGGGGAGAGGGAGAGAGAAAAAAAAAAGAGAGAAAUCGGGCAAAAGGGAAGGAUGGCAGGGGAGGAAGAGGGGGAGAGGGAGAAAGGGAAAAAAAAUAGAUCGGCACCAGAAGAGGUGAUCGGUACCGGAACUGGCGGCGGAGGUGGUGACCGGUUGGGGUGGGGGAGGAAGAAGAAGAAAAGAGGAAGGAAAUUUUGGAUUUUUUGUGUUUUGGAUAUUUUAAAGUGUGUAGGUUAAAACUUUGAUAAGUUUUUGGAGUUCCUGUAGUAAAAGUUGUUAAAAAACUAGUAUCAUACAAACUUGGCAAAAAACCAAGGUUCCAAACAGGCCCUAGGUUAGAGAGAAAACUGAUUCUAGGAGCUUUUCUCGUGUUUUGUUCAAUUUAUGUUUCCUAGUGUAACAUUAUUUUCUUGUCAUUGAGUUUGGUCUAAAUAAUAAAGGAAUUCAAGUAGUUUUGGCAGUUGAUCAUCUUUCCCUAUAGGAUUGACAUUUGAAUAUUUCCUAUACUCGUGUACAACCUGUAUAUUUGCAGUAGUGAAAGUUUGAUUUUAAUUAAAACUUCUCAUUACAGUCCCUAAAGUUAACACAAAUAAUGGAUGAUUUGAAAAAAAAAAUGGACAAACAAAUCAAUAAUUACAAACCAAUGAAUAAUUGACAAACUGAUCUCUCUCUCCUUAUCAAAUUGUAAAUGACAGUAUUGGUGUAGGAUUUGCAUCAUGAUUGAAGAGCAUAAGCCAUUCGUGUAGGAGUACAUAUUCGAUCAGACUAUUUAGAAGAAUAGUGCCAUAUUGAGCUGUUGUGGGUUCGAUGGGAUUGAGAAUCCUGGCAAACAUUCCUGACCAAGUGGACUCCUAUCUUGCAAGCGGAUUUGCAAUUUUUUUUUGUUUUAUUGGUUUUGAUAUGUUUGAAAACAUAAUGGGGAAACUUUAGCUCCUUAGAGGUCUCCAUCAUAAGCAAAAGUUCUUGGAUAUAAUUAUAUUUAAAAAUUAAAGGUACUAUAUUUCGAAGCCUAAUCUACCGUACAGACUAUUCUUUUCUUUCUUUGUUUCUUAUGCCCUCAAACUGUACUGCCCGAAAAAGUCUUUUUGACUCUACUGAUAUCUUUUUGAAAGCAUUGCAUCACCUUGUCCUUUGUUAAAUAACUUCCACUUUCAUUUCAAAAUCAAUUGCUGAUAAGUGAAGUAGGAAAUCCUUGGAAUAUGAGAUAUUCAACUAACACCAUUAAAGAAAGAACCUAGUCACAGGGAAAAUAAAUGGGGUGACAAAUCCACCCAUGGAAUAACAAACAAAUCCAAGGCCCAACUCGGCCCAACUCUGAUUCCAUGUUAAAUAACUUGAACUUUCAUAUCAAAAUCAAUUGACGGUUAGUGAAAUAACCCAACAUCUUAUAUAUAUGGCCGGAAAUCCUUGGAAUAUCAAUGUGGGAUAUUCAAUUGACAUCCUUUAAUGUCUGAAAAAUACUUGCAUACCUAACAAUGUGCCAUUAACUAACAAAUGAAAAGAAGCCCAUCCAACCAACAGUAGAAACUCACAAAGGAUUUUAGGAUGGUUUCAUACGUAUCUACACCUGGAUCCAGCAUUUGGCUCCGGGUAGACAAUUAGCAAGUGUAGUAGACAGUUUUAUGUUAUCUAUUUUUUUUUAAAAGUAGGGCUAAAAAAUUAACUCACAUGCCUACGGUUUUUUUUAACACCAUUAUCUUAAAUUUAGGAAAAUAAUUUAAUCUAAUAAGUUAUCUAGAACUAUUAGAUAUCAAAUCUAUUCCAUCAUGGUAGGAGCAUAAAUUAAGAUUGUAAUCCAAUCUAAGUUCUAACUUAGGGAGUAACUGGUGGUAAAUAAUGAGCUUAGAUUACCAAUUGUAAAAUCCAGACGGUAAAUUAGAUGUUGGAUUGCAUAUGCCUUUUAUAACACGAAUGCCAUUCCACCCUUUUUUUUUUUCAAGUCAUCAAUCAUACCAUACCAACAUUAUCUUUUAGCCAUUUAAUCUAACUGAGUUGAGGAUGCUUACUUAGGGAAAAAUCAGCACUCUCUUAUAAGACAAUGAUUAUAGCAAUUGGCUAUGAGUUAUUCACACAUUGGACCCUAGAAGAAAUGUUCAAACAUUCGCAAUGUCAAACUUGAUUAACACUUAAAACUAUGAAAAAAAAAGUUUCUAGCAUUUGUUUUGUAUCGGCCAAUUUAAUUGGACAUUGGAAGUGAAAUCCAAAUUCCAAUUCCUCUAGGGUAGUUUGGAAUAUUAGGAGCAAAAAUAUGGUUUUCAAAUUUUUUGAACCACCCUACUCUUAACCACAACAAAAGAAUGCGCAUGCCUUUUCUUAAAAAUUUUUUAAUUUUGUUAAUAAUUUAAAAAACUGAAAAGGAGGGGACAUAAACUUUACCUCCAAAAUACACGAAUAUUUUAAAUAAACAUAAAAGAAACAAAGACAUAAAUAAACAAUGCUUAAUUAUUUAAUUACUGAACCAAAAUUGGACAUGUAAAUAAAUGAACAGCCAAUGGAGAAAAUCGAUAUCCAUCUAGGGUUUCUUUCAAGAAUUCAUAUGCUGUAGCAGAAUGAUAUUAUUGUAAUUUUCAGUUUUCUCUUUAGCAGUCAAAAUAAGAAACUUGCAAAUUUGUAAUCUACAGGUUUGAGUGGAAUCCUGAUUUUUAUUGCAGAAAUUGUCAAAGACUUGACCAUUAAUGAGUUUGAAUAUUAGUGAGAAGUGAUAAUUUGUCAACAGAGCAAAUUUACAAGGUUAUAGCUUCUCUCAACUUAGAAGGGCAAAUGAAGCAAAAAAAAAAAAAAGUAAUAGUCAUGGAGUAGGAAUUUGGGAGUUAAGUUCAGUAACAAGUAAACUAGACAUGCGCCUUCCAGAUGGAGAAAAUAGAGGACUAAAAGAGAGGGCACGGGUGAAAGGAGUGUUAAUUUUUUUAAUUACUAAAGGUGUGUUUGACAUAAUUGAAAAAUGAAUAUAUUAAAUUACUAAUUUAUUAAGUACUGAAUCUAAUAUAAUUCAUUAUCUGAAUUUGAACACUGAAUACAGUAUACCUAUUCAUAAUUAUAGAUAACUGAAUAUUGAAUUUCUCAUAUUUUAUAAUUUUGUCCUUACCGUGAUUUAUUCAGUAAUACUGUUACUAUAGUGUUAUAUUUCAUUACUAAUAUACAUUUAAUUUCAUCAAAAAUAAGAUAUUAAAAUAAAUGAACCAUAGACAAAAAUAAAAUGCACAUUAUAACAAGUUUAUUUGAGAAAAAAAAAUUUAGCACAAUUUUCGAUACUUCCUUUUGCUCCUUUGUCAACAUAUCCUUUCCGGGUGCUUCGUGUGAUAUUUGUAGACAAAGUGUCUCCUUAAUCCUAUGAACCAUGUGGCAUAUCUAUAAUUUUGGCAUGUGUAAAUAUCGCUGUUAGAUGGACAAAACAAGAACCAUUUCAACGACUAAAUACUUGAAAUUUAUUACCAAAAGUUUGAAUAUUUCCUACUUCCAAUAAAAGUAGCUAGCUAUCAGCAAUAAACAAAUAGACACAUACAUGCAUAAACACAUAUACAUAUGUGUGUGUCAUUGUAGCACCUUAUAGUUUGAAAAGACAAUCCAGGAAUGUGUUAAAAGAAUUUUUGAAAUUUCCUUCCAAUAUGUCAAAGUGAAACAAUUGAUUCGACAUGGAUGGUUAUCAUUGCUUUUGGUUUCAGAUAUUGUUGUAGCAUUAUGGGUAAAUACAUGUGUAGAUACACACAUAUACAUAAAUGCACACAUACAUACAUACAUACAUUCAUAUAUAUGUGUGUGUACACACGCACAUAAAAUUAGGAUGGGAAAAUAUGUUUGAAAAUUUUUAAAAUUGUGUUUACAAAAGAUGUGCCCAUGCAGAUCUUAAAAUACAGGCAGAGGAUUUUCAUUAAAAAUUUUUUAGGAAGGUUUUUCAUGCUUGACUAUAGAGUAAUUUGAAUCGUUUUAUUGCACUAUUUAUUCACGUAUAGAGAAAACGAAUUAUGUUGGAGAAUUGUUCUAUGUUUUUACAGUUUAUUUUUGGUUGAGUUGCGUUGGAGAUUGUAGAAUGAUAACUUACGCUUCUAUACUUGAAGAAACGCAGAGCUUCCCCGGACCGAGCUGACCUGAUGAGCUCGGCGUGCUGAUGAGAGGAGCGGGUCUUAAGCCUGCAAAGCAAACAAGAGAGUGGCUUGACAGGGGAGCCCCGAGGUUCUCCCCGAGGGCACUCCGACGGUCAAGUUAGCUUUCCGGUGAGUGUGGUUCACAGGAAGUAAAGCAGUCGGGAGUAAAUUUGCCAAUAGUGAGCGUACUUUGCGUAGUUGGCGUGUGUUACCAUUUAUACCUGUCCGAGAGCCCGACCUCCGUACGUUUCGAAACUUGCCCAGUGUAGCCACAAUCCCGCGCUGAAGAGGAUUCUCCCCGUCUUCUGCGGGAUUGCUUCCCGGAGCCCUAGUGGUGAUGUGCCUUAGGACGGUUGUCAAAGGCCUGGGGUCCAAGCCCAAUCCUGACCGACCUAGGCUGCCACGUGUCUAGGCCCAGGACGGGGCCUCUGCACUAGCCUCCUAGAUUAGGUAGGGCUUCCAGGCAGACCUAAUAUAUACUUCUGCCACGUGGGAGACCAGCGCAGCGCACUACUCUGCCAGGGUCACCUCUAGUACAAUAUUGUCACUGAAAAGCCGCGCCCAUGUCCUUUCAGUUGUCGCGUCUCUUCGGUCUCCGUAUCGCUAUUAAAUGCGGUCACAUGGGGCGGUUCGAAUUCAAGCAACCGUUUUCGCCCCAUUUCACCACCUAUAAAUAGGGACUAUCAGAUUUCAUCCGACUCUAUUUGCCAUUUUCUCUUCCUUAGUACAUUUUCAAUUCCCAGCAACAAGGCUUUCGGCGUCCCGUGCCCAGAUUCCGGCGAUUCCUCCACCCCUUCUUACUCCACUCAUCAGUAAGUCCUAUUUUCCUCUUUCCUUCUCUACCGUCUUCUUCCUUUUGCCAUUUUCUGCUUUUUAUGUCGGAUUAUUCCGGCGUCACUUCCACCGUGUCUCAGACUCCUGUCCGGCGUAGAGCCCCCCAGAUUAUCAUUUCCUCUUCGUCUUCAUCCUCAUCUUCGUCUUCAUCUUCAUCACCCCCUCCUCUUUCUUCUUCUUCUGCUUCUAAUCCCAACCUGCUCGAGCCCAUAGCCAUCAUGAGCUCUCCAUCUUCCCAUUCUCCUUCUGCCCGAAUCCUAGAGGAGGCGGCCGAGCUUGAUGCCUUCAUCGAGCGAGAAGCCAUCUCCAUCCCUUCCCCCCAGUCCUCCCAUGACUCCCCUGGCGGAGCCCAAGGAGGGGCUGGUGAAGAGAGGGACUCCUCCGAGGGGACCCCUCCCUCCAAGCAGGGGGAUGAUCCCGAAUUCGACUUCGGUCGUCCCGACCAGCACGAGGUCACCAUCUCACCCGAGGCUGUGGCCGAGCUGGCCGGGUCCUUCUCCAUUCCUCCGGCCUUCGAGCCAAGGACUGCCAGGCCCAGCGACCGAGCUUGCCGACCACCCCCCGACUUCGUAGCCAUUUAUAAGGAGCAGCUGAUCGCAGGGCUCCGACUUCCCACUCCUCCAGCCCUGGCUGAGAUCCUGAGCUACUGGGGGCUCCGAAUCACCCAGGUCCACCCCAACUCAAUAAGGAUCAUCGUCGGAUUCCUGAUCUACUGCCAGAUCUGCUCCAUUCCUUACUCUCUUUCUCUCUUCCGGGCCUCUUACAUCCUCAAUCUCUCCCUCCCUGGGUGGUACUACUUCUCCCGCCGAGGCGCUAGCCAGGUUCGGGGGGGAAAGGGCGCCCAGGAUCUAAUCUAUGGGGUCCCUUCUUCCGUGAAAAAUUGGAAGGGGAACUUCUUCUUUGUAAAAUCCCUGAGCUUUCCCCCAAACGUGUGGAAGGUCGGGGAGGUCGACUCCGACCCCUAUCCGGAGGAUCUGGACUCCGAGGUUCUCGGGCAAUUGAUGAGCUCCAAGGUGAAACUCUAUGCCGUCAAGUUCUCCGCCGAGCAGAUUUCGGCGGCCGGGCUGAUGGGGACGUUGUCCGGGUCCCCUGGAAAGGUGGUGUACUCCCCUACCGACCGCGACGCCUGUAACGCUAACUCUGUCCCUGUAGUUCGUUGUAUUUACAUAUAUUAUAUUUUCCUUUUCCUACUGACCUGUUUUGGCUGACCUGACGAUGUUUGCCGCAGUGAGGAGGUUUUUCAAGUUGCUAGGCGCGCCUCCCGAGGUGGUUGCCCCCACCCCUCAACCAGAGGCUGCCCCCGGCCCCAGGGGGCAGUUCAGCCCCCCAGAAGGAGGCGUCACACUCCUCCCCCUCCAAACAAGCCGCCAGCAAGAAGAAGACGGCCGGGCAGAAGAAGGGUCGAGGGGACGAGCCCCCCCAACCCGUGAAGAAGCUCGCGCCAGCAUAGCCUCCCCCCCUCCUGUUGACAUCGGGCGGACCGGUCCACUUGGGGGUCGGCUCCGCGGAGGAGCACGCACGGGAGUCGCCGCCCCCCAGCCUGUGUGUAAGUCCCAAAGACAACCAAGAGGGGGGGUGAAUUGGGUUGAUUAAAAUCUUAACCAAAUUUAUGCACUUUUUCUUUAAUAAAAAUUUACCUUCUUUUCUAGUAGUGAUCAACCAAGUAGAUUAGAAGACAAGAGCAAUAUUGAUCAGAAAGACAAGUAUAGAUAAGCAAUGAGAAUUUUAUUAAACAGAAAAGUAAGAUAGGGAAUCAAACCAAGUGUCUACCAAGCUUUCCUCAAACUUGAAGACCAAACACUAGGAGGAGCAACUUCUCUUUGAUGAAAGACAAUCAACUAGAUGUACAAUGGAGGGAGCACUUCUUCCUUGCCCUAAGCCUCACUUAGUCAAGCUAAGAAGUUUUACAAUCACUCAGAAAACCCUCAACAGAGCUACUCUAAAGAUCCUUUCAACCACAAAAGAAAUGCUCACAAGAAAUUCACACCACUUUAAAACAAAUCUAACUUUGGAGACUAUUUUCUAGCUAAAAUAUCUCUUGAGAUCUUGUAAACAAAGUGUGCAAAAGUCCCAACUUCAUUCAGACCAGUUUGAUUUUAAAGGGAACCAGAAAUGGGCUUCAUCAAUGCUUCCAACGGAUAGAAGGCAGCUGAAGAGUCAACUAGCCGUUGGGGCUGUCGGACGUCCGACGAUCAAAUCAUCGUCCGAUCCAAUCGUCCGAAAAACAGCCAAGUUGACGUUCGGACGUCCGAUGCGUCUUGAUCGUCCGACAGCACAGCGUCCGAUCGUAGGCAGAGAGUUGGCAAGUUAUCUUUGAAUUUUUCGGACGUCCGAUCUGGUUGAUAUGCGUCCGAGGUGUGCGUCCGAUCCUUCCGGACGUCCGAUGCUCCCAUAUGAGCGUCCGACAGAGCUUCCUUCCUGAUGUUCUUCAUCCUUUCGGACGUCCGACAGUUUCCUUUCGGCCGUCCGACCUGAUUGUCCUGUUUUUGCUUCUCAUUUUGGUUGUUUUGCAUUUGAUGACAUAUUUGAACUUGAUUCUUGGAUAGACAAAAACACUUGUUUUUGAAGAAGGUUAGAUAAACAUUUCAAGGUACCAAGAAUGACAAACUAGACACACUUAAAAGACAGUAUCUUUGAUCGGAACAAAACAAUGACUAAAUUCAUUUAUAUUAUUUCAAUCUUGUUUGCCACAUCCAAAGCAUCGUAGACUGGAGUCAAUCAGACAUAUGCUUUCCUUGUUCCAUCAGGCCUGAUCAAAGUGUUCACUUUCUUGGUCUGUAUAAAGAAACUUUUGUGAUCAUCAAAACCAAGAAUAACAUUCUCCCCCUUUUUGAUGAUGACAAAACAAAAGUUUGAAAUGAAAUUUGAUGAUUGCAAUGAAAACUCCCCCUUUCAAAAUAGACAAGAACUCCCCCUACCUUAGUGAAUCAUAAAAAUUUUGAAAACCUCCCCCUCACUAGACUGCCCAACCGAGUUUAGACAAUUAUCCAAAAACAUGACAAUUAAGCAACUCACAACCAACAUAUUACCAAUUCAAUCCAUCAGCAAAAUCCAAAUUUAAUUAAACCAUCAAUCAAUUUAACAUAUCCAACAUCAUCAAAUCCUCAUCAAAUCCAACAUAUCAAUCAAUUAGUAUACCAUUUCCAUUCUCCCCCUUUUUGUCAUCACAAAGGGCAACCAAUCACAUCAACACAUCAACAAAUCCACAAAUACAUUCAUCAAUGAAAACCAAAAACAAUUCAUUAUAUUCACACAAUUAGAAUAGACAAACAAACAUCCAUCAAGACAGUACUUAAACAUCCAUCAAAACAGAACUUAAACAUUCAUCAAAACAUACCAAAAGAAACUUAAAAUAUCCAUUACAUUACAUAUUCAUUGUUGAAUGCCACAAACACCUAAAAGAGACAAACAAAAUGCAAAUGUCCUAAAUGAUGAACUAAGUGGAUCCAGGUGUCCUCCGAGAGAGCUGAUAUUGGUCAAGAUCCUCCUCUUCAGUUUCUUCAUCAUCUUCAGCAGCCUCUUCAACUGGUGCCUUGCCUUUAUCUGAUGUAGAGGUGCCAUGAGGAGUCACAGGGGUUGAAGAACCAGGAUCCGGAAUUGAUGAAAUUGGAUCAGUGGGGUGUGACUCUUUGUCAUGGGAAACUUCCUCAACCACAGGUGGAGGAAAAAGAAGAUUCUUUUUGUCAAGAAAGGCAGUUUGUUGCUCAGAAGACAUGGUGAGCAUGAGACCAUGUUCUAGAAGAAGAACAUGCUGUUUGAGUUCUUGAAGAAGCUCAAUUACUUCAUUACUGGAAGAGGAAGAUGCUUUAGCGGCAGACUUUCUAGGGUGAAUGGGAGUGAGUGAAAUGGGUGAAGGAUCAUGUACAGUCUUAGACCUCUGUUCACUAGAUGAUGCCCCCUUAUAUGCCCACAGAUUAUCUUUAAAAACAAGAUUUUUUCUUUCAAAAUAUGCUUUGGUAAAGGCAUAAGAAGAUGCUUCUUUGGGACAAACACCUAGAAUUGGAACUUAGUAAAACUCAAAAAUCUUUUGAAGAAACUUUCCAUAGGAUAGUUUUCUUCGAGAGUCAGUAGCAUAGCGAAGUAAAAACUUGCACAUAACAAAACCAAAAUCAAUACGAAUUUUUUCUCGAAAACAAUAAAAUAGAUACAACUCCAUUUUGUUUGCAUCAGUUCUGUGCCCAUCAGUGGGCACAAGCAGGUUUGAAAUGAUAGAAAAAGCAAUUAAAUUCACAGGGGCCAGAUCAUUCAACUUAGCAUCAGCAGGUGAGGAAAAACUUCUUUUGAAAUAGGUUAACAUUUUUGUCCCAUCAAAAUGAUUUGCAGCAGUAGGAAGCUCUUCAUAGGAAAAGAAAUUAGCAACCUUAUCUUUGCAUAAACGUUCAAUGGUAGUAUUUAAAAUGGAAUUCACAGUAUCAGAAUCAAAGAUUAGGUCUACCCCAUUUACCCUAGACAUGAUCUCAGUUUGGUCAGUUCCUUUCCUAAGAUUGGCAAAAAAUUGAUGCAGCAUAUCAGGAUAGUAGACAUUGGGCAUGGAAAUGAGAUGUGACCAUUUCUGGAAAGCAAAUAGACUCAGAAUGGAUUCUAAACCUAUGGAGCGAAAUUCAGAGGGGUUUACAGUUCUUUGAGGGAUGACACCCUUCUGGGAUAUCCAGGCGUAUUUGUCUUUCGCAGCAUCAUCAAAGAAUGGAGGGAGAGGGACUGAUUUAGGAGGCGGUUGAGAAGAGGUCCCCUGUCCAGAUUCUGGUUGAGAAGUGGGUUGUGGAGUAGGCCGUGACAUUUGACCCUUGAUGGCUCCCCUUUUGAAGCGUUUGGAUGUCCGUUUGACAGUAGGAAGAUCCUCAUCCUCAUCCCUGAGUGGAUGCUUGCGUCCGGCCGUAACUUUUCCUCUCCUUAGAUUCACCAUGGCGCGAAAUGUGUGGAAUGAAGAAUGCAAAUGAUGCACACAGCAGUAGGGAAGUGAAUCGAACAAAAAUUUUGGAACAAAAGACCUUGUACAAGAUUUGACAGAGCGAUUAUGAAAAGGUAGGGUUUUGAGGAAAAUUUGGGAAUGUGCGAAGUGAUAGAUGAUUCUGUGAAAUGAUCAGGAAAAAUGACUCGCAAUUGACUAGGAACUGUUUUGGUUGAGUCAAUUUGGGAAUGGGGGCUUCAGAAAGAUAUGGAUUUGAGAGUGAGAGACAAGAGGGUUUUCGUCCGAGAAGAAAUAAAAUGGGAAGAGUUUGAAGCAAAUGAGGAAGAAAGUUGUUUUAAAAAAAUGAGCCGUUGUACUGUCGGACGGCCGAACGAAGUUGUGCGUCCGACAGUUGCGUCCGAACAGGCGCAAUCUGGAAAAUGGCUGAAGAACAUCAUCGAACGUCCGAAGACCCCAAAAAAAAAUUAAGAUGAUUUUUCGAUUAUUCCUAAUUUUGAUCUUAGAUGAAUGAACUGAUCUAAUGUCAAAGCUUUUGUAAAAAUAUCAGCAAAUUGAUCUUUAGAACAAACAUAAUUUACACAUAUUUCAUCUUUUUGAACAAGAUCACGAAUAAAGUGAUGCUUUAUAUUUAUGUGCUUUGUCCUAGAAUGAUGAAUAGGAUUUUUGGUCAAAUUGAUAGCACUAGUAUUAUCACAGAAUACAGGCAUACAGUCAUACAACAAUCCAAAAUCAUUCAAAGUGUGCUUCAUCCAUAAAAGUUGAGCACAACAUGCACUAGCGGCAAUGUAUUCCGCUUCGGUUGUAGACAAAGAGAUUGCACAUUGUUUCUUGCUAAACCAAGAGACUAAACAAUUUCCAAGAAAAUGACAAGUUCCACUAGUACUCUUUCUAUCCACACGACAACCUCCAAAAUCAGCAUCCGAAUAACCAUAUAGUGCAAACUCAUUAGAUCUAGCAUACCAAAGACCAUAGUCUAAUGUACCUUUCAAAUACCUAAAAAUUCUUUUUACAGCAUUCAAAUGUGAUUCUUUUGGACAAGAUUGAAAUCUAGCACACAAGCAAACAGCAAACAUAAUAUCAGGUCUACUUGCGGUUAAAUAGAGUAGGCUUCCGAUCAUACCUCUAUAAUGCUUUUCAUCCACAUGAUUACCUUCUUCAUCUUUGUCAAGCUUUGUAGAAGUGCACAUUGGAGUUCCAACUUGCUUUGAGUCCUCCAUGCCAAACCUUUUCAGCAAUUCCUUGGUAUAUUUUGUUUGAUUUAUAAAAAUUCCCUCAAGAGCUUGAUGUAUUUGAAGUCCAAGGAAGAAAUUUAAUUCUCCCAUCAUACUCAUUUCAAAUUCACUUUGCAUAGUUGUGGAAAACUCCUUACAUAGAUACUCAUUAGUAGCACCAAAAAUAAUAUCAUCAACAUAUAUUUGCACAAUAAGAAGGUCAUUCAACACUUGCUUAGUAAAAAGUGUGGUGUCCACAACACCCCUUUUGAAACCAUUUUCAAUCAAAAAACUACUUAGUCUUUCAUACCAAGCUCUAGGAGCCUGUUUUAGACCAUAUAAAGCUUUAGAUAGUUUAAACACAUGACUUGGAAAUUUUAUAUUUUCAAAACCGGGGGGUUGAUCCACAUAUACUUCUUGAUCAAUAAAACCAUUUAAAAAAGCACUUUUAACAUCCAUUUGAAAUAAUUUGAAGCCUUUAAAACAAGCAAAAGCAAGAAGCAUUCUAAUAGAUUGUAAUCUUGCUACGGGAGCAAAUGUUUCAUCAAAAUCAAUUCCUUCUUCUUGUGCAUAUCCUUUAGCAACUAAUCUAGCUUUAUUUCUUACAACAACACCUUUAUCAUCCAACUUAUUUCUAAAAAUCCACUUUGUGCCAAUGAUAGGUUGAUUUUGAGGUCUAUCAACAAGUGUCCAAACUUCAUUUCUCUCAAAUUGAUUAAGUUCCUCUUGCAUUGCCAAAAUCCAGUUUUCAUCCUUUAAAGGCAUCAUUGAUAUUUUUGGGUUCAAAAAGAGAAACUAAAGCAAAAUUGUCAAUCAAUUUUCUAGAUGAGGAACGAGUGUUUACCUUCUCGGAUGGAUCACCAAUUAUAAGCUCUUUUGGAUGAUUUUGGCUGAAUUUCCAAGCCUUGGGAAGAUCUUUGAGUGGAUCAUCAUUUUUGUCUUCAUCUUCCUCUUCUUGAUCAUUAUGAACUUCAUUUUCCAUUUCAGUUGCUGCUGGUUUAGAGCUUCCUUCAUUUCCAAUUGAUAGCUUUUCCAUUCCUUCUCGAACACCUACAUCAUCAUCCUCACACGAACUUUUGGAAUUAUCAUCAUUGGUUUCAUCAAAUGUUAUAUGUAUAGCUUCUUCAAUCACAAGAGUCCUUCUAUUAAAAACUCUAUAUCCUCUUUUAUUCUCACAAUACCCCAAAAAUAUUCCUUCAUCAGAUUUUUUAUCAAACUUACCAAGAUGUUCCUUUAGAUUCAAAAUAAAACAUUUACAACCAAAUACUUUGAAAUAACCAACUGUAGGUUUCUUAUCAAACAUCAACUCAUAAGGAGUUUUCUUUAAGAUAGGUCUCAAGAGAAUUCUAUUCAUCACAUAACAUGCAGUGUUUACCGCUUCAGCCCAAAGAUAUUUAGGCAACCUACAUUCAUUUAACAUAGUUCUAGCAGCCUCUUGGAGAGUCCUGUUUUUCCUUUCUACAACACCAUUUUGCUGUGGAGUUCUUGCAAUAGAAAACUCAUGAGUUAUGCCAUUAUGAUCACAAAAUUCUGGAAAACCACAAUACUUGAAUUCUGUUCCAUUAUCACUUCUAAUUCUAACAAUUUUUAAUCCAAGCAGAUUUUGCACUUUAGCAAACAAUGAAGUGAAAUUCUUGAAUGCAUCAUCCUUAUGAGCAAGAAAUAUUACCCAAGUGUAUCUAAAAUAAUCAUCUACAAUCACAAAACAGUAUUUCUUACCACCCAAGCUAGAGAUUUGAGUAGGGCCAAAUAAGUCAAGAUGCAAGAGUUCUAAAGGUUUGGAAGUAGAUACACACUUCUUUGGUUUAAAAGAAACUUUUGUUUGCUUUCCAAAUUGACAUGCAUCACAUAUUUUAUCCUUUUCAAAACUGAUUUUUGGCAAGCCUCUAACUAGCUCCUUUUUCGAAAUUUCCUUUAGUAGAUCCAUGUUAAAAUGACAAAGUCUUCUAUGCCACAACCAAGGAUCUUCAUUUGAAGCUUUAAGACAUUUUAAGCUAGAAGAAUCAAUUUUAUCAAGAACCACAAUAUAUAUAUCGUUGAACCUCUUACCUUUGAACACAACAUUGUAUUUGGAAUCAAGCACAAUGCAUUCAUGCUUUCUAAACAACACAUUCAAGUCUUUAUCACACAAUUGACUAACACUUAGCAAAUUAUAACCUAAGUUAUAAACUAAGAGCACAUUAUGAACAAAAGUUUCACCAUCCUUACCAACAUCACCUAUUCCAAUUGUCUUAGCUUUCACAUCAUCACCAAAUGUCACUUUUCCACUUGAUCUUGAUUUCAGCUUUAUGAACAAAGAGGGAUCACCGGUCAUAUGCCUUGAGCAACCGCUAUCAAUGAACCAUUUGGACUUGGUUGAGCAUUUUUCCUGAAAAGAGAAAGUGUUUGGUACCCAUUUUAAUUUUUGGGUCCAUAAUAGUUAGCAUUGUAUCUAACUAACCACAUGCAGUUCAUCCCUUUGUUCAGAUUUCUUUUCACAUAGCAAUCACUUUUCAAAUGCCCUCUUUGACAACAAAAACCACACAUAAUGGAAGAGUCCUUAACAUGUACUGGUUUGACAUAUCUCAAUCCACCUCUUCUAUAUGUUGUGAAACCACGUGCAUUUUUGUUGUGUGCAAAUGUUCUUUGAAAAGUAGUAGGACGUGUAGAUGACAUGUUCCUUUUGAUAAACUCCUGCUUUCUUGCUUUCAAAGACUCAUCCAAGUUGUCCAUCCUUUUUUUCAAAUCACCAUGUCUUUCCUUCAGCAUUUCACAGAUAUUUGUCUUUCUAUCAAGCUCAUUUUGAACAUUACAUCCGGCUCUUACAAGACUUUCAUUAUCGAUCUUUAGUUGUUUGUUUUGUUGAAAAAGACUUGCAUUUUCUUGAAUGAGAAAAGCCAAUUUCUGUUUUAACUGCUUGUUUUUAUCAUAAGAUUCCUUCAAGGCAUUAUGCAGUUUUUCAACAAAAGAUUCAAGAUCAUCAUCUUCAUCAUCAUCACUUUCAGAUUGAGAGUGUGUGGAAGUUACCUCAUUAUUUCCAAUAGCCAUGAAGGCCAUUUGAGCUGAUUCCUCUUCUUCUUCAACUUCCCUUUCGGAGUUGCAUUCAUUCCAAAUAAUCUGAAAGUUGUUGAAUCUUGGCUUUCGAUCAGCUUUUCCAUCUUUCAUCUUCUUCAUGGGGCAUUCGUUUGCAUAGUGUCCAGGCUGUCCACAUUCGAAGCAUUUGUCCAACUGUUUCUUGUUGAAAUCUUGUUUUCCUUUGUACUUUGCGAUAGAUGGCUGAUUCUGGAAUUGAUUGCUAGGUCCUCCCCUUCUAAACUUUCUUUUAUUCAAGAUUCUCUUGAAGCCUCUGGUGAUGAGAGCAAGAUCAUUAUCAUCACCAUCUGAGUCUUCAUCAUCCAAGUGAGCUGUAUCAUCUUCACCUUGAGUAGUCUUUAGAGCAAUGUUUCUCUUUGCUCUAGCAUCCUCUUCCUCCUGCACUUUAGAUUUCAGUUUCAACUCAUAAGUGGUUAGUGAGUUAAUGAUAGAUUCAAUAGGCACAGAACUUAAAUCCUUAGCCUCCUCUAUUGCAGUCACUUUAUUUUCCCAUUCUUUGCCCAAAGCAUUGAGAAUUUUCCUGUUCUUCUCUCCCAAGGUGUACUCUUUGCCCAACGCCUCGAGAUCUUUGAUCAAGUCAGUGAACCUGCAAUACAUUUUGACAAUAUUCUCAAGAGGUUCAAUUUUAAAUGAUUCAUAUUUCGUGACCAAGAUAGUUUUUUUCUGUUCUUUCACAUUGUCACCACCCUCAUGAAUUUCUCUUAGUUUAUCCCACAUUUCUUUGGCCGAUUUGCAGCCUUUUACUCUAAUUGAUUCAUUAGAAUCUAGGGCACUAUAAAGAACAUUCAUGGCCUUGGCAUUCAAUGUGAGGUUAGUCCUAUCUUGAGCAAUCAUUUCAGCUCUCGUUUUUGGCCGAAGCAACCCUGUAUCUGCAUCAAGAAAGUUAGCUUCAUGCGGUCCUUCACUCACAAUAAACCAUAAUUUAAUAUCAAUAGAUUGCAGAAAGAUAAUCAUUCGUUCUUUCCAGCUAACAUAGUUGGAGCCACUGAACAUGGGAGGCCUAGUAACAGAUUGCCCCUCAACAAACAUAGCAUGACUGGUUGUCAUCUUUACUCCAAGCCGUUAGAGCUCAAUCUCAAGGAGACCUGGCUCUGAUACCAAUUGUAAGUCCCAAAGACAACCAAGAGGGGGGGUGAAUUGGUUGAUUAAAAUCUUAACCAAAUUUAUGCACUUUUUCUUUAAUAAAAAUUUACCUUCUUUUCUAGUAGUGAUCAACCAAGUAGAUUAGAAGACAAGAGCAAUAUUGAUCAGAAAGACAAGUAUAGAUAAGCAAUGAGAAUUUUAUUAAACAGAAAAGUAAGAUAGGGAAUCAAACCAAGUGUCUACCAAGCUUUCCUCAAACUUGAAGACCAAACACUAGGAGGAGCAACUUCUCUUUGAUGAAAGACAAUCAACUAGAUGUACAAUGGAGGGAGCACUUCUUCCUUGCCCUAAGCCUCACUUAGUCAAGCUAAGAAGUUUUACAAUCACUCAGAAAACCCUCAACAGAGCUACUCUAAAGAUCUUUUCAACCACAAAAGAAAUGCUCACAAGAAAUUCACACCAUUUUAAAACAAAUCUAACUUUGGAGACUAUUUUCUAGCUAAAAUAUCUCUUGAGAUCUUGUAAACAAAGUGUGCAAAAGUCCCAACUUCGUUCAGACCAGUUUGAUUUUAAAGGGAACCAGAAAUGGGCUUCAUCAAUGCUUCCAACGGAUAGAAGGCAGCUGAAGAGUCAACUAGCCGUUGGGGCUGUCGGACGUCCGACGAUCAAAUCAUCGUCCGAUCCAAUCGUUCGAAAAACAGCCAAGUUGACGUUCGGACGUCCGAUGCGUCUUGAUCGUCCGACAGCACAGCGUCCGAUCGUAGGCAGAGAGUUGGCAAGUUAUCUUUGAAUUUUUCGGACGUCCGAUCUGGUUGAUAUGCGUCCGAGGUGUGCGUCCGAUCCUUCCGGACGUCCGAUGCUCCCUUAUGAGCGUCCGACAGAGCUUCCUUCCUGAUGUUCUUCAUCCUUUCGGACGUCCGACAGUUUCCUUUCGGCCGUCCGACCUGAUUGUCCUGUUUUUGCUUCUCAUUUUGGUUGUUUUGCAUUUGAUGACAUAUUCGAACCUGAUUCUUGGAUAGACAAAAACACUUGUUUUUUAAGAAGGUUAGAUAAACAUUUCAAGGUGCCAAGAAUGACAAACUAGACACACUUAAAAGACAGUAUCUUUGAUCGGAACAAAACAAUGACUAAAUUCAUUUAUAUUAUUUCAAUCUUGUUUGCCACAUCCAAAGCAUCGUAGACUGGAGUCAAUCAGACAUAUGUUUUCCUUGUUCCAUCAGGCCUGAUCAAAGUGUUCACUUUCUUGGUCUGUAUAAACGAACUUUUGUGAUCAUCAAAACCAAGAAUAACACUGUGGCACUUCCGUCACGUCGCCCCCUGAAGCCGGGUCAGGCCCCCUCCAUGCACGACCCCCGCCGCUUCUCCGAGCUGUCUAUCAACGACCGAGCCCAGUUCUCCGAGGUGGCUCGGGAGUUGGUAACGAGCUCGGUCCUUCCACGCGACCGGAGGUGGAUGGAGCUCGCCGGCCCGUUCGAGCUCCAGGACAUGUAAUUCACCGCCCAACCCCAAGUAAGUGCCUUACCUCUAAGGCCAGCUGUGCCUAUACUUUUUGGUUCAGUCACGCAGUGCGCUAACUUCUUUUUCUUCUACCUCAGGCCAAUGCCGCUGGAGCUGCCCUCGCAACCCGCUUCUUCGAACUGUCUCCCGACCUGGAAAAGUUGCAAAAGAAGAAUCGGGAGACAGAGCAGAGGCUGACCCAAGCCCUUAAGGAGGCAGACUCCCUUAAGGCCAAAUUGGGCAAGGUCGAGAAGGAGUUGGAAUCUGCCCAAGUCCAGCUUGCCUCCACCCGGUCCGAGCUGGACCAGGAGAAGAAGGGCGUGGCCAAGCUGAGGGAGGACCACGCCAUCGAGCUCUCUGGCACCGUCAGCCUGGAGCGCAAGAAGGCUGUUCGGGAGUUCAUCUUUUCCGAACAGUUUGCCUAGGACGUCGCCCUCCUCAACCAGCCCAUCGUCCAGGUCGGCUUCACGUGAGCCCUGGACCAGGUGAAGGGCCUUAACCUCCCUGGCUUCAACUUGGCGGACUUCAAGGACUACAACUCCGCGGCCGAGGAGAAGCUAGUCUGGCUCUUCGACGGGUAUUGCAAGGGGCAUGUCCUGAAGGAGCUGGUAGGGAGGGGUGACAUUGGGGCCGAUCUGGCUGAGGUUCCUUUGGAGGAGGACGCGGCUCCCGACAGAGCUUCCGGGAAGGAGCCAGUGGCUUAGGGGCGUCUGGGUGACCGAGCUGUACUGAAGAGGCGCUGAGCCCUCCAUUUGGGGUAGAGAGAAAACAUAUCUUUCCCCAGUGUGGAGGGUGCGGAUAUCUAGCAUCACCAACUCUCCCAAUAUAUAAAACCUGCUGCCGUGUUUUCCUCAUGUCAGCAGUCAUCUGCAAGGGAGGGGGGUGUCUCCCUAACGACAGCGACCACUCCAGAAACCCUUUCCAUCUUCCUUUUACAGCUCGGUAGGCUUGGUAACAGAUGGGUUGCACUUCCUGAGGGUGGCGACCACUCCAGAAACCCUUUCCAUUUUCCUUGUACAGCUCGGUAGACCUUGUAAUAGAUAGGUUUUAAAUGUAUAUAUGAAAUAGUACUUAAUGAAAAAUUGCCUGAUUCUGACUUUCGAUCCUAACUUGCGUCAAACACUAACGAUCGAAAACUGCAGGCCGACCUCCGGGGUGGAGCACCAAAAUAGGGCGAUCAAAGUCGUAGGCCGACCUCCUGGGUCGAGCACCAAGCGGAGCAAUUCAGGUCCUAUGCCGACCUCUCGGGCCGAGCACCAAGCGGAUCCAUCAAGGCAGCGUGCCGACCUCUCGGGUCGAGCGCUUAUCGAGCCUUAGGUUAACAACCAAAUCGUCGAGGACGACAGAUUAGAAUAUUAACAAACUUUAUUGAAUUAAUCCACGACGGUCCGACCUCAUGGGUCUAACAUCAAACGUCCAAGUUUCAAGCCACGCCGACCUCCUUGGUCGAGCGUCGGGUCUUAGGAUUUCGAAACUUUCCGAUUUUAACAAACUAUAUCGAACUUACUCGCAACGCGCCGACCUCUCGGGUCGAGCAUCAAAUUUUGAAGGCAAUCACGCCGACCUCCUGGGUCGAGUGUCAAGCUCUCCAGUCUUAACAAAUGUAUCAACAUAGUUUAUGACUUGCCGGCCUCCUGGGCCGAACACCAGAAUUUCAAGGAAGUCGUGCCGACCUCCUGGGUCGAGCAUCGAUCGUUCAAACUUUAAGGACUGCUUCACCGACCUCCUGGGUCGAGCAUCGAUCCUCUGAACUUUAAGGAACAAGCUUAGUUUCAUCCCUUACCCGAGCCCCCCACUAGGACACUUAGUAUUGGCUGAAUGUGCUAGUGUAGAAUUGACAGGCAAGCUUUAAAAGGUAAAUAGUAUUGACAGCAAUGAACUUAUAACUUGAAAAUUGAACAUUCAUUGAACAAUAAAUCUGUAUGCGGAUUCCAAAGAACAGACAGUAAGAUACCCUAGCCCCCAUCUAACCUACGAACAGACGCAGAUUGGAGAAGUGCCAAGUGCGGGGUAUUUCCACUCCAUCUAACUUCGCAAGCUUGCAGUAGCCAACUCUGCUGGCUUCGAGGACUUUGUACUGCCCUUCUCAGGCCGGGUCGAACUUGUUUGAACCAUGCGCUCGGCAGACCGAGUUCUUCCUUAAGACAAGGUCUCCCGGACGGUACUGUAUGCUCCUCACCUUUGCGUUGUGAUAGCAGGCGAGCUGGCUUUUAUAUCGAGCCAUCCGUAUUGCAGCUUCCUCGCGCUUUGCCUCCAGUGCGUCCAAGUUAAACCUCAGCUCUUCUUCAUUGGUCGUUGCAACGAAGUUCUGUGUCCGAGGUGAUGGGAGGCCGACCUCUGCUGGUACCACCGCUUCUGCCCCAUAAGUUAGGGAGAACGGAGUCUCGUGGGUGGCCACCCUUGGCGUAGUGCGGUAUGCCCAUAAGACACUAGGGAGUUCCUCUAACCAGUUAGAUUGGGCCAAUUCCAACCUGGUCUUCAGUCCUUGUAGAAUGGUUCGGUUGGCGUUCUCCACCUGGCCGUUUGCCUCGGGGUGACCGACCGAGGUGAAAUGCUGGCUGAUCCCGAGUUCUGCGCACCAGCUCCUAAAGGGGUUUUCGACGAACUGGCGCACAUUAUCGGAUAUCAAGACAUGUGGAAUACCGAAGCGGCAGACUAUGUUCUUCCAGAAGAACUUCUGAAUUGACUUCCCGAAGAUAGUGGUCAGGGGCUCGGCCUCCAUCCAUUUCGUGAAAUAGUCGAUGGCCACUACGAGGUGUUCGUACCUUCCGGGAGUGCGGGAAAAGGGACCCAAAAGGUCUAUCCCCCACUGGGCAAAGGGCCAAGGAUUGUGGAUGGGAACUAUUUCCCGAGUGGGCUGGUGACGUAGUGGUGCGUGCACCUGGCAAACUCGGCAUUUCUGAACUAGGGCCGCGGCAUCCCGAAACACAGACGGCCAAUAGUAGCCAAGGAGCAGGCACUUUUUAGCCAAUACCCGAGAUCCUACAUGCGCCGCACAUAAGCUCUCAUGAAUUUCGCGGAGAACGUAGUCGCCUUCCUCAGGAGUCACUCACUUUAGCCAGGGAGACAGAUACGACCUCCUGUAGAGGGUUCCCCCAGCGGAGGCAUACUUAGCAACUCUGAGAUGGAGUCGGCGAGUUUCGGUUUUAUUAUUAGGGAAAGCACCCGAACUGAGAAAUUCCACGAGGGGAGUCAUCCUGGAGGCCGGGCUGUCAAUAGCCAAGACUUGGACCUGGUCAAUGCUUUUGUGCUUGACUACUUCCACCAAUACUUCCUUGCUCAGGUGAGCGAAAGAGGAGGACGCCAGUUUCGACAGGGCGUCCGCGCGCUUGUUCUGUGAUUUCGGCAGCCGCUCGAUCUCAAUUGUAUCGAACAGGGCUAUCGCCUCCCGUACAUUGGCUAAGUAUUUCUUCAUGACGUCCUCCUUGGCCUCGUACUCCUCGCGAACUUGGAGGACUACGAGCUGAGAGUCGCUUCAGACCUUGAUCGCGCCUAUACCCAUCUGGUGGGCUAUUCGCAAUCCCGUCAACAGGGCGUCAUACUCCGCCUCGUUGUUGGAGGCCGGGAAGUCGAAUCGGAGAGCAUUAGUCAGCUCUUCCCCUGUGGACGAGGUGAGCAGUAGGCCGGCUCCGCUCCCUUCCUUGCUAGACGCCCCGUCCACGAACAGGACCCAUGGCUAUCCCGGCCGUCGUCCCUCAUUGGGCGGGGAGAUCGGCUCAGUUGUGGCCAAGCUGGCCCCCUCAGCAAGGAAGUCUGCCAGGGCCUGGGCUUUGAUAGCGGUGCGAGGCCGAUAGCCGAUGUCGUGUUCGGCCAGCUCGACGGCCCACUUGGUCAUCCUGCCCGAGACCUCAGGCUUGGUGAGUAUCUGUCGCAGGGGCUGAUCAGUCAUGACGACGAUGCCGUGGGUUUGGAAGUAAGGUCGGAGCUUACGUGCCGUAUGUACUAAGGUGAGGACCAACUUUUCUGCUGGUGUGUACCGCGUUUCUGGCCCUUGUAGAGCACGGCUGACGUAAUAUAUUGGCCUCUGAGCCCCCUUGUCCUCCCGCACCAAAACCGCUAACGGCCUCAUUGCAGGCGGACAAUUAUAGGAACAGGGUCUCUCCCUGCUCCGGGUCGGUCAAGGUGGGCAGCUCAGCCAGAUAGGGCUUCAGGUCGGCGAAGGCUGUUUGGCACUCCUCGGUCCAUUGAAAGUCCUUGGACGCUUUCAGGAUUCGGAAGAAAGGUAACCCCCUUCCCGUGAGCCUAUUUAGGGCUGCCAUCCUCCCCGUGAGCCGCUGGACCUCCUUCACAUUCCUCGGGAAAGUCAUGUACAUGAUUGCCUGGAACUUAUCCGGGUUGGCCAGGAUCCUCUCUCGGGACACCAAGAAUUCUAGGAACCUUCCUGACCUAACCCCAAAAGUGCACUUCUUCGGGUUCAGUCGCAUCCCGCUCUCCCAUAGGAUAUCCAAGAUUUCCCUCAGGUCGGGGAUGAGUUGCCGGUCAGUUCGGCUUUUGACGAUCAUGUCGUCCACGUAGACUUCCAUACUCCUGCCGAUCUGAUUCUGGAAUAGUUUAUUGACCAAGCGCUGGUAGGUAACUCCAGCGUUCUUUAGCCCGAACGGCAUGGUCCGGUAGCAGUAGGUUCCUUCCUCCGUAAUGAAGGAGGUCUUCUCCCGGUCUUCUUCGGCCAUCUCUAUCUGGUGGUAUCCCUUGAAGACAUCCAAAAAACAUAAAACGUCAAAACCCACCGUAGAGUCUACUAACCUGUCGAUCCUUGGCAAAGGAAAGCAGUCAUUCGGACAGGCUUUGUUGAGAUCCGUGAAAUCCACGCACAUUCUCCAGGUCUGGUCCUUUUUCUUAACCAGUACCGGAUUGGCUAAGCAGGUCGGGUAGUGUACCUCUAGGAUGAUCUUGGAUUCCAACAGCUUGCCGACCUCCUUCUUGAUCACCUCAUUCCUUUUUGGGGCGAAACUACUCUUCUUCUGCUUCACCGGCUUGAAGCGAGGGUCCACCUUGAGGUGGUGGACGGCCAGGUCAGUUGGGAUCCUAGACAUAUCCUCAACCGUCCACGCGAAAAUCUGGGAGUAUUCCCUUAACAGAGCCUUCAAACCCUCCUUCUCCUCAGAAGGCAGCAGCGCACCGAUGCGGAGGACCUGGUCGGGCCGGUCCUCCCUCAAGGGGAACUCCUCGAUAUCGUCCUGGGUGCCCAGCUGCCGGGCUUCGUUCCCUGGGAUAUAAGGCUCCAAACUGGUCGUUUGGGCGACCACCUUCUCCUGUCCCCGGAGCAAGGCUAGGUAGCAAGUUCUGGCCACUUCUGGAUCCCCGUGCACCUCGGCGAUCCCUCCCGGUGUAGGAAAUUUUACGCUAAGGUGGAGAGAAGAUGGAAUAGCUCGGAGGGCGUUCAAAGAGGGCCGUCCCAAGAACACGUUGUACGGGGACGGCUGUUUGACCACCACGAAAUUGACUGGGAUGGUCCGACACUUGGGCGCCUGCCCUAUCGUGGCCAUCAGGGUGAUCAUCCCCUCCGGGUUGAUGGGCGGUCCGGUGAAGUCCACCAAGGGUAUCCGAACUGGCGUUAACUGCCCAUCCUCCAAGCCGAGCUCCUUGAACACCCAGUAAAACAUAAUGUCAACCGCACUUCCCUGGUCGACGUACACCUUUUUCAGCCGAUAGUUGUUGGUUGCAACAUCUAUCACGAUGGCCCCGUGGUUCCCUGACACUAGGAGAACCGCAUCCCUUGGUCCGAAGGUGAUCUCCUCGUCCAUGCGCAGGAGUUUUAGGGAGUCAUCCCCCUAGGGGGGAGGUCGUUAGUUCUUCCGAGCUGCAGGGCUGUCCUGGGGCUGUCUAUCAACGACCGAACCCAAUUCCCCGAGGUGGCUCGGGAGCUGGUAACGGGCUCGGUCCUUCCACGCGAUCGGAGGUGGAUGGAGCUCGCCGGCCCGUCCGAGCUCCAUGACAUGCACUUUACCGCCCAAACCCAAGUAAGUGCCUUACCCCUGAGGCCAGCUAUGCCUAUACUUUUUGGUUAAGUCAAGCAGUGCGCUAACUCCUUUUUCCUCUACCUCAGGCCAAUGCCGCUGGAGCUGCCCUCGCAACCCGCUUCUCCGAACAGUCUCCCGACCUGGAGAAGUUGCAAAAGAAGAAUCGGGAAACAGAGUAGAGGCUGACCCAAGCCCUUAAGGAGGCGGACUACCUUAAGGCCCAGUUGGGCAAGACCGAGAAGGAGCUGGAAUCGGCCCAAGUCCAGCUUGCCUCCACCCGGUCCGAGUUGGACCAGGAGAAGAAGGGCGUGGCCAAGUUGAGGGAGGACCACGCCAUUGAGCUCUCUGGCACCGUCAGCCUGGAGCGCAAGAAGACUGUUCGGGAGUUCGUCUCUUCCAAACAGUUUGCCGAGGACGUCGCCCUCCUCAACCAGCCCAUCGUCCAGGUCGGCUUCACGUGAGCCCUGGACCAGGUGAAGGGCCUCAACCUCCCUGGUUUCAACUUGGCGGACUUCAAGGACUACAACCCUGCGGCCGAGGAGAAGCUAGACUCGCUCUUCGACGGGUAUUGCAAGGGGCAUGCCCUGAAGGAGUUGGUAGGGAGGGGUGACAUUGGGGCCGAUCUGGCUGAGGUUCCUUUGGAGUAGGACGGGGCUCCCGGCAGAGCUUCCGGGAAGGAGCCAAUGGCUUAGGGGCGUCUGGGUGACCGAGCUGUACUAAAGAGGCGCCGAGCCCUCCAUCUGGGGUAGAGAGAAAGCAUAUCUUUCCCCAGUAUAGAGGGUGCGGAUAUCUAGCAUCACCAACUCUCCCAGUAUAUGAAACCUACUGUCGUGUUUUCCUCAUGUCAGCAGUCAUCUGUAAGGGAGGGGGUGUCUCCCUAACGACGGCGACCACUCCAGAAAUCCUUUCCAUCUUCCUUUUACAGCUCGGUAGGCUUGGUAACAGAUGGGUUGCACUUCCUGAGGGUGGCGACCACUCCAGAAACCCUUUCCAUUUUCCUUUUACAACUCGGUAGACCUUGUAACAGAUAGGUUUUAAGUGUAUAUAUGAAACAGUACUUAAUGAAAAAUUGCCUGAUUCUGACUUUCAAUCCUAGCUUGCGUCAAACACUAACGAUCGAAAAUCGCAGGCCGACCUCCCGGGUCAAGCACCAAAAUAGGGCGAUCAAAGUCGUAGGCCGACCUCCUGGGUCGAGCACCAAGCGGAGCAAUUCAGGUCCUAUGCCGACCUCUCGGGCCGAGCACCAAGCGGAUCCACUAAGGCAGCGUGCCGACCUCUCGGGUCGAGCACUUAUCGAGCCUUAGGUUAACAACCAAAUCGUCGAGGACGACAGAUUAGAAUAUUAACAAACUUUAUUGAAUUAAUCCACGACGGUCCGACCUCAUGGGUCUAACAUCAAACGUCCAAGUUUCAAGCCACGCCGACCUCCUUGGUCGAGCGUCGGGUCUUAGGAUUUCGAAACUUUCCGAUUUUAACAAACUAUAUCGAACUUACUCGCAACGCGCCGACCUCUCGGGUCGAGCAUCAAAUUUUAAAGGCAACCACGCCGACCUCCUGGGUUGAGCGUCAAGCUCUCCAGUUUAACAAACUGUAUCAACAUAGUUUAUGAUUUGCCGGCCUCCUGGGCCGAACACCAGAAUUUCAAGGAAGCCGAUCUCCUGGGUCGAGCAUCGAUCCUUUGAACUUGCGAGCAUCAAAUUUUGAAGGCAAUCACGCCGACCUCCUGGGUCGAGCAUCGAUCGUUCAAACUUUAAGGACUGCUUCGCCGACCUCCUGGGUCGAGCAUCGAUCCUCUGAACUUUAAGGAACAAGCUUAGUUUCAUCCCUUACCCGAGGCCCCACUAGGACACUUAGCAUUGGCUGAGUGUGCUAGUGUAGAAUUGACAGGCAAGCUUUAAAAGGUAAAUAGUAUUGACAGCAAUGAACUUAUAACUUGAAAAUUGAACAUUCAUUGAACAAUAAAUCUGUAUGCGGAUUCCAAAGAACAGACAGUAAGAUACCCUAGCCCCCAUCUAACCUACGAACAGACGCAGGUUGGAGAAGUGCCAAGUGCGGGGUAUUUUUAUUCCAUCUAACUUCGCAAGCUUGCAGUAGCCAGCUCUGCUGGUUUCGAGGACUUUGUACGGCCCUUCCCAGACCGGGUCGAGCUUGUUUGAACCAAUCGCUCGGCUGACCGAGUUCUUCCUUAAGACAAGGUCUCCCGAACGGUACUGUAUGCUCCUCACCUUUGCGUUGUGAUAGCGGGCGAGCUGGCUUUUAUAUCGAGCCAUCCGUAUUGCGGCUUCCUCGCGCUUUGUCUCCAGUGCAUCCAAGUUAAACCUCAGCUCUUUUUCAUUGGUCGUUGUAACGAAGUUCUGUGUCCGAGGUGAUGGGAGGCCGACCUCUGCUGGUACCACCGCUUCUGCCCCAUAAGUUAGGGAGAACGGAGUCUCGUGGGUGGCCGCCCUUGGCGUAGUGCGGUAAGCCCAGAGGACACUAGGGAGUUCCUCUAGCCAGUUAGAUUGGGCCAGUUCCAACCCGGUCUUCAGUCCUUGUAGAAUGGUUCGGUUGGCGUUCUCCACCUGGCCAUUUGCCUGGGGGUAACCGACCGAGGUGAAAUACUGGUUGAUCCCGAGUUUUGCGCACCAGCUCCUAAAGGGGUUUUCGGCGAACUGGCGCCCAUUAUCGGAUAUCAAGACAUGUGAAAUACCGAAGCGGCAGACUAUGUUCUUCCAGAAGAACUUCUGAACUGACUUCCCGAAGAUAGUGGUCAGUGGCUCGGCCUCCAUCCACUUAGUGAAAUAGUCGAUGGCCACUACGAGGUGUUCGUACCUUCCGGGAGCGGGGGAAAAGGGACCCAAAAGGUCUAUCCCCCACUGGGCAAAGGGCCAAGGACUGUGGAUGGGAACCAUUUCCCGAGUGGGCUGGUGACGCAGCGGUGCGUGCACCUGGCAAACUCGACAUUUCUGAACUAGGGCCGCGGCAUCCCGAAACACAGACGGUCAAUAGUAGCCAAGGAAUAGGCACUUUUUAGCCAACACCCGGGAUCCUACAUGCGCCGCACAUAAGCUCUCAUGAAUUUCGCGGAGGACGUAGUCGCCUUUCUCAGGAGUCACGCACUUUAGCCCGGGAGACAAAUACGACCUCCUGUAGAGGGUCCCCCCAGCGUAGGCAUACUUAGCAACUCUGAGUUGGAGUCGGCGAGUUUCGAUUUUAUUAUUAGGGAAAGCACCAGAGCUGAGAAAUUCCAUGAAGGGAGUCAUCCAGGAGGCCGGGCUGUCAAUAGCCAAGACUUGGACCUGGUCAAUGCUUUUGUGCUUGACUACUUCCACCAACACUUCCUUGCUCAGGUGAGCGAAAGAGGAGGACGCCAGUUUCAACAGAGCGUCCGCGCGCUUGUUCUGUGAUUUCGGCAGCCGCUCGAUCUCAAAUGUAUCGAACAGGGCUAUCGCCUCCCGUACAUUGGCUAAGUAUUUAUUCAUGACGUCCUCCUUGGCCUCGUACUCCUCGCGAACUUGGAGGACUACGAGCUGAGAGUCGCUUCGGACCUUGAUCGCGGCUAUACCCAUCUGGUGGGCUAUUCGCAAUCCCGUCAACAGGGCCUCAUAUUCCGCCUCGUUGUUGGAGGCCGGAAAGUCGAAUCGGAGAGCAUAGUUCAGCUCUUCCCCUGUGGGCGAGGUGAGCAGUAGGCCGGCUCCGCUUCCUUCCUUGCUAGACGCCCCGUCCACGAACAGGACCCACGGCUCUCCCGGCCGUGCCUCAUUGGGCGGGGAGAUCGGCUCAGUUGUGGCCAAGCUGGCCCCCUCAGCAAAGAAGUCUGCCAGGGCCUGGACUUUGAUAGCGGUCCGAGGCCGAUAGCAGAUGUCGUGUUCGGCCAGCUCGACGUCCCAAUUGGUCAUCCUGCCCGAGACCUCAGGCUUGGUGAGUAUCUGUCGCAGGGGCUGAUCAGUCAUGACGACGAUGCCGUGGGUUUGGAAGUAAGGUCGGAGCUUACGUGCUGCAUGUACCAAGGCGAGGACCAACUUUUCUGCUGGUGUGUACUACGUUUCUGGCCCUUGUAGAGCACGGCUGACGUAAUAUAUUGGCCUCUGAGCUCCCCUGUCCUCCCGCACCAAAACCGCGUUAACGGCCUCAUUGCAGGCGGACAAGUAUAGGAACAGGGUCUCUCCCUGCUCCGGGGCGAUCAAGGUGGGCAACUCAGCCAGAUAGGCUUUCAGGUCGGCGAAAGCUGUUUGGCACUCCUCGAUCCAUUGAAAGUCCUUGGAUGCUUUCAGGAUUCGGAAGAAAGGUAACCCCCUCCCCGUGAGCCUAUUUAGGGCUGCCAUCCUCCCCGUGAGCCGCUGGACCUCCUUCACAUUCCUCGGGGAAGCCAUGUCCAUGAUUGCCUGGAGCUUAUUCGGGUUGGCCCGGAUCCACUCUCGGGACACCAAGAAUUCUAGGAACCUUCCUGACCUAACCCCAAAGGUGCACUUCUUCGGGUUCAGUCGCAUCCGGCUCUCCCAUAGGAUGUCCAAGAUUUCCCUCAAGUCGGGGAUGAGUUGCCGGUCAGUUCGGCUUUUGACGAUCAUGUCGCCCACGUAGACUUCAAUGCUCCUGCCGAUCUGAUUCUGGAAUAGUUUAUUGACCAAGCGCUGGUAGGUAACUCCAGCGUUCUUUAGCCCGAAUGACAUGGUCCGGUAGCAGUAGAUUCCUUCCUUCGUAAUGAAGGAGGUCUUCUCCCGGUCUUUUUCGACCAUCUCUAUCUGGUGGUAUCCCUUGAAUGCAUCCAGAAAACACAAAACGUCAAAACCCACCGUAGAGUCUACUAACCUGUCGAUCCUUGGCAAAGGAAAGCAGUCCUUCGUGCAGGCUUUGUUGAGAUCCGUGAAAUCCACGCACAUUCUCCAGGUCUGAUCCUUUUUCUUAACCAGUACCGGAUUGGCUAACCAGGUCGGGUAGUGUACCUCUAGGAUGAUCUUGGAUUCAAACAGCUUGCCGACCUCCUUCUUGAUCACCUCAUUCCUUUUUGGGGUGAAACUCCUCUUCUUCUGCUUCACCGGCUUGAAGCGAGGGUCCACCUUGAGGUGGUGGACGGCCAGGUCGGUUGGGAUCCCAAGCAUAUCCUCAACCGUCCACGCGAAAAUCUGGGAGUAUUCCCUUAACAGGGCCUUCAAACCCUCCUUCUCCUCAGAAGGCAGCAGCGCACCGAUGCGGAGGACCUAGUCGGGCCGGUCCUGCCUCAAGGGGAACUCCUCGAUAUCGUUCUGGGUGCCCAACUGCCGUGCUUCGUCCCCCGGGAUGUAAGGCUCCAAACUGGUCGUUUGGGAGACCACCUUCUCCUGUUCCCGGAGUAAGGUUAGGUAGUAAGUUCUGGCCACUUCUGGAUCCCCAUGCACCUCAGCGAUCCCUCCCGGUGUGAAAAAUUUUACGCUAAAGUGGAGAGAAGAGGGAAUAACUCGGAGGGCGUUCAAAGAGGGCCGCCCCAAGAACACGUUGUACGGGGACGGCUGUUUGACCACCACGAAAUUGACUGGGAUGGUCCGACACUUGGGCGCCUGCCCUAUCGUGGCCAUCAGGGUGAUCAUCCCCUCCGGGUUGAUGGGCGGUCCGGUGAAGUCCACCAAGGGUAUCCGAACUGGCGUUAACUGCCCAUCCUCCAAGCCGAGCUCCUUGAACACCCGGUAGAACAUAAUGUCAACCGCACUUCCCUGGUCGAGGUACACCUUCUUCACCCGAUAGUUGUUGGUUGCAACAUCUAUCACGAUGGCCGCGUGGUUCCCUGACGCUAGGAGAACCGCGUCCCUUGGUCCGAAGGUGAUCUCCUCGUCCAUGCGCAGGCGUUUUAGGGAGUCAUCCCCCUAGGGGAGAGGUCAUUUGUUCUUCCGAGCUGCAUGGCUAUCCCCCCCGUGGGACCCCCAACAAUGGUGUUUAUCACCCCUGCUAAGUUCUGGGUGUCCAGGUCGAGGUAGUUGUCCCGAGGAACGUCGCGAUCGCGCUCAGGGCGGUCGCGACGCUGGCCCUCGCCCCUAUCCCCGCGGUAGAUGCGUCCUAACUCCCGACCUGGUCGACCUUGCUGCACGAAUCGUCCCAAGAAGCCGCGCUGGAUCAGAUCCUCAAUCUCCCUCCGCAGGGCCCAGCACCCCUCCAUAUCAUGCCCAACAUCACGGUGGAAGGCACAGUAUCGGUCUUGGUUCCUUUUGUUCCGGGGUGUCCCCAUCUUAGGCGGCCGUCCUCCUAGGCCCUCCACCUCCAUAACGGCCAGGAUUUGGGCCCUGGACCGAGUCAGGGGGGUGUAUCCCUUAUCCGGAAGUGGCGGUUGUGCGGGAGCUUUCUCCUUGGAGAGACGGUAAAAAACGUUCUUCUUGGUCGGACCAUCCUUGCUUUCGGGGAGGUGCCCCCGUCCCCUCCGAUCUCCGAGCUCCCGAUCCGACUCCUUCUUCAGACGAGCAGCCUCCUCUCCUUUAGCGGCUGCGUGCGCCCUGGUCAGGAGCUCCUCCAGGUCUUCAGGGGAUUUCUCGGCUAACUUGUAGAAGAGUUCCUCCACCCUGAGUCCGUUCAUGAAAGCGGCCAUCACCACCUUUUCAUCCUUGUCUCAGAUUUGCAGGCUUUCCGUGUUGAAGCGGGACAUAAAAUUCCUCAGUGACUCAUCCGGCUUCUGCCUGAUUGACAUCAGGUAAGUCGCAUUCUUCGAAUAGAUCUUCGAAGAGAUGAAUUGGGCGACGAACUGCCUGACCAGUUCGGGGAAAUUUCGGAUAGACCCCGGUGCCAGACCCUGGAACCAGAGCCGGGCCCUUCCCUUCAGAAACAUGGGGAAGGUCUUGCAACGGAUCGCGUCCGCGGCUGUUUGCAGACGUAUGUGCAUCAGAAAGACCGAGAGGUGGUCUUCCGGGUCGGUAGAAGCGUCGUAAAACUCGAUGUUCGGGAUUUUGAACCUCCGGGGUAGUGGGUGAUCCUCUAUCUCCCGGGUAAAGGGCGAUGUGGUAUAGUUGUCCUCAUACAACUGCGGCCACAAGAUAUGCUCGAACUCGUCUCGAACCGGCUUCCACGGGGCAGGUUACGAGGCCGGCUCUUAACAGAUCGGUCAGGGGAGCGUUCAAGCCCGUUUCGCGCGGGCUUCCGCGGUGAGAGGUCUCUUGGUCGGUUCCCAGCGGACCGGUCGCGGGAGCACCUCUCGCUAUCCCCGACCACCGAAACUCGGGGUCGAGUGGGAGUCCGUGGCCGUUUCCUCCUGGGGGGCUGGUCCCGUGACUCAUCCUCCGAGGGGUCGGAAGGUGAUUCCUUCUCCUUCCCCUUCGCCUUGGAGGUCUGGGCACCUCCGGCUUCGCUCCCUUCCUUCGCCUGCCGGAUUAUGUCUUCCAGCAUGAGGAGGUUCUCCGUCACGAACUGGAGAAUCUGCUGUCUCCGUUCUCCUGAGAGGUCUGAGCCCCCGGCGUCAUGAGCCGCCUCUGUCUCCUUUCUCCGGGACCCCUCGCCGGCUCCAGGAUCGGUGGUCUCCAUGGUUCGCUUAGAACGCGUCCUUGCCAUCAACACAAUUGCACUAACCUUUCGUUCCCACAGACGGCGCCAAUUGAAGAAGCGCAGAGCUUCCCCAGACCGAACUGACCUGAUGAGCUCGGCGUGCUGAUGAGAGGAGCGGGUCCCAAGCCUGCAAAGCAAACAAGUGAGUGGCCUGACAGGGGAGCCCCGAGGUUGUCCCCGAGGGCACUCCGACGGUCAAGUUAACUUUCCGGUGAGUGUGGUUCACGGGAAAUAAAGCAGUCGGGAGUAAAUUUACCAAUGGUGAGCGUACCUUGCGUAGUUGGCGUGUGUUACCAUUUAUACCUGUCCGAGAACCCGACCUCCGUACGUUUCGGAACUUGCCCAGUGUAGCCACAAUCCCGCGCUGAAGAGGAUUCUCCCCGCCUUCUGCGGGAUUGCUUCCCGGAGCCCUUCGGAGCUCUAGUGGCGGUGUGCCUCAGGACGGUUGUCAAAGGCCUGGGGUCCAACCCCAGUCCUGACCGACCUGGGCUGCCACGUGUCUAGGCCCAGGACGGGACCUCUGUAAUACCAAAAAAUCAUCAAGAGAAACUUGAUGCUGUCCAUGGUCAAACAUCUACCCAGCUGCAUGUGGAAGGAACGUUUGACGAAGUUUCGGUGGCUGUUGCUAACUCGCAUGAAGAUCCUCAGCCCACUGUUGGGUUGGUCAAUGCUGUCUCUGAUGAUAAAUCUGUCCAGGUGACAGAAGGAGGAAAGCUUGUUGUAGUUCUCUCCGCUGCCGCUAAUUCACAAGAAGAUCCUAAGGCCACUAAUGGGUUGGCCAACUCUGUUGGAACUAGGGAAAUAGAACAGACUUCUGUGGAAGCAUGCGAAGACAGUGGAUGCGUCAACACGUUGCCGCAGUCACCUGUUGUGAGUAGGACUGCUGUGCGUUCUUCAUCCUUGGAGUGUAAGGGGGAUGGUGAGUUGCCAAUUUGUGCUGAAAAUCUGUCCACACAAAUGGCCAAUCUACCUGAAAGGCAAGAUCAUACGUUGAUGGCCCUUAAUAUUGACCAAGCCGUGGAGGUGGAGGAGGAGUUUGUGCGGUUGAAAAAAAGUAUGCGUACUAAAUUCCCUUCAGAUAGACAAAUUCGCUCUGCAACAUCUUCUCAAAAUAUAUUUAAAGGUUUGGAUCAUGAUUAAUGCCAUGUUCUAAAAUAUUAGAGGAGUCUCGAAAGCUCCAAAUUUUAGAAGAUUGCGUAGAUUAAUUCGUUUGCAUAGAAUUCAGUUCCUUGUCAUUUGUGAACCUAAACUAGAUAUUUCCAAGGUUCAAAAUCUUAGGUUGCAAAUUGCUUUUGAUUAUGUGUUGGUCAAUAGCUCCGCUGAUUUAUGGAUUUUUUAUAAAUCGCCGUUUGCUUGUUCGUUAAUUGGGUUCUCUGACCAACAUAUUACGUUAGAUGUACACCAUCCAUUUUUGCCUUGCCCUUUAGUGAUUUCUUGGGUCCAUGCGGGAUGCUCUUUGGGGGCUCGUAAGGAAUUAUGGAGACAGUUGUUAGGUAACAAGCCUCAGAUUCGGCCAUGGUGUAUCGCCGGGGAUUUCAACGUCAUCAUAGUGUCGUCCGAAAAGCGAGGGGGCGUCCUUUCAUGGCUGUUGAAGGAGUGGAUUAUAUGACAUUCAUGGAAGAAGCCAAAGUUUUGAUGCAGGAUUUUCGGGUUCCUCCUUUACUUGGUGUAACAACAAGCGAGGAAGAGCUCGGAUAUGGAAACGACUAGAUCGUUUUCUAGUCAAUGGUGAAUUUUUAGAUCUAUCAACUUCCACAUCGGUUGUCCAUUUGGCUAGACAUCCGUCUGAUCAUGCACCUCUGAAAAUCAAAUUUGCCCCUCGCCAUGAUACUAAACCACGUCCUUUUCGAUUCUUGAAGUUUGGACGAGAAAAUCCUCAUUGUUGGAAACAAUCCAUUGUUGGAAACAAUCCACAAUGCAUGGGACACGCCCAUCAAUGGUUCCCCUUGGCGGGUGUUAUGUGUCAAACUCCUAGCCACGCGAAGAGCUAUCUAGCAAUGGAAUAAAUCCUCCUUUGGGGAUAUUUUUGAGUCUGUUAAAGGCGCAGAGUUUCAAAUGGCACAGGCAGAAUUGCAGGCAGAGAGUGAUGACUCGGACGGGGCUCAGAUUGAGCUACAAAGGGUUCAGGCAGAGUAUCGGCAUGCGCUGGCUAUAGAGGAGAAAUUUUGGAGGCAAAAAACUUGACGAGUUUUUAAUAUACGUACAAGUUAAAAAAAUCCGAUUUACACCCGUUUCACUGCAAGUAUACAGGUCAACUAGUAGUUUAAGGUAUAUAUCUGGUUAAUCCCACGAGAAAAAUUGAACAAUUACCGGCACUACUGAAGCUUCUCUAUUAUUUAGACUAUCAAUGAAUUAUAACAAGUUCAACCUACUAAACUUAUACAAAAUAACAAAUGAAAGUUGCUUAGGUUAUGGUAUCCCUAACUACUCAUGCAAGUGAUAUAUUUGGAUCAUUGAAUACUACAAUCUAAGUUAGUUAUGGUGUAAUUUCCUUAUGCAUUUGAAUCCUACUUUCGUAGUGAAUCAAUUAUACUCAUAACUAAUCCAUACCUAUUCUCAUGGUUAUGAAAUUAGUUACAAGUUCAUUUCUUCAAUGAAAUGACAUGAAAUUAAUCACCAAAAUCACAUAGGUAUACCUCUACUCUCGUGAGUGUACUUCCUAUGUUUAGCACUUCUUGAACUAGUGUUGCAGAAAUAACACCUUAGAUAAUCACAAUCAAUGGUACCAGAUUAAUCAUGAUUUAAAGAGUUAAAGUGCUAACUAACUUGCUCAAAUAAUAGCAAUCAAAUAGCCAAAUAAUAAACACUAACAAUCAUAGGAAGUUCAACCAAACCCAAGGCAUAAACUUUAGAAACACAUAAUAACAUAUAAAUCCAGAACUUGCAUAUUAACUAAACUAGGAAUCAAGUACAAAAGAUAAAAAGUUGGAAAGGAAUGUAACCCUUGUCACAUGAGUUCAUCUCCUUGCUUUCUUCAUCCUCCAACCUCUUCUUCAUCUAGCUAAUAAACAGGAAGGAUAAACUAACUAGCUAAACUAUUCUACACUAAGGAAAUGGAAGAACUACAUAUUUGCACUCUUCAAGCUUCUCCCGUAUGAUAAUGUCAGACCUCCCCAAAUGUCUCUGCAUAAAAACUAGUCCAAAACUCUUUUUUCUUGGUCAAAUUUUCCACCCUUUGAUUCCCAAAUCUGAAAUUUGUUAAGAUAGUCAAUAACCAAUUUUUUGGACUUGAAAAUAAGCCACCUUUCUUGCCCUUUUGUCUUCUGAAGUAUGUGCACCGAAUUCCCUUGCAACUUAUAGCUGGAAAGUAGUCUGAACAUAAGAGAAAUGGUUGAACAAAUUGCAGAUUUUUCAGCUACAAAACGCGCCUAAACAAAACGCGGCAUCAACCCACAUUUUGUCAACUCGCGUUUUCAACUCUGUGUUUUUGGCCUCGUUUCAACUGUUAUUUUCUCUAUGAUGAAGGCCGAACUAGCUUUUGUGCAAAAUACAAAAGUUGUAGCCUUUUGAGUACCUUUCCAAUACUUCAAGAAUUAUCCAAAUUUGAGCUUUUUAGCCUAAGAUAUGAUCGAAAUACUAUCACCUGGUCAAACCCUAUUUCAAUUUUUGACCAUAGAAUGCAGCUUCUGCAUUUCGACUUUUUGUCCAUGAAAUCAGUAGAAUUGGAUUUCGAUGUCUUCAUACCAAUUCUAGGUCUCUUUAUUAACUUUAAAAUGGUAUAAAGAUCACCUCAAUCCGAUAAGUGUAACUCCAGAUAUAGUCAAAAUACCGAAAAGUGCCAAAACUGUCUUGAACUGCAUUUCUUCAAUUAAACGUUUUUUACUUCAUUUAUUUUUAACCACUUGAAUUCAUCACCAAUUAUCUAAUUUUCACCUCAUUUGACAUCCUUUGGUGAUUGAAUCAUUAAUCCUGCAUGAAAAUGAAGUUUUUACCAUUAAAAUCAAUAUAAAUGCAAUGUUAGCCACGUUAACAUAACAUGUAGAUUUUUACCAAAAUCUUAGUUAUUUUAGUUAUAAAACUAAAUAAUCAAACCAAAAUUAACUAAUAAAAUGCACUUAAAAUACGUAAAAUAAACCUUUAUCAAAUACCCCCAUAUUUGAACCAUUGCUUAUCCUCAAACAAUAACAAAUACCAACCAACAAUGAUCCAAAGAUUGAAAAUAAAUAUAUGUGCACAAUCAAUUUCAUUUCCUCAAAAACAAGGUAAACAACUAUUAUGUAAUCAUUCCAUUAAUCUCAAGUACUCAUAAUAUCAAGUAAAGGGAAUCCAAUUAUACUGCCAUUAUAACACAUUCACGUCUAUUUCUCAUCAUUUCCCAAUUUUACGAGCAAGUAACUCAUAUGGUCAAUAAUAAUGCUUCCUAAAGUCAUGAUUAUCUUUUUAUUUAAUUCAAAGAGGGAUUUAUUUAUAUAAUAUAGCUAAAUAUUACUGAAGAUGUGAGAAUACCUUUUGACGCGAGGAUCGACAUUUUUAGAUGAAAAUCACUGGUUACUCAACACUUCACAUACUCAAGUUGUCUUGUCUACUCUUAAUUCAAAUACCGUUUUAUACGAAAGUCAACAUUUGUAGAUGAAGACUCCCAGUUACUAAGUACAAGAAUCAUUAGAGUAGAAUAACUCUUAUUCAUUUUUUUUUCUUUUUUUCCCUUUUUUUCUUUUUUCUUUUUUUUUUAUUUUUUUUCAAAGUAAAAAUAAUAAACAUUCCCUCAAAAGCAUAAUCAUGAAAAGAGUAUCGCAAUUAUUGACCAUAUUUAUCACUUAACUAUGUAAAAUCAAGUAAAAAGAAGAAAUUUCAUCAAAUUUGUAAAAUAUAGGCAUAAUUUUCUCCACUUUAAAAGAUAUACUUUUCUAUAAAUACACAAAUUAUAAUCACAUAAUAGUCAUUUCUAAGUUAAAUGAGAAAAGAAGUUUCCAAAUCACAUAUAUUUAUCUCAAGUGUAGAAGGAAUUUGAACUAUUAAUGGUAUAGAACUUUGUUGCCCCUUGGAUAAAAUUGAAAAAAUUUGAAACUUUUUGGGGCAAAAUUGUAAUUUUGGGACCAACAAGUCAAUCACAUAUAAUGCAUAUAAUCUCAAUUCUCUCCCCACAUUUAACAUGCACAUUGUCCUCAAUGUGUAAAAAGGGAAACCAAGAUAAAGAAAAUAAUACUCCCCUAUUGUUGCGAUUGAAUAUGAAGUUUCAAGAUCCGUUAUCCGUGUAUCUUUAAUGCUUUAUGAAUUCCAUUGGAUAACCAUUAGUUAUAUAAACCUAAAAAUGAGAAAUAAAGGUGAUAACAAAGACAUUAAUAAACAUAUAACGGCGAUCCGUAAUUCCUAAGCCUUUGUGGUGGUGAUGUACCUAUGGAAAAUACAUAAUAAGCAACUCAAGGUACAAGAAAAUAUAUGAGGAAAAGAAGAAGAAUAAAGAAUGAAUUAGGUCUCACGUUUUUAGCAUUCGAAAAAAAGGGAAAAACGUGACUUGACAAAACGUGCCUUCGAGCCACGUUUUGUGUGAGGCACGUUUUCUUCCUUCUGGGCAUAACUGAAACGUGGCUCGUGUAAAAUGUGGCUGAUGGAGCGUUUUCAAAACGUUGCUUGAUGGAGCGUUUUCAAGUCACGUUUUCUGUACAAAAGAUGCAUAAUUGAAAACAUGGCUGGUGUAAAAUGUGGCUGAUGGAGCGUUUUCAAAACGUGGCGUUUUCAAGCAUUUUCAUCCACGUUUUCUAUACAAAAUUUGCAGAAUUGAAAACGUGGCUUGAUGGAGCGUUUUCAUCCACGUUUUCUGUUGUAAAUUUUUGCAAAAAUGGCAACUUUAAAAAAUUACACAUGUUACCCCAAAUACUCAAAAUGCAUUCUAGAUCAUUCUUUUGCCAAAAUUAUCAAUGCACGCAUAUAUAAUAAGAUCAAAAUAUGCAUUUUACCUCCUUUUAACGGAUCAAAAACACUUUUAACACAAAUCGAGGGGUUGAGUUCCUUGAUCAAAUUUCGUCUUUUUCAUCUCAUUUGGUCACUUUUGCUUUCAUUUUCAAUACCUACAAAUAAAAAAUAACAAAAUAACUCAAACAUAUAAUUUAAACAUAAAAUCACACCAAAAUAACAUAAGGUACUAAAACAUUGGGUUGCCUCCCAACAAGCGUUUUUGUUUAUAGUCGUUGGCUCGACUAUUGAACCUCAUUUUUCAAGGAGGCUUGGUUAAAGAAUAAUCCACUAUUUUAAGUCGUGGUGGAUCAGUAAAUGGUGACUUUAUAGUAAAAGUCACAUGUUCUAAUGAUAUGAGGGAUGAAAAUGACUUACCUAUUCCAAGCAUUUCAUAAAUAUUACAUUGAAUAUGCACCACUUGAGAACUCACCAAAGGAAAUGCCAUGAGAGUAUCUUGGGCAGCAAUACCCUUAGAACCUAUACCUUCAAUACACUCCUCAAGAGGGGUGAAAAAUGAGUCAUUAAAACUGACCUCUUGAGGUUCAAAGUUAGUCCUAAAGAUAUUAUCAUGUGAAAUCGAUAUUUGCUCAUUAAAACACAAUUGAGUUUCAUCAUUUUCAUCCAAAAGCAAUCCAUUUUCACAUACAAUAUUCCCACUGUUCAUGCUAGGGUCAUUUUGCAAAUCAUUAGAAGAAAUAACUUCACACAAUGCAUGCAAUUGCUUUUGUAUUUUACCAAAGUGAGAAGUUAAUUCAUCUAUUCUUUCCUUAACCCCAUCAAAACGGUCAGAAGUUGCAUUAGCUAAUUUUUCUAAAACUAACGCCCAAGUUGGCUUAGGAUCAUUAAUUACUUUUUCUAUUGCCAACUCCCAAGAUGAUUUUGAUUCAUAUUGGACACUUUCGAAUUGGAAAUCAUAAGAACAUGAAGAAGCAUUAUAUGCACAUUAAUUAUCCCAACCAUAAACAUAUGAAUUACUCCAAUUAUAUCUAUAUUGAUCAAAAUAACAAUUGCAAUGCCUAAAUUCAUCAAAAUAGUCCACAUUUUGUGCUUGCUUACAUAUAUUAAGUCCCGAUGCAACCAAAUAUAAUCAAAAUACUCAACCAGACAAGUAGUCAAGUAAAUACAAUGACAAAGAAUAUAAGCAAUUUUAAAGCACAAAAAUAGAGUAACAAUAAAGUAAAAGAAAUUCAAACCAAUCAAACUCCCAAGCUUCUUCCAAACUUGGAGUUGAAUCCACCAAAUAGUUUCUUCAAUAGAUGGUAGUGCUAACCAACUUAUACAAGUGAAGGCUCACUCCUUCCUCACCCCAAACAUACUUUGGUUGAGCAAAGGAAUUUUACUACUCUCCAAGUAAACCCUCAACUAGCUACAAUUGAAAGUUUACCCAUUCAAUUAAGAACUACUUUAUACAAGUGAGGCAACCUUUAUCAAGGUUUUACCACUCCAAGUGAUAGGUUCACCUUCACCAAGGUUUUACUCCUCCUAGAGAGUAACCUUCACUUGAUCAAUCUCACAACCCAACUUUCUCAACCCCUUAUACAACCAACAAAGAAUAUUUCUACUCAAAGAUCUCACUUGUAAGCUUGUAUUUAGUGUUGGCCAAAAGUCCGUGUCUUCUUGUGCUUUGGGGUAUUUAUAGAAGGUGAGAAAUGUUCCAAAAGGCUCUCCAACGGUCAAAUAUUAAAUGCUGUCGAAACUAGCCGUUGGCCUGUCGGACGUCCGAACCAUGCGUCCGAACCACCUAUCGGACGUCUGAAUCAUUUGUUCUGCGUCCGAACCCUGCGUCCGAUAGAAAUUAGAAUGUUCAACGUUCAUUCUUUUUGUGUCGGACGGCCGAAGCAAUGAAUGAGCGUCCGAUCCAAGCGUCCAAAGAGUAUCGUCGUCAGUCGGACGACCGAUCCUCUAUCGAGCGUCCGAUCCUCUACGUCCGAACCUUCAUAUUUCUUAACUUCUCUAUGAUUCAAAUCUUUUCGAUUCUCUUUUGGAUCAAUGACCUGUUCUAACAAAUUUCUCACAUAAAAACAUUAGUCCAAAUCUACAUUUUGAUUUGUUAAUCAUCAAAACCAAUGACUGAUCAACCAAGGUCAACAAUCUCUCCCUUUUUUAUGAUGAUAAACAAAAUGAAGAUUUCUUUGAUCAAAUAAGUUCAAAUAAAACUCCCCCUUAGAAAAUGCCAACAUACAAAGAAAUUUCAAUAAAUCCUACUCCCCCUUUUGGUAUCAAUCAAAAAGCAAACUCCCCCUUUAUUUUUCAAAUUAAGACCAUAUAGAAUGUUAAAACUUUCAAAAUACCAAUUGUAAUUUUUUAUAGGGUCCUUGGGAGUUAGUACAACAUGAUCUAGCAAUCCACAUGGAUUUCAUACCUUUUCUCAUAUUUUUCUUUACAUAGCAAUUAUUUUGCAUAUGUCCAAAUUUGCAACAAAAGUGACACAUGAUAGAAGUAUUUUGCACAUAAGUGGAUUUAAUGCAACUAAUUUUCUUACUUCUUAUCAUAGCAAACUUAUUUGUGCCUUGAAAAGAUUUGCUUUCUUUUGUUUGAGAAAACUUUUGUUUUUCAUUUUGGAGAAACUCGUUCAAGUCAUUAAUUCUUUUCUUUAACAAAUUUUGUUCCUCCAACAUUUUUUCAUAAAACUUUGUUUUCUCUUCCAACUUCCUUUUCAAAUUAUUGUUGCAAUCAAAAACACCUUUUUGAUUUUUUAAAUCAUCAUUUUCCAUUCUCAAACAUUUGUUUUCUUGAAAAAGUUUGGAGUUUUCUUCCAACAAAUCAUUUAUUUUUGUUUUCAAAUCUUUAUUUUUAGCAUAAGAUUCUCUCAAACUUUUAUGCAUUUUAAUCAUAAGAAUUUGCACAUCAUCAUUUUCAUUAUCUUCAUCACUAGAAGAGUGAUAAGAAUUUACCUCAUCUUCUCCAAAGGCCAUUAGUGCCAUUUGGGCCAACUCUUCUUUUUUUCUUUUUUAAUUGCAUUCAUCCCAUGUAAUUUUGCAAUCUUCUCUUGAACUUCUCUUAUUGAAGAUCUUCUUGAAACUUUUGAUGUGAGGAGUUAUAUCAUUGUCCACUUCCAUGUUUUCAUUACCCAUGAAGGAUGGGUUAUCCCUAACUUGAAAUGCUUUAAAAGCUAUGCCUCUCUUAUAUAUUCUUGCAUUUUCUUCCUCUUGCACUUUGAAUUUCAGCUUUAAUUCAUAAGAGAUUAGGGAAUUCACAAGAGAUUCAAUGGACAUAAAAUUUAAAUCCUUUAUCUCUUCUAUAGCAUUUAUUUUGUUUUCCCAUUCUUUUGGCAAGACAUUCAAAAUUUUUCUAUUUUUCUCACCCAAAGAAUAUUCUUUUCCAAGCAAUUUAAGAUCUUGAAUAAUGUCACAAAAUCUACUACCCAUCUUAUCAACAUUUUCAAGAGGAUGCAUUUUGAAAAAUUCAUAUUGAGAAACAAGCAAAGAUUUCUUUUGUUCUUUAAUAUCUUGGUUACCUUCAUGAAAUUCACACAAUUUAUCCCAAAUAUCUUUAGUUGAUUUACAAUCUUUAAUCCUACUAGAUUCAUUUACAUCUAAUGCAUUGUACAAUAUAUACAUGGCCUUGGCAUUCAAAGAAAGGUAUCUCUUGUCUUUUUCAUUCAAUUCUUGUCUAGUCUUUAAUCUACUCAAAUUAGUGGUAGAGUCAAUUAUUCUAGCUUCAUAAGGACCAUCUUCUACCACAACCAUAAUUCAAUAUAAACGGAUUGUAAGAAAAUCAUCAUUCUUUGUUUCCACAUGCUAAAAUGAGAACCAUUAAACAUAUGUGGUCUAUCAAUAGAUUGCCCUUCUAAAAAGGAAAUUUUUAUGGUUGCCAUGAUCUUUACUCUAAGCGGUUAAGCUUAAUCUCUAGAAAACCAAGCUCUGAUACUAAUUGUAAACCCCGAUGCAACCAAAUACAACCAAAAUACUCAACCAGACAAGUAGUCAAGUAAAUACAAUGACAAAGAAUAUAAGUAAUUUUAAAGCACAAAAAUAGAGUAACAAUAAAGUAAAAGAAAUUCAAACCAAUCAAACUCCCAAACUUCUUCCAAACUUGGAGUUGAAUCCACCAAAUAGUUUCUUCAGUGAUGGUAGUGCUAACCAACUUGUACAAGUGAAGGCUCACUCCUUCCUUACCCCAAACAUACUUUGGUUGAGCAAAGGAAUUUUACUACUCUCCAAGUAAACCCUCAAUUAUCUACAAUUGAAAGCUUACCCUUUCAAUUAAGAACUACUUUAUACAAGUGAGGCAACCUUUAUCAAGGUUUUACCACUCCAAGUGAUAGGUUCACCUUCACCAAGGUUUUACUCCUCCUAGAGAGUAACCUUCACUUGAGCAACCUCACAACCCAACUUUUUCAACCCUUUAUACAACCAACAAAGAAUAUUUCUACUCAAAAAUCUCACUUGUAAGCUUGUAUUUAGUGUUGGCCAAAAAGUCCCUGUCUUCUUGUGCUUUGGGGUAUUUAUAGAAGGUGAGAAAUGGCUCCAAAAGGCUCUCCAACGGUCAAAUAUUAAAUGCUGUCGAAACUAGCCGUUGGCCUGUCGGACGUCCGAACCAUUUGCUCUGCGUCCGAACCAUGCGUCCGAACCACCUAUCGGAUGUCCGAACCAUUUGUUCUGCGUCCGAACCCUGCGUCCGAUAGAAAUCAGAAUGUUCAACGUUCAUUCUUUUUGUGUCGGACGGCCGAAGCAAUGAAUGAGCGUCCGAUCCAAGCGUCCGAAGAGUAUCGUCGUCAGUCGGACGACCGAUCCUCUAUCGAGCGUCCGAUCCUCUACGUCCGAACCUUCAUAUUUCUUAACUUCUCUUUGAUUCAAAUCUUUUCGAUUCUCUUUUGGAUCAAUGACCUGUUCUAACAAAUUUCUCACAUAAAAAUAUUAGUCCAAAUCUAUAUUUUGGUUUGUUAAUCAUCAAAACCAAGAACUGAUCAACCAAGGUCAAUACCUUUAAUGUUUUCCUGUCCCUGAGUCGGUCCAUUUGCCGAUUCUUAGUCAUCUCCCUGAGGUUAGGCCUGUCUAGUCCCUCGCCCACGACCUCGACCACGACCUCGACCACCUCUUAGUCCUUCCAUAACCUAAGCGUGCCUAGUACAAGAAAUAAAUCAAUUAUACGAUGAAAGUAAAAGGCAGGAACCAAUCAAGAAAAUAUUGGAAAUAACAAUAAUUUACAUUUAUUAACAUGUCAAGUUCAUACAAUUAGUAAGUCAUGAGAUAGUCACAAAAAUAUAGCACACAGGAGCUACAAGAAUACUUUUAGUCACAGAAGACUAAAGUAAAAGCAAGUGCCUCAAAAGUAGGCCACAAAGUCAUGCAAAAUAUAAUGACCUCAGCACUUAGCAUCACCCCUGCUAAUUCUAGCUGUACUAGUCAAAAGAUCAAAAGUCAAGUAAUCAAUCAUUAGGCCUAAUCCACAAUAGGACUACCGGGCGAAACCUCCUCCUCCGGAUCCUCUUCCUCCUCAGAGCUCUGGACUACACCUAUUGCCUUAUCCAUUAGCCGAGUAGCAUCAGUCAGGAUCCUGGAAGCCCGAUCACGGACCUCCUCUUCUAUUCUAGUAAGUCGAGGCCCAGUACUCUGAAACUCCUCACGAACCACUAUAGAUAUGGCCACCUCGCCCUCGAGUACCUCCUCGAGCUUAGCAAUCCUCUCACUCUGAGUCCCUACCAUUUGUCUAAACUCAUCCACCUCAACCUGUAAGUCCAAGUUGGCAUUUACCAACUGACGACGCUCGUCAUCCAAGGCCAGUACAACGUGGUUUGGGUAGGCAAAGGUUACCCUACAAGCACAUCGGGGGUAUCGAAUAGCAGGCGAAUAGCGUAUACGAGUUCCUCCAACUAGAACUCGGUAAUAAAUAGAUCUAGGAGACUCUACGUGACCAUUAGCAUGGCCACUCCCAUGAGCUACCGGAGUCCCAUUUCCGUUUUCCAUCCCUGCAAAAUAAUCAUACCUUUCGGGUUAGAAAUUAAAUCACUAUCUAGUUCGAAUGUCGUUUAUGUAUGCCUAACCCAAUCACUAGUAUGUCCCAAGUAUCUCUUAAGGUAUAACUUAAUUAUCCGAUCUCAGGUCUUAAGAGUAGAGUAUCUAAUAUGUCUUCCAUAUAGAUUUCUAAUCUAGCGCUCUGAUAUCAACUGUGACACCACUUCUCCCUAAGGUGAACCAAAGGGUAUCCGCGGAACGCCUGCCCAACUCUCGCCAGGACUCACGCAAUUUCUGUUCAAGUUUAUAGCGGUACUAGAAGUCAACAACCAGAUAAUAUAAAUACAAUUAGUGCGGAAGCGUUCAAAUUUAACGAUAUAUAACAAUCACCCAAUCCUUAUAUCGGGUUUCCAUAAUACAGCCCAAAAUAUACAAUAGUCCAAAAAUCUAGACAAAAGAGUUGGAACUGUAUUACAAGAGUACACAAAAGAGAAUUUCCUCCGAAUCUCAAUCCAAACUCAAAUCCUGUUAAGGAAAACAAAUUUAUAGGGUGAGCAAAACGCUUGUAAGGCGAAAAACACACAUGCAAGUACGUUGUUCAAGUAACAAUCUCAAUUUAACAAGUAGAGCAAUAAUAUUGCAUUAAAUAACAAUUCGAGCGGGAAAAGUAAACAGAAAUAAUUCAAAGAUAUCGGAGCUCUCAAGAGCUAAUUUCCACUUGCUGUGCCAAUGUCAUUCGUAUACCUUCCCGUGAUGACACUCCGUCAACCGGGUCGGUAUUUCCAUUCCAUAGAUCACCACUUACUUCUCUCCGUCCACCGUGCCCUCCCGGGCCCGCAAGAUAUUUAUAAGGCGAUACUCCACGAGUAUGCCUAGCAAGACCUCUCAUUAGGUCAAACUUAAUUAUCUCAUGGCUCGCCAAGAUUCCCGACUAGACCCAUGCUGAUUCGAGUCCAAGGUCGGCCUAUGAGUUUGGGCGUCCCCCAUGUACAUUUGAGAGUCGAGGAGAUUCACUCCAACGACGUAUGCAGCCAUAGCAUACCAUUUCAUUUCAUUCAAACAUUCAAUCAUCUCAUUUCAUUCAAUUAAAUCAUUCAUAAUUCAUUCGUUUCAUUUUAAUCAUGAAUCAUUCAUUUCAAAUAAGAACGAGUGCGGUAAAGUACACACUCGCCUCCAUUUUCAAAAUCUCCAAGCAAUUAUAACAAUUAAGCAUGUAUCAAGUAUUCAUAUACUUGAUACUAACCAAUAUAAGUAAUGAGGAAGAAAUGUCACUCGGAGCUUUAGGCGUUCACUGGGGGAUCCUCUUGAGAGUCCUCUUGUGUGCCUGAGCAAUUAAUAAUGGGCUAUUACUGAUAAUUUCAAAUACUAAGGGAGAUCGUACACUAGUACGAUAUUAGAAUGUAUCUUGAAAAUCGAGCCUAGGUUUCUCUUUUGAAAAAUCGAGACUCAAUAGGGUUACGAAACUCGAGUAAGAGCGGAUCAUUAUCCUAAAAAUCAUUAGAUGGAAACAAGUACGUGCAAAUAGAUUUCAAAAGAAACGACCGAAGUCGGAACAGGAUUGCCACGUCACAAUCCUGCCGGAUUCCUGGCCAGAUUGGAGGCAGAGACCAACCUCCAAUUUUUUUCAAAUUCCAACUCCAAUCCGGCCGACUAUCCGGCCAAGGACUGGCCGGAUUCAAGACCGGAUUCUGGUGAACAGUUUCCCACGCAGAUUGCUUUCAAAUGGUCACAAAUUUCAAUUUUUGGUGAAAUUUUUGAAAAAUCAUAACUCACUCCAUGAUUAUCCAAAAUUGGAAAAUUUGGUACCGUUGGAAACAUCUUUCAGAGUAUUAAAAGUUUCUAGAAGAUACCUUUCCAUGAAUCAAAGUGGAAGGCAUUCAAAUUUUGGCUUGAAGUUGAUAACUUGUAUUAUCAUGACAGAUUGAAGUUGGUUUUCGGCCAACUUUGAAAAUUCAGCAAAAUUCACUCAAUUUGAACUAGCCUUUGAAAUUUGAUAAUCUACUAGAGUUACAAUCCAAGUUUAGAACAAAACAAACGGAACGAGAAUUGAAGUUUUGAGCACCAAGAUAUGGUAACUCAAAGUUACCCAAAUUUCCUUAUUAACAAGGGUUUUCCAAAAUCAAGUCAUGAACUUUGGAAGUUUAGUUGAGCAAUGAAAUGGCCUCGGAAUAGCACCAAAAUUAGCAAUAUAAUACUAUCAUAUAAGGACUAUUUCUCUGCCAAAUUCAUGGAUAAGUAAGCACGGAAAGUUAGUUAACUAAAUCACCCAAGUUCCAAAAAUUCCAAGGCAAAUCUGCCUUAUGAGUCUCGUUUUCCGUUUACAAAACGUUUGGCUUACAAAGUACCUCAAACACGGUCCAUUUGUAUAGAAAAGGUCUAAGAGGCAUCUAAGACAAAAUUUGUGGGUGAUUAACACCAAGAAUUUCGAGUACAAGUCCCAAACUAAGAUUAGUUAAGGAUUUAGCCCAAGAUGAGGAAUUUCCUCAUUGAGUCAGUUUCAAACUUUGGUCACAACUCGCUCAAUUCAACUUGGAAUUGAACGUGGUUAGUGGCGUUGGAAAAUAAAUUCAUAAGGCUACAUUUUCUCAGAAGAAACCAUUUUCAAAAUCCAUCCACAACUAGCUCACAUUUGAGCAUCAAGUUGUAGUUCGUUUUCUGCCCUGGAGUGAACCAACGAAACAAGACAGCAAACUUCAAACAAAUGGUUUGGCUCACACAAGUGGAACCAGGACAUGCAUUUUAUACCAACGGAGAUGGGAAUGUCUAGUUUCCAGUGCCACAAAUGGCACUCAAUUCCAACAUCGGAGCGAUGAGUUAUAGCCAAAACAAGAUGACUGCCUGGGCAGUGACGGGAACCAAUUCCAGAUUUCUAAGCUUCGAAAAUUCCAACAUUUGGGUGACCAAAUCAAGUUAUUUUUCAAUGAAACUUUUUACACACUCAAUAUAACAUGUAAACAACAUAAACUAGUCAUUAUAACCUUAAAAUUUCGUACCAAAGUACUCGAACAAAGUAGGAGCAAAAUGGUCACUUUUGGUUAUUGCACCAUCUUUGAGUUUCUAUCAACAAGCCAACAUUAAUCCACUAGUUUAGGCACUAAAUAAACAUUAUUACCAGCAAAACACCAUAAAUCAGUCCAUAUAUCCAAUGUGGGAGUUCAUAGAGCCCACACAACCAUUUCCACCAUAAACAAGCUGCCCAUGAACAUGCAUGAGUAUAUAAGGGCACUAGAACUUCCAUAAACCAAGUUUUGAAGGUUAGAUCGUUACCUACUUCACUUGGUGUGCAAGAACAGAAUUUUCGGUCCUCUUCUUGGCCAAGAAAAUCGUGACAGCAGCUCCUUCUCUUAGCUAGAUGAACUCUUCAAGUAUUAAGCUAAUUGUGGGUAAAAUUUGAAGUGAAUUGGAGCAAGUUUUGGUGAAGAAUUGGAGAUGAAAGUUGAAGAACUCUUGGCUGUUUUUCCAAGCUUGAUGGCCGGCCAAAUGAGAGAGAAGAGAGAGAGUGUUUGUUCAAAAGUAGCUUCCAAGAGAAGCUUUAAUGUGUGGCCCAUGUGUUUGUCCAAAAGUCAACUCUCCCUCGCGUGCGCACGCGCGUGUUUUGUGCUCGAUUUCUCUCAAGUUUAUUUCAUUAGUGCACGAAACCUCUAAUGCACUUAUAUUCAUAUAAAUAUUAUUCACUCUUAAUUGUCCUAAAAUAAGGGUCUAGAGUCCCUCAAUUAAAUCGCGCGUGUGAAAACGCGUAUUUUCAAUUUAAACGCGAUAAAGUGAAAUUUCCAAGGAAUUCUUAUAACGAUGGUACUAAUAACUAUCACUUGAAUAUUUAAGCACAACAAUACCUAUUUCAAGACUAUUGUGCAAGCCUCUAAUUUUUCCAAGCUUAUUGUAUCUUCGAAUCGAUUAUUGACCCCAAUCGCGUAUUCGCUAUUUUCACUUAAUGAGCUUCCAAGAAUUAAAUUUUGAAACGAAUCACUUUAAAAAUAUAACGAAACUAUAAAUUCAUAUAAUUAGGUCUAUAGAGGCUAGAAAAUAAUAAUCAGAGUAAAUAGGCAAUUAAAUAUUUAAAUAAGCUCGAAAUAGAAUUUAAAAUAUUAAAUUUUGUGAGUCCUCACAUAUAAUCACUAAUUCAUUAUUGUGCUUGUACUUUUUUUUUGAGAAAAAAUGUUAUUGUUUUAAGUGUAAUUAGGGAUUUAGUAUAAAUGUAUUAAUAAAUUUAGUAUAACUAAUUAAUAAUUUCUAUUAGUAGACAUAUAAUUAUUAGUAUAAUUAAUAAUAUCAAUUAUAUUACAUAUACCAAUAUACAUUAUAUGAUACAUAUAACUAAUAAUAUCAUUAUCAGGUAACUAAGUAAAUUAAAUAUUACAUAUAUAAUUACAUAUAUAUUUAUUUAUAUAUAAAUAUGUAAAUAUUUUUAAAUGGAUGGUGGGGCAGGGGAUGGGGCGGGGGUACACUCCCCUGUCCCCCAUCCCGUUUCUAAACCGGGCCCGACCCUCGGGCACCCGCCCCCAUUGCCAUCCUUAUGUAAGUUGAAUAGCUUUCUUAUACUAUAUGAACAUUUUGUCAAUUCUAUCUUUAUUCAUUUUUUAUUUCUUCAAAAUAAAUUUAUUUAGAAUCUUUUAAUAAAAACUUAUGACCCCUCAAAAAUUUUAGCAAGCUCUUACCAAGAUUCAAACUUGAGACUUUAAGCAUGCAACUAUAGUAUACUCACCACUAUACCAGUUGCCAUGUGUAAGUUGAAUAGCCUUCUUAUACUAUGUGAACAUUUUAUCAAUUUUAUCUUUAUUCUUUUUUUAUUUCUCCAAAAAAAAUUAUUUGGAAUCUUUAAUAAAAACUUAUGGCCUCCCUCCCCCCCAAACUUUAUAAGUUAUAAAAUGGAUUUCAAAGAUAUUAUAUUACAUAAACCUUUUUGAAGACAAAUAUUGUUUUCAAUAAUUUUUUGCACUUAAAAUUUGUAAAUAAGUUAGAUAAUUACACUAAACACAGAUAAAAUUUUACACUUCAAGUUUGGUGAAUUACUAAUUAAAUUUAUAUUUUGUUGAUUCUUAUGUAAAUUAACAAUUCUAUAGCAAAUUAAAUUAAAUGAUCAUUUUUUGCUAUGGCAUUUUUUUUAUUAUAGUUUAUAGCAUAAUCUUAUAUCAAAAAUUAUAAGAUAUAAUAUUUAUAUAUAUUUAGUGAUCCAUUAGUUCAACCACUCACCCACCUCCUUUGCUGGGUUCCUUUCUAGACCACAUUUAAUAACUAUGAUUUGAAGAGAGCUAUCAUUAAAUCUGGACACAAUUUGGACUUCAUAGUUCAGAAGACAUUGUUUGGGGUGCCAACACUUGCAUAGAUUUGUGUAGUUUUUCAAACUACUCAACAAUCCCCCACUAAUUUGCACAAACUUGUGUAUCUUAAACCAUAAACUCUUUAAUAGUUCAACUUUAAUGGAUGAAUCUUAAGCAUAAUAAGUAUCUCUCGAUUUAAAUUUCUAACAGGUGUAGGUGAUUUGAAUUCUUAAUGCAGUUGUUAGCGUUUUUAAAUUAGGGGAAUUCUAUAGUCUCUUUAGAGCAUUGUGCCGAAUAGAUUAAAUUUAGGGAUAAUUUCAGAAACCUCUCCUCAGGUUUUUGACAAUUUCACUCAGCUCCCUUGAAGUUUACAUAAUUACAGAGACCUCCCUUAGUAUGAUAAAAAGACAACAAUGCUCUUUAUUCAUUGCCAACCAAUAAUUGAAAAACUCUAUCAAAUAUUAAAACUCUCUUUUCUAUUGUCAACCAAUAAUUUAAUUCUCUAUCAUCUUCCUCCUAUAUCUGUUUUCCUUUUAAACUCAUUUAUUUAUUCUUAUCAACCAAAUAUGUACCGUCACCACUAACAAAACUACCAUACACACCAAACCACCAAUGCUUACCUAUCUUGGUGUCUAUUCCCAAUUCUCUUUUUUUUCAUUAUUAUUAAAUAGUUUCUUUACGCCCAUUUUUGUUUCCAAUUUUUGGUAGGCAUUAGCAAAUUGAAAUUGUCAAAUGACAAAUUGAAUGAUAAUUUCAUUAUCAAACUAGAUGGAGAUGAAGAUAGUGGCAGUGAUAAACAAUAAAAAAUUAAGGAUAAGAAGUGGAAUAGAGACUAAAUAUAGAUUAUACUGUCAUGGUUGUUAUGAAAAAAAAAAGCGUUCAUGGUAUAUUUAUAACUGCAUUGUAUUUCUAUUUUUGAUUUACAAUUAUUGAUGUAUUCCUAUAGAGAUAAUUUGAUUGAUUUUGAACUUUGUGCCAAUGAAGUAUAUUGAAUAUUGAUAUUAGUAGUGAUGGCCUAGAUUAUUUUGUAUAAAAAAGAUGGCAGCCAUAGAAUUGAAAUUUAGAGAUAUUAAUAAAUAUUGUCGUGUGUUAAGCAAAAUCUGAUAUUGAUAUGAGAUUGUAUGUAAACUUUUGGAUAUCUAAUGCAGCAUUUUAUAGUUGAUAAAUGGUCUGCAUAAAAAAAAUUUUAAAUAAAAGAGGAACAUUAGAACAAAGAUAAGUGUUAAUUCAGUGGUGAUUUGGAUGUUAAUGGGUAGGCAACAAUGAUAGCAAAUAAAGAUGAAUGAAAUAGAGGCUGUGAACCAUUUUUUUCCUUUUUAUUUUUUCUAUGAAUUAUAACUCAAGGGCAUUAUAGAAUUUUUGGGAAAAAAUUUAGCCUCUUGGACCUAAAAUGUUACUUAAACAAUGAACAUAGGAGAGAGUAAGUGUAAUUUUUAGAACUCGAGGGGAGUCUUUUUACAAUUGCCAAUAACCUCAGGAGAGGUAUACGAAUUUAUCCCUAAUAAAAAUUUGUUGGAAGACGCAACUACACAUUAAGCAAUGUCGCAAUAAAAAUUUAGAGCAAGCAGCGCUUCUCAUAUUAUUCAGCCUCGGAGACUUUGACUUGGCUGUCAAAAUCAGGCUUGGAAAGAAUUACACAGUUUUGGUUGAAGAGGAAGAGAGGCCCAACUGAGACAAUUGAAGGAAUCAAUGAAAACUUAAUGACCAUCAGAUUAGAUGAAUAUACUAUCCAUUCAUAUGAUUUUUUGGAGCAAUUAUAUAUAGUGACACAAUAAUGAGUAAUAAUAUUUAUACUCUUGACCUUUCACUCCCGUAAAGACUUCAAUUCUUUGACCGUGACGAACAGUUCAAAGGCCAUUGGUUGCUUCUCAUAUCAGUCAAGCCUCAGAGACUUUGACUUGGCCAUCAAAAUCAGGCUUGGAAGGAAUUACAUAGUUUUGGUCUGAUACACUGAUAAGUCAGCAAUGGACAACUAUUAAAAGUUAAAGUCUUUUUUCAGAUUUAAGAUUUGAGGUUUCGAUGUGGUAGGUGUUGACUAUUCGGUAAAACUAGUAAUCUAGAGUGGAGAUUAAUUAGGAUUUCGUUUUUUGGCUUAACUAAUGACAAAUAAAGGAUCUAUUUGGAUGUUGUGUUUUUUUUCGUGAAUUUAUUUACAAUUUUACUAUAACCUAUUAUAAUUGUAUUAGGAAUUACCGUAGAUGUCUUGGGAAAAAAAUUGGUGUAUUAAAAACAACACUGCUUCCCCUACUAUCCAUAGCCAACACCCAUCGCCACCGUAACCACCUCCCCGUCCUCCUCAUUUAACACUGCUAUCCACCACCCAUUCUUCUUUUUCUUCCCUUGUCCACCAUCCAACCCGCUGCCACCAAUGUUUUUAAACUCGGACCGGUCAGUGAACCGGAGAGGUGGCCGGUUCGCGGUCCGACCGGUCCAACCGGCCGGUUCAAAGGUUCACUGGUUUUUUUUUUUUUUUUUUUUUUUUUAGUGUAAGUACUAAGCAGGUUUCAUUCUAUCACUUGAUUAGGGCCAACUAUAUACUUAAUUUAGAGUUAUGAUAAAUAUAAAUAUUUCUAGAAGUUUAAUACACAAACAUGGAAUGAUAAAUAUAAUUAAAAUAUGCAAUAAUUCACACACAAGUUUUUCAUAAAUUCAAUUAUAAACAUAAAAUAGAUACACUCAAAAUGUGCACCAAAUUAUCACAAAUAAAAAACACAAAAAAUAAAUAAAAUUAAAUAUUGAAAUUCUUUAGCAACGCCUUUAAAAAUCGCAUAAAAGAGUUCACGUUAAGAUAAACUAUUUGGAAUAGCAAAGCUUUUAUCAGUGGCAUGAAAGCAACGGCCAACACCAUUCAACAAUUUGCAUCAACUUAAGGCUAGAAACAGAGUUAAAAAAAUUUUAUUAUAAAAAUAUAAAAUAAUUGCUCAACUAAAAAAAAACUAAAAAUUUUGAAAAACAAAUAUAGCAGUUAAACACAUAAAAAAUUGAAUUGGCUAACUAAGACAUACUAAUUAACCAUGUUAUGAUUAAAUUCAAUGAUCCUAUACCAUUAAUUAUUUUAAAUUCAAGUUAUCAAUAGGCUUCGAUUAUAGUGCCACUACCAUAUUUUUUGACGGGCAACACCAAUGUUAUUAUUUGUAAUUCCUCCGCUACCCAUUCCUACAGCGGAUGUGGCACGUACUUUGCAAAAAAUUUCAUCCUUAAAUUAAUCGAAAAAAAUAAAACAAAAAUGAGGGAAACUAUAUGAAAAUUGAGGGGAAAAAAGAAGAAGAUGCAAAAAAUCAACCCUAAAUGAUAAUAAUAUAGGAAAAAAAACCUGAAAGAAAAAAAUUAAACUUACUAAAAUAUGUUGGAAAACAAGAAAAGUUGAAAUUUUCAAACUUGUUUAGGCAAUCUGGCUAAGAUAUAUAACCUGAUAAUAAUGGUGAAGACUUGAGAAAAUCUUGUUGUGGAUAUUUGGGUUAAAAAUGGUUAAGAAGAAAAAAUUGAAAAAAAAAAUAAGAGAAGAACUUGAUGUUUUAAUAUAUUUUUUAGUCAAGUAAAAUUCUCAACAAACUUAAGUAUAGUCUAGCGGUAAGAUUGUCAUAUUUAAACUUGGAGACCCAAGUUCAAAUCUUAGCUACACCAUUCUUGAUAUUUUGUUGAAGAAUUUAAAAAACCGCCGGUUCGCGGUUCUUAACGGUUCGUCCGGGUUUCAACGGUUCUCCAUGAACUUCUGGCUUUAGCAUUAGACCGGACCGGUGACAUGGCCGGUUCGCGGUCCAACCGGUCGAACCGGCCGGUCCGGUCCGGUUCUGAAAACAUUGGCUACCACUUCUUCCCUUCUCUUCCUUCUCCUCUUCUUCCUUCCGCAACUCGCCACCUCUCUUGUCCUUCAUUCUACCUUCCCCCACCUCCCUACUUCCCCUCUUCUUCCCCAUCUCCUCCUACUUUUCCCUCCUUCCUCCCCCGCCACCUCUUCUUCCCACACAUUCUCCUUCUUUUCCGUCUCCCUCUUUCUCUCAACCAGUAUACUUAAAAAGCCCACAACAAAAGCAUGACAAUGUAAAAAUUGCCAGGCAAUAAAAUGUUGGGCAAAUUACAUUUUAUGUUCUAUAAUUUAGUGUUUUUGUACAUAAUCCUCUAUAGUUUCAAAAACUAUACAUAACCCUCUCAUGAUUUGAAUUAAAGUGUCAAAGUAACAAAAAUAAUCAUUCAUAACAAAAUCUUUAAAAAUAUCAAAAUUACGCUUGUUUAAAAAUUAAAAUGAUUAAAGUGAUCAAAAUAUAUAAACAUAAUAUAUAUGACGCACUAAUCUCAUAUGAUUUUAUGUUUUAUUAUAUAAUACUCUUAUGAUUUAAUGUUUUAUCAUAUAAUGUCUUUAUGAUUUUCAAAAUAUACACAUAAUCCCCAAUGGUUAAUAAAUAAUUUUCAACUUUGUAUACGAGUAUUUUUAAUUUUAGGUGACUCCGUUAUGGAUUGUAAAUUCUGUUAUUUUGACAAUUUAAUCCAAACCAUGAGAGAGUUAUAUAUAGUUUUUGAAAUUAUAGAGGAUUAUGUACAAAAAUACUAAAUCACAAGGGGCAAAUUGUAAUUUGCCAUAAAAUGUUUAGAACACUUCAACGUAAUACACAAGAAUAUUUCGGGGCAAGAGAGUGCAAAAAAUUGUAGCGAGCAUCGGCGUAUCUAUCAUAGAUUUUGUUGACAACCCAACCGCACCCCUACUAAGGAGACCAGAAAGACCCCUAUCCCUACCCAACAAUAGUUAAAAUCCCCAGCAUAUCUAAAAAUUGCAGUAGCAGAAAUCAAACUUUUGCCUGCAAUACAAUACCGGCACAAAUCAAACUUUAGCAUGCAAUACAACACCGGGAAUCUAUCUUGGCUAUAAUGUUCUGAAUUGAAUAUUAAAAUCACAAUCUACGAAAUUGUUAUUGCUAUGAUGCUCUUCUUUCUUAUCCAAUCGUUAGAUUUUAAUGUCUUUCACCUAAGAAAAACAAAUUGAAGAGGAAUAACAUGAGGUUAUGGCCCAUGAGGUUUUGGGUUGUAAAACACUUAGAUUCUCCAAAAUUUACUUGCAAAAGCACUUUUCAAUAAUUUAGAGAAGCACCUUUGUGGCUUUUUAUCAUGUAAUUUCAAAGACCCUAUUGAACUUAUAUUUAAUUUCAUAAUCACGAGAAUAUGUGUGCCACAUGUAAGUGUUUUUAUUUUUUGUUGUUUAGUGUUAAACAGUAGGAUUUCGAAACAGCGAGACCUCCAACUUGACACUCCCUCCUCCCGUACCACGCAACCGCAACGCCUCCCUCCCACGAGAGUAUGUGUGGAUUAGUUAUAAAUAUAGAUUAAUUCCGCGUAGCAGAGAAGUAGAUUUCAUAUAUAUUGAAGAAAUUAUGCGCAUACUUAUCAAGGUGAUAACAUUGCAAUAAUUGGGUUUGUUUAUCUAACAAGGUUAGAGAGAAAACUGAUUCUAGGAGCUUUUCUCGUGUUUUGUUCAAUUUAUGUUUCCUAGUGUAACAUUAUUUUCUUGUCAUUGAGUUUGGUCUAAAUAAUAAAGGAAUUCAAGUAGUUUUGGCAGUUGAUCAUCUUUCCCUAUAGGAUUGACAUUUGAAUAUUUCCUAUACUCGUGUACAACCUGUAUAUUUGCAGUAGUGAAAGUUUGAUUUUAAUUAAAACUUCUCAUUACAGUCCCUAAAGUUAACACAAAUAAUGGAUGAUUUGAAAAAAAAAAUGGACAAACAAAUCAAUAAUUACAAACCAAUGAAUAAUUGACAAACUGAUCUCUCUCUCCUUAUCAAAUUGUAAAUGACAGUAUUGGUGUAGGAUUUGCAUCAUGAUUGAAGAGCAUAAGCCAUUCGUGUAGGAGUACAUAUUCGAUCAGACUAUUUAGAAGAAUAGUGCCAUAUUGAGCUGUUGUGGGUUCGAUGGGAUUGAGAAUCCUGGCAAACAUUCCUGACCAAGUGGACUCCUAUCUUGCAAGCGGAUUUGCAAUUUUUUUUUGUUUUAUUGGUUUUGAUAUGUUUGAAAACAUAAUGGGGAAACUUUAGCUCCUUAGAGGUCUCCAUCAUAAGCAAAAGUUCUUGGAUAUAAUUAUAUUUAAAAAUUAAAGGUACUAUAUUUCGAAGCCUAAUCUACCGUACAGACUAUUCUUUUCUUUCUUUGUUUCUUAUGCCCUCAAACUGUACUGCCCGAAAAAGUCUUUUUGACUCUACUGAUAUCUUUUUGAAAGCAUUGCAUCACCUUGUCCUUUGUUAAAUAACUUCCACUUUCAUUUCAAAAUCAAUUGCUGAUAAGUGAAGUAGGAAAUCCUUGGAAUAUGAGAUAUUCAACUAACACCAUUAAAGAAAGAACCUAGUCACAGGGAAAAUAAAUGGGGUGACAAAUCCACCCAUGGAAUAACAAACAAAUCCAAGGCCCAACUCGGCCCAACUCUGAUUCCAUGUUAAAUAACUUGAACUUUCAUAUCAAAAUCAAUUGACGGUUAGUGAAAUAACCCAACAUCUUAUAUAUAUGGCCGGAAAUCCUUGGAAUAUCAAUGUGGGAUAUUCAAUUGACAUCCUUUAAUGUCUGAAAAAUACUUGCAUACCUAACAAUGUGCCAUUAACUAACAAAUGAAAAGAAGCCCAUCCAACCAACAGUAGAAACUCACAAAGGAUUUUAGGAUGGUUUCAUACGUAUCUACACCUGGAUCCAGCAUUUGGCUCCGGGUAGACAAUUAGCAAGUGUAGUAGACAGUUUUAUGUUAUCUAUUUUUUUUUAAAAGUAGGGCUAAAAAAUUAACUCACAUGCCUACGGUUUUUUUUAACACCAUUAUCUUAAAUUUAGGAAAAUAAUUUAAUCUAAUAAGUUAUCUAGAACUAUUAGAUAUCAAAUCUAUUCCAUCAUGGUAGGAGCAUAAAUUAAGAUUGUAAUCCAAUCUAAGUUCUAACUUAGGGAGUAACUGGUGGUAAAUAAUGAGCUUAGAUUACCAAUUGUAAAAUCCAGACGGUAAAUUAGAUGUUGGAUUGCAUAUGCCUUUUAUAACACGAAUGCCAUUCCACCCUUUUUUUUUUUCAAGUCAUCAAUCAUACCAUACCAACAUUAUCUUUUAGCCAUUUAAUCUAACUGAGUUGAGGAUGCUUACUUAGGGAAAAAUCAGCACUCUCUUAUAAGACAAUGAUUAUAGCAAUUGGCUAUGAGUUAUUCACACAUUGGACCCUAGAAGAAAUGUUCAAACAUUCGCAAUGUCAAACUUGAUUAACACUUAAAACUAUGAAAAAAAAAGUUUCUAGCAUUUGUUUUGUAUCGGCCAAUUUAAUUGGACAUUGGAAGUGAAAUCCAAAUUCCAAUUCCUCUAGGGUAGUUUGGAAUAUUAGGAGCAAAAAUAUGGUUUUCAAAUUUUUUGAACCACCCUACUCUUAACCACAACAAAAGAAUGCGCAUGCCUUUUCUUAAAAAUUUUUUAAUUUUGUUAAUAAUUUAAAAAACUGAAAAGGAGGGGACAUAAACUUUACCUCCAAAAUACACGAAUAUUUUAAAUAAACAUAAAAGAAACAAAGACAUAAAUAAACAAUGCUUAAUUAUUUAAUUACUGAACCAAAAUUGGACAUGUAAAUAAAUGAACAGCCAAUGGAGAAAAUCGAUAUCCAUCUAGGGUUUCUUUCAAGAAUUCAUAUGCUGUAGCAGAAUGAUAUUAUUGUAAUUUUCAGUUUUCUCUUUAGCAGUCAAAAUAAGAAACUUGCAAAUUUGUAAUCUACAGGUUUGAGUGGAAUCCUGAUUUUUAUUGCAGAAAUUGUCAAAGACUUGACCAUUAAUGAGUUUGAAUAUUAGUGAGAAGUGAUAAUUUGUCAACAGAGCAAAUUUACAAGGUUAUAGCUUCUCUCAACUUAGAAGGGCAAAUGAAGCAAAAAAAAAAAAAAGUAAUAGUCAUGGAGUAGGAAUUUGGGAGUUAAGUUCAGUAACAAGUAAACUAGACAUGCGCCUUCCAGAUGGAGAAAAUAGAGGACUAAAAGAGAGGGCACGGGUGAAAGGAGUGUUAAUUUUUUUAAUUACUAAAGGUGUGUUUGACAUAAUUGAAAAAUGAAUAUAUUAAAUUACUAAUUUAUUAAGUACUGAAUCUAAUAUAAUUCAUUAUCUGAAUUUGAACACUGAAUACAGUAUACCUAUUCAUAAUUAUAGAUAACUGAAUAUUGAAUUUCUCAUAUUUUAUAAUUUUGUCCUUACCGUGAUUUAUUCAGUAAUACUGUUACUAUAGUGUUAUAUUUCAUUACUAAUAUACAUUUAAUUUCAUCAAAAAUAAGAUAUUAAAAUAAAUGAACCAUAGACAAAAAUAAAAUGCACAUUAUAACAAGUUUAUUUGAGAAAAAAAAAUUUAGCACAAUUUUCGAUACUUCCUUUUGCUCCUUUGUCAACAUAUCCUUUCCGGGUGCUUCGUGUGAUAUUUGUAGACAAAGUGUCUCCUUAAUCCUAUGAACCAUGUGGCAUAUCUAUAAUUUUGGCAUGUGUAAAUAUCGCUGUUAGAUGGACAAAACAAGAACCAUUUCAACGACUAAAUACUUGAAAUUUAUUACCAAAAGUUUGAAUAUUUCCUACUUCCAAUAAAAGUAGCUAGCUAUCAGCAAUAAACAAAUAGACACAUACAUGCAUAAACACAUAUACAUAUGUGUGUGUCAUUGUAGCACCUUAUAGUUUGAAAAGACAAUCCAGGAAUGUGUUAAAAGAAUUUUUGAAAUUUCCUUCCAAUAUGUCAAAGUGAAACAAUUGAUUCGACAUGGAUGGUUAUCAUUGCUUUUGGUUUCAGAUAUUGUUGUAGCAUUAUGGGUAAAUACAUGUGUAGAUACACACAUAUACAUAAAUGCACACAUACAUACAUACAUACAUUCAUAUAUAUGUGUGUGUACACACGCACAUAAAAUUAGGAUGGGAAAAUAUGUUUGAAAAUUUUUAAAAUUGUGUUUACAAAAGAUGUGCCCAUGCAGAUCUUAAAAUACAGGCAGAGGAUUUUCAUUAAAAAUUUUUUAGGAAGGUUUUUCAUGCUUGACUAUAGAGUAAUUUGAAUCGUUUUAUUGCACUAUUUAUUCACGUAUAGAGAAAACGAAUUAUGUUGGAGAAUUGUUCUAUGUUUUUACAGUUUAUUUUUGGUUGAGUUGCGUUGGAGAUUGUAGAAUGAUAACUUACGCUUCUAUACUUGAAGAAACGCAGAGCUUCCCCGGACCGAGCUGACCUGAUGAGCUCGGCGUGCUGAUGAGAGGAGCGGGUCUUAAGCCUGCAAAGCAAACAAGAGAGUGGCUUGACAGGGGAGCCCCGAGGUUCUCCCCGAGGGCACUCCGACGGUCAAGUUAGCUUUCCGGUGAGUGUGGUUCACAGGAAGUAAAGCAGUCGGGAGUAAAUUUGCCAAUAGUGAGCGUACUUUGCGUAGUUGGCGUGUGUUACCAUUUAUACCUGUCCGAGAGCCCGACCUCCGUACGUUUCGAAACUUGCCCAGUGUAGCCACAAUCCCGUGCUGAAGAGGAUUCUCCCCGUCUUCUGCGGGAUUGCUUCCCGGAGCCCUAGUGGUGAUGUGCCUUAGGACGGUUGUCAAAGGCCUGGGGUCCAAGCCCAAUCCUGACCGACCUAGGCUGCCACGUGUCUAGGCCCAGGACGGGGCCUCUGCACUAGCCUCCUAGAUUAGGUAGGGCUUCCAGGCAGACCUAAUAUAUACUUCUGCCACGUGGGAGACCAGCGCAGCGCACUACUCUGCCAGGGUCACCUCUAGUACAAUAUUGUCACUGAAAAGCCGCGCCCAUGUCCUUUCAGUUGUCGCGUCUCUUCGGUCUCCGUAUCGCUAUUAAAUGCGGUCACAUGGGGCGGUUCGAAUUCAAGCAACCGUUUUCGCCCCAUUUCACCACCUAUAAAUAGGGACUAUCAGAUUUCAUCCGACUCUAUUUGCCAUUUUCUCUUCCUUAGUACAUUUUCAAUUCCCAGCAACAAGGCUUUCGGCGUCCCGUGCCCAGAUUCCGGCGAUUCCUCCACCCCUUCUUACUCCACUCAUCAGUAAGUCCUAUUUUCCUCUUUCCUUCUCUACCGUCUUCUUCCUUUUGCCAUUUUCUGCUUUUUAUGUCGGAUUAUUCCGGCGUCACUUCCACCGUGUCUCAGACUCCUGUCCGGCGUAGAGCCCCCCAGAUUAUCAUUUCCUCUUCGUCUUCAUCCUCAUCUUCGUCUUCAUCUUCAUCACCCCCUCCUCUUUCUUCUUCUUCUGCUUCUAAUCCCAACCUGCUCGAGCCCAUAGCCAUCAUGAGCUCUCCAUCUUCCCAUUCUCCUUCUGCCCGAAUCCUAGAGGAGGCGGCCGAGCUUGAUGCCUUCAUCGAGCGAGAAGCCAUCUCCAUCCCUUCCCCCCAGUCCUCCCAUGACUCCCCUGGCGGAGCCCAAGGAGGGGCUGGUGAAGAGAGGGACUCCUCCGAGGGGACCCCUCCCUCCAAGCAGGGGGAUGAUCCCGAAUUCGACUUCGGUCGUCCCGACCAGCACGAGGUCACCAUCUCACCCGAGGCUGUGGCCGAGCUGGCCGGGUCCUUCUCCAUUCCUCCGGCCUUCGAGCCAAGGACUGCCAGGCCCAGCGACCGAGCUUGCCGACCACCCCCCGACUUCGUAGCCAUUUAUAAGGAGCAGCUGAUCGCAGGGCUCCGACUUCCCACUCCUCCAGCCCUGGCUGAGAUCCUGAGCUACUGGGGGCUCCGAAUCACCCAGGUCCACCCCAACUCAAUAAGGAUCAUCGUCGGAUUCCUGAUCUACUGCCAGAUCUGCUCCAUUCCUUACUCUCUUUCUCUCUUCCGGGCCUCUUACAUCCUCAAUCUCUCCCUCCCUGGGUGGUACUACUUCUCCCGCCGAGGCGCUAGCCAGGUUCGGGGGGGAAAGGGCGCCCAGGAUCUAAUCUAUGGGGUCCCUUCUUCCGUGAAAAAUUGGAAGGGGAACUUCUUCUUUGUAAAAUCCCUGAGCUUUCCCCCAAACGUGUGGAAGGUCGGGGAGGUCGACUCCGACCCCUAUCCGGAGGAUCUGGACUCCGAGGUUCUCGGGCAAUUGAUGAGCUCCAAGGUGAAACUCUAUGCCGUCAAGUUCUCCGCCGAGCAGAUUUCGGCGGCCGGGCUGAUGGGGACGUUGUCCGGGUCCCCUGGAAAGGUGGUGUACUCCCCUACCGACCGCGACGCCUGUAACGCUGACUCUGUCCCUGUAGUUCGUUGUAUUUACAUAUAUUAUAUUUUCCUUUUCCUACUGACCUGUUUUGGCUGACCUGACGAUGUUUGCCGCAGUGAGGAGGUUUUUCAAGUUGCUAGGCGCGCCUCCCGAGGUGGUUGCCCCCACCCCUCAACCAGAGGCUGCCCCCGGCCCCAGGGGGCAGUUCAGCCCCCCAGAAGGAGGCGUCACACUCCUCCCCCUCCAAGCAAGCCGCCAGCAAGAAGAAGACGGCCGGGCAGAAGAAGGGUCGAGGGGACGAGCCCCCCCAACCCGUGAAGAAGCUCGCGCCAGCAUAGCCUCCCCACCUCCUGUUGACAUCGGGCGGACCGGUCCACUUGGGGGUCGGCUCCGCGGAGGAGCACGCACGGGAGUCGCCGCCCCCCAGCCUGUGUGUAAGUCCCAAAGACAACCAAGAGGGGGGGUGAAUUGGGUUGAUUAAAAUCUUAACCAAAUUUAUGCACUUUUUCUUUAAUAAAAAUUUACCUUCUUUUCUAGUAGUGAUCAACCAAGUAGAUUAGAAGACAAGAGCAAUAUUGAUCAGAAAGACAAGUAUAGAUAAGCAAUGAGAAUUUUAUUAAACAGAAAAGUAAGAUAGGGAAUCAAACCAAGUGUCUACCAAGCUUUCCUCAAACUUGAAGACCAAACACUAGGAGGAGCAACUUCUCUUUGAUGAAAGACAAUCAACUAGAUGUACAAUGGAGGGAGCACUUCUUCCUUGCCCUAAGCCUCACUUAGUCAAGCUAAGAAGUUUUACAAUCACUCAGAAAACCCUCAACAGAGCUACUCUAAAGAUCUUUUCAACCACAAAAGAAAUGCUCACAAGAAAUUCACACCACUUUAAAACAAAUCUAACUUUGGAGACUAUUUUCUAACUAAAAUAUCUCUUGAGAUCUUGUAAACAAAGUGUGCAAAAGUCCCAACUUCGUUCAGACCAGUUUGAUUUUAAAGGGAACCAGAAAUGGGCUUCAUCAAUGCUUCCAACGGAUAGAAGGCAGCUGAAGAGUCAACUAGCCGUUGGGGCUGUCGGACGUCCGACGAUCAAAUCAUCGUCCGAUCCAAUCGUCCGAAAAACAGCCAAGUUGACGUUCGGACGUCCGAUGCGUCUUGAUCGUCCGACAGCACAGCGUCCGAUCGUAGGCAGAGAGUUGGCAAGUUAUCUUUGAAUUUUUCGGACGUCCGAUCUGGUUGAUAUGCGUCCGAGGUGUGCGUCCGAUCCUUCCGGACGUCCGAUGCUCCCAUAUGAGCGUCCGACAGAGCUUCCUUCCUGAUGUUCUUCAUCCUUUCGGACGUCCGACAGUUUCCUUUCGGCCGUCCGACCUGAUUGUCCUGUUUUUGCUUCUCAUUUUGGUUGUUUUGCAUUUGAUGACAUAUUUGAACUUGAUUCUUGGAUAGACAAAAACACUUGUUUUUGAAGAAGGUUAGAUAAACAUUUCAAGGUACCAAGAAUGACAAACUAGACACACUUAAAAGACAGUAUCUUUGAUCGGAACAAAACAAUGACUAAAUUCAUUUAUAUUAUUUCAAUCUUGUUUGCCACAUCCAAAGCAUCGUAGACUGGAGUCAAUCAGACAUAUGCUUUCCUUGUUCCAUCAGGCCUGAUCAAAGUGUUCACUUUCUUGGUCUGUAUAAAGAAACUUUUGUGAUCAUCAAAACCAAGAAUAACAUUCUCCCCCUUUUUGAUAAUGACAAAACAAAAGUUUGAAAUGAAAUUUGAUGAUUGCAAUGAAAACUCCCCCUUUCAAAAUAGACAAGAACUCCCCCUACCUUAGUGAAUCAUAAAAAUUUUGAAAACCUCCCCCUCACUAGACUGCCCAACCGAGUUUAGACAAUUAUCCAAAAACAUGACAAUUAAGCAACUCACAACCAACAUAUUACCAAUUCAAUCCAUCAGCAAAAUCCAAAUUUAAUUAAACCAUCAAUCAAUUUAACAUAUCCAACAUCAUCAAAUCCUCAUCAAAUCCAACAUAUCAAUCAAUUAGUAUACCAUUUCCAUUCUCCCCCUUUUUGUCAUCACAAAGGGCAACCAAUCACAUCAACACAUCAACAAAUCCACAAAUACAUUCAUCAAUGAAAACCAAAAACAAUUCAUUAUAUUCACACAAUUAGAAUAGACAAACAAACAUCCAUCAAGACAGUACUUAAACAUCCAUCAAAACAGAACUUAAACAUUCAUCAAAACAUACCAAAAGAAACUUAAAAUAUCCAUUACAUUACAUAUUCAUUGUUGAAUGCCACAAACACCUAAAAGAGACAAACAAAAUGCAAAUGUCCUAAAUGAUGAACUAAGUGGAUCCAGGUGUCCUCCGAGAGAGCUGAUAUUGGUCAAGAUCCUCCUCUUCAGUUUCUUCAUCAUCUUCAGCAGCCUCUUCAACUGGUGCCUUGCCUUUAUCUGAUGUAGAGGUGCCAUGAGGAGUCACAGGGGUUGAAGAACCAGGAUCCGGAAUUGAUGAACUUGGAUCAGUGGGGUGUGACUCUUUAUCAUGGGAAAUUUCCUCAACCACAGGUGGAGGAAAAAGAAGAUUCUUUUUGUCAAGAAAGGCAGUUUGUUGCUCAGAAGACAUGGUGAGCAUGAGACCAUGUUCUAGAAGAAGAACAUGCUGUUUGAGUUCUUGAAGAAGCUCAAUUACUUCAUUACUGGAAGAGGAAGAUGCUUUAGUGGCAGACUUUCUAGGGUAAAUGGGAGUGAGUGAAAUGGGUGAAGGAUCAUGUACAGUCUUAGACCUCUGUUCACUAGAUGAUGCCCCCUUAUAUGCCCACAGAUUAUCUUUAAAAACAAGAUUUUUUCUUUCAAAAUAUGCUUUGGUAAAGGCAUAAGAAGAUGCUUCUUUGGGACAAACACCUAGAAUUGGAACUUUGUAAAACUCAAAAAUCUUUUGAAGAAACUUUCCAUAGGAUAGUUUUCUUCGAGAGUCAGUAGCAUAGCGAAGUAAAAACUUGCACAUGACAAAACCAAAAUCAAUACGAAUUUUUUCUCGAAAACAAUAAAAUAGAUACAACUCCAUUUUGUUUGCAUCAGUUCUGUGCCCAUCAGUGGGCACAAGCAGGUUUGAAAUGAUAGAAAAGGCAAUUAAAUUCACAGGGGCCAGAUCAUUCAAUUUAGCAUCAGCAGGUGAGGAAAAACUUCUUUUGAAAUAGGUUAACAUUUUUGUCCCAUCAAAAUGAUUUGCAGCAGUAGGAAGCUCUUCAUAGGAAAAGAAAUUAGCAACCUUAUCUUUGCAUAAACGUUCAAUGGUAGUAUUUAAAAUGGAAUUCACAGUAUCAGAAUCAAAGAUUAGGUCUACCCCAUUUACCCUAGACAUGAUCUCAGUUUGGUCAGUUCCUUUCCUAAGAUUGGCAAAAAAUUGAUGCAGCAUAUCAGGAUAGUAGACAUUGGGCAUGGAAAUGAGAUGUGACCAUUUCUGGAAAUCAAAUAGACUCAGAAUGGAUUCUAAACCUAUGGAGCGAAAUUCAGAGGGGUUUACAGUUCUUUGAGGGAUGACACCCUUCUGGGAUAUCCAGGCGUAUUUGUCUUUCGCAGCAUCAUCAAAGAAUGGAGGGAGAGGGACUGAUUUAGGAGGCGGUUGAGAAGAGGUCCCCUGUCCAGAUUCUGGUUGAGAAGUGGGUUGUGGAGUAGGCCGUGACAUUUGACCCUUGAUGGCUCCCCUUUUGAAGCGUUUGGAUGUCCGUUUGACAGUAGGAAGAUCCUCAUCCUCAUCCCUGAGUGGAUGCUUGCGUCCGGCCGUAACUUUUCCUCUCCUUAGAUUCACCAUGGCGCGAAAUGUGUGGAAUGAAGAAUGCAAAUGAUGCACACAGCAGUAGGGAAGUGAAUCGAACAAAAAUUUUGGAACAAAAGACCUUGUACAAGAUUUGACAGAGCGAUUAUGAAAAGGUAGGGUUUUGAGGAAAAUUUGGGAAUGUGCGAAGUGAUAGAUGAUUCUGUGAAAUGAUCAGGAAAAAUGACUCGCAAUUGACUAGGAACUGUUUUGGUUGAGUCAAUUUGGGAAUGGGGGCUUCAGAAAGAUAUGGAUUUGAGAGUGAGAGACAAGAGGGUUUUCGUCCGAGAAGAAAUAAAAUGGGAAGAGUUUGAAGCAAAUGAGGAAGAAAGUUGUUUUAAAAAAAUGAGCCGUUGUACUGUCGGACGGCCGAACGAAGUUGUGCGUCCGACAGUUGCGUCCGAACAGGCGCAAUCUGGAAAAUGGCUGAAGAACAUCAUCGAACGUCCGAAGACCCCAAAAAAAAAUUAAGAUGAUUUUUCGAUUAUUCCUAAUUUUGAUCUUAGAUGAAUGAACUGAUCUAAUGUCAAAGCUUUUGUAAAAAUAUCAGCAAAUUGAUCUUUAGAACAAACAUAAUUUACACAUAUUUCAUCUUUUUGAACAAGAUCACGAAUAAAGUGAUGCUUUAUAUUUAUGUGCUUUGUCCUAGAAUGAUGAAUAGGAUUUUUGGUCAAAUUGAUAGCACUAGUAUUAUCACAGAAUACAGGCAUACAGUCAUACAACAAUCCAAAAUCAUUCAAAGUGUGCUUCAUCCAUAAAAGUUGAGCACAACAUGCACUAGCGGCAAUGUAUUCCGCUUCGGUUGUAGACAAAGAGAUUGCACAUUGUUUCUUGCUAAACCAAGAGACUAAACAAUUUCCAAGAAAAUGACAAGUUCCACUAGUACUCUUUCUAUCCACACGACAACCUCCAAAAUCAGCAUCCGAAUAACCAUAUAGUGCAAACUCAUUAGAUCUAGCAUACCAAAGACCAUAGUCUAAUGUACCUUUCAAAUACCUAAAAAUUCUUUUUACAGCAUUCAAAUGUGAUUCUUUUGGACAAGAUUGAAAUCUAGCACACAAGCAAACAGCAAACAUAAUAUCAGGUCUACUUGCGGUUAAAUAGAGUAGGCUUCCGAUCAUACCUCUAUAAUGCUUUUCAUCCACAUGAUUACCUUCUUCAUCUUUGUCAAGCUUUGUAGAAGUGCACAUUGGAGUUCCAACUUGCUUUGAGUCCUCCAUGCCAAACCUUUUCAGCAAUUCUUUGGUAUAUUUUGUUUGAUUUAUAAAAAUUCCCUCAAGAGCUUGAUGUAUUUGAAGUCCAAGGAAGAAAUUUAAUUCUCCCAUCAUACUCAUUUCAAAUUCACUUUGCAUAGUUGUGGAAAACUCCUUACAUAGAUACUCAUUAGUAGCACCAAAAAUAAUAUCAUCAACAUAUAUUUGCACAAUAAGAAGGUCAUUCAACACUUGCUUAGUAAAAAGUGUGGUGUCCACAACACCCCUUUUGAAACCAUUUUCAAUCAAAAAACUACUUAGUCUUUCAUACCAAGCUCUAGGAGCCUGUUUUAGACCAUAUAAAGCUUUAGAUAGUUUAAACACAUGACUUGGAAAUUUUAUAUUUUCAAAACCGGGGGGUUGAUCCACAUAUACUUCUUGAUCAAUAAAACCAUUUAAAAAAGCACUUUUAACAUCCAUUUGAAAUAAUUUGAAGCCUUUAAAACAAGCAAAAGCAAGAAGCAUUCUAAUAGAUUGUAAUCUUGCUACGGGAGCAAAUGUUUCAUCAAAAUCAAUUCCUUCUUCUUGUGCAUAUCCUUUAGCAACUAAUCUAGCUUUAUUUCUUACAACAACACCUUUAUCAUCCAACUUAUUUCUAAAAAUCCACUUUGUGCCAAUGAUAGGUUGAUUUUGAGGUCUAUCAACAAGUGUCCAAACUUCAUUUCUCUCAAAUUGAUUAAGUUCCUCUUGCAUUGCCAAAAUCCAGUUUUCAUCCUUUAAGGCAUCAUUGAUAUUUUUGGGUUCAAAAAGAGAAACUAAAGCAAAAUUGUCAAUCAAUUUUCUAGAUGAGGAACGAGUGUUUACCUUCUCGGAUGGAUCACCAAUUAUAAGCUCUUUUGGAUGAUUUUGGCUGAAUUUCCAAGCCUUGGGAAGAUCUUUGAGUGGAUCAUCAUUUUUGUCUUCAUCUUCUCUUCUUGAUCAUUAUGAACUUCAUUUUCCAUUUCAGUUGCUGCUGGUUUAGAGCUUCCUUCAUUUCCAAUUGAUAGCUUUUCCAUUCCUUCUCGAACACCUACAUCAUCAUCCUCACACGAACUUUUGGAAUUAUCAUCAUUGGUUUCAUCAAAUGUUAUAUGUAUAGCUUCUUCAAUCACAAGAGUCCUUCUAUUAAAAACUCUAUAUCCUCUUUUAUUCUCACAAUACCCCAAAAAUAUUCCUUCAUCAGAUUUUUUAUCAAACUUACCAAGAUGUUCCUUUAGAUUCAAAAUAAAACAUUUACAACCAAAUACUUUGAAAUAACCAACUGUAGGUUUCUUAUCAAACAUCAACUCAUAAGGAGUUUUCUUUAAGAUAGGUCUCAAGAGAAUUCUAUUCAUCACAUAACAUGCAGUGUUUACCGCUUCAGCCCAAAGAUAUUUAGGCAACCUACAUUCAUUUAACAUAGUUCUAGCAGCCUCUUGGAGAGUCCUGUUUUUCCUUUCUACAACACCAUUUUGCUGUGGAGUUCUUGCAAUAGAAAACUCAUGAGUUAUGCCAUUAUGAUCACAAAAUUCUGGAAAACCACAAUACUUGAAUUCUGUUCCAUUAUCACUUCUAAUUCUAACAAUUUUUAAUCCAAGCAGAUUUUGCACUUUAGCAAACAAUGAAGUGAAAUUCUUGAAUGCAUCAUCCUUAUGAGCAAGAAAUAUUACCCAAGUGUAUCUAAAAUAAUCAUCUACAAUCACAAAACAGUAUUUCUUACCACCCAAGCUAGAGAUUUGAGUAGGGCCAAAUAAGUCAAGAUGCAAGAGUUCUAAAGGUUUGGAAGUAGAUACACACUUCUUUGGUUUAAAAGAAACUUUUGUUUGCUUUCCAAAUUGACAUGCAUCACAUAUUUUAUCCUUUUCAAAACUGAUUUUUGGCAAGCCUCUAACUAGCUCCUUUUUCGAAAUUUCCUUUAGUAGAUCCAUGUUAAAAUGACAAAGUCUUCUAUGCCACAACCAAGGAUCUUCAUUUGAAGCUUUAAGACAUUUUAAGCUAGAAGAAUCAAUUUUAUCAAGAACCACAAUAUAUAUAUCGUUGAACCUCUUACCUUUGAACACAACAUUGUAUUUGGAAUCAAGCACAAUGCAUUCAUGCUUUCUAAACAACACAUUCAAGUCUUUAUCACACAAUUGACUAACACUUAGCAAAUUAUAACCUAAGUUAUCAACUAAGAGCACAUUAUGAACAAAAGUUUCACCAUCCUUACCAACAUCACCUAUUCCAAUUGUCUUAGCUUUCACAUCAUCACCAAAUGUCACUUUUCCACUUGAUCUUGAUUUCAGCUUUAUGAACAAAGAGGGAUCACCGGUCAUAUGCCUUGAGCAACCGCUAUCAAUGAACCAUUUGGACUUGGUUGAGCAUUUUUCCUGAAAAGAGAAAGUGUUUGGUACCCAUUUUAAUUUUUGGGUCCAUAAUAGUUAGCAUUGUAUCUAACUAACCACAUGCAGUUCAUCCCUUUGUUCAGAUUUCUUUUCACAUAGCAAUCACUUUUCAAAUGCCCUCUUUGACAACAAAAACCACACAUAAUGGAAGAGUCCUUAACAUGUACUGGUUUGACAUAUCUCAAUCCACCUCUUCUAUAUGUUGUGAAACCACGUGCAUUUUUGUUGUGUGCAAAUGUUCUUUGAAAAGUAGUAGGACGUGUAGAUGACAUGUUCCUUUUGAUAAACUCCUGCUUUCUUGCUUUCAAAGACUCAUCCAAGUUGUCCAUCCUUUUUUUCAAAUCACCAUGUCUUUCCUUCAGCAUUUCACAGAUAUUUGUCUUUCUAUCAAGCUCAUUUUGAACAUUACAUCCGGCUCUUACAAGACUUUCAUUAUCGAUCUUUAGUUGUUUGUUUUGUUGAAAAAGACUUGCAUUUUCUUGAAUGAGAAAAGCCAAUUUCUGUUUUAACUGCUUGUUUUUAUCAUAAGAUUCCUUCAAGGCAUUAUGCAGUUUUUCAACAAAAGAUUCAAGAUCAUCAUCUUCAUCAUCAUCACUUUCAGAUUAAGAGUGUGUGGAAGUUAACUCAUUAUUUUCAAUAGCCAUGAAGGCCAUUUGAGCUGAUUCCUCUUCUUUUUCAACUUCCCUUUCGGAGUUGCAUUCAUUCCAAAUAAUCUGAAAGUUGUUGAAUCUUGGCUUUCGAUCAGCUUUUCCAUCUUUCAUCUUCUUCAUGGGGCAUUCGUUUGCAUAGUGUCCAGGCUGUCCACAUUCGAAGCAUUUGUCCAACUGUUUCUUGUUGAAAUCUUGUUUUCCUUUGUACUUUGCGAUAGAUGGCUGAUUCUGGAAUUGAUUGCUAGGUCCUCCCCUUCUAAACUUUCUUUUAUUCAAGAUUCUCUUGAAGCCUCUGGUGAUGAGAGCAAGAUCAUUAUCAUCACCAUCUGAGUCUUCAUCAUCCAAGUGAGCUGUAUCAUCUUCACCUUGAGUAGUCUUUAGAGCAAUGUUUCUCUUUGCUCUAGCAUCCUCUUCCUCCUACACUUUAGAUUUCAGUUUCAACUCAUAAGUGGUUAGUGAGUUAAUGAUAGAUUCAAUAGGCACAGAACUUAAAUCCUUAGCCUCCUCUAUUGCAGUCACUUUAUUUUCCCAUUCUUUGCCCAAAGCAUUGAGAAUUUUCCUGUUCUUCUCUCCCAAGGUGUACUCUUUGCCCAACGCCUCGAGAUCUUUGAUCAAGUCAGUGAACCUGCAAUACAUUUUGACAAUAUCCUCAAGAGGUUCAAUUUUAAAUGAUUCAUAUUUCGUGACCAAGAUAGUUUUUUUCUGUUCUUUCACAUUGUCACCACCCUCAUGGAUUUCUCUUAGUUUAUCCCACAUUUCUUUGGCCGAUUUGCAGCCUUUUACUCUAAUUGAUUCAUUAGAAUCUAGGGCACUAUAAAGAACAUUCAUGGCCUUGGCAUUCAAUGUGAGGUUAGUCCUAUCUUGAGCAUUCAUUUCAGCUCUCGUUUUUGGCCGAAGCAACCCUGUAUCUGCAUCAAGAAAGUUAGCUUCAUGCGGUCCUUCACUCACAAUAAACCAUAAUUCAAUAUCAAUAGAUUGCAGAAAGAUAAUCAUUCGUUCUUUCCAGCUAACAUAGUUGGAGCCACUGAACAUGGGAGGCCUAGUAACAGAUUGCCCCUCAACAAACAUAGCAUGACUGGUUGUCAUCUUUACUCCAAGCCGUUAGAGCUCAAUCUCAAGGAGACCUGGCUCUGAUACCAAUUGUAAGUCCCAAAGACAACCAAGAGGGGGGGUGAAUUGGUUGAUUAAAAUCUUAACCAAAUUUAUGCACUUUUUCUUUAAUAAAAAUUUACCUUCUUUUCUAGUAGUGAUCAACCAAGUAGAUUAGAAGACAAGAGCAAUAUUGAUCAGAAAGACAAGUAUAGAUAAGCAAUGAGAAUUUUAUUAAACAGAAAAGUAAGAUAGGGAAUCAAACCAAGUGUCUACCAAGCUUUCCUCAAACUUGAAGACCAAACACUAGGAGGAGCAACUUCUCUUUGAUGAAAGACAAUCAACUAGAUGUACAAUGGAGGGAGCACUUCUUCCUUGCCCUAAGCCUCACUUAGUCAAGCUAAGAAGUUUUACAAUCACUCAGAAAACCCUCAACAGAGCUACUCUAAAGAUCCUUUCAACCACAAAAGAAAUGCUCACAAGAAAUUCACACCAUUUUAAAACAAAUCUAACUUUGGAGACUAUUUUCUAGCUAAAAUAUCUCUUGAGAUCUUGUAAACAAAGUGUGCAAAAGUCCCAACUUCGUUCAGACCAGUUUGAUUUUAAAGGGAACCAGAAAUGGGCUUCAUCAAUGCUUCCAACGGAUAGAAGGCAGCUGAAGAGUCAACUAGCCGUUGGGGCUGUCGGACGUCCGACGAUCAAAUCAUCGUCCGAUCCAAUCGUCCGAAAAACAGCCAAGUUGACGUUCAGACGUCCGAUGCGUCUUGAUCGUCCGACAGCACAGCGUCCGAUCGUAGGCAGAGAGUUGGCAAGUUAUCUUUGAAUUUUUCGGACGUCCGAUCUGGUUGAUAUGCGUCCGAGGUGUGCGUCCGAUCCUUCCGGACGUCCGAUGCUCCCAUAUGAGCGUCCGACAGAGCUUCCUUCCUGAUGUUCUUCAUCCUUUCGGACGUCCGACAGUUUCCUUUCGGCCGUCCGACCUGAUUGUCCUGUUUUUGCUUCUCAUUUUGGUUGUUUUGCAUUUGAUGACAUAUUCGAACCUGAUUCUUGGAUAGACAAAAACACUUGUUUUUUAAGAAGGUUAGAUAAACAUUUCAAGGUGCCAAGAAUGACAAACUAGACACACUUAAAAGACAGUAUCUUUGAUCGGAACAAAACAAUGACUAAAUUCAUUUAUAUUAUUUCAAUCUUGUUUGCCACAUCCAAAGCAUCGUAGACUGGAGUCAAUCAGACAUAUGUUUUCCUUGUUCCAUCAGGCCUGAUCAAAGUGUUCACUUUCUUGGUCUGUAUAAACGAACUUUUGUGAUCAUCAAAACCAAGAAUAACACUGUGGCACUUCCGUCACGUCGCCCCCCUGAAGCCGGGUCAGGCCCCCUCCAUGCACGACCCCCGCCGCUUCUACCCGUCCUGGGAGCUGUCUAUCAACGACCGAGCCCAGUUCUCCGAGGUGGCUCGGGAGUUGGUAACGGGCUCGGUCCUUCCACGCGACCGGAGGUGGAAGGACGUUUUUUUACAUAGUGAAAAAAAAAACGUUUUUUAACUAGUGAAAACGUUUUUUUACGCGAAAAUCAACACUUUUAGGUGAAAAUUUCCGGUUGCUCAACAUUUCACUUAUUUAAAUUGCUAAGCAUACUCUUAAUUCCAAUACCUUUUUACGCGAAUGUCGACAUUUGUAAAUGCCAACCUCCGGUUACUCAGUAUGUGAAUCAUUCGAGUAGAAAAGUAAUAAUAUUAUUCUCUUUUUUUUUUUAUUUUUUUUAUUUUUUUUUAUUUUUUUAUUUUUUUAUGUUUUUUUAAACAUAUAAUUUCUUUUUCCCUCUAAGUAUAAUUAAAGGAAGAAUUUGGCCUUGUCUUUGACUAUAUCAAUCACUUACUUAUAAAAUUAAGUAAAAAUGAUAAAUAUCAUUAAUCUUGCAAAAUUCUAAGCAUAAUUUUUCUUAUUAACCAAAUAUACUUUCUAAAAUGUAAAAAUCGUAAUUGCAUAAUAAUUCAUUCCAAGCCAAAUAAAAACUAAACUUUUCCAAAAUACACAUAGCAUUUUAUCCAAUGGAAGAAUUAGACACUUAAAAUUUUAACAUUUUGGCCAUUUAAUUGGAAGAAUUGCAAUGAAAUAUUGGAAAAUGUUUUAGAAAAAUUUUGACAGAGUUUUCCCAUAAAAAUAGAUGAAACUCCCUGCCAACAACCUCAAUUUUCACAAAAAUUAUCCUCAUGACUAUAUCUCCACAUAUAAUUCCAACAUUUUUAAGCCAUAAACAACUAAAAUCAUGCAUUUCAAGACACAAUCACCCAUAAGAUAAAGUAAUCCCUCCCCCACACUUAAUAUCUAUAAUGUCCUCAUUGUAGAGGAAGGUAAAAGAACUGAAACUUUUCUCACAUAAGUGGUGAUGCAAUUUGAAACCCUUAAUCAUCACGAUCAUCCAUUUUCUGUCCAAAAUGAGACAACAAGAGUACCAAACACCAUAAGUAGCACAAGAUGAUUCAAAUUAAAGAAAAAUAAAAUCUACAAAGUUUGUCUUAACAAAAGAAAAGAAAAAUAAAGAAAUAAAAGGUCUAAUCCGCUAAAGAGCAUCAUGGCUGCUCGGAACGAGGGUCUACUGCCUCCUCGGCUCCAUGAGGACCAUGUGAUGUACCAAUGUGUCCCUCCUCCUGCUGAGGUGUCGGAGUAGGGGACCGGCGGAUAUGGAAAUGAUCCUCGAUCAUACGAAGACGGCGAUCAUAUCGGUCGAGUCGCUCGGUCAUCAUCCGCUGGUCUGGUCAAUACGCUCGACAACACGUGUCUCCAUACAGCAAAUGGCAUUGAGGAGCUCUUGCCAUUUGGAACGCGGUUGAGGAGGUGGUCGCUGAACCGAAGGAGGAAGAGUCUGCUGUGUCUCCGUCUCUUGAGUUUCCGCUUGCGGUUCAGUUUGAGGCGGAGGCUGAGUGGAAGUCGAUACUUCUCCUGUGUCCCGGAUCAAAGCAGCUCCAAAAUUCAUAGAAAUACCCAAGGAUUUGAGUAUAGAAGCGUUACCUUCUCGGCCGACCUAGUUACCACCGAUCUUUCGGUUCCAAGAGGAACCUUGAGUUUCUCAAAAAUGAGGGAUAGCAGUCGAGGGAAUCCAAAGCAAGUCUCGCCGGCCCUCAUGCGAGCUGUGGUCCGCAUAUAGCUAAUGAUAAUGCUGGGUAGAGGAAUACCAGUCAAUUGCCUACCCACUCCAUGUAUCAUCUUAUCCAGAAAGUAGAGAUCGCUAUUUCGGAUCUCCCGUUUGCCACUCCUUUUCGGCACCACAUUAAAGGCAAAAAGAUAGAAGAUGAGGUGGUACUGAUGCUCGAAGGAGUCAGCAUAUACCGUGAGUUUUUUCGAAUUUUCUCGCUCACGGUACUGACCCUUUAGACGUCCCACGGCCUCUCCCACUUCCCAAGGGUCUCGAGCCUUGAACUCCUUGGUCAAUUUGACAUCUUCGCCUUCGUUUUUGAGUUGGACGAAGCGUCUCAACGUAUCUCGAUUGAGAGCCACUCUCCUGCCUCGAACCCAUGAGAUGAUGAGGUUGCCACUGUGGCUUUGCUUGUUUUCUACAUUAGCGUAAAACUCCCGGACCAGAUUGGGGUAGUAGUGUUUGGGCAACUGAAGGAUGUUCUCCCAUCCAAGUCUUUUGAAUGCUGUAGAAAUGUGAUAGUGCGCGUCCACCUCCGGUGCCAAGUGUUUCUCAAUAAUGAUUUCCUUGUCUAGGCCGGCUUCAUACCAUUGUUGAUUCGCAAAUGAUGUGAAUCGUGUGGUAUCAUAGUCCGGAGGUGGCUCAUCACGGCUAGUAGACGCGGUCUUCCGGCGAGAGCGAGGUGGCGGCUCAGGUGAAUGAGAUUCCUCUUCAGGUGACUCCUCUUGCAAGGAAGGUGUGUGUUCCUCACUUGAAGAAGGAGUAGGAGUACGAAUGCGAGGCCUCCUUGUGCGAGCCAUAAUACCUAUACACAACAUUUUAAACUUGCUCUCAAAUAAUAAAUAAGAAUUUAAGAAAAUUUCGGCAGAGUUUCCCCUUAAAAAAGGGCUAAACUCCUUGCCAAAAUGUUCCCAAAUUUAAACAAAUAAACUUCCUAACAAUUCUCAAAUAAAAUUCCCACAUUUAGAAAGAAUAUUAUCAAUAAAGAAAUCAUGUCAUGCAUAAUAAGUCCAAACAAUUGAAAAUUAUAUUCAUGUGCAAGAAUGAACACCCAAACACUUGAGAAUAUCUCCAAUCCAAUUCAUAACACUCAUAACACUCAGUUUACAUACACAUGAGUUCCAAUUCAUCCAAACAAAUGCAAAUUAUCUCAAGUAAAAGUGGUUCAAUGUGCUUAAUUUAAUUGCAAACAGACUUUUUUAUCCAAUGGGUUUUUGCUCUAAUGAUAGCAUGUCAUUAAUAUAACAGUGAUUUAUACUCCUCGGAACAAGUUCAUAUAUCCAAUGAAAGCAAAAUUCACAAGUCUAAAUCACUAAAAUGCUCAAGCCCAAAAAUUGAGAAAAAUCUUAAAAAUAUCACCAAAUCCACAGUUUUCUCAAAAAUAAGUAUGAAAAUAGUUGUAACAAUCUAUUUAAGCACAAUGUAGCACAAUUAUAUCAAGAAAUUCCAACAAAUAUGCAUUUAUCAUAAUAUUCCCAAAAACUAGAAAAAUGUAGAAUAAGAAAUUAUAAAAUGUCAAAGAAAUUCGCAAAUUGUUACCUCAAAUGUGUGGGAAGAUGAUAGAGGAUGAUAAUGAUGAAAAAUGAGGAGGAAACAAGUCCAAUUUCACCCAGAAAUCAAAGAAUUUCCGUGCGGCCCAAAAUUCCCUUUUGAAGAUCAAAAUCCACUUUUGAUGCUGUGUUGUGGUGAAAUAGUUUAGGGUUUCUGAUCAUACAUGGGUUGGGGAGGUGUUUAUGAUGAAAUAUUGGAGAUUUGAUGGUUAAAAUGGAAGAUUGGAGGAAAGGGGUAGGGUUUUGGUGAGAAGAGGGAAAAGGGAAUUCGAAAAAAUGAGGAACCGAGACCUCGUUUCUUUUCUUAUCGCGAACAGAUCCGAGGUCGGAUCUGUUCUGAACGUCCUCGGAUCCGACAGGGGCUCGGAUCAGUCCCAACAGAAACACAGACGAGCCCUCGGAUCUAUCUGGAUUGGAAUAGAUCCGAGCUCGGAUCGAUGGAUUCGCAGUCGGAUCUGUCUGGGCUUUUAGGAUCCGAGCUCGGAUUUAUAUUUCUCUGCACUAAUUGCAGAAACUGCAAUUUUUCAAACUUUUUCUCCCUUUUCCGGCCAAUUCCAAAUCACACAUUGGACAUAUUUUUUAUUAAUUCCAACCUCCCACACACAUGUAAUAUACCAUAAACACAAUAUCCAACCUCUCAAAACACAACAAACACAUUUACAUUGAAAAUCGAGGGGUAGGGUCCUUUGAUCAUUUCUGUACUUUUACACUAAAAUGGCAUUUUUGGGCAUUAAAUACACAUCAAAUGAGUCCAUGAGCAUUUAUAACAUGUUAUCACCAAAACUCACUUGAAUAUACUUGAAAUGCACAAUGCAUAUAUGAAUGAUAAUUCUAAACACUUAAAGCACAAUUUUGGUAAGAAAACCUCCCUUUUUACACUUGUUCUUCAAUUGUACCUCCAAAAUGGAUGAUGAAACUCCGGUACCUCCUACAAACAAGUGAAAUACAUCUAAUUAGUUAAUUAAAUCACACCAAAAUGUAAAAAAAAACACAUAAAAAUGCAAAUACAAUAUUAUUAUUGGGUUGCCUCCCAACAAGCGCUUUUGUUUAUAGUCGUUGGCUCGACUCAAAAAAAUUGAAUCAUUUUAGAACAUUAAGGAGCGAUUUUCUCCCCAUGGGUCGAAACUUUCGAGCCAAUCCACCAUGUGGUGAGCCAUGCAUUGAUCUCCAUAGUCCAAUUUCCUCAAAUGCCAAGGAGGAGUAUUAGACUUGUCAUAUAAAGGCUCGACUUCACCUUGGAGUGGAAUUUGCUUGUCUUUUUCGAGUUGGCUCAAUUUUUCUCCACUUUUUUCAUGGAGUGUCGAAUUUAUUAAGCCAACUUCCACCCUUAUCUUCUCUUCCCUUGCUCCUAUACCAUGAAAGUUAGUACCAAGAACAUUUAAUAAUUUAACUUCUUCGUUCCUUUCUUGGUUAACCUUUUCAUCACAUGGCAUAUUAGAAACAAGAACAAUAGGCUCUAUACUCCCUUCUUUAUUAUCCAAAUUGAAUUCCAAUUCCUCACCAUUAACCCGUAGUAUAAGCUUACCUUUUUCCACAUCAAUUAUAGUUCGUGCGGUGGCUAAAAACGGUCGUCCUAGAAUAAUUGGCAUUCUCACAUCUUCCUCAAUAUCUAAGACAACAAAAUCCACAGGUAUUAUAAAUUGUCUUACACUUAUGAGCACAUUUUCCAAAAUACCAAUUGGAUGUGUGAUUGACCGAUCCGCCAACUGCAAUAUGAUAUUGGUAGCUUUCAACUCUUGAAGUCCCAACCUCCGGGCAACCGAUAAUGGCAUAAGUGACACACUUGCACCUAAAUCACAUAAAACAUUAAAAAAAUGCAAUUGACCAAUAGUGCAAGGAAUAGAAAAACUUCCCGGAUCUUUUAAUUUAGGAGGGAGUCUGUUCUUAAUUAAUGCACUACACUCUUCCGUUAAUACUAUCAUCUCAUUAUCUACAAUUUUCCUCUUUCUUGACAUGAUAUCUUUCAAGAAACGCGCAUAAGAGGGAAUCUGUGUUAUAGAAUCAAUGAAAGGAAUGUUAAUGUGCAAUUGUUUAAACAUUUUGAAGAACUUUUGAAACUCCCGAUCCUGUCCAUCUUUCUUCAACCUGUGAGGAAAAGGAAUUUCAUUAGAAUUUAAUUGAGGAGGAGGUUCAUCAAUAUUAAUGACUACAUUAUCAUUUUGGCUUGGUUUUACUCCUCCAUAUGCUUGCUCCUUAUCUUUUUCACCACUUGAAUUACUAGAGUUAGGUCCCUCAACCAUUUUACCACUUCUAAGAGUGAUAGCAUUGACUUGCUCUCUCGGAUUCACUUCGGUUUUACUCGGCAAUUCACCAGGGUUUCUGUUGUUGAUCGCAUUGGCAAUUUGACCAAUUUGAAUCUCCAAAUUUCUAUACAUCCCAGCCAAUUGGUCCAGCCGCCCCUCAACUCGCUCGAAUCUAUCCGAAGUAACCUUAGCACGCGUUUCCACAGCGAUCUCCCAACCAGGUUUGGUUUCAACUUGUUGUUGCCUUGAUUGAAAUCCCGGUGGAUUGGCUGGCCUUGGUUGAUUUCCUUGGUCCUUCCAUCCAAAAUUUGGAUGAUUUCUCCACCCCGGAUUGUAAGUAUUCGAGUAGGGGUUAUUUUGAGCAUUACGAUUAUAAUUAUUAACGAAUUGUACCUGCUCAAAAUCAACACACUCAUUAGUAUCAUGUUCACCUCCACAUAUAGAACAACAUGCUACAUGUGCAUUAGAUGAACUUGGACCAACUCCACCUUGUCUACUUAGCAACUUCAUCACAUUAUUCAUUUGAGCACUCAGCAUAUUGAGAGUGUCCAUUUCUAUCAUACCUGCAUGACGUCUUGUAUUACCUCUCUCAUUGGCCCAUUGGUAGUUAUUUGCUGCCAUUUCUUCUAUCAAAGUAUGAGUUUCUUGGGGUGAUUUACCCAUUAAAGCUCCACCUGCAGCUGCAUCGAUCAUAGUUUUAGUAGAAAAACUAAACCAUUAUAGAAGGUUUGUAUGAUUAACCACUCCGGCAGUCCAUGAUGUGGACAUUUCCGAAGCAAAUCUCUAAACCUUUCCCAUGCCUCAUAUAAUGAUUCACCUUCUAAUUGGCUAAAACUAGUGAUAUCCAUUCUAAGCUUAGCAGUCUUACCUGGUGGAAAAUACUUAUUUAAGAAUGCUCUUGAUAAAUCAUCCCAUCCGGUGAAAGUAUUAGGAGCAUGAGAGUGUAGCCAAAGUUUGGCCUUAUCUCUCAAUGAAAAUGGGAACAAUCUUAGCCUUAUAGCAUCAUCACUAACUCCAUUCAUUUUAAUUGUAUCACAAAUUUCCAAGAAUGUAGCUAAGUGUGUAUUAGGAUCUUCUACUGCAUUACCUCCAAAUUGAGAUUGUUGAACCAUUUGGAUAAGUGAUGGUUUAAUCUCAAAGUUGUUAGCAUUUACCGAAGGCCUUGCUAUACUCGUUUGAGAUCCUUGUGUUCCCGAUAGAGCAAAAUCUCGUAGAACUCGCCUAUUUGCUUCGUUUUCUGCCAUUUCUUCUUCAAAUUGUAAUUCUAUCAAGAUAUCUUCUAUUGGCUGCCAAACCUCUUGUUCCUCUUGAUGUGAUGUACUCCUCCUUUGUCUGUGUAAUAUUCUUUCAAUUUCAGGAUCGAAAUGUGUAACUUCUCGAUUUGAUCGGUGCAUAUACUACAAACAAAAACAAGAGAAAUUUUGCAGUUUUAAUUCAACAACUUGAAUAAAAAACAAUGAAAAUAUCUAAAUUAAUAGAGAUGAUUAGGCCCUAAUAUUGCCGCUCCCCGGCAACGGCGCCAAAAACUUGACGGGAUUUUUAUAUCAAUGCAAGUUCAAUUCCGAUUUUACACCCAUUGGACUGCAAGUAUACAUGUCGCAAUUGUAGUACAAGAUGUGUAUCGGGUCGAUCCCACGAGGAGCAAUUUAAACAAUUACUAAACCCUUGUUUUCUCUAUUAUUUAGACUUACAAUUAAUUUGAGCAGAGAAAGUCUAAUGCUGUAAUCUACAAAUCUGAUAUACAAAUCUAGUUUAACAAAUGCUGAAUGCAAAUAGAGAAAUUUCACUCAAGAAAGAUUCUAGGGAUGUAGAUUCCACUUAUGGCAUAAACAACACAAAUUAAUGGAUUUACUUCUUGCUAUUAUUCUUGUUUAACCAGAGAUUCAUUUUCAAAUUUAUCAAGUCUCAUUCUCAUGAUGAAAUGGCCUAAAAUAGUUCAGUUUUCCCUAUUUUCAUGGUGAAAUACUACUACUACUCUGUUUUCUUUCAUGAAAUGCUAAGUAAUCCACUUAAGUGUAUCUCUAUUUUCAUGAACAUACAACUUAGACUCUACUCAUGUGUUUCCAUUGUUACUACCAAUUCUCAUUGAAUAAUAACAACUAUAAACAUGCUAUUGGUGAUCAAUCAACAACAAGUAAUUACAGCUACACAAGUAGACAAGUUAAUACAAGAUAUAACAAGUGUAAAUCACAUUCAGUUAGUAUUAUUUAGCCAUAAGUUUCAUCUACUCCCUAGAUUAAGGGAUUUAGCUACUCAUGAAUGAUUUAACAAUCAAACUCACAAGUUUAUUAAUGCCAAACAUCAUGAAGUACAAGUACAAGAAAGAUAAAAGAAAGCUUAGCCAAUUGAAGGUGAAGCUCUCCAAUUCCUGCUAUGCUCUUGCACAAUAUGAUUACAAGUGAAAACUCCAAAUACUUCUCCAAGAACUCCUAUCUAGAUAGAAACCAGAUACAAGAAAGAAAACUAGCUACGUAUGGUAAUUCCUACUUCUCCCCUGUGUUUCUGCAUAAAAGGUGGUAGAAAGUCUAUCAUCUCUCACUUCAUAAUUUCUUCCACUCAGAUUUUGUAAAAAGAAGUCAAAGAUAUGAUGUUUCCUUUUGUCCACACUCAUUUGGUCUUCUCUUUUGUUGCAGAAGCAUGUGCCACCGAUUUCUGUCCCUCAAAAUAGCUGGAAAGUUGUGAAAAAGGUAAAGAAAAACGGUUGUGGCACUUGCUGAGGAGAGAGACAGAUCCGAGCCUCGGAUCCGAGGGUUGAAAAAUGAUCCGAGCUCGGAUCUUCAGGAUCCGAGGACUUUCCUUGAUGGAUCCGAGGUCGGAUCUUCCUGACCUCGGAUACACUCCGCCAGAAGUACAGACGAGGGCUCAGAUCUCUCUUGUACACACGGAUCCGAGCUCAACACGGAUCCGAGCUCAACUUGUGCAUGAAUUUCAUACUUCAAUUACCUUCACAAUUUCACAAAAUUAAUGCAUUAAUCCACUCAUUUAUCAAUUUUUGAACCCUUAAACAAUAUUUAAACAAUUAUCACCAAAAGAGUUCAAAUAUGGCUUUAAUCUUCUGAAAACAUACCAAAAAUUCAUGCCAAAUUCGUACAAAAUGUACGUUAAAUAUUCACUUAUCAAGAAGCUUUAAUGUGUGGCCCAUGUGUUUGUCCAAAAGUCAGCGCGCGCGUUUUGUACUCGAUUCCUCUCGAGUUUAUUUCAUUAGUGCACGAAACCUCUAAUGAACUUAUAUUCAUAUAAAUAGUAUUCACUCUUAAUUGUUCCAAAAUAAGGGUCUAGAGUCCCUCAAUUAAAUCGCGCGUGUGAAAACGCGUAUUUUCAAUUUAAACGUGAUAAAGUAAAACUCCAAAAAAUUCUUAUAACGAUGGUACUAAUAACUAUCACUUGAAUAUUUAAGCACAAAAAUACCUAUUUCAAGACCAUUGUGCAAGUCUCUAAUUUUUCCAAGCUUAUUGUAUUCUCGAAUCGAUUAUUGACUCCAAUCGCGUAUUCGCUAUUUUCACUUAAUGAGCUUCCGAGAAUUAAAUUUUGAAACGAGUCGCUUUAAAAAUAUAACGAAACUAUAAAUCCAUGUAAUUAGGUCUAAAGAGGCUAGAAAAUAAUAAUCAGAGUAAAUAGGUAAUUAAAUAUUUAAAUAAGCUCGAAAUGGAAUUUAAAAUAUUAAAUUUUUGUGAGUCCUCACAUAUAAUCACUAAUUCAUUAUUGUGCUUGUACUUUUUUUUUUGAGAAAAAAUGUUAUUGUAUUAAGUGUAAUUAGGGAUUUAGUAUAAAUGUAUUAGUAAAUUUAGUAUAACUAAUUAAUAUUUCUAUUAGUAGACAUAUAAUUAUUAGUAUAAUUGAUAAUAUCAAUUAUAUUACAUAUACCAAUAUACAUUAUAUGAUACAUAUAACUAAUAAUAUCAUUAUCAGGUAACUAAGUAAAUUAAAUAUUACAUAUAUAAUUACAUAUAUAUUUAUUUAUAUAUAAAUAUGUAUAUAUUUUCUCAACAGGUAAUGUCUCAGCUUUUGAGCUGCCCAGGCCAACACAGCAGCUUCUCUCAAUGAACGAAUAAUUAGCCUUGUACUGCGUGAACUUCUUGCUUAGAUAGUAAAUGGCUUGUUCUUUCCUUCCAGAGUCAUCAUGUUGACCUAGAACACAACCAACUGCUCCGUCGAGCACGGACAAGUACAUGAUCAGCGGUCGGCCUGGUUUGGGUGGCACCAGGACCGGAGGCUGCAGCAAAUAAUCUUUAAUCUUGUCGAAAGCCUGUUGGCACUCUUCAUUCCAGUACAACGGCACAUUCUUUCUCAAUAACUUGAACAACGGCUCGCAUGUGGCCGUUAACUGGGCAAUGAAUCUCCCAAUAAAGUUGAUCUUUCCUAAGAAGCUUUUCACGUCCUUCUGAGUUUUCGGCACUGGCAUCUCUCGAAUGGCUUUGAUUUUUGCUGGAUCUAUCUCUAUGCCUCUCUUGCUCACGAUGAAACCCAACAAUUUACCAGCUGGUGCCCCAAAGGCGCAUUUCGCAGGAUUUAACUUCAAAUUGUACUUUCGCAGCCUUUCAAAUAGCUUCCUCAAAUCAUCCAAGUGGUCCUCCGUCCUUUUAGACUUGAUUAUGAUGUCAUCCACGUAGACCUCCAUCUCCCGGUGGAUCAUAUCAUGAAAUAGGGUUGUCAUGGUCCUCUGAUACGUUGCUCCAGCAUUCUUUAGACCAAACGGCAUGACUCGGUAGCAAAAGGUACCCCAAGGGGUAAUGAAAGCAGUUUUCUCCCUAUCUUCUUCUGCCAUCAAAAUUUGGUGGUAGCCAGCAAAACAAUCGCAAAAGGAUUCAAUCUCAUGUCCGGCAGUAUUGUCUAAGAGAAUGUGAAUAUUUGGUAGAGGAAAAUCAUCUUUAGGACUGGCUUUAUUAAGGUCUCUAUAGUCAACACACACUCUCACCUCUCCACUCUUUUUUGGAACAGGGACUGGGUUUGAAAGCCAAAUUGGGUAAUGGGAAACAAUGAUAAUGUUGGUUUUGAGUUGUUUUUCAAUUUGCUCUUUUAUUUUGAGGCUCAUAUCUGGUUUGAAUUUUCUGGGUUUUUGCUUUACGGGUGGAAAAGAAGGGUCUGUGGGUAACCUGUGCACCACCACGUCAGUUGAAAUACCAGUCAUAUCAUCAUAGGACCACGCAAAUACAUCUUGGAACAUAGUCAAGAACUCAAGCAUCUCCUUUUUCUGGCUCUUAUUCAAAUGAAUACUAAUCUGCACCUCCUUAAUUUCAUCCUCAGUUCCAAUGUUAAUCUUUUCUGUUUCUUCCAGGUUCGGUUUCGGUUUUUCCUCAUAUUGUUCAAGAUCCUUUGCAAACGAAUCGGAUACUCCCUCAUUAUCACUCUCGCUUUGGAGUUCGGAUUCACAAACCUCCAAGUCGUGAGUGAUAUAGAGAUUGCCAUUAUCAAAUUCCAGAAUUGUGAUAUCCAAAGGAUCAAAUAAUUUUAUUUUUGGCCAUCUGAAAGAAUUAACGAAUGUAGGAUAAUAAGCAAACAAACACACAACCAACAAAUGGACAAGCAAUAUGAAUAUAAACAAGCGAAUAAACAACAAAACAAUGACAAGAACAACUUGUGCAUUUUCAUAAAGACCUUUGAUUGAAAGCAAAUGGAAAUGAAAGCUUAACAAUAUUUACAUGCGCAGACGUUAGUCAAAAAGGAAAUUGUUUUUCAUUGGCUAUUUACAGAUGCAAAAGCAUUUUCAUGAAUUCACAUGAAUGAUAAACCCCUUUCAUUUUACCGAAACUCCUUCCGAACGGGCAGGGACUCGGCUGUCCAAUUGGGAAUUGAUCCUUCGGGGAUGUCAGGAAAUUCAGCUUCGCCUGGAACAAUAUCUUCAAAUGUUGCCCCAACGAACAAUUGGGCCAAACUUGCUUCAAUUUCGUCAACUGGGUUGACUUCUGACAUGAUCACCUCAGCUGGUCGUGGGAAAGUAUAACGCAGUGGUGGAAUGUCAAGAACCCUUUGCCUUCCUUCUUUCUCCGCUCUCUUGCGCUCCUUCAUCUCCUUGAAAUCCUUGGCGGUUGGUCUGAAACCCAAACCGAAGGUAUCCCUCUUUUCUACUAUCUUCACUGGCUUCAGGAUCCCUUGCAGUUCACGCCCCAACCCCUUGUCGAAUUUGUAUCCUCCACGAAUCAUUUCUCUGGCCAUCAUUACACUGGCCUUUGAGAGAGUUUGUUCCUCCGUGGUUAUCCAACUUACGGAGACUAUAUCGGAUGUGCUGUGAGGGGACAUGGUAACACUUUGACUACCCUCCUCUUUAACUCCAGAAUCGGUGAUCACCAGACAGUCCUCUUCAGCAAAGAUAGUGAUUAGUUUGUCAUUUACCACGAACUUGAGCAAUUGAUGCAACGAAGACGGCACAGCCCCCGCCUUGUGAAUCCAUGGCCUUCCAAGUAAGAUAUUGUAAAUGCUCGGGAAGUUCAUGACUUGGCAAGUUAUUUGAAAUUGGGCCGGCCCCACCUCGAUUACUAAAUCUGCCUCUCCUAUUGGCUCCCUCUGCGCUCCAUCAAACCCUCUAACAAUAGUCCCUGAAGGCCUCAGCUUGAUGUCUUGCAAUCCUAGUUUCUCUAAGGUACUCCAAGGACAGAUAUUCAGUGCGGAUCCAUUAUCGAUUAACACCUUAGGCAGCAUUUUUCCGUUGCACCUCACUGUUAUGUACAACGCCCUAUUAUGUCCGAUGCCCUCCGUCGGCAAUUCAUCGUCAGAAAAAGCAAUUUGCUUGUUGAACAAUACGCUCCCAACCACGUUUGAAAAAUUAUCAACAGAAAUGUCCCUCGGAAUUUGAGCUCUUGUUAAUAUGUCAAUCAAUGCAUCCCUAUGCACGUCCGAAGAGAAAAGUAGGUCCAACAUGGUUAUCUGGGCAGGUGAUUUGCUUAGCUUUUCCACUAUGUUGUAUUCACUUCUCUGGAGUUGUUUAAGGAAAUCCACGGCUUCUUUCUCGGUGACUGUUGGUUUGAUGGGUGGCUCAGAACUAUUGGCUUGAAUUGGAGUAGUAGUCUCAAAUGGAUUUACAGUCUUCCCCGAUCUGGUAACUACUGACACUUCCUUCUUUGCAGUUGAUUUUUCCCCGAUCUGUAUGCUAGGCUCAUCGUAAUUCCACGGCACUUGUUGCAGACUUAAUACGGGCUCUUGCUUCGGGAAUUCGAUGAUUACUGGUUUCAAAGCUUCAUUCUCCGCUGGCGUGAGAUCUAAGACAAAAGGCUUGUUAUCUUCUUUGAAUGGCAACUCUAUGACAAACGGUUGGUCCGUGACCCCAAACACUUCAGCUUCUAUUGCCAAUUUCUUGAUUUGUUCCUCGUACUCCGCAUCGUCCAUAAUAACCCCAACAUGCUCUGGUAAGGGGUUUUGAUUUACGUUUGGCCCUUGUAGCUCCCUUUUUCUGAUCACGAUUUCUCCAGACUCAACCAUAUCCUGAACUUUAUGCUUAAGCGCCUUGCAAUCCAAAGUUGCAUGUUCGGGGGCCCCAGAAUGAUAAGCACAGAUGGCUUGCGGGUUAUACCAGGCGGGCAUGCCAUAUGGAUAGGUAGGAGGGGGUACCAUACCAAUUUUUCCGGCGGCCUUUAACUGAUCAUACAAUUGGUCUAAAGGCCUACCUAAAUUGGUGAAUGUACGGCUAGGGGGUCGGUUGUAAGGUUCAGUAGGUUGAGGAUGGUUGUAACCAGGUCUAUUCGGUGGAGGAAAUCUUGGGUUAUAUGGUGGGCGAGGUCGGUUUUGGGGUGGAUUUGGUUGGGAAAUUUGAAAAGGGGCUGAAGGUGGGUUAGGGUAGCUUGGGCGAGGUCGAGGAUGCUGGAUAUUAGUGGCAUAUACAGGGUACGGGUUCGAAUAGUAAUGAUAAGGUGGUUGGUAAGUUGGAUUGUGUUGAUAUCGGGGUCUAGGCGAAGGGUUUUGGUUCCAAACAAAGGUUGCGUCCCCCUCCUUCUUUUUGAACGGCGGCUUUUUCACAUUGCCUCCUUGACCUUGUAAAGCAUCCAACUGAGAUUUAAGGGCGGAAACAUUGACAAUCUUCCCAGCCCUCACAAAGUCAUCAAACUCCUCAAGUUUAUUUACAAUGGCAGCAAACGAACAUCCGGUCAUACGGAAAAUCUCUUCGAAAUACGGCGGAUCAUGGGCUUUGAUGAAUGUGCGAAUAAUUUCAUCCUCAAUCAUCGGUGGUUCCACCUUCGCAGCUACUUUUCUCCACCUCUUGGCAUAGGUCUUGUGGUCCUCAGAAGGCUUCCUUUUCGUUCCUUCCAGAGUAGUCCGGGUGGGAGCCAACUCGCAGUUGUACUCGUACUGUCUCACAAAUGCAUUAGAUAAAUCAAUCCAGGUUUUCACGUCUUCCAGUUUCAGGUUGGAAUACCAGUCAAGCGCAUCCCCUUCCAGACUCUCGGGGAACAACCUUAAAGGCAAAUUCUCAUCGUCCACGGGCUUUCCCAAUUUGUUGGCAAAUAGUCGGAGAUGUGUCUUGGGAUUACCCGUCCCAUCAUAUUUGUUAAAUUUAGGGGUUUUGAACCCCUCAGGCAACUGCACGCUCGAAAAAAGGCACAAGUCAUCAUAAUCCAGGACUCCCUGCUUGUUCAACCCCUGGCUCUUCCUUAUAAAUUCAUCGAAACGAUCUAGACGUCUGAGCAACUUCAUAUCGAUUGGAGCAGAAGAUUCACCCAUUUCAGGCUUAUUUUGGAAAGUGUGCUCCGGUAUCACGGGUUCUGCGGUGGUUUGAUAGAAAAUUGGUGGGUUCAGAUGCAUGUUUGGGUCACUUUGAGGCUGAAAUCCUUGACUAUAGGAAGGGUAGAAAGGAGGAUUUUGAGUAAAAGCAUAUUGCGGAUUAAAAGUUCCCUCAAACGUAGUUUGAAACGGAGGAAUAACAAGUGGUUCGGAUUGUGGUUGUGUAGCGGGUACAGGUUCAGGUCGCACUCCGCUACUGACAAGCUCGUCAAUCAAUUUCUUCUGAGCGGCCAUUUCAGAUGCCAUCUCCCCAAAUUUAGUGAGCAAUUCGGUCAACUGAACCCCGGGACUUGCAAUCUCCGGCUGGGUCGUCGCAACGGUCUUUUCCGAUGACUCUUGUUGGGUACUCAUGUCUACACGAUUCCUUUGGGCCUUACUUCGGGAUCGCGUUAUAAUGGGGCUUCGUCGAGAAGCUAUGUUUAAAAUUUUACCUGAGAAUGCAAAAGACUUCUUUAGAUAAACCAAUCGUUAUUAGAUUUUCUGCAAUUUGUUCAAAAGGAAAAAAGAAAAAGGCAUGAGUUAGUAAUUAUUCAAACAACUCAGAUGCAUGUCCUACGGGGGGACCCUUUUUGUGCCAAGGGUAGGCCUAGCAUGAUGCGAACCUUCGGGGCAAAAUCCCAUUCCCAAACCUGUAAGUGAAUUUAGAACCUUGAAAUGGAAAGCUUUUCAUAGAAAUGUGGAAAAGUUCAAUCUUUCUUUACAACUUCUUCAAUGGUCUUAGUAACCAUGUUUACAAAAUCCCUAUGUCUCAAAAGACUUGUACUUUGCGAUUCCCUAGAGCUCCCUAAACUGAGUUUGCGAGCUCCUUCCCUAAUCCUAUCAAAGGCAUCUAUGGCAUCCUCUAGCUUCUCGCUCUUCUUUUUCUCCCUCCUCAGCUGCACUUGAGUAUCUUCUAGAGCUCGGUUGGCCAUCAUAAGCUGGGCUUGAGAUUCCUCCAACUCUUUCCUUAGCUUCUCCAUUUGCUCUUCGGGACUGGCCGAUGCUGAUUGCUGCCUUGCCCUAUCACGUUCCACCCUUUGUCUGAUCCAUUCGUUGUACCCAGGCAUAACUGCAGGUGCCACCUUAUUUACCAAUUCCAACGGCAGAUUCUCAAGACCUUGCAAAUUUCCCCAAGCCUCUAAUACCAUGCUUCGACUCUCGGUCACCGUACUUAGUCGGAGAUCUUCGAUCCCUUGCACCAUAGGAAUGCUUUGCGGGUAUCCAAACUGUCUCGUAACCCUUUGUGGAAUAUAGGCGACUAGACCAUUGACUCCAGCCAGAGGGAUGAAGUCAUGUUGAGUGGUCCUAAAAGCAGGAUCCCUAACCUUGGUCCAAUCUAGAACCCACUGUACCUUUUCUGGUGUCAAACUGUUGAACUCCUCAAUAAACCGGCUUGACGACGUCACGCGGUAGUAGCGGCCGACUCUCUCUCGAUGUGAAUCAAUCCAAUUCUCAACUGGAAGGCAAGAACCCAAAGGGUUCAGCGAUCUCUUCGCCAAAUGUUCCAUGAUCCACAUUUGAAGCAGCAAGUUUGAAGCAUAGAAGAAGCCACCUUUCCUUUGGCAAUUGGUAAGGGCCGAGAAGAUGUCCGCUAUAACAACGGGUAUCAAAGUUGGUGUUGUUCCACGAAUGCCUAGAAAAAGCCCUUGAACCAUAUUGAUUGUUGCAAACGUCACAUUUCCAUGCCUUUGAGGGAAAAGCAACAAGUUGAUCAAAACCAAACCAAAAGCUUGCACACGCUUUUCCUCCCAUUGCCCCUUCGUUACAAAGAAAUCGAUCUGAUGGCGCUCAAAGGACUCCUUUUCCCCAAACCGGUCGUAUAGAAACUUCAGUGGACAAGAUCCAGCGUCGGGGUGUUGGUCUAAGCUAUUGUUUCGCAAUCCCAGAAAUCUGCAAAACUGCUAUUUCGUUCCUCUGCUCGGGUAUAUCAUAGGACUGCCUUUUCCUGGUACUUGCAACAAUCCCUCUAACUCUUCUAGUGUCGGGGUGAGUUCGCACAUUCCAAACCGAAAAACCGAGGCAUCUGGAUCCCAGUAAUUGAUCAAUGCUUGGAUAGCAGAUACAUUGGGUAUUAUAUCAACCAAGCUCGGUAGAUGUCCCACGUAUUGGAAUAGUCCCCCAAUUUCAUAGGACAGGUUGUUCCUCCACUGAUUCAGCUCUCGGGGAACUUGGUUGAGCAUUCGACACUGCGUCAUCUGGUCAGGAAAUUCACUUAGAUACCAUUACCUUGGGAUUUUACCCCUUAGGUUAAACUUGCAAAAAGUAAACGUGCAGAUCCCAAAAAUAGGGUUAAAUACCCAUGGGAUGAGGGUUGGCUUCCCUAAUAUGGAAAUUGCCUAAUUGGCAUUCCUUCUAAGUUUUAAUGCAUGAUGCUAUUUAUUAAAGCGAUAUAAACAUGUGACAAAUAUGGCCUAGAGGAUAUAAAUAAUGCAACGGGGGAAAAGGUCUAAAAAUGACAUGUAUUUAUUGAAAGCUAACUGCAAAAACUGAAGUUUAAACAUGCGAGUUUAUCUAAUAGGUAAGUCGCUAGAAGAGUGCCAAAGGGGCCUCUUAUUACUAAAGCACAUGAGUGCAGACCAAGAAAACAAUGAAAUGGUUAGUGCAGUUGAUAGUACACAUAACACAUUGGGAGCAAUUAAGAAAAGAAAUACAAUAAAGCAAGUAAAAGGGGCGGAACCCCUUCCCUCGUGCCUAAUGUACUUAAAAGAGGGUGAGGCUGACUCUAUCCUAAGGAAAUACUAACAUGGAUGCAUGAGGUUGGGGUUCACUAAUGCGACUAGACUCGAUAAGGCUUAAAAGGUCCCCAAGCCUUCAGACCUAAGGGAAUGGGUCAUCAAUCCCAAGACCCUCGGUCGGUGGCUCGAGCGGUCCCCUAGGUAUUGCUAUGGGCGCAAAGCACACCAUCCACAUACCCAGAGAAACCAUUCCUAUUCCUACAAGGCGGUGUGGGAAAGAGCCCACGAAAAACAAAAUAAAAUGGGAUAAAAGCAAGUAAACGUGCACGUAUGAAGUGUUCCCCUAUUUUGAGGGAAGGGGUUGAGAACCACGCGAGGCUCUAAAGGUGACACACACCCCCCCCCAAAAUGCAAUGCAAGCGCGAGAUAACAAGUAAACAUACAUCCAAUCAACCAAACACACGUACGUGAGUGAGGGAAAAGUUUGAUACGCGCGCGAUGCGAAAAAGUCCUAAAAUAAAAAAUGCAACCCUAAUAUCCAAAUGCAAUGCAUAAAAAGGGUAGAAAAAGGAAACGAAUGGCUAAGUCAAAUGCUCGGACCCACUUAGGAAGUCCCCAGUGGAGUCGCCAACUGUCGCGCCCCACUUUUCGAAUGAAUGUGUGUGUUGUGUGUGUGUGAGUGAUGUGUGUGUGAAGUGUGGUGUGAACGGGUGCAAAAUGAAAAGUAGAAAGGCCAUGGGACUUUGGAAAGCGACGAUUUGGCCAAAUGAAAUUUUUUAAAAAGGGUUUUUUAAAUAUGAAAACGGAGUCGCCACUUGGUAUAGAUUUGGGGUGUACCAAGUCACCCAAAAAGUGUUUUUAAAGGCAAAGUAGUAAAACCCUUUUUAAAAUGACUCCUAGUCCACGUAAGCCAAAGAAAAAGGUUCGGGGGUCACGUUUGACAAAGGGGAAGGCAAUGAUAGAAUCCAAGGCACCCCUUUGACCUAGCUAAGGCUAGUUGCGCGACUUAAACCAAUUUUUCCUAAUUUUUCUACCCAAGGUAUGUAUCGCGUAUUGGAUAUGUCUAUAUGAAUGCAAAAACCUAGACCUAGGGGGAUUGGGGGAAAUUUCUCUUCAAAGGUCGAGUGGUGCCAACCACAUUAAUUGUGAAGCCCAAUAAUGAUCCCUUUGAAGAGGUCACACCUAAACCUAAAUGACGUGAAAAAUGAGUGGAAUGCAUGCCAUGUGAAAGCGUGAGUUUGUGUGAAGUGAGAAAAAUGAUAAAAGUAAUAAGAUAAGAGUGAAGGUGUGCAAAUGUAGAUGAAAGUACUCGUGUGCGAGUGAAGAUAAAAUGCUCGUGUGCAAGUGAAGAUAAAAGGGUUCGUGUGCAAGUGGAGACAAAGAAGUGUUCGUGUGCAAAUGAGAGGAAAAGUGAAAGUGUAAUGAUGGAGUGGACUUAGAAUGCAUGAGCCUAGGGAAUUCAUGCAUAUUGGGUACGGGGAGACCUAAAUCGUGACUUGAUUUUCCCUUUGAUUAGAAGGCGAAACUAGCGUGCUAAGGCUAUCGAGUAGCCACACUCGCUCGUUUCCCUUAUCGGAAGGGGACACUCAAGCAAAUGAACCCUACAACUAUCAUGAUAUGCAAAAAUCCUAAAAUGAAGGGAAAGGGGGUUCGAGGAGCAUGCCAAGUGAUAAAACUAAGGAAAAUGCAUGAUAUGUGGUGAACAAUCAAAUGAUAUGCUAAUGAGGGGAAAUCCCUAAGGGUCUAGCGUUGGACUAGCCCAUUCUAUGAAUUCCGACUAGCGUUGGACUAGCGUAAACGUACAUUCAUCCAUUCCAUUCAUUCAUGGCUAUGAAAGCAAGUAGACAUGCCAAAAUACUCGUAAACACAUAGCACAUAGCAUUUAGCAUGCUCGACUAGAUGCAAGAGCCUAAUAAAGCAAUUAAACAUGUAGCGACAAAAACAAGCAAGCAAGGGGAAGGGGAAGUGGACCAGAUGCUCUCCGAGCCCUAUCUAUUACAAGCCAAGAGGUGUACACAUACCCCAUAAAAGCAUAAAGGGGAAGGGAAAAUGGACCAGAGGCUCUCCGAGCCCUAUCUAUUACAAGCCAAGAGGUGUACACAUACCCCAUAAAAGCAUAAAGGGGAAGGGAAAAUGGACCAGAGGCUCUCCGAGCCCUAUCUAUUACAAGCCAAGAGGUGUACACAUACCCCAUAAAAGCAUAAAGGGGAAGGGAAAAUGGACCAGAGGCUCUCCGAGCCCUAUCUUAAAUAAAAGUAAAAGCCAGUAAAUGCAUGCAAGGAGGUAAGGAAAGCGGAGUAGGCAUGCAAUUUCACAUAACACGUAGGAGCACAUAGGGUCAAAUGAAGUGCAAAAUGAGGGAUAGAGUGUACCUCCCUUGAAGUGACGCCCUAACGUAGUGAAAUUACUAACUUACCCUCCAAAAUAAUAAAAAGGGUCAAGGUACCUCAAAUAGUAGAAUAUAACAAAAAGACGGCUUAAGCUAAGACCAUCAAAACAAAAGGUUAAGGCACCACUUUAAUGAUAAAAUAUAAAUAAUCCAAAUGGCAUUCAUCAAAUCAUAAAAAAAAAAAAAUUCCUCAAAUCGCAACUUAAAUGUAGUCAAAGGUACUUAAAGAUUAAGGAGAAGGCAUGGCCUAAUCAAAUUCCAAGUAAAACCUCUAUUAAGGACUCAAACAUAAUCCUUACCCAAACAUUCGAGUCAUCGAACAUUUAAGAACUUUAAAAGGUCCAAAACCAAACAAGUGUCAAGCAAUCCAACACAUAAACAUGGAAUUGGACAAUUAGAAGCAUUUAAAUGCCUAAGGUCCAAAAGCGAGAAAAAGGUUAAGCAACGAAUUUAUUUGGGAAAAAUUAAAGAGAAUAGGCAAACAUAAGCUCAUUCAAACACAAGGUUCACAAGUUCAUGCUCUAAGGACCACCAAAACAAACGAAGGCAAACAAGCAAUCGAGUUGGAAAAUUGAGGCUACCAAGGACUCAAAUGCGAACACUAACCAAACACUCAAGCCUAUCAAACACUUCUAGGAACUUCAAAGGUCCAAAGGCAAAGAGAAAAAGUCAAGUAAUGGCUCGAAAUUCAACUACUCUAAGAUCUAUUUGCAAAAAAUUAGAACUUAAUUGAGGCACUUAAGAACUCAAAGGUCUCCAAGUAAAUAACAAAGUCCAAGCAAGCAUCAUAUCUCAAGAAUCCAAGAGUGAAUGAAGGUCCAUGAAUGGUUCAAACUUGCAUUUCUAGGACCCAAUAAUGACCACUAAUCAAUCACAAUCAACGUUAAAAUGAAUCAUCAAAGAGUUUCAGAGGUCCCCAAAAUAAUAAAGAUCAAUUAAUGAUUCGAAUGCAAACACUUUAGAACCUAAUUGCAAGAACAUGAAAUGUAAUUGGGCCAUCAUGCAUUGCUGCAAAAAUACAAGGGAUCCAAUUGAUUAAAUUUCCAAAGUUUUUGGGCCUUAGUGGCUUAAGGGGAGACUUGGGGUUUGAAUGCAAUUUUUGAAAAUAUCUUGCAUGCAAACUUACGUAAAAGAACAAAUUCUGCAACUAAAGCUUCUAAAAUGAAAUGAAUGUCUGCUACAUUUUCGUUUUCAACCAUAGAUCCCACAAACUAAAACAAGCUUUGAUCAAAUUUCCACAAACCAAAGUCUUAACUCGGGAUUAAGCAACUCCACACACAACUUUGAUAUUCAAACCAGCAAAGACAUAUGAAGAAAUCAGCAAACAUUGAAGAGCGAAGUCUGCUGCAUUUUAUUUCCAAGCUUGCAACAAUUUUCAGCAAAGUGUUCAAACGACCAUAGCUCAAAGAUUUCAGCCUUUAAACAUAUAAACUCAACACCAAAAAUUCCAUUUCUUCACCCUUGACAUCAGAUUGAACUAGCAAAGAGUGACCAAACCCAGUUUUAGUAAGCUGCUAACAAGAUAAAAACAUGAAAUGCGGCUUUUCUUUUUUUGAUUUUUUACCCCAACUUAGACAGGUUUACAUGCCAAUAUGUGAGAAGCUCUAACUAACAUUCAAACCAGAAAUACCAAGCUUCAAACUGAUUGUCAUUAUCAUCUAAUUUCCAUAAAACCUGAUCGAAACAGCCAUCUAUAAAAUGCAUCAAAAGAAAAGGUGAAACCUGCGGUAAUCUAAGGAAAAGGAAAAGGGCUGCAUGCGCUGCUAUGAAAUUUCCCAAAAUACAUUUCUAACUUCAGAUGUUAUUCAUAGUAUAUCAUUCAAAUAUGGAUAACCAAGACAAAGAAGGUUAAUUGAGUCACGGCUUCCACAAAAACAAAGAAAAAGGGCCGACAUGUCCGAAUUGCUGCAAUCCAGUCAAAAAGAUUCAAACUUGUUUCAGUAAGCUCUUAACCUAAGGACCCAAAAACAAGAACCAAAUUCACAUAAGGAAUUCCGACACCAGUCAUCAAAGCGUUGAACAACAUCCAGACUCUUCAUAGUCCCAUCAUCUUAAACAGAUUCACAAUGAACGCAUACAAGAGUAACUUCAGCAUUUCAUGAAUCCAACGACUAAAAGCAGGUAAAAGCUAUUACCUUUACACCCUUUUUAGGAUCCAAAUGGGAACUGAGAUGAUCGAUAGUAAGGGUCCUCGUUGAACUGAAAACCUUCUUCUUCUGAUGCUGCUGCUCCUUCGUCCUUUCCUUGCUAUUUCUCCGUCGAUGCUUCGCCAGCCACCAACUAAGCUCUCGGUUAUUGUUUCACUCCCCUUUUUCUGUUCUCGAUUUUCUUUUCUUGCUGCCCGACAAACCCAGUUUUCCUAGCCGUCACUCCCUUCUCAUCCCCAAAACCCUUGCUCAGUUUUUCUUUCAGCUUGACAAUGCUCUCUAAUUCUCAGCUCCCAGUUCUCUUUUUCGUUCUUACUCUCCCCCCGAGAAUCCCUUUGCGGCUGAUGUCUUCUCCUUCUAUUUAUCCUACCUCCCAAACCCCUAAACCCUUGCUUGUAAGGUGAGGAUGAGGGGCAAGGACAGGCCCUCACAUCCAGCCCUCCAAAGGGCAAGCCUGGCCGUCCUUGCACGCUGCAAAAAAUUGUAGCGUGCAUGCUGCAUUUUUUUUUUUUUUUUUUGCUAAUUAAACAGAAAUUAAUAACAAUAAAAAUGAAAUAAAUGAUAAUAACAAAGUUUAUAAUAACAGAAAUUGAUAUUGAACAGCAAAUUACAACUUCCAUUUUUCAUCCAUUUUCUUUUUUUUCUUUUCUUUCUUUUCUUUACUUAAAUAAACAUAACAAUAAAAGAAAUAACAAUAAAAUGCCAUCAAAAACACAAAUGCUUGUAAUCUGAAAUAAUAAUAUAUUUUCUUUCUCUUUGAAAAACAAUUAAAAUGUAUCAAAAAGUAAAUAAUGCCUAUUACACUAAAAACUUUUCCUUCAAAUUUCAAACUUUUCACUUUUUUUUCAAAAUAGGCCAGUAUGCAUUAAACCAUUUUUCCCAUUUCUUUUCCCCCCUUUUUUUUGUUUAUUUUCACUUUUCUCUUUUUUUUUUUUCUAAAAUAAAUCUACGCUAAAAAUUAUAAAUUAAAAACUACAAAAACAACUAAAAACUAAAAAGGGAAAUAAAAUAAAAUAAAACCUAAAAAAGCUAGACAAACGAAAAUGAGCUAAAAUGCAAAAACCGUCUAAACAAAAAUCAACCGAUUAUCACUAAAACCACACAUACAAAAUUAAUUCAAAAAAUUGGUGUCUACAGCUGGUGGUCCCACGGGGGGGACAGCCAUGUAGCUAUGAAGAACAGGCGACUUGCCCCCGAGGGGGAUGAUUCCCAGAAGCGCUUGCGCAUGAACGAAGAGAUCACCUUCGGACCAAGGGAUGCAGUUCCCCUGGCGUCCGGGAACCACGAGGCCAUCAUUAUAGACAUCGUCACCAAUAACUAUCGGAUGAAGAAAGUGUACGUCGACCAAGGGAGUGCGGUAGACAUCCUGUUUUACCGGGUGUUCAAAGAGUUCGGCUUGAAAGACAGACAGUUGACCCCGGUUCGGACACCCCUGGUGGGCUUCACCGGACCACCCAUCAACCCGGAGGGAAUGAUCACCCUGAUGGUCACGGUAGGGCAGGCCCCCAAAUGUCAGAUCAUCCCUGUCAAUUUCGUGGUGGUCAAACAACAAUCCCCGUAUAACGUGUUCUUGGGUCGGCCCGCUUUGAACGUCCUCCGAGCUAUUCCCUCCUCACUCCACCUCAGCGUCAAAUUCCCCACCCCGGGAGGAGUAGCCGAGGUGCAUGGAGAUCUAGAAGUGGCCAGAGCUUGCUAUUUGGCUAUGCUUCAGGUACAGGAGAAGGUGGUCUCCCAGACGACCAGCUUGGAGCCCUACAUCCCGAGGGAGGAGGUCCGGCAGUUGAGCACCCCGGAUGAGGUUGAGGAGUUCCCCUUGCGAGAGGACAGGUCUGACCGGGUCCUCCGCAUCGGCGCGUCAUUACCUCCCGAGGAAAAGGAGGGUCUGAAGGCCCUGCUAAGGGAGUACUCUCGGGUUUUCGCAUGGACGGUUGAGGACAUGCCCGGAAUCCCGACUGAUCUGGCCGUCCAUUACCUCAACGUAGAUCCUCGCUUCAAGCCAGUGAAGCAGAAGAAUAGAAACUUCACCCCGGAGAGGAAUGAGUUGAUCAAGAAGGAGGUCGGCAAGCUGCUGGAGUCCAAAAUCAUCCUGGAGGUAUAUUACCCGAUCUGGUUAGCCAACCCGGUUCUGGUAAAGAAGGAGAACCAGUCUUGGAGGAUGUGCGUGGGCUUCACAGAUCUCAAUAAGGCCUGCCCAAAAGACUGCUUCCCCUUGCCGAUGAUCGACAUGUUAGUAGACUCUACUAUGGGUUUUUACGUUUUGUGUUUCCUAUAUGCCUUCAAAAGAUACCACUAGAUAGAGAUAACCGAAGAAGACCGGGAGAAGACCUCCUUCAUCACCGAGGAAGGGAUUUACUGCUACCGGACAAUGCCGUUUGGGCUAAAAAAUGCUGGACCUACCUAUCAGCGCCUGAUCAACAAAUUAUUCCAGAAUCAGAUCGGCAAAAGUAUGGAGGUCUACGUGGACGAUAUGAUCGUCAAGAGUCAAACUGACCGAUGACAAGUUCCCGAUCUAAAAGAGAUUUUGGAUAUCCUCUAGGAGAGCCGGAUGCGGCUGAACCCGAAGAAAUGUACUUUUGGGGUUAGGUCGAGAAGGUUCCUAGGUUUCUUGGUGUCCCGAGAGGGGAUCCGGGCCAACCCGGAUAAACUCUAGGCUAUCAUGGACAUGGCUCCUCCAAGGAACGUAAAGGAGGUCCAACGGUUCACGGGAAGGAUGGCCGCCCUAAAUAGAUUUCUCUCGCAUUCCGCAGUGAGGGGCUACCAUUCUUCCGAAUCCUGAAAGCGCCUAAGGACUUUCAAUGGACUGAGAAAUGCCAGAAAGCCUUCGCCGACCUGAAAGCCUAUCUGGCUGACCGUCCCGGAGCAGGGAGAGACCUUGUUCCUAUAUUUGUCUGCUUGCAACGAGGCCGUUAGAACGGUUUUGGAGCGGGAGGACAGGGGGCACAGAGGCCAAUAUACUACGUCAACCGUGCUUUACAAGGGUUGGAAACGCGAUACACGCCAGCAGAAAAAUUGGUCCUUGCCUUGGUGCACGCCGCCCAGAAGCUCCGACCUUACUUCCAGAUCCACAGCAUUGUUGUCAUGACUGAUCAGCCCCUACGACAGAUACUCACAAAGUCCCAGGUCUCUGGCAGGAUGACCAAGUGGGCCGUCAAACUGGCCGAGCACGACAUCGGCUAUCAGCCUCGCACCGCUAUCAAGGCUCAGGCCCUGGCAGAUUUCCUUGCUGAGGGAGCCAGUUUGUCUGUGGCCGAACCGAGCUCUUCGCCCAAGGAGGCACGGCCGGGAGAGCGAUGGGUACUGUUCGUGGACGGGGUCUCGAGCAAGGAAGGGAGCGGAGCCGGCCUGCUGCUCGCCUCGCCCACAGGAGAAGAGCUGACCUAUGCGCUCAAGUUCGACUUCCCGGCAUCCAACAAUGAGGCGGAGUACGAGACCCUAUUGACAGGAUUGCGGAUAGCCCACCAGAUGGGUAUAACUGCGAUCAAAGCUCGGAGUGACUCCCAACUCGUAGUCCACCAAGUUCGCGGGGAGUACGAGGCCAAGGAAGACAUCAUGAAAAAAUACUUGGCUAAGGUACGAGAGGCGAUAACCCUGUUUGAUGUUUUUGAAAUUGAGCGGGUGCCGAGAUUGCAGAACAAGCGCGCGGACGCCCUGUGGAAACUGGCGUCCUCCUCGUUUGCUCACCUGAGCAAGGAAGUUUUGGUGGAGGUAGUCAGGCAAAAAAGUAUUAACCAGAUCCAGGUCUUGCCAUAGACAACCCGACCUCUUGGAUGACUCCCCUCGUGGACUUCCUCAACUCGGGUGCCCUCCCUGAGGACAAAAUCGAGGCUCGCCGGCUCCAGUUCAGAGCCACCAAAUAUGCCUAUUUUGGGGGGACCCUCUACAGGAGGUCGUAUCUGUCUCCCUGGCUGAAGUGCGUAACUCCUGAGGAGCGCGACUAUAUCCUCCGAGAAAUUCAUGAACGCUUGUGCGCGGCACAUGUGGGAUCCCGAAUUUUGGCCAAAAGGUGCCUACUCCUAGGCUACUAUUGGCCCUCAGUGUUUCGGGAUGCUGCGGCGCUAGUUCAAUAGUGCCGACCUUGUCAGGUGCACGCUCCGCUGCGUCACCAGCCAACUCAGGAGAUGGUCCCCAUCCACAGUCCUUGGUCCUUUGCCCAGUGGGGAAUAGACCUCUUGGGGCCUUUUCCCCGAGUUCCCGGGAGAUACGAACACCUCGUGGUGGCCAUCGAUUACUUUACAAAGUGAAUAGAAGCGGAGCCUCUGGCCACUAUCUCUGGAAGAGCAGUUCAAAAGUUCUUCUGAAAGAACAUAGUCUGCCGUUUUGGGAUUCCGCAUGUCUUGAUAUCUGAUAAUGGGCGACAGUUCGCUGAAAACCCCUUCAGGAGCUGGUGCGCCGAGCUCGGGAUUAGCCAACAUUUCACAUCAGUCGGUCAUUCCCAGGCCAACGCCAAGUGAAAAACGCCAACCGAGCCAUUCUGCAAGGACUAAAGACUAGAUUGGAACUAACCCAGUCUAAUUGGCUAAAGGAACUUCCUAGUGUCCUCUGGGCUUACCGAACUACGCCAAGGACAGCCACUCAUGAGACCCCUUUCUCCUUGACUUAUGGGGCAGAAGCGGUGGUGUCCGCGGAGAUCGGUCUUCCAUCAUCUCGGACACAGAACUUUGUUGCGGUAACCAAUGAAGAGAAUCUGCGGUGUAACUUGGACAUGCUGGAAGCCAAACGUGAGGAAGCGGCGAUACGGAUGGCAAAGUACAAAGGUCAACUCGCCCCCUACCACAACGCGAAGGUGAGGAGGACGUAGUACCAGCCGGGAGAUCUCGUCCUAAGAAAGAAUUCAGUCAGUCAAGCCCACAGUUCCAGCAAGCUUGAUCCGAACUGGGAGGGGCCGUACAAAGUCCUGGAAACGAGCCGAACUGGUUACUGCAAGCUUGCGAAAUUAGAUGGGGUAGAGGUACCCCGCACUUGGCACUUUUCGAACUUGCGAUUGUUCGUAGGAUAGAUUGGUCCAGGAUAUCUUACUGUCUGCUCUUCGGAAUCCAUUUUCGAAUCAAGUUAAAUAGAUGUUUGACUCCGAACCUUCAUUGCAAAGUUUAUCAAUACCGUUUACCUUUAAAGUUUGCUUGCUAAUUCCACACUAGCACACUCAGACAAUGCUAAGUGUCCUAGUGGGGGGCCCUAAAUGGUGAUGAAUGGUAAUGGUUAGAAUGCCUUUAAAAUUUGAGAGUUCGACGUUCGACCCAGGAGGUCGGCAUAGCUUAAACCUUUAAAGUCUGGUGUUCGGACUCGGAGGUCGGCGCGUCGCUUUGGCAAAUUGGUUUGAUAGUUCGCUAGUUUCCUAGUUUGUUGUUCUUGACAAUUGGGUUGUUAGUCUAAAUUUGAAGGGUGCUCGACCCGAGAGACCGGCACAUCGUCUUGGUGGAUCAGUUUGAUGUUCGACCCAGGAAGUCGGCAGGCCGCUUCGAUUGUUAAGGUUCGACGCAAGCAAAAAUUGAAAGUCAGAAUUAGGCGGUUUUCAUUGAAAAUUAUUUCAUAUGUACAUUCAAAAUCCACCUAUUACAAGGCCUACCGAGCUACAUAAAGAAAAAAAAAACAAACAACAAAGAAGAAGAGAAGCACAGCUUGGCCCUAGACCCCUACGCCACUGGCUCCUUCUCGGAAGCUCUGCCAGGAGCCUCGCCUUCCUCCAAGGGAAUCUCCGCCAGCUUGGCCCCUACGUCGCUCCUGCCCACCAGAUCCUUUAGGGCAUGCCCCUUGCAAUACCCGUCAAAGAGCCAGUCCAGCUUCUCAUCGGCGGUAGGAUUGUAGUCCCUGAAUGCGGUCAAGUCGAAACCCGACAGGCCGAGUCCGUUCACCUGGUCCAGGGCCCGCGUGAAGCCGACCUGGAGGAUGGGCUGGUUGAGAAGGGCGACGUCUUCGACAAACUGCUCGGAGGAGAUGAACUCCCAAACAGCCUUCCUGCGCUCCCGGCUGACGGUGCCGGAGAGCUCAAUGGCGUGGUCCGCCUUCAGCUGCUCCACGCCCGUCCUCUCCUGGUCCAGCUCUGACCUGGUGGAGGCGAGCUGGACCUGAGCCGUUUCCAACUCCUUCUCGGCCUUACCCAACUUGGCCUUAAGAGAGUCCGUCUCCUUAAGGGCCUGAGUAAGCCUUUGCUCCGUCUCCCGAUUCUUCUUCUGCAGUUUCUCUAAGUCGGGAGACAGUUUGGAAAAGCGGGUCGCCAGAGCAGCCCCAGCGGCAUUGGCCUAAGGAAAGGAAAAGAGAAUGAGCAUUCUACGGAACAAAGCUGGAGAGCAUAGACACAAGUGGUCUGAGGGGUAGGGGGCUUACUUGAGUUUGGGCGGUGUAAUACAUGUCCUAGAGUUUAGACGAACUGGCCAGCUCCAUCCACCUCUUAUCACGCGGGAGGACCGAGCCCGCUACCAGCUCGCGAGCCACCUCUGGGAACUGGGCUCUGUCGUUGAUGGAGAGCCCCCAGGACGGACAGAAGCGGCGGGGGUCGUGCAUGGAGGGGGUUUGGUCCGGUUUCACGGGGGCCAUGUGGCGAAAAUGCCACAGACUGGGGGCGGCGUCUCCCGCGCGUGCUCCUUCACGCAGCCGAUCCCCAGGUGGACUGGACCCGCAUGGGGGGCCCCUCCCGACAUUAGCUGGAGAGGGGGCUGUGUCGGGGUGGGUGCGAGCCUCUUCUCAGGCUGGGAGGCCUCGUCCCCUCGGCCCCUCUUCUGCCCAGCCGCUUUCUUCUUGCUGGCGACCUGCUUGGAGGGGGACGAGGAAUGAGACGCUUCCUUCUGGGGGGCCGAGCUGCCCCCAAGAGCCGGAGAAGCCUCCGAGGCGUUCUUCGCGGCCUCUUGCUGUGAGGUCGGGGCGGCCACGUUGGAUGGCGUGCCCAACAGUUUGGAAAGCCUCCUCACUGCAACAAACACCACCAGGUUAGCAAACACAGGAUAGUAAAAGGAAAAAAGAAAGUAACGAACUACGGGGGCAUAGGGGCGGCAUUACAGGCGUCGUAGUCGGUAGGGGAGGGCACCAAUUCUCCAGAGGACCCGGACAACGUCCCCAUCGGCCCGGCCGCAGAUAUCUGUUCGGUGAAGAAUCUGGCCGCAUAAAGGUUCACCUUGGAGCUUACCAACUUGCUGAGGGUUUCGGAGUCCAAGUCCCCUGGAUAGGGGUCGGUGUCAACUUCCCCGACCCUCCACACAUUCGGGGGAAAAUGCGUGGAUUUAACAAAGAAUAAGUCUCCCUUCCAGUUCUUUAUGGAAGAGGGGACCCCAAAGAGCAGAUCCUGGGUGCCCUUCCCCCCCCCCGAACUUUGCUCAUAGUUCGGCGGGAGAAGUUGUACCACUCAAGGAGGGAGAGUUUGAGGGUGUAAGAGGCUCGGAAGAGAGAGAGAGAAUAGGGGAUGGAGCAGAUUUGGCAGUAGAUCAGGAAUCCGAUAAUGAUACUGAUCGAAUUGGGGUGGACCUAGGUGAUUCUGAGCCCCCAGUAGCUCAGGAUCUCGGUUAGGGCCGAAGGAAUGGGGAGUCGGAGCCCUGCGAUCAACUGCUCCCUAUAGAUGGCUACGAAGCCGGGGGGAGGUCGGCUGGCUCGGUCGUUGGGCUCGGCAACCCUCGGCUCGAAGGCCGGAGGAAUGGAAAAGGACCUGACCAGCUCGGCGACCUCCUCCGGUGAGAGGGUGAUCUCUUGCUGGUCAGGAUGACCAUAGUCGAAUCCAGGGUCAUCCCUCUGUUCGGAAGCAGGGGUCCCCUCGGAAGAGUUCCUGUCCUCACCAGCUCCUCCCUGGGCUCCGCCAGGGGAGUCAUGUGGAGAUUUGGGGGAAGAAACGGAAAUGACCUGCUGCUCAAUGAGGGCAUCGAGCUCGGCCACCUCCUCCAGAAUGCGGGCAGAAGGAGAAUGGGCAGAUGGAUAACUCAUGAUGAUUAUGGGCUCGACCAGAUCGGGGAUGUGGAAGUUGGGAUUAGAAGCAGAAGAGAAAGAAAGAGGAGGAGGGGAAGAUGAAGAUGAGGAUGAAGAUGAAGAAAAAAUAAGGAUCCUAAGAGCUCUACGAUGGGCAGGAAUCCGAGAGGCGGUGGAAGUAACGCCGGACCGAUCCGACAUAAAAAGCAGAAGAUGGCAAAGGGAAAAGAGAGUGGAUGAGGAAGGAAAAUGACUUACUGAUAAACGGAAUGGGAAAAGAUGAAGGAACCGCCGGAAUCUGGGAACUGCGGGCCGGAAGUCUUGCCGCUGGAAAUUGAAAAUGAACGAAGAGAGGAAAAUGGCAAAUAGAGUCAGAGGAAAUUGGGAAACUCCUAUUUAUAGGGAAUGAAAUGGGAGGGAAACGGCUGCUUGAAUUUGAACCGCCCCCGUGUGAACGCAUUUAGGAAGUGGUACGGAAACCAAAAAGACGCGACAGCCGAAGGGACAUGAGCGCAGCUUUUCAGUGACAGCACUGUGCCGGAGGUGACCCUAGCAGAGCAGUGCGACGCUGGUCUCCCACGUGGCGGGGGUAUAGAUUAGGUCUGCCUGAAAAUCCUACCUAUUCUAGGGGGCUAGUGCAGAGGACCCAUCCUGGGUCUAGACACGUGGCAGCCCAGGAAGGCCAGAGCUGGGCUGGACCCCAAGCCCAGGGGAACCUUCUUGGGGCACACCGCAGCUAGGGCUCCUCAGGGCUCCAGAGAGCAAUCCCGCAGAGGGCAGGGGGAAUCCCCCUCAACGCGGGAUUGAGACUAUCCAGGGCAGGUCCCGAAACGUACGGAGGUCAGACUCUCUAGCAGGUAUAAAUGGUAACGCACACCAACUACACAAGGUACGCUCACUAUUGGCAAAACACUCCCAACAGUUUUACUUCCAGUGAAUUCCACUCACCGGAAAACUAACUUGACCGUCGGAGUGCCCUCGGGGACGACCUCGGGGUUCCCCUGUUAGUCAUCCUAGAGACCACUUUUCAGUUUGUUUUGCAGGGUUGGGACACGCUCUCCUCAUCAGCGCGCCGAGCUCAUCAGAUCAACUCGGUCCGAGGAAGCUCAGCGCUUCUUCAAUAUGCAAAACACUUCAUUCACUUCUUGCGAUGCUCUUCCCUUUCAGCCACUGAGGCCACCUCUUCAUCAUAUGCCUUUCGGGCGCCGUUCUCUGCCAUUGAUUUUGAUUCUGUUUGGUGCUGGAAAUGUGUGAUUAUUUGCACGAGAUGUUUGUUUUUUGAUUGCUUGAUGCUUGGUGACGUACGUAAAGCUUGAAGAAAGCUUUUGGUGGUGAUGGAAAAGUUUAGGCAGUCUCGUGGAGUAUUUAUAUUUUAUAGUGCUAAAGAUAGGUGUUCAUGGAUGUUCGUUAGAGGUCCAAAUUUGGGACAACCUUUUUAAAGUUUUCUUGUGAGAGAAUAAGUGAACUUUGCUGCUGAAGUUAAAGACUUUGUAAACUUUGCUUGUUCUUAUCGCAUACGCGCCUACAAGUUUUUGGCGCCUACAAAAUCAGCUCUUAUUGAGCCCCUUUCCCUAUUUGUUUAGCAUGGAGAAAUAAGUUAGUUAUUUUCUUAUAAAGGUAUUGAAAAAAUAUAAAGGAGGGACUAAAUCCAUACUCUGUUCCUAAAUUUUUCUGAAUCCAAAUUUAUGCUUCCACGAUAGAAAUAGUAUGCCUUGCACUAUCCUUUUACCUAUUUAUUUCCAUGUUUCAAAAUUUUUGUUAGUUUUACUCUAUUCUAAUUUAUGUAAGCUAUUGAGUGUUAGUCAUUUUCCUAACAAACGUUUCAUAGGUUUUGAGGUUUUUGGGUCUAUCAAUUAUGUAAUAUAUUAAACUUUACAUAAUUAGGUUUGAGUAUGUCACUGUCUUCUUUGUUAUCCUCUCCAUAAUGCUGCGUGGGUUUAAUGAUAAAAAAAGAUAAACAGAAACAAUAUCAUUUACUAUAGUUACCGUAGUUGAUUGGAUAAUGAUUAAUAUUGGAAAUGAAUAAUGCUUGUCGUCUAGGAUCACACCAAAGGAAAAGUGUAUCUUUAUUUCCACAAAUAAAAAUUUUAAAAAAAGUUUGGCAAAAGAAAAGUGUGACAUUGUGAGAGUUAAAUAUUAGAGUAGUCCUGUCGAUAUUGUCACUUUGAAAGAUUUAUUUUGUUUGAUUGCUCAUGCUUGAACAGUUAAAGCCUAGUGUCAUUUGAUAAGAGGUUCCUAACUCGUCCAAUUCAAGAAUCUCCUUUUGAAUCUUGUGCUAGCAACUUAAUAACCCAAUGAUUUAAAUCUCAUUCAAUCGGAAACUUUCUACUUGACUUGAUAAGGGGUAAAUGAUGUGAAAGUAACUAUAAGUGAAAGUAUAAGUUUUGAUAAGUUAUUGCUUCUUUUUCACAAAAUCACCAUCCAAAAAUCAUGGGCAGACAUAAGAGAGGACUACUAGAAACCAUAGCCAGCCAAGCAAAGCACCGGAAAGCUAACUAACAACUACCAAUGUGCAUAAUACAAAGCUGAGACUGUCCGGCUACCAAACCACCGCACUACACUUUUGUCUACAACUCAUUAACAGCCCCUUUCUCGGGCAUUUUGUAACUAGGGGAUUGUACGAGGAGUUGAUUGCCCAGAUGAAAGACUUGCACAAAUUACAAACUAUUGGAAAGGUGAGCAGAUAAAUUUUUUUGCAUUUCCAUUCUCUAUUGCAACUACUAUCUUUUUAAAAAUAACAUACAAAAAGCUUGGAUGUUUUCUAGAAAUCUGGUUUAGAUAUAAUGGAGUAUUGAAAACAUCACAAUGCAAUGCUUUGGGAAUCAUUUAAAAUGGCAUGUGCAUGGUAUGAAACUCAAUUCAUUGUUAGUUUCUUGUACUUAUAAUCUCAACUUCUUGUCAACUUCUUGUACUUAGCUUAAAUUGGUAUCUAAGCUCUCAUGUGUUUGAUUCUUUUACCUUUGAUCAUGCUGAUUUUGUUUGAGUUAUGUUGAGUAUGACUAUUCAUGCAAAUUCAAUGGUGUACAUUUGUAAUGGCAUAUUUUCUGAUUGAAAUCUGCUCUAAUGCAUGACACUUUUGUUUCAAUGCAGUACGGUGCUGUUAAAUGCUCAUGAGAAAAUGAACGAAAGCUUGGAUUUUGGAUAUGCUUAUGAAGAUGGCUUCAUUUUGACAUAGAUUGCUACCAUAGUCCAUGUUUUUGUUUAGAGAUUUAGUACUCUAUUUUUGGAUGGAUAAUGGUUGUUACUAUUUGAGCUGAUGUGGGAUCAAUACUUUAGUUUUUUGGAUGGAUAAUGGCUGUUAAAACUUGAACUGAUGUGGCCUUUGGGACCCAUUUUGGUUGAUGUUUGUUUUGAUAAAUUUAGAGAUGUUUAUGAUCAUAUAUAUAUAUAUAUAUAUAUUUCAGGGUCCAUUGUGUGUUUAAUGCUACCGUUUUUGGCAUUAGAUGUACUAUAAUUUUCUGCUAUGGUUGCUAGAAAUACUACAGAAGUAGGCUUUAUAUGACAAAUUUCGGACAUUCUAAAUUUAGCUCUGUGAUAACAUCAGGGAAGGUUGUCAUUGCUGCAAAUUCAACCAGUGACAACAAUUCUUGUCAUUGAUGAACAGGACUACAAGUGACAUGUGGAAGUCAUCACUGUAGAGUCGUAAUUUGUGACGACUUUUGCAUUAUCUAUGACAAAAAUAUAGGUGAAGCAGUGAAAAGAAAAGUUGUCACAAAAUACUAAUAGUUAGUGACGACAUUAUCCUCAUCACAAAAUACUAUGAAUUUGUGAUGACCUAACUAAGGUUGUCACAUCGACCCAUUUGUGACAUAGAAUUUGUAACAACCACGUGACAACAGAAAAUUUCGUCACUUUUUCUUUUAAAUGACGACUUUUUUAUUUCAAUGACGACGUUUGGUAGUUACAAAAGACUGAUUUUCUUGUAGUGAGAAGAAAUGCAAGGUUUCCAGCUUUGUUACUUUAUCUUAUUUUGGCUAUAUCUUGAGUUAUAAUGAUCGGAUUGAGGUGAUUUUUAUACAUUUUGAAGCUAGAGAUAGAUCUACAUUUGGUAUGAAAAUAUUGAAGUCUAGUUCAGUCGUUUUCAUUGUCAUAAAGUCGAAAUACAGAAGUACAAUUUCAUGAUUGAAAGUUGAAAUAGAGCUCUGAUUAGUCGAGGGCAUUUUGAUCAUAUCUUGGUCUAUGGAGCUCUACAUUGGAUGAUUCUUGAGGCAUUAGAAAGCUAACUCAAAGAUCUACAACAUUCAUAUUUUAUACGCGAGCUAGUUCAGCCUCCAAGUGGUGCCAAAUUCACAGAAGUGAAAACGCGACUAGUGAUACGUGGCUUGAGGUCGUGUAUUCCUGAGUUUCGGCUGCAACUUGCUCUACAAAAUUUGUUUUGUUCACACAAGUUUUUUGUCCCAUUUGCUUGCAAGAAUUUCGGUGAAAAGAGGCCAAGACAGCUGCAAAAGAAGCUUUACAACUCAUUUCUAACUUGUUUAUUGGGUCAAGGCAUGAUUAAACACUAUAUCUCUUGCAUGAAUUCUUUUUAUAAAUAACAGCCUUUGGAGACCAUUUUCACAACUUUGGAAGGCUAAAGAAACUCAUAAACAAUGUAGUCUUUACUAGAAUUUCCUUAGUUUAUUAGUUAGAUUAGUAUAGAAUAGUUAGUAUAGUUUAUUCUUCUUGUAUUUGUAGUUAGAUUUGAAUGAAGAUUUGAGGAGCAAAAAUGGAGAGUUGGAGCUCAUGUGACGAGAGUGAUUUCUCUUCUAUCACUUUUUCUUUGUAUUUGAGUUCAUGUUUAUCUAUAAUACAAGUUUGCAUUUGUGAUUUUAUCAUGUUUAGUUAAAAGUUUAUGCCUAAAGUAUGAUUGAACUUUCUAUAUCUUGUUAAUGAUGUUUACUUGGUUAUUUGAUGAUGUUAUUUUGAGCAAGUAAUUUAUCACUUUUGUUUAUCUAAUCAUGAUUAACUGCCCAUUAAUUAUGAUAAUCUAAAGGUGUUAAAUUUGUAAUGAGAAUUGGAAUUUAACACUAGUUCAGCGAAGUGAUAGACCUAGGGAGUUCACUCACGAGAGUAGAGGAACAGCUUUGUGGCUUUAGUGACUUGUUUCAUGUAAUUUCAUAGAAAAAAUGAGUUUGUAGUUAAUUUACAACCAUGAGAGUAGGUAUGAUUUAAUUACAAGUAUAGUUGAUUCACUACAAGAAUAGGUUUCAAAUACAUAAGGAAAUUAAGUUAUAACUAUCCAAGUUAAUAGCAUUCACUUAACCUGUAAUCUCAUUUGCAAGAGUAGUAAGGAAUUUCAUACCUCUAGGAGUUUUCUAGUGUUAUUUUCAUUACUUUUAUGUUUGUGGUAAUCUAGAUAAUAAAGGAGCUUGAAAAUCACCGGCAAUUAAAAAUCUUCCUUGUGAGUUCGACCCUUAAUACCCUAUACUCAAUCGCGACUCGUAUACUUGCGAAAAAUCACGUGUGGGAUAUUUAGGAUGUUAUAAAUGUAAAAUUUGACUGUGAAAUGAGAUUAAUUGUUAUAUAUAUAUAUAUAUAUAUAUAUCUCGCGUUCGUCAAACUCUCACUAGGAAUUUUCAAGAGAUAAGAAAUCUCUGACUAUGGAUCUUUAGGUGAGAAGAAACUCUCACUAGAAAAUCUUAGACGGGACUUUAUUAAAAAGCACCAAAAAAAUCGAAAAAAAAGGUUUGGAAGGGAAGGAAACCAAUUGAUCUCUUCUACAGAACAAGGUUUUCUGUUUUUUGGGGAAGGAAAAGUUAGAGAGAAUAAGGAGAGUUUAUGAUUCUAAUUUAUAACUCAUACAUGUACAUAUAAUCUUUGAGCGAGGUGGCCCUCCAAAUUACUGCUACUUGAUUUCCAAUUUUGAAAUUUAUGGUUUCGAAUUCUAAAAAGCAAUAACCAAUUUUGUACCAUAUUUGAGGUAUCUAAUUCAAAAGUCACCGAAUAUUCAACCCAAUUACUAAUUUACCGAUUUUGAGUUUGAUUUUUCAAAUUCAUUUGACGAUCAAUAAAUUGGUAAUUGCCCAUAUAUGUUCAACCCACGAUUGUGAAUCCACUAAUAUGGUUUUGCAUUUUUACAUUUCUUCAAUUGCAAGAUUAAUUUUCCUAAUGGGCUUCAAAAAUUUUAAAAUCUCUCACAUCUUUCUAUUCUUACACUUCAAUUACUUUUAAGUAAAAUUUUAGCUUUGUCUGGCAAAUGAAGUUUUUAUGUAUUUGUCUAAAUUUUAUUAUAAUUUACUGUAGAACUUUCAUAAAAUUUUUUGUAUUUUCUAGAGUGUCUAGAAGAUGGUUGUAAAAUGAGUGUCUAGAAGAUAAUUGUAAAAUCCAGUUGCUUUCCAUACGUCAUUCACCUCUACCAUUGAGUGCCACCUACCCCACCAAUAAUCACCACUACACCUAUCCCCAUGCUCUCUUUCCCUCCUCAUCGCCUCCAUUUUCUUUCUCUUCUCUCGCCAUCUCUUCUCCUACUACUCUCUGUCCUUUCUCUCUUCUCCCCACAACACUACCAUCUCUCUCCUCUGUUCUUUUCCUUUCUUUUCUAUCCCUCUAGCUCUUUCCCUACUAUCCUUGGUCCAAAUCACAUUGCAGCUACCUUUUCCUCCCUCCUCUCCUUUUUUAAGAGAGGAAAGGAGGAUUAGAGAGGAGAAAGGAUGGAGAGGGAAGUGGUUGUAAGGUAAGAAAACAAUAGAAAAGAGAGAGAAAUGAGGAAACAAAUCUAGACCAAAUCUAGUGUAGAUCGAUAUUAUGAGGUGGUAAGAUGGGGAAAAGAGUGAGGAUAAUAGGGAGGAGAAGUCAUAAAGGGCGUAAGAAAGAGGAAAAUGUAGCCAGUUUUGAGGGAUGAGUUGUCAUGGCAGGUGGUAGCAAUAAUGGGGUGUAUUUUUUUGCAUUUUUGCUGAACAAAUUUCGAAAAAAUUUGGGGUAUUGUAGUAUUUCUCAACAUGGUAUAUUACAAAAAUGGUAAAAUUGCACAAAUUGUCCUUCACAUAUUAAUGAUGUAAAAUUUAGCCCUUAAAAAUCAAAAUGGGUGGCUAUAAAAAUAUUUACUUUUGGUCUCCAGUGACCUUUCCAGUUGAAUUUUGGCCAGAAUAAAUGAGGAGCACAUUACAUAUCCAAUUUUUAAAAAGUAAAUCUAGUAAAUCAUUUAAAUUGACCUAAUUCCUCACAUAAUCCACUAUUCCCCCAAUUGUUCUCAACCUAAACCAUAAUUUCAAAAACUUGCAUUAAUUAACAAUGGUGGAUUUCUAUGAGGAGCCUUUUAGUUGUGAAUCCAUUGAUCAUUUGGUUCUUUACAAGUGUGGGAACAUGUUCAUGCCGUUUAAUUUGAUUUUGAUUGGGUUUUGGAAAAGAAUUGGGUUUAAUUAUUGCAUGUACUUUUAGGAGAUUCUAAUUAGUAGUUAAUUUUAUUGUGUGACGGGUUGGGAGAAAUAUGUAUUUCGUUAUAAUGGCUCUACAUAUUACAGAAUUGGUUAUGAGUUUUUCAAUUUUAAUAUUUGUUCUAAUCUAUUUAAGAUCUUAUUUAUCUUGAAGAAAGAAAAAAUAAAGUAAAGGUAAUACUUUAACAACUAGAAAAGAUCUAGAAUAAAAACUAGUUAUGCAUUAAUUGGUUACGUCAAGAGAACAAAACUAAACCACAAAUCAGAUGAAGGUAUUCCAACUCCAAGCACCAGAACUUUUAUCAACUAUGCUACUAAUAAUCCUUUACCUACCAAUACUCCCUUUCAAGUUCUUCAUAAUUUGUUCACUCACAAAAUUUAGGAAGAGCAAAUACUCCUUAAAUUUCCUUAAAUUUCCUUUAAAUCAUGGAACUUUUAGAAAUAUUAGACUAUAGCUGCAAAAGCCAUAUUCUGAAUAGGACAUACAAAAUAGGAUUGUGCUUUGUAUUCUAGCAUCUAAUAUAUACAAUCUAUUCAGUUUUGUACACCAAAAAAUUAUGGAAUGGUCUCCUAAACACAAGCAAAAUACGGCAAAAUAAAAGAUUAAGUGAUAAUUUGCCACAGAGAAAAACCCCAUAAAGGAUCUAUCUCAUUUCUUGAAUUGUGAAUUUAUUUUUUGUAUUUAACAUAAAAAAUAUAGGCAUAACUAGGAACAAUUUUCUUAGAACCCUUGGUUGCUAAUGCCUGUAUUGUUGAAGCAUACCUAGUAUGCAUAUAUUUUGAUGCCACUGGAUUUACAAACUACAUCAUAAAAGAGAGUAGCUAGAGGCAAAAAAUAAGGGCGACUUGAGCAAUAUCCAAAUGCAAACCCAAAUCUGAGUUUUGGGAUCCAAAAAUUUUUGAAAAAUAGUUUUUUCUUUUUUUAAAUUUAUGUGGAUGGAAAUUUAAAAUAUUUUGUCAUAGAAUUCAUAUUUCAAUUAAAUACUUGUGUAUCAAAAUUACAUGAACUAAGGGAAAAGAACGUACAAUAACUUGUGUAUUAAAAUAUUUUACUGAUGUCCUCUAUAUCAAAACAAAAUUUAACCUUAUAAAUGUAUCCACGGAACAUAAAAUAACUAAAUUAAAAAGAGAAAACUCCAUACCAAACUUUUUCUAUUGGUACAUAAUCAUUAGGGAACCUAAUUGGAAGAGUCUCCAUACAAGAUACAACCAAAAUUUAAAAUUGAAAUGACCUAAUGAAAAAGACACAUAGAAUAAUUAGAAAGCUAAGACCACCACCUCAUAUGUCUAUAGAAACUUGUAAAAACGGUUAGAAUUGUUUCCAUGAGACAUGUUGGAAUCACCAAUUACAGGUGCCCUAGCAUUUGAACUAGUUGUUCCAACAUGAUCUCUUGCUAUAGCACCAAAUAGGGAAAAUCCAUUAGGGUCAGAUGCCCUAUUACCAUAAGGGACACCCAUACCAUUAGAAAGGCCUAUAUUUCUUCCAGAAUUACUCUGUCCAAUCAAGUAUUGAGGUAUAUUUAUUGCCUCAAUCGGGCUCUUAUGCAAUUCAUUCUCAAUCUUCUUCUUGAGGCCUUGCAAUGCCUUCUCCAACUUUUGAAGUUCCUCUAAAUUCAGCUCCUUAAUUGGAACCCUCCACCAAUACUUUUGUUGGGCUUCUUUUGCCAUCUGAUCAAAGACUUCUCCACGUCUUUUCUCAGCUUCCAGGAGUUUUUCAAGGGCUGUGAGUUUAUUGUUUUGCUCGCUAAUAUCUUCUUGAUAAUUGGCAACAACAUAGCGGUCAAUGCUACCCUGGAUGCUAGGUGUAGGGUUUCUUCCAAGGAACUUAUCAACGACAGAUUCGAAAGAUAAAUGACCAAAGGAGUAAGCCUUUUGUCCUGGAGAGAACACCACCAAAGCAAUUUCUGCUUCAGUAAGUGUGCAAAGUUCACUGGCCUUUUUGAAAAGGCCAUUGCGGCGUUUUGAGAAGGUAACCUGCAGGUGGCUCAUCGUUUCCAUUUUAACUAUAGGAACCUUUUGCCUACCCUUUGUCAAUUUUUUCGCCAUGGCUGAUUAUAAUGAACUUACUAUGGCAAUAUUUGAGAAAGAAUGGUUUGUAUUACAUGAGGCAGAAGGGGCUUUUAUAGAAAUUUUUUGUGCCCAUUAAUUCUUUCUUUCCUAUUUUAAAAUUGUUUCACAUGGCAAGUAAUUAAGUCACAAUCUUGGAGUCUUAAUUAUCUUCCAUUCAUAGCAUUUAUUGUGGGAUAACAAAUUUCCAAACUUAUUUAAUUUAGUUUAUGAACAGUUUCAAAAUUUGUAUCCAUGUGGCAAGAAUUGGCAUUCAAUUAUUUUCCUACUUUAAACCGCUUGAUUUAAAAUUUUGAAGGAUUAAUUACACUAAAUCUCUUGAUACUUACUUUGGCUAGCGAUAAUGGCAGAGCUAUUAUUUUCCUUCCAGAGCAGUUUAGUUUCAAAUACCAAAUUUACCCUUAUGAAAGUUAAAUCAAUAAACUAUUACUUAAAUGAUGGAUCCACCCGUAUCCCCCUUUCCUCAUUGCUACCGUUGUAGUCCUCCGACGAAGUGCAGAUUGAUGUCAAUGGCUCCAAAUCUACACAUUCACUUGCUCUAGAUUGAAAGGUAAGAGAAAAUCUCUUUAUUGAAAGUUCAGCCAUCAUCAAUUCCAAUUUCAAUUUCAUAAAUCAUUUGCAGUAGUGCUUGAAUUUACCCAUCAACAUCUUUGAUGCAAAUCGAACGGAAAAAUGCUUUAACCGUAACCAAUCUAUUUUACAAAAUAAGAACAUCAUUAAGGCCAUUAAAAGUGAAAACAAAGCCACCGUAAGUACAGGCUUCAAAUUCACUUAUACUAUGGCGCUAUGAGUUUUGCACGACUUUCAAGAGAAUUUGUUGGGCAGGAAAGCAGAGAGAACAGAAUUUUUGACGGGGUAUGGACUGAGAUUAAAGUAAAAGAACAUGAAGGUUAAGGCAAUGUUUUGAAAAUAGGACCGAAUCAGUUGGUUCGACUGAUUGAACUGUGAACCAGUCAUAACUCCGAUCUGGUUCAAUUAAAAAAUCAAAGAAUUAAUUGAACCAGUCAAAAAUCGAUUGAACCGAUAAAAAUCAAAAGGUUCAACUGGUUGUUAUUUAAGUUUUUAUUUUCUUAAAUAAAUAUUUUAAUUUUAUUCAAAAUUUUUAAUAUUAAAAUAAAUAAAAAAUUAUUAAAUUUUUGAAUCGAAAUCGAACCAUAAAUCGAAAGAUUUUUUAUUUACUUUCCAGUUCGGAUUUAAAAACAUUGGGUUUAGUUACCGAGAAAAGGGUGAGAGAUUAAGGAAUCCAGGUAUGACGUGAAAAGGAUUGAUGAAUCUUUUAGGUAUUGAUUGUUGUGGUGGGUCCUAUAAAAAUUCAACCAUAAAAGACCUUGACUGAGAAGGGUAUUCAUGUCUUUUAGGUUAGAUUUGCUCUGGGCCUCUGGCAAGAAAAACAAAGCUCUGGUAGUAUCCGCUGCGACUUGCUCUUCAUCAUAAAUCUACUACUCUUUUUCAAAGAUUAGUAGUUUCAUCCCAUAGCCAAAAAUUGAAUAUUUUGAUUACUAAUGUCAUUAAUAAUAAGCUACAAAGUCAAUUGAUCUCACAUGCUAAACACCAUAAACUCGUAAACAAAUAGAGCAUAGCUGUCCAAAUUGUAAAAAUCCUCCUUUUAAUAAUGAAAACCUUCACUUAUAACCAUUAAGCAUUAAUGUUUAUUAAUCCUAAAAUUUGAAAAAGAAAAUUUUUCCUUCCUUCAGAUUUUGUUGCCUCAACAUUUCACCCUUCAAUUCUCAAGCCCUAGUCUGGUACUUCAAAUGGACUUUCUAGACGAAUUUUUCAUUUAAUUUUUCCAAAUGGACUUUCUAGACAAAUUUUUCAUUUAAUUUUUCCAAAUUUUUACGAUAAACAUAUAUGAAUUUUAGCAUAUGUACGUUUACUGCUAGACAUACACAAUAAGAUUGUGUAUUUAAACUCAGAUUGGAUCAGCCGGUCCGACCGGUCAAACUGAGAACCAGCCAAGUGUCUGAUCCGAAUUAUUCUAAAAAACCGGAUGAGUAAAAACUCGGUCAAACCCGGAAGAACCGGUUCAGUCAAAGCCUUUUUUAAAAAAGGUCUAACAUUUUCAAUACUAUGUUUGACCCCUAAGUUGUUAAAAACUACUAAUAUAUCUCAAAUAUUUCAUACUCUAUAAAUGUUGUCCUAAAAUUUGAUAUUAUUUUUCAAUCAAAUCCAUAAUUUUAAUUCUAAACUUGUUAAUGUUCACUAAAUAAUAUAAAUUGCUACUUGAUCGUUUUAAUUUCUUUGUAUUUUCUUGUUAAAUAUAUUUGAAACGUCAAAUAUAUAUGAAUAUACCUUUAUUAAUAUUAACAUGCUUUUAGGUAUUUUAUAUACAAUAUUUUAAUUUUUAAAUAAUUUUUAUUUAUGACAUCAUCCGGUUCAACCCCGAUCAAACCCAUUGACCCCUGAUCCCUGAGCUUGAUCAAGUCGAUACUCGGUCUGAGUUUGAAAACAUAGCAAUAAGAACCAUUUUCGAGGACCAAACUGCUAAAAUCAUUACGGAAAAGUUUAAACAUUGGAAUAAUUUUGGAAACCCCUCCUUACCUGAGUUUUCUCAUAAUAUCACUCAGUAUCAUUGAGAUUUUUAAAAUCUUGGCAACCUCCCAUGUCAACUAAAUAAGACUAGUUAUCCUCAUCAAAGACCACCAAUUGAUGACAUUACUCUUACACUCUUAAUAACUAUUUGACCAAAAAAAGUCAAAACAAAAAGAGAAUUUUUAAACCAAAUAUUAUAGACAAAAAAUAAUGAAAAAUUUGCAUAAAUCAUCCCUCCCAUAUCACGUAUGAUAACUUUUAGUUGCUCCAAAUAAAAAUGAGCGAUUUUAGUUUUUAACACAUAAAAAGUGAUCAUUUUUAGUCCUCCAACACCUUUCCUUGCCAAUUUUAACUAGAAUGUACUAAGGAUCCAUCACAUACACUAAAUUUAAAGGAUAAAUUUGGCAAGUCUAUUAUUGUGUUGAUACCGAAUUAAAAAUUAGUCUAUGUGAUUAUGUGUGACAAAAUGGGGUCUAAAAACAUCCUAAAACAGCUUUUUGAAAAAGAAUUAAAAAAGAGAAAAUGAAAGUUUUGGCUCUGCGUAAAUAGUUGGUUGUUUUGGGUGGCUUUUCUCUGGAAUAACAUUAAUAUGUAUCUUAAUAAAAGUGUGAGCAGAAAAUGUGUUGGAAGUUUCUAAAACCAAGUUUGUAAAACAACACCAUUAAGAUCUUGAGAUACAAAGAAGGUUUUUCAUUACGAAUUUUUUGAGAAGAAUACUAGCUUAUAUUGUGCUAAAUGCACACUCCAUGUUAUUUGUAGGAAAUCAAUGUUGUAUCUAAAUUAAGGUUACUCCUGUAAAUAUUUUUAUAUCCAACAUGUUUUUCUUAAACCUGCCCAAAAAAUGUAUUUCUUAAACCCUUAAUUUUUCAUAAUUCAUUAAUCAAGUUUGACUUCAUUUUUUUUUUUUUUGGCUUUAGCAGUAAGUUUCUACUUCAAACUCAUUAACAAUUUUGCAUGAAUUAUUUCUGUAAGAUAUUAAAAGACUUAUAAUCGGUUUGGUUUGAAGGAAAGGGAAAGAAAGGAAAGGAGAGGACUCUAGUGGGGGAAAAAAAAAGAAAUAAGAUAAGAGUAAAGGAAAAUAGAUUCCAUCCAUCUUAUUUGGAUUCAAUAUGUAAAGAAAUGAAAAGAAACAUUAAAAGCAUUGUUUAUAUUAGGGAAGGAAAAGAAAGGCUAGGAAACUGUCAUGUGUCAGUUACGUUUUGAUCCAUAAUUUAAUUAUAUACCAUAUACACGCUACAUAUAUGUGAAAACAAAGAUAUGUAUUUACUUUGUUUUCUACAUGAAAAAAUAUAUAUGGCCAUAUUUCAUACAUUUAUGAGUCUCUAUGCAUGAAUGAGGGGCUGCUAUGGCAACCACAGGCUGUAGUGCACGGUCAAAUCAGGCUAAGUUGAACUUAGUCAGAUCUGGACCGUCCGAUUUAAAAUUAAAAAAAUUGAAAUUCUAAAUUGGAUGGCUCGAAUCACAGUCAAAUCUGGCUGAGCUGAAAUUAGUCAGAUCUAGAUUGUCUGAUUUAAAAAUAAGAAAAAAAUUUGAAAUUCUGAUUUGGAUGGCUCAAAUCUAACCAAGUUUAAGUCGAUCCUAUCUUAUCGUGCAAUUGGGGUGUGAUUACCAACACCCAAAUCCAUCUAUAUACAUAUGUAAAGAACAAAAAUAUAUACAUACUUCACAUCACUAAAUAGUUAACAAUUGACAGCAAGAAUUAAGAAUCAAGAAAAGUGUACCAAUUAACUUAUGUGACCUUUUAUGUGAGUUGAACUCACCGCAUAAGUGUGUUGUUCUAUCAAGAGAUGAACUAAGAAGUGGUAAACCCCAUCUUCAAGACACGAGAGAGCAAUUCUAAGCACUUCUGGUUGGUCAAUAAUGAUCAAUUUUAAAUUUUUGCUUUUUCCGAAUUAAUCCAAUUUAUCGCAAACAAAAAGAGUAAUAAGCAGUGAAAAGGACAGAGACAUUUCCCAAAAGAAAGCAAAGUUAUUGUAUGGGGUUUUCACGGGUCUUGUUGGGCAUGGAUCUAUCAAUAUGCAUUGUUAGAUCACAGAUCGAACUGCCGAAUCAGAAAAAUUAGGUGCAGUCAUUAAAUUUUAUACCAUAUUGGAGCAAGGAGUCAAACUCUAGUCUAGAAUCAAACAGAGCAAUGGUUACACUUUUGAAGAUGCAAUACUCAUUAGCAAGUAUUUAAUAUAUGAAGAUGUUGGUCAAUUCGAAAUAAAAGGUGCUCUGGUGAGAUACAGAAAAAGAUUGACACCAAGAAAACGGAUGUGCAGCUGUUGAAAGAGAAAUCUUUCACGGAUGAAAUCCCCACAAUGACACAUCGGAAUAAAAUAAUGAUGCGUUGGCUCAAAAAUGUGUGCACAUGCAGCGAAUCGGAAGCUUUUUUUUUUUCCCCAAAGUGGCUGAAGCUUCGUUCAAAACAUGUCAGUGUAUCAUAUAUUAGCCCGAUCUUAAUGUGAUCCAACUUUCAGUUUACUUAAAAAUCGAUCAAACUUUUACGGCAAACCUCAACCACCCCAACCUUAAUGUGAGGCCCAACCAUCGUUUACUAGCUAACACAGCAGCUGAGAUAAAAGGCCACGCCCGAUUGAUACUCAUAAAACAAGUCUUCCUUCUUCUUCUUCUUUUUUUCCAUAAAAAUCUAUAGAAAUCAUAUGAGUAUACUCUCGACUGCUUUGAAUUUUUUUACGAGUAAAUGACCAAAAAACUCACCAAACUUUUUAAGAUUACACCAGUUUCUGGCUAACUAUUUUUUUGGCCGAAAGAUCAAUAAUCUCUUUAAAAUGGGCCUUUUCAGUCAUUCUGGAGAUAUUAGUUCGUUUGAUAACUGCAUGAGUGACAAGAUUUACCCACAUCCUUGUUUUAUUCAAUAACUUUCUCGUUUGUUACAAGUAUACAGGUCACUAUGUAGUACUAAAAAGUUAAGGUCGAUCCCUCAAGAAGCAUUCACAAUUACUCGAACUUUAUCCUACUUUAUUAUCUAAACAUGUAACAAUAAUGAGAAUGAAAAAUUACUGUAGAUACUAAUGUAUAACAGCUACAAAUAAAAUGGAUGAACUCAACUAACAGACAAACUCUAGUAUAUGGAAUCAACCAAGAGUCCUUGAUGGCAGCUCAAAUGAGUGAUAAAUGCUAUACUACUUGUCUUGCUAAGCGCUCAUUCAUAUAUGGUAUUUGAAACUCCCUUUCACGAAGGAUCGAGUAUCAACUAUACAUGUGUUUCCCUACUUUCGUGGUCAAAUAAGUAUGGUGCUAUUAAAAUCAAGAAUGCUCUAAAACCCACCUAGUUUCAACACUACUUUCGUGUGCCAAAAUCCUAAAUUCCAUCUAAACCGGUUCCAUCAUUGUCUACCAAUAUUCAGUGAUAAAUAACAACGAAAAUGAUUUGUAAAUGGUGAUCAAACAUUCACAAAUGUUCAAGCAAACUUAGAUGAACUAGUAAGUACAAAAGGUUCAUCUACUCAUUUAAACCAAGAUCAAGAAACAAAAGGCAUCAUUCACCCCUAGAACAAUUAUAUUAGUUAGACAUGAAGAAUAAACACAUAAACUUCAGAUCUUUGAUGAAUCUCAACAUAAAUCCAAUGAAAUAAAGAGAAAGGCAGAAAAAAAUGCUUAUUCAAUUGAAGGAACAAGGAUCUCUAAGAUCCAAUUUCUCCCUUGUCUUCAAAAUGCCAAGAUUACAUCAAGAGUUCAUCAAAAGUUUUUGCUAAAAGUCCUAUUCUAGAGAGAGAGAGUAAGUUCUAGUCUAAAAAUUACUUCUUACUUUCUAUUCUAUUCUUCUUGAUGACUCAACAAAAGUUCAAGACUCUUCUUCAAGAAACUUCCUCUGAAAAAGUCUUCAUUUUCUCUCUUUCUUACAUCAUUGGAAUUUGAUAUGACAAAAAGUUGCUAAAAUGUGACAAAAGUUGUUGUUUUUGGCCCAAAAAACAGCUAUCAAAACAUCCUAACCGUCAUAGAGAAAAGGGUUGAAAAGUUGCCUACAAGUUGCGCAACUUGGAAAAUUUUUACGAUCAAGUAUCCAACACAGUAUCUGACUCGACUUCUUCUAUCCGGCGCCGUAUAGUAAUGAAUGCUCUUUUCUUCUAAACUUUCUGACAAAUAUCUGAUGCAAUAUAUGACUUGACGCCAUAUAUUUUCUCUGGGACCAAGUAUUUGGUGCCGUAUAUCUUGCCAUCCUACCACAACAAAUUUAACAAAUAAAUCUACUCACUUUCACACAAUUUUCCACUUUGCUUACUUACUGAAAGGUUGCAAUUUUAUCAUUUAAUUUAUGAUUAUUUUUCCCUUGAUUUUAGCUAAAUAUUGCAUUAAUUGAUAGAUUCUACUUAUGUUUGGUGUUGAUUGUAGGAAUUUGGAGUAAAAAGGGAUUAAAGACGUGAUUUUCAUUGAAUUUUUAUGCUUAUCAAUGUGGUCGCAUCAAAAUUUAAUUCUGCAAGUCUGAGAACUUGGGAGUUGGCGCGUGACUUCCAGUCUUGGAUUGGAGCCAUGGAAGAAACUCUUUAUCAACUGAAUAGUUUUCUAUUCUUAUUAGGAGAUUAGUCGAUCCGACUAGUAGGAGUUUUCUUUGGUUUAGGAAAGUAGUUUUUCGAUAGGAAUAAAGAAACAAGAAGUUCGAAACAAUAGCAUCGGGGCUUCAUUUUUCUCCUUGGUUGCAAGAAACAAACACGCCUUUUUUUUUCUUUUCUUCUUAUUUCCGAUACUUCAUCACACUCUUCGGAGAAUGGCCGCAGCAAUAAACUCCAAUAUUUUGUGCAUGGAUUUUUUCAUGGAGAUAAGCUAAACUUCUUAUUCUAGUCAAGGAACAACGGAGGAUUUGAUUCAUCUAAAAUUGUGAGAUCGGAUUGAUUAUAUUUAUUUCCUUUAUUGUACUGGUAUUCGUAUGUUUUCUGAUUUAAUUUUUUAUAGUUAUUAUUUUAUUUGAAUAUCAAGGGUGCCCGAUAUUUAAUUAAUCUAAUAACCUAAAAUCAGUUAAAGCAGUUAAAUCCGUAAUUGUUUAAUUGCUUUAAAUUAGUGGUGACUGGCAUGAUUGGAUUUGUAUCAGGUGAAUAUAUGGGCUAACCUAAAAUAACUCUUGUAGUGUGUUAUUUGGUUAGAACAAGACUUUUCUAAUUCUUAAGGCAAUUGGGAAAUUGAACUCUAUGGUUGUACCUAUGGUUAUUUCUUGAUUAGGAAAGUGAUUAACGUCAUACCUUGAUCACUAAUACAGUAAGGAGAAGUUAAUUGUCAUCACUUGUUUGGCAGUUAUUACUUGUUUAUCAGUGAGUGAAUGAAAUUAUUAUUGCAUCCAUGAUCAAUUGAGUGAACCAUUUCUGAAGUUUUUUCUUGGCUAGAGUUUAUUUAUUAUUGUUUAAUUUUUAGUAAUUAUUAGUUAGGCCUUUUUAUUUGAUUUGUUUAAUUAUUCAUAUUUUUAUAAAAAUCCCCCCAUAUUCUGAACUCUAGAAGAAACAAAUUAUCCCCAAUUCCUGUGGAUUCGACCAUAUUCACCGCUGUAUAUAAAAAUUGUAUUUUUCUCAAAUAGAUAUUUAUCAUUGUAUAGGUUCGACACCUGUCAACUACAUCAACUAGUUAUCACCUAAUCAUCAAAAUAGCUAUUUUCAUCAUCAUGUUAAGUCUAAUUCCAUCACAGUCUAUCCAAAAUAUAUACAAAUAUUAGACUAAAUAUAUACUUGUCAAUGACCUGCUACUGUAGGUUUUUAAGGGCAAAAUUAACCAAAAAUUAUUGGAAUAAAUUAAAAAAAGACCCCAAACAUGAGGAUUGUUUCGUAUUUUAUCAAAUUUCAAAGGUGGUAAACAUAAUUAACCCAACAAUAAAACACUAGCACCAUCACCUCUUUUUUUUUUCUCGCCACCCAUCCAAACCCACUCCUCCACUAUCAUUACCCUAUCCCACCCAUCCCCCCCCUCACCACUAACACCCCCCUUCUCUUUCCCAUAGUUAUUAAACCCGGUCCGGUCCGGCGGUUCGACUGGUCAACCCAAUGAACCGUUCGGUUUGGUAAGAAACCCGGUUUGCAUGUUAAAAAUGUUAGAAAAAUGCUAGAGUGAUGUCUCGAACCAGCGACCUCUUGUAUUUAAUGAAACGCAACAGCCACUACACCAACAGCUCACUUGUUGAUUAUUUUGUUUUUUUUUUUAUAUUAUAUAUUAGACUUUUAUUCUUAUUUUAAUUAUCCAAAACAAAAUUUAUUUGGAAUUUUUAAUAAAUUUUAUUACUCCCCAAACUCUAUAAAUUAUGAAAUGAAUUUAAAAAAUAACAUAUCACACAAUUCAUUCUAAAGGCAAAUAUCGUUCCUAAUAAUCUUUUGCAUUUAAAAUUCAUAAAUAAACUAGAUAAUUAUACUUAGAUAAAAUUUUAUACUUGAAAUUUGAUGGAUUAUUAAUUGAAUUUAGGUUUUGUUAAUUCUUAUAAGAAUUAAUGAUUCUAUAAUAAAUUAGACUAAUUGAUCAUUUGCUAUGACAUAAUUUAUUAUAGUUUUAACCAUAUUAAAAAUUAUGAAACAUAAUAUUUAAAUAUAUUUCAUGACCUACCGGUUAAACCACUCACCCACUGGUUGAACUAGUAACCCGUUCACCCAUCUCUUUCACCGGAUUCCCCUCCAGGCCGGGUUUAAUAACUAUGCUCUUUCCUCUUCACUGCAUCCCAUCCUUCUCCCUCUUUGUCUUCUCGUGAUUGGAUUUGGUCAUGGAAGAGAUGGGUGGAAGGGAGGGAAAAGAAGAGGAAUUCUUUAUGCAGAGGAAAGUAGAAAUCAAAAGAUUGGAGCAAACUGACAAUUGGGACAAAAACUAUUGUUGUUUUUAACUUUUUGUAGCUUUGGGAUUUGGAUUGUGAAUCCAUUUGCAAGUAAUGGGUAUUUUGAGUUCUAAUGCUACUAGCAGUCUAUUGAUGUCCAUUUACAUAAAGGAAAAAGGAGGAAUGAAAUACAGACAAAAAUAGAUGUGAAAUGCUAAGGUGGCGUUUGGUUCGCAUAUUGAAAUCGGAUUCGGAUUUGAAAUCAUUCAUUCUGGAUUUGGAAUGAAAUCAAUUAUUCUAAUACAUCCGUUUGGUUCAGUACCAGGAAUAUAUAUCAUUACUAUAGUUGAUUUUUGGUUCGUUGACUCUUUAUAAAUGGGAUAUAAGAAUUUUUCACUAAUUAAAUCUAUUAGUAUAAAUGUAUUAGUAAAUUUAGUAUAACUAAUUAAUAAUUUAUAUUUGUAAACAUGUAUAAUUAUUAGUAUAAUUGAUAAUAUCAAUUAUAUUACAUAGAUUAAUAUACAUUAUAUAAUACAUAUAACUAAUAAUAUCAUUAUUAUACGUUUGUAACUAAUUAAAUUAAAUAUUAUAUAUAUAAUUAAAUAUAAUUAUACAAAUGUUAUAUAUAAAUAUAUAAUUAUAAUUAUACAAUACAUAUAAAUAUUAAUUAUACUAAUAUUUUAUAUAAUUAUAAUGUAUGUUAUUUAUUAAAUAUAAUUAUAAUUAUAUUUAUAAUAAUAAAUUAAAUUAUAAUUAUAUGAAUUAUUAAUAUUAUAUAUACAUAUAUAUUAUAAUUAUAUGUGCACAUAAUAUGCAUUUGUGAAUAUACAUAUAUAAUAUAAAUAUAUUAUUAUAUCAUAUUAAUAAAUUUAUAAUAUAAUUAUAUUUAAUUAUAAUAUAUAAUAAUUAAAUAAUUAUAAUACAUAUUUAUAUAAUAUAUUAUAUAAUUAUACUAAUAUUAUAAUAAAAUAUGUAAUCUUAAUUAUAUAUUAUAUAUAAAUAUAAUUAUACUAAUGUAUUAUAUAAUUAUAAAGUAUAUUAUAUAUUAAAUAUAAUUUUUAUUAUGUAUUAUUAUAUUUAUAAUAAUAAAUAUAAAUAUAAAUAUAUAAUAUAUUAUUAUAUACACAUAUAUAUUAUAAUUAUAUGCACAUAUAAUAUACAUUUAUAAAUAUAUAUAAUAUAAAUAUAUUAUUAUAUAAUAUUAAUAAAUUUACAAUAUAUAUUGUAUAAAUAUAAUUAUAUUUAAUUAAAUAAUUAUAAUAUAUUAUAUAAUUAUACUAAUAUUAUAAUAAAAAUAUAUAAUUAUAAUAUAUAUUAAUUAUAUAUAUGUACAUAAUUAUAUAUUAAUUUUUUUAAUGGGUGACAGGAUGGACCCCAUUUCUAAAUGGGAAUCAGACUUAGAUUUUGUCCAAAACCCUCCAAGUUACUAGGGAAUUGACGAAUUCUAAAUUUUUAGAUAUGAUUCCAAAAUCCCGAUUCCAAUAGUAGUAACCCAAACAACAAUUAUGGGGUUUAUUCCAAUUAUUCAUUCCAAAACCCACUUACCAAACGCCACCUAAAUUUGAACGCCUACUUCCUCUGUGACCAGAUCUGGUUACAGAGGAGUUGGAGGAGAGAGAGUGAGAGAGACGAAGGGGGGAGGAAGGAAGAAGGGGAAGGAGGUGAAGAAAGGUGCGUGGGGAAGAGGAGAGGGAAAGGAAAAGGUUACAGGAUGGCAGGGAUGAGGAAAAGUGAAUGUGUGGGAUAAGAGGUGGUAGGGAUAGUGGGGAAGGUUGGUAGGAGAGAUGGUGUAGGUGGAGGGAGGAGAAAAGGACACGAUGGCAACGGUUUAAGAGGGUGGUGUGGGCAAGGAGAGUAAAUAUAGCACAAUUUGCAAUGGAAAAGUUUGUGUUAAUUAUUUUUUGGACAUUUGUGUCCUUGAAAAUCUACAUUAGUAGGUAAUACAUGCUUUUUUUUUUUGUUACAAAAGAGUUGAUCUCACUGGAAUGACAUGAAAAGCUCAAUUUAAAGAGAUUAGUGACCUUUUGGCCAAAAAAAAAAAAAAUUGAGUGAACAACUAGUGCAAUUUUAAAUUGUUUGGUAACUUUUUGGGUCAUUUACUCUUUUUUUUAAUGUUUAAAAAAAAAUUUUAAUACGAGAGGGGCAGAAUUUAAAAAAAGCAAAUUGCGCCGAAUGUCCCUAAACUAUACACUUGUACUAGUCUAGGUCAUUAAACUAUUUUUUUUAGCCAAAAAUGUGACUAAACUAAUCAAAUUGCAUGUUUUAUAUCAUUUCGUGUAAUUUGACAGUCAAAACAAAUGGAAGAAAUGUCACGUGACUUGCAAGUGGAUUUUUUUCAGGGGUAAACUCAUCUAAACAAUUUUGGCUUGAAGUUUUUCAUCCUCAUUACUCACAUAUAUCUCUCUUUUUCUCUCUCAGCCGUUAGCAGCAGAGAAAAGUCUAAAACUUCCUCCCCUUAAAACCCAAAAAUAGGCUAAAAAUUUAUAGCUUCAAUAUAGUCUUGAACUGGCAUGUGUUCAGUUUUGAGUUAAGGAUUUAUUGUUUUAGAUAGGUUUAUGAUUGGGGAGGAAGGGUUCUCAAGUCUUCGAGAAGGUUUAUAUUAGGUCCCAUUCAUGUUGAGCGAAAAGAAGACAAAAGGAAAGAAAAAGAAUUGGAGACAUUUCAUGUUUUUUUUUUCUUUUUUUUGGCUGAUCUUUUAUUGGUUGCAGUUUCAGAAAAACAAGAAACAAGUUUGAACAAAAAGUUUCAUUUUGUGUAACGCCCAAAACCUGUUUGUAAAAAUGAUAGAGAAAAACUUGAAAAAACUAGUUUUUGAAAAAUUUAAGGAUCCAAACAGAGCAAUGUCAGUUCAAAAAACAACGAUUACGAAUCCCUGCCAUUUGCUGGCUAGUGGUGUGGAGACGGCAAGGAAAAAUCCACUUUAGAUUUGGGCAAAAAUUCACAAGGGCUUUAGGUAGGAAAAGGAGAAUAGAGCCUAAUUGUUAUCUAUAAUGUUAGGGAAGAAAACAAACAUCAACCAAAAGCUAAAUCAACGAUUUGGCCCCUCAAAAACCAAGCCUGCAAAUGACAUGAUGUCCAUUUCUCCCUAGGGCAAACCCAAGGGUAUCAGCGGAACGCCUGCCUAGCUCUCACCAAGACUCGAUACAUGUCAAAUUUAAACUUAAGGACAAACAACCAAUAAUAAAAGUCGAAGUAAGGAAAAGUCGCUUCCUUAAAUAAAUAUUCAAAUCUUAAAUCACAAGUUUCCAAAAAUACAUCAAAUCUCCCAAUAAAUACAACCACCAUUAGUCGACUAAUCGAUUACAUUCAAAAUUCUACUCAUAAGGUAAUCAAGUCGACUUUCCAAAAGUCUUUCCAUUCCGAGUUCCUGUUAAGGAAAACAAACUAAUGAGAUGAGUUAACGCUCAGUGAGACCAAGAAAAGCAUGCAAACAUAUAGUUCAAGUAACAAUAACACUUAUACAGGAAAUAAAGCUAGAAAGUUAAGGUAAUUUACAAUUAAUAAUAAAACACAAUCAAUAAGGAUACGGGAGCUCUCAGGAGCUAGAUUCCUCUUACUUUGUCAAGGCUCGAUCCAAUACCUCCACGUGAUGACACUCCGUCAACCGGGUAGGUAAUAACUCCGUAGAACUCCACUUACUUCAAAAUCCCGUUCACCGUUACACCCUCUUUUUGGGGCCCGCACUUUAGUUAUAAAAGGCGAUAUUACUCGAGGAUGCCAAGCGAGAUCUCAAAAGAUUAAACUUUAUGAUUUUCUCAUGGUUCACCAAGUUUAUCGACCAAUCCCAUGCCGGCUCGAUUCACAAGGUUAGCCAAUGAGUUUGGGCGUCCCCCACGAUUACAAGUAUAAGUCGAUGAGAUUCACUAUAAUCGACAUCAAAUCAAACACAAGUAUAAUUUCAACUAUGAGCAAGUCAAUUAUCUAACCAAGUAAAAGAGAACGAGCGCGAUAAAAUACACACUCGACUCGACAAGUCCAAUUCACAUAUUCGACAGGAAGUAUUUCAAGUAUUAUACAACAAGUCAUGCACUUGACACUCAGCAAUUCAAAACAAGUGAGUAAAUAAAGUCUUUAGUUGUCCGCUCCAAGAUUCCCUUCAUAAUCCUCUUGAGCGCCUGAAGAAAUAGUGAUCAACCAUCACUCACAUAUACUCACAGCCACUGAUCAUUCAAGGAAGAAAGUACACUCGCUUAAAAUUUAAAACAAUGUCUUAGAACGGCUUAAUCUAUCAAAAAUAGAGAUUUAAAAGUGAGGAUUUAAAAUGACAAGAAAAACUUGUAUCCUCCAUGAAAUCGGGUUUAAAACAGACUAUCAAUAUCAAAAGGAUGUGAAAAGUUCUUAAAAGUUCAUUUCCUAUGAAAUCGGAAAUUUUCAGCUUUACGUGACAAAAUUUGAAAAAAUCGUAUCUUGAGUUUGGUAUGUCGAAAAAUGGAAAACUUUAUACCAUUGAAAACUAGACUAAAAUUACUAAAAAUUCCCAGAAGACAUUUUUCAAGAUUCCAACCAGAAAGCAUUCAAAUUUCAGUUCAAAGUUGCAGUUUCAAGAAGACAGGAUAGAACCAUUCUUAGUUUUUCAGCAAUGUUUGGAAAUUCGGAAAAAUUCACAGAAAGUGAAUCAGCCUCUGAAAUUUAUAAAACAAUAAGAGUUUCAAACCAAGUUUCAAACACAAUAAGCAGAACUAAAUUCAAAGUUUUGAGCAUCAAGAUAUAAUAGUUGGAAGUUGACUGGUUUUGGCAACCUGUUCAUAAGAUUUUCCAGUUUUCAACUUAAACAUAGUUUUGGAAUCAAACCAUAUCUAACUUUACACAAGUUCAAAUUGAGAAUGGUUUAUGGCGUUAGAAAUUAGGUUCAAAAUGCUACACUUCAUCAACAUUGUUUUCAAAAUCUUUUCACAAGUGGAACAAAAUCGAGCCAUAAGAUGCAGUUUUCUAGUUUCUCUCGGACAAACAGACAUAACAGGACAUUCUAAUUUGCCGAUUCGCUACGAUUUACUCAAAAUGAAAUAGCAGGGGAAUUAUAUACCAUUUGAAAUCUCUAAAUGUCUAGUUUUGAAUGCUGUAAACAGCACUCAAUUUUGACUUUUGUACAAAGAGUUAUAUUCAGACAAAGUACCUCUGUCCGGCUACCCUAGUAACUAGUUUCCAGAUUUCGAACUUCCUCUAAAACUCAAGUUUUAUGUAACCAUUUGAAAAUGAUUUUUGAAAGAAACUUUCUACACACACAAUACAACAUAUAUCAAUCAGUUUAGUAUCGAUAUAAUCAACAAAAAUUCGAGUUCAAAGCAGGACAGCAAAACAGAAAUUUCGGCCAGCUCCCUCUCACGGCUUCCUUCAAUUUUCUCUCCACUAUCAAACCAUAAUCAAAUUAUAAUUCACAUAAAUAUCAACAAUCAAGCAAUAUCCUCAAGUUAGCUACCUCAUAGGCCACCUCAAGACCGCUAGCCUAGAAUUUAAAGCAAGAUAAAAGCUUCCUCAAGUCCUCUAGCCUACUAUCUUGAUUAGGGUUUGAAACCCAUGAAAACUAACCAUCAAUUUUUGUAUAAAUGGAAAGAUUAAAGGAGGGAUGAAGGGUUACCUUCCAAGCAACUAAACCUUAGAUGUAAGUGAGAGUUUUCUCCAAGAUAUCACUAAGAAACUCCACAAGAGUGCACCUUUCCUCAAGUUAGAGUGAAAUUCCAAAUGGGUUGAUGGUUGGAUGUUGAUUUGCAAGCCAAAUUGAAACUAGGAGAUGAAGUUUCUUCUUCCCUUUUCUUUUCUUUUGGUCAGCUGAGAGAGAGAGAUGGUGAGGGAGGGUUUGGUGUUGUGAAUCUUGUGUAGGAAGAUUGAAAAAAAGUAGCUUUAAGUUGUGCAAGAAAGUCAACACUUAAUAGUGGCGAAAUAGUGUUGUGUACUACUACUCCCUCUCUUGUUUGUUACACUUAUGCACUAAUCCUCCAAAGUAAUUCCUCUAGCACUGUAAUUACUUAUACUUACUAAUCUAGUACUAAAUUCUAGAAUCUCCAAUUAGUCGUAUCGGCACGACUUUCAAGAAACUUUCGACGUGAGCACGAUAAAGUGAAAUUUAAGGGAAAUACAUGCAAUACUAGUAUAAUUAAAUAACACUAGGGCAAAUAAUUAUAAAAAUGACUAGAUUAAGAAAUAAAACAUGAGUCCUCACAUUCUCUCCCGUUUAAGAGAAUUUCGUCCACGAAAUUCAUACUUUGAUUUGGGAAUAGAUCUGGAUAUUUUUCGAAUCUCCUCCUCUACUUUCCAAGUUGCUUCCUCUAUUUCGUGGUUCCUCCAUAGAACUUUUACCAGAGGAAUUCGUUUAUUCCUUAGUUCCUUCACUUUUCGAUCCAGAAGCUUCACUGGUUUCUCUUCAUAAGUUAGUGCCUCGUUGAUCUCAAUAUUUUCUGGUUGUAGUACAUGGGAAGGAUUUGGGUGGUACUUCUUGAGCAUAGACACGUGAAAAAUAUUACGAAUUCGAGACAAACUUGGUGGCAGUUCCAACUUAUAGGCCACGUUUCCCACGCGUUGUAGAAUCUUAUAAGGUCUUACAAAUCUUGGUUGCAAUUUCUUUCCUUUUCCUGCCAUCAAACUUGCUUUUAGAGGAGUGAUCUUAAGAAAAACUUGAUCUCCAACCAUAAACUGCAAAUCCUUUCUCCAGUUAUCUGCAUAGCUCUUUUGACGGCUCUGAGCUGUCUGAAUCUUUUGGCGUAUUAACUUCACCUUUUCACACACCUCUUCAAUCCAUGGUACUGCAGUUGGGUCUAAAAUCUUUCUUUCACCUAUUUCAUCCCAACAAAUCGGAGAUCUACACUUCCGGUCAUAAAGAGGUUCAUAUGGAGUCAUUUGAAUGGAUGAAUGAAAGCUAUUACUAUAAGCAAAUUCCACCAGUGUCAAGUACUUACACCAACUCUCUCCAAAAUCCAAAAUACAGGUUCUCAACAUAUCCUCAAAGGUCUGAAUUGUCCUCUCAGAUUGUCCAUCAGUCUAGAGGUGGUAGGUAGUGCUAAAACUCAAUUUAGUUCCUAACAUUUCUUGCAUCUUCUGCCAGAACUGAGAAACAAACCGAGGGUUUCGGUCAAAUACAAUACUUAAAAGUAUCCCAUGUAGCCUUAUAAUCUCAUCCAAAUAUAAUUUAACUAAUUUCUUCAGGGAGUACUUCAUACUAAUUGGCAGAAAAUGAGCAGAUUUGGCCAGUCUAUCUACUAUCACCCAAACAGCGUCGUGACCUCUUUGUGUCCUUGGUAAUCCAAAUACAAAAUCUAUGGUGAUGUUUUCCUAUUUUCACUCAGGUAUCUCUAAAGGUUGCAGUAGACCAGACGGUUUCUGAUGCUCGAUUUUAACCUGCUGGCAAAUCAAACAAGUCUGGAUAAAUCGAGUAAUUUCCUUCUUCAUGUUCUCCCACCAGUACGGACUCUUCAAAUCUUGGUAUAUUUUAUUCCCUCCAAGAUGUACCAUAUACUUAGAACGAUGGGAUUCCUCCAAAAUUUUUCUUUUUAACCCUUCAUCCUUUGGUACUACUAUGUGAUUUCGAAAUCUUAGUACACAAUUUAUUCCCAAAUUAAAAUUCGACUUUUCUCCCUUAUUAACUCUUUUCACCCACUUUUGCACCUCUGAAUCCUUCUCUUGUGCCUCCUCGAUACGAUCUAGUAAAACGGAUUUCACGACAAUGUUCCCAAGGAUUACCUUACUUGGUUCAAGAUGAGAGUUCCAAAUACUAAUCUCUUCUAACAAGUGUAAUUUUUUAAUCAUCAAUCCUGCUACUUGCACUUGAAGAUUCAAAGCAUCAGCUACCAUAUUAAUUUUCCUGGGGUGAUAAUUAAUCGUGCAAUCAUAAUUUUCUAAAAAUUUCACCCAUCUGCGUUGUUUCAAAUUCAACUCUUUUUGAAAAAACAGUACUUAAAACUCUUGUGGUCCGUAAAAAUCUCAAAUGUCACCCCAUAUAGGUAAUGUCUUCGCUUUUUAAUGCAAACACUGCAGCCGCUAACUCCAAAUCAUGAGUUGGAUAAUUCUUCUCGUGAGAUUUUAAUUUCCUAGAGGCAUACGCAAUCACCUUUUCAUUUUGCAUCAAUACACACCCCAAGUUUUCUUUUGAAGCAUCUGUAUAAACCAUAAAACUAUCCUUUCUAUUAGGUAAAGCUAAUACAGGUGUCCUUGUCAAACAUUAUUUUAACUCUUGAAAACUUUUUUCACACUUAAAACUCCAUAUAAACUUUUCACUUUUCUUAGUCAACUCAGUCAUAGGUCCCACAAUCUUAAAAUUUUUUUUGAUAAAUCUCCGGUAAUACCCUACUAACCCUAAGAAUCUUCAAAUUUCAGUAGAAUUUUUCGGUUGCUUCUACUUAGAUACUGCUUCAACUUUGGUCGGAUCCAUCUUAAUUCCGUUCUUAGAGAUUAUAUGACCUAAGAAAGUUACUUCCUUCAAUCAAAAUUCACAUUUGCUAAACUUAACAUACAACUGAUGUUCUCUCAAGAUUUGCAAAACAAUUUUCAAAUGUUUCUCAUGAUCCUGCAGAGUCUUAAAAUACACCAGUAUAUCGUCAAUAAAUACCACUACAAACUGAUUCAGAUAAGAUUUAAAGAUUCGAUGCAUUAAAUCCAUAAAAGCUACAGGAGCAUUAGUCAAUCCGAACGGCAUCACUGCGAACUCAAAGUGUCCGCACCUUGAGUUAAAGGCAGUUUUAGAUAUAUCUUUUUUCAAAAUCCUCAACUGAUAAUAACCUUACCUGAGAUUCAACUUUGAGAAUACUACCGCCCCUUGUAAUUGGUCAAACAAUUUAUCAAUGUGGGAUAAAAGGUACUUAUUUUUUAUGGUAACAUCAUUCAAGUCUCGGUAAUCAAUACACCACUAUAAGCUACCAUCUUUCUUCUUAACAAAUAACACCGGAGCUCCCCACGGUGAAUCAUUUUCUUUUAUAAAGUCUCGCUCUAGCAAAUCCUGUAAUUGCAAUUUCAACUCUUUCAAUUCAAUUGGAGCCAUUCUAUAAGGCGUUUUAGAGAUAAGUGCUACCCCUGAAAUUACAUCAAUUUUAAAGGUUAUCUCUCUUUCAGGGGGCAAAGAUUCUAGUUUCUCAGGAAAAAUAUUUGGAUACUCCUUUACUAUUGGCAUAUCUUCCAACCUUACCUUAUCACUAAGAAUAUUUAUUAGAAAAGUCAAAUAUCCUUGAACUCCCUUACUCAACAUCUUUCUAGCUCGAAUUCCUGAAAUAAGGGCAGAUGAGACUAGUCUACCCCUUACGUCCAAUUUUAGGGUUGCCUUUCCUGGAAUACACAAUUCUACCAUUUUUGUCUUACAAUUCAACUGAUCAUGGUAACGAGCUAACCAGUCCAUUCUUAGGAUGACAUCAUACCCCUUAAUAGCUAAACUCAUCAGAUAGGCUAACAAUUUUCGCUCUCCAACCCAUAUUUCACAAUCUCUAUACACCAAGUUAGUAAUCAAAUUUUGAUCUCCAGUAGGCGUUCUAACUUUCAAGUCAUAAGGUAACUUAAUUGGUUUCACAUUUACCCCACUCAUGAAUUUAGGGUUUACAAAAGAGUGUGUCGCAUCCGGAUCAAUUAAAAGCUUAUCUAACGGUGAAAAAUAGGGAUCAUACCUUCAACUAUCUCAGUGGAAUCAAGAAUCUGUUGAUGGUCCAAUGCAUAAAUUCUAGCUGGCACUUUAGGUCGACUCCUUCCAGCACUAGACUGCUUAGAGGUUGGCUUCUCUGGCUGUUGAGUACUACCUCCUACUUUCGGCACACUUGGACAAUUUGAGAGUUGGUGCUCGGCACUGUCACAGUACAAGCACUUUUUUGAUUUCCUCCAACAAUCAUUUUCUACAUGAAUGGACUUGCUACAGUAGCCACAACUAACUUGAGGAGUCACUGCUUGACCACCAGAGUGUAUUCCUCUCGCUUGACCUUGCCCAGUGCGGCCUCCUCUUGAUAAGGCCCUUCUUCGUGCUCCAGUGGUCAUCAAUCUGCUCGCUCCUCUUCCCAUUUUAGGAGGUGUGACACUCUUACUUAUUUGUCCAGAAGGAUGACUAGGAGCGCCCUUUUUCUUGGCAUGAAAGUUCCUAACUUGCAACCUUGCAUUUUCGACUCUCUGUGCUUUCUCUAGGACUUCCGUGAAUGUAGAGAUUUGGGUUGCUGCUAAUCCCUCUUGAAUCUCCACAUUAAGUCCUUGUACAAAGCGCCUUAUCCUUCUCCGUUCAUUAGCCACCAAUUUCGGAGCGUACUUAGAAAGUUUAAUAAAUCUUCCCUCAUAAUCGGCCACGCUAGAAGCCCCCCGUCUCAAUUUUACGAAUUCGUCCUCCCGUUUCUAUUGAAUCAGGGGCGGGAGAAAUUUCUCAUUAAACUCUCUUAUAAAGUUUUCUCAGAUCCAAGGGGUUUAUACUCUUUCCCAUUUUUUUCUUAUCACAUCCCACCAAGCACGUGCUGCACCCUUAAAUUGGAAGGCAGCGAAGGCCUUUCCUUAGUAUAGUCUAAGACGGCAAAUAUAUUGGUUAUUCUCUCUAGCCAGUUUUCCUCUAACUCGGGGUCAGGCCCUUCAAUAAAUUUAGGUGGAGCAAAUUUCAAAAAUCUCUCCAAAGUUCUAUCAUCUCCUUUAUUCUGAGCCCCGGGUUGGUUAACAGAUCUUGGACCCUGUCGCUCUGCUAACCGUUCUAAGAUAUCCGUCAUUCGGUUAAUGGCAGUAGCCACUUGGUCAUCCUCUUCGUUCACUUGCUCUUGGCUCGGUCCAAUUGCCGAUCCUUGAUCAUCCCCUUGAGUUUGGGAUUGCUUAACCCCACGCCCUCAAACCCUACCAUUCCUUCGACCGUCCAUGAUUCUAAUUAUGUUUAGAUGCAAGAAUAAAAAUAAUUCUGCUAGAGAAUACUAAAAAAUAAAAGCCAACAUGGAAAAAUUGGAAAUAACAAUAAUUAGCAUAUAUUAACAUUUCAAGGUUCGUACAAUUAGCAAGUCAUGGGGCAUUUACAAAAAUAUAGCACACAGGUGCCACAAAAGUGCAAUUAGUCAUGCAAUACAAGUCAAGAGCUUUACAAGCAUCACCCCAACUAAUCUCAGUUACAAAAAUCUAAAGGUUCAGCAUUCCUAGCCUAGUUCGUAUUCGAACCGCUAGUCUAGAUCUCCUCCUUUGGGUCCUCCUCAGGAGUGCUCUCAUGAGCCGGGCUAUCGACGGUUUCUAUUACCUCUUCUAUCAACAUGGUGGUGUCAGCUAGAAUCCCAGCAGUCCGAUCCCGAACCUCCUUGACUACCCUAGUCAGUCGAGCCCUAGUCCUCUGAAGCUCGACACUAGCGGUCUCAGCUCUAGUCCGCUCAUCUAUCACCGUCCCCUCGAGUUCCGAAAUCCUAGCACCCUGACAUCCACCAUAGCGUCCAUCUCCUCAAUCUCCUAAAAUAAUGCCCUAUUAGUAGCCACCAACUGUCGGCGCUCAUCAUCAAUGGACAGCACAAGAUCAUUAGGGUAGGCAUGUGUCUCCCUACAAGGGCAACGAAGAAACCUAGUGAAAGACGAAUAUCGGACACGAGAUCCUCCACCCAGAACUCGAUACUGGAUAGGCCUAGGAAACUCUACGUGACCAUUAGCCUCUCCAUUACCAUUAGCCGCAUGUCUUCUAUUUCCGUUCUCCAUUCCUACAAAACAACCAUAAAACUCACGGUUAGAAACUUAAAGUCACUAAUUUACUCAAACAUCAACUUAAGACAUAACUAAACUAUCUCAUUCCUAUUCUCAAGGGUAAAACCCCUAAAACAUCUCCCAAAUAGAUCUCUAAACCUAAGCUUUAAUACCAAUUGUGAUGCCCCCACUUCUCCCAAAGGCGAAUCCAAGGGUAUCAGUGGAACGCCUGCCUAACUCUCGCCAGAACUCGAUACAAGUCAAAUUUAAACUUAAGGAUAAACAACCAAUAAUAAAAGUCGAAGUAAGGAAAAGUCGCUUCCUUAAAUAAAUAUUCAAAUCUUAAAUCACAAGUUUUAAAAAAUACAUCAAAUCUCCCAAUAAACACAACCACCAUAAGUCGACUAAUCGAUUACAUUCAAAAUUCUACUCAUAAAGUAAUCAAGUUGGCUUUCCAAAAGUCUUUCCAUUCCGAGCUCCUGUUAAGGAAAACAAACUAAUAGGAUGAGUUAAUGCUCAGUGAGACCAAGAAAAGCAUGCAAACAUAUAGUUCAAGUAACAAUAACACUUAUACAUGAAAUAAAGCUAUAAAGUUAAGGUAAUUUACAAUUAAUAAUAAAACACAAUCAAUAAGGAUACGGGAGCUCUAAGGAGCUAGAUUCCUUUUGCUUUGCCAAGGCUCGAUCCAAUACCUCCACGUGAUGACACUCCGUCAACCAGGUAGGUAUUAACUCCGUAGAACUGCACUUACUUCAAAAUCCCGUUCACCAUUACACCCUCUUUUUCGGGCCCGCACUUUAGUUAUAAAAGGCGAUAUUACUCGAGGAUGCCAAGCGAGAUCUCAAAAGAUUAAACUUUAUGAUUUUCUCAUGGUUUACCAAGUUUAUCGACCAAUCCCAUGCCGGCUCGAUUUACAAGGUUAGCCAAUGAGUUUGGGUGUCCCCCACGAUUACAAAUAUAAGUCGAUGAGAUUCACUACAAUCGACAUCAAAUCAAACACAAGUAUAAUUUCAACUAUGAGCAAGUCAAUUAUCUAACCAAGUAAAAGAGAACGAGCGCGAUAAAGUACACACUCGACUCGACAAGUCCAAUUCACAUAUUCGACAGGAAGUAUUUCAAGUAUUAUACAACAAGUCAUGCACUUGACACUCAGCAAUUCAAAACAAGUAAGUAAUAAAGUCUUUAGUUGUCCGCUCCAAGAUUCCCUUCAUAAUCCUCUUGAGCGCCUGAAGAAAUAGUGAUCAACCAUCACUCACAUAUACACACAGCCACUGAUCAUUCAAGGAAGAAAGUACACUCGCUUAAAAUUUAAAACAAUGUCUUAGAACGGCUUAAUCUAUCAAAAAUAGAGAUUUAAAAGUGAGGAUUUAAAAUGACAAGAAAAACUUGUAUCCUCCAUGAAAUCGGGUUUAAAACAGACUAUCAAUAUCAAAAGGAUGUGAAAAGUUCUAAAAAGAUCAUUUCCUAUGAAAUCGGAAAUUUUCAGCUUUACGCGACAAAAUUUGAAAAAAUCGUAUCUUGAGUUUGGUAUGUCGAAAAAUGGAAAACUUUAUACCGUUGAAAACUAGACUAAAAUUAGUAAAAAUUCCCAGAAGACAUUUUUCAAGAUUCCAACCAGAAAGCAUUCAAAUUUCAGUUCAAAGUUGCAGUUUCAAGAAGACAGGAUAGAACCAGUCUUAGUUUUUCAGCAAUGUUUGGAAAUUCAGAAAAAUUCACAGAAAGUGAAUCAGCCUCUGAAAUUUAUAAAACAAUAAGAGUUUCAAACCAAGUUUCAAACACAAUAAGCAGAACUAAAUUCAAAGUUUUGAGCAACAAGAUAUAACAGUUGGAAGUUGACUGGUUUUGGCAACCUGUUCAUAAGAUUUUCCAGUUUUCAACUUAAACAUAGUUUUGGAAUCAAACCAUAUCUAACUUUACACAAGUUCAAAUUGAGAAUGGUUUAUGGCGUUAGAAAUUAGGUUCAAAAUGCUACAUUUCAUCAACAUUGUUUUCAAAAUCUUUUCACAAGUGGGACAAAAUCGAGCCAUAAGAUGCAGUUUUCUAGUUUCUCUCGGACAGACAGACAUAACAGGACAUUCUAAUUUGCCGAUUCGCUACGAUUUACUCAAAAUGAAAUAGCAGGGGAAUUAUAUACCAUUUGAAAUCUCUAAAUGUCUAGUUUUGAAUGCUGUAAACAGCACUCAAUUUUGACUUUUGUACAAAGAGUUAUAUUCAGACAAAGUACCUCUGUCCGGCUACCCUAGUAACUAGUUUCCAGAUUUCGAACUUCCUCUAAAACUCAAGUUUUAUGUAACCAUUUGAAAUGAUUUUUGAAAGAAACUUUCUACACACACAAUACAACAUAUAUCAAUCAGUUUAGUAUCGAUAUAAUCAACGAAAAUUCGAGUUCAAAGCAGGACAGCAAAACAGAAAUUUCGGCCAGCUCCCUCUCACGGCUUCCUUCAAUUUUCUCUCCACUAUCAAACCAUAAUCAAAUUAUAAUUCACAUAAAUAUCAACAAUCAAGCCAUAUCCUCAAGUUAGCUACCUCAUAGGCCACCUCAAGACCGCUAGCCUAGAAUUUAAAGCAAGAUAAAAGCUUCCUCAAGUCCUCUAGCCUACUAUCUUGAUUAGGGUUUGAAACCCAUGAAAACUAACCAUCAAUUUUUGUAUAAAUGGAAAGAUUAAAGGAGGGAUGAAGGGUUACCUUCCAAGCAACUAAACCUUAGAUGUAAGUGAGAGUUUUCUCCAAGAUAUCACUAAGAAACUCCACAAGAGUGCACCUUUCCUCAAGUUAGAGUGAAAUUCCAAAUGGGUUGAUGGUUGGAUGUUGAUUUGCAAGCCAAAUUGAAACUAGGAGAUGAAGUUUCUUCUUCCCUUUUCUUUUCUUUUGGUCAGCUGAGAGAGAGAGAUGGUGAGGGAGGGUUUGGUGUUGUGAAUCUUGUGUAGGAAGAUUGAAAAAAAGUAGCUUUAAGUUGUGCAAGAAAGUCAACACUUAAUAGUGGCGAAAUAGUGUUGUGUACUACUACUCCCUCUCUUGUUUGUUACACUUAUGCACUAAUCCUCCAAAGUAAUUCCUCUAGCACUGUAAUUACUUAUACUUACUAAUCUAGUACUAAAUUCUAGAAUCUCCAAUUAGUCGUAUCGGCACGACUUUCAAGAAACUUUCGACGUGAGCACGAUAAAGUGAAAUUUAAGGGAAAUACAUGCAAUACUAGUAUAAUUAAAUAACACUAGGGCAAAUAAUUAUAAAAAUGACUAGAUUAAGAAAUAAAACAUGAGUCCUCACAUUCUCUCCCGUUUAAGAGAAUUUCGUCCACGAAAUUCAUACUUUGAUUUGGGAAUAGAUCUGGAUAUUUUUCGAAUCUCCUCCUCUACUUUCCAAGUUGCUUCCUCUAUUCCGUGGUUCCUCCAUAGAACUUUUACCAGAGGAAAUCGUUUAUUCCUUAGUUCCUUCACUUUUCGAUCCAGAAGCUUCACUGGUUUCUCUUCAUAAGUUAGUGCCUUGUUGAUCUCAAUAUUUUCUGGUUGUAGUACAUGGGAAGGAUUUGGGUGGUACUUCUUGAGCAUAGACAUAUGAAAAAUAUUACGAAUUCGAGACAAACUUGGUGGCAGUUCCAACUUAUAGGCCACGUUUCCCACGCGUUGUAGAAUCUUAUAAGGUCUUACAAAUCUUGGUUGCAAUUUCUUUCCUUUUCCUGCCAUCAAACUUUCUUUUAGAGGAGUGAUCUUAAGAAAAACUUGAUCUCCAACCAUAAACUGCAAAUCCUUUCUCCAGUUAUCUGCAUAGCUCUUUUGACGGCUCUGAGCUGUCUGAAUCUUUUGGGGUAUUAACUUCACCUUUUCACACACCUCUUCAAUCCAUGGUACUGUAGUUGGGUCUAAAAUCUUUCUUUCACCUAUUUCAUCCCAACAAAUCAGAGAUCUACACUUCCAGUCAUAAAGAGGUUCAUAUGGAGCCAUUUGAAUGGAUGAAUGGAAGUUAUUACUAUAAGCAAAUUCCACCAGUGUCAAGUACUUACACCAACUCUCUCCAAAAUCCAAAAUACAGGUUCUCAACAUAUCCUCAAGGGUCUGAAUUGUCCUCUCAGAUUGUCCAUCAGUCUAGGGGUGGUAGGUAGUGCUAAAACUCAAUUUAGUUCCUAACAUUUCUUGCAUCUUCUGCUAGAACUGAGAAACAAACCGAGGGUUUCGGUCAAAUACAAUACUUACAAGUAUCCCAUGUAGCCUUAUAAUCUCAUCCAAAUAUAACUUAACUAAUUUCUUCAGGGAGUACUUCAUACUAAUUGGCAGAAAAUGAGCAGAUUUGGCCAGUCUAUCUACUAUCACCCAAACAGCUUCGUGACCUCUUUGUGUCAUUGGUAAUCCAAAUACAAAAUCUAUGGUGAUGUUUUCCUAUUUUCACUCAGGUAUCUCUAAAGGUUGCAGUAGACCAGACGGUUUCUGAUGCUCAAUUUUAACCUGCUGGCAAAUCAAACAAGUCUGGAUAAAUCGAGUAAUUUCCUUCUUCAUGUUCUCCCACCAGUGCGGACUCUUCAAAUCUUGGUAUAUUUUAUUCCCUCCAAGAUGUACCAUAUACCUAGAACGAUGGGAUUUCUCCAAAAUAUUUCUUUUUAACCCUUCAUCCUUUGGUACUACUAUGUGAUUUCGAAAUCUUAGUACACAAUUUAUUCCCAAAUUAAAAUUCGACUUUUCUUCCUUAUUAACUCUUUUCACCCACUUUUGCACCUCUGAAUCCUUCUCUUGUGCCUCCUCGAUACGAUCUAGUAAAACGGAUUUCACGACAAUGUUCCCAAGGAUUACCUUUCUUGGUUCAAGAUGAGAGUUCCAAAUACUAAUCUCUUCUAACAAGUGUAAUUUUUUAAUCAUCAAUCCUGCUACUUGCACUUGAAGAUUCAAAGCAGCAGCUACCACAUUAAUUUUCCUGGGGUGAUAAUUAAUCGUGCAAUCAUAUUUUUCUAAAAAUUUCACCCAUCUGCGUUGUUUAAAAUUCAACUCUUUUUGGAAAAACAGUAAUUAAAACUCUUGUGGUCCGUAAAAAUCUCACAUGUCACCCCAUAUAGGUAAUGUCUUCACUUUUUCAAUGCAAACACUGCAGCCGCUAACUCCAAAUCAUGAGUUGGAUAAUUCUUCUCGUGAGAUUUUAAUUUCCUAGAGGCAUACGCAAUCACCUUUUCAUUUUGCAUCAAUACACACCCCAAGUUUUCUUUUGAAGCAUCUGUAUAAACCAUAAAACUAUCCUUUCUAUUAGGUAAAGCUAAUACAGGUGUCCUUGUCAAACAUUAUUUUAACUCUUGAAAACUUUUUUCACACUUAAAACUCCAUAUAAACUUUUCACUUUUCUUAGUCAACUCAGUCAUAGGUCCCACAAUCUUAAAAAUUUUUUUGAUAAAUCUCUGGUAAUACCCUACUAACCCUAAGAAUCUUCAAAUUUCAGUAGAAUUUUCCGGUUGCUUCUACUUAGAUACUGCUUCAACUUUGGUCAAAUCCAUCUUAAUUCCGUUCUUAGAGAUUAUAUGACCUAAGAAAGUUACUUCCUUCAAUCAAAAUUCACAUUUGCUAAACUUAACAUACAACUGAUGUUCUCUCAAGAUUUGGAAAAUAAUUUUCAAAUGUUUCUCAUGAUCCUACAGAGUCUUAAAAUACACCAGUAUACCGUCAAUAAAUACCACUACAAACUGAUUCAGAUAAGAUUUAAAGAUUCGAUGCAUUAAAUCCAUAAAAGCUACAGGAGCAUUAGUCAAUCCGAACGGCAUCACUGCGAACUCAAAGUGUCCGCACCUUGAGUUAAAGGCAGUUUUAGAUAUAUCUUUUUCCGAAAUGCUCAACUGAUAUAACCCUACCUGAGAUUCAACUUUGAGAAUACUACCGCCCCUUGUAAUUGGUCAAACAAUUUAUCAAUGUGGGAUAAAAGGUACUUAUUUUUUAUGGUAACAUCAUUCAAGUCUCGGUAAUCAAUACACAACUAUAAACUACCAUCUUUCUUCUUAAUAAACAACACCGGAGCUCCCCACGGUGAAUCAUUUUCUUUUAUAAAGUCUCGCUCUAACAAAUCCUGUAAUUGCAAUAUCAACUCUUUCAAUUCAAUUGCAGUCAUUCUAUAAGGCGUUUUAGAGAUAAGUGCUACCCCUGAAAUUACAUCAAUUUUAAAGUUAUCUCUCUUUCAGGGGGCAAAGAUUCUAGUUUCUCAGGAAAAAUAUUUGGAUACUCCUUUACUAUUGGCAUAUCUUCCAACCUUACCUUAUCACUAAGAAUAUUUAUAAGAAAAGUCAAAUAUCCUUGAACUCCCUUACUCAACAUCUUUCUAGCUCGAAUUCCUGAAAUAAGGGCAGAUGAGACUAGUCUACCCCUUACGUCCAAUUUUAGGGUUGCCUUUCCUGGAAUACACAAUUCUACCAUUUUUGUCUUACAAUUCAACUGAUCAUGGUAACGAGCUAACCAGUCCAUUCUUAGGAUGACAUCAUACCCCUUAAUAGCUAAACUCAUCAGAUAGGUGUAGACACCAAAUUUUGAAUAAUUUUAUGUGGCAUCUAUUUCAUGAUUGUUUGCAUUCGUUGUUUACUUUUAGUUUUAAUUUUUAGUUUUAGCUUUUAAGUUUAGAAUUAGCGUAGAGUUUUUAGAGUAAAGAAAAGGAAAAAAUCAAAAAUAUGUUGUUUUUAUUCAAUGCUUUCUUGAAAAGAAAAAUUCAAAAAAAUAGGCUUUAGUUGGAUUGGAAAAAUGAAAAAAAGAGAAAGAGGAAAAGGAAAAACCACUCACAAAAAAUAUUUUUUUUAAAAUUAAAAUUCAAGUUUAAUGUUUUUGUUAUUAUUUUGUUUCAAAUAAUGCUUUGGAAAAAAAAGAAGAAGAAAAAAAAGGAAAAUUUGUUCACAAAAAAUAUGUUUAUUUCUUUAAAUUCAAUCUUUGGGCACUUUAGUUAUUUUUAUUAAGUUAUUUUGGGAAAAAUGAAAAAAUGAAACAAAAAGAGAUGGAAAAAUGGUCAUUUUUGUUGUUUUUAGUUGUUUAGUUUUUAAAUUAUUUUCGUUAUUAUUAUUGUUAUUAUUACCUGGUUUUUGGCAAUUUAUUAUUAUUUAUAUUAUUAAGUUCAGUUUUAAAACAAAAAAAAAAAAAAAGAGAGAAACGCGACUUGCAAGCUGCGUUUUUGCAGCUUGCAAGAGAGGGCCUCGGUGAGCCCCUUGGGCUGCAAUAUUUGAAGAGAUUGCUGAGUGUUUUAGGGUUGAACUGGGAUAUAAAUAGAAAAGAAAAAAGCCAGCCGCAAGAGCUAAGAGAGUCGGGGGGGCUUCAGGAGAGCUAACGAAAAAGAAAAACUGCAGAGCUAGGGGAAGCUAAGAGUGACGGGGUUGGAGGAGAGAAAAGCUGAGCAAGAUGGAGUCUUGGGGCUGGAGGAGAAACACAGGCAAAAGAAAAGGAACCUACCGAGGGAAUAGAGUGGGGGCGGAAAGGAAAAUCUGGGCCAAAUAGAGAGAGACCAAAGAGAGAGUAAAAACUGAGGAGAAGAUAGAGAGCUUUUGGAGAGUAAACCAACGGGGAGGAGAUUCAAAGGAAAAAACAGCAAAAGAAAAAGCUAAGGACGAACGGAGGGAAACCAGAAAUCAGUGAGAGAAAGAGAGAAAGGCCGCAAGAAAGGAGAUAAAGGGGAGGGUUUUGGAAGAGAGCAUCGACGGGCUGAAAGAAAAUUGAGCAAGGGUUUUGGGGACUGAGGAAAGAGUUACGAGAAAAAGAGGGAAGACAAGAGAGAGUGACGGGAUAGAGAUUGAGAAGCGGCAAAAGGAAGGAAAUCAGAACAAAGGGGGGGUUGAAGAAAAGGAAGUAGCAACUGGGGAGAGCUAGGAGAAUCUGAGAGCAAGGAAAAAGAAAGCCAAAGGGAAAGCAGCGUAAGAAAGGACCAGGGGGAAAAGGACGAUUCUGAGGAGAACCAAAGAAAGAGCCCAACCUCAUCAUCGGCUCUGAUCUGUAUCAAGAAACCAGCAAGAGCUACGUGAGUAUCGAGAUUUAUCUUACUGAAAUUUUUAGUUCUUUCUGCCCACUUUCUGUUUCAUGUCCCCAAGAUUCUGUUUUCUUUGUUUAUGAAUGGAAAAUCAAGUCUAGUGAAUAUGCAUAAGCUGUGUUUUGAAUUUGUUUCUGUGAAAAUUGGGGAAUCGAAAAAAAGGCAGUCAGCUUUACAUUUUUCGGUACCAGAAAUUUGAUGAACGUGGUCCAUGUUUCUGAUUAGAUUUUCUGAUUGCAAACCUGUGAAUCAAAAAGCUGGUAGCUUGCUCGUUUGUUUUCUCUUUUGUUUGAAGCUGAAUGAGUGAGGCCGACGGGUUGCAAGUAUGAGUCUUUGCAUCGUGUUUGUUCCUUUGAUUUGGAGUCUUGGGCUGCUGUCUUGAAUUUUUUGGGUCUGAAGUUAGUUAGAUGUCCGUAUUGCUGACUUUGAUUGGAGUUUAAGAAGCUUAUUUGGUUGUUUUCUUGCACGUAUGAAAGCUGAGAUUGCACAGGAAGGCACCCAUGAUUGAGUUCAAAUUGCUGGUUUCAUAGCUGUCUUUUGUUUACACAUGUGAAGCAUUAGAGACUGGGGUAGCUUGCAUGUGAUAUUUCGGUUUGUCAAAGCUGUUGACUUGCAGUUUUUGAAGAUCUUCUUGCCUGUUUUAAGUUUGUGUCAAUUUGAGAUAAUGUGUAUAAAAUCUGUCACCAAUAAUCUUGAAACCUUUGGCUUUGUUGUAGCAGUGUUCGUUCCUUCAAGAAAAGUGUUUAAAUAUGUCCAUAGUUUUUGCAUCGGUCCUGCCUGUGUGUUUUGCUGGCUUUGGUUCCCCAGUUCUAGCAUGCUUGAUUCUUGGUGAUUACCUUGCCAUUGUUCUUUUCCUGUCAUGUUUUGAAACAAAAGCAUCAGCUGCACAAUUUGGCCUGGGGUGUCCUGUCUUUGCGAUUGAAAUUUGGGAAGAAUCAGCCUAGGGAGGUUGCAGCAGAUUUGUUGCGAAAGACUCAUUUAUUUGAACGUCGAAUUUCUGGUUUAGAUGUUUGGGAAUCAUAAUUUUGUUGUUUGGAUCGGAAAGCUGGCUGUGUUUCACAUCUGAUGAACCCCUCACAAAGCAUAGCUAAUGGUGACUUGAAAAUUGCAGCACCUUGUUCCUUUCUUUGGCUGAUACGUCUUGUAUAUUUAUAGUUGCCAAUCCAGAUUUUCUGUUUUAAUCUUGUAACGAAAAUGGUACUCGAAUUGGUUGAUGAUUAGGAAUGAUGUUUUGUGGUUGUUGAUGUUUGUUGGAUAGGUAAUGAAUCAUUGCAGAAUUUUUAGAACUCCAUAACCGAAGAGUUGUUGCAGGCAAUGUUUACGUAGCUUUGCAUGAUUUUGCAUGAAACUAUUUUUUGAAAAUUUCACUUCAACCCCCCCAAAUCCCCUCUUGAUUUACUAAGGCCCAAUUACAUUCAAAUGCUUGCAAUUAGAUCCUAGGAUAGUUGCAAUUGGAACCGUGGCUUGACUUUUUCUUUGCUAUUUGACCUUUUAAAGUUCCUUAAAUGUUUUGAUUGGGCUUGCAUGGUUGAUUAAUUUUCGCAAUUGGAUCUCUGUUGUGUGAUUGUGCCUUGAUAUGUUUUUUCAUGUGAAUUGUGGACAAUGUUAAUAGAUUUUUAGGAUCAAAUCAUGAAAGUUUGGUAACUUGGAAGCAUUGGUGGUCUUGAUUUUGUUUGUUUUAAAUUUUGCUUAGCUAAUCUUGUUUCUAAAACUUUAAAUAAUUUUCCAUUUCUUCCUUUCGUGAUUUUUUUGCACUUGAUUGCGAUAGAUUCCACCUUCAGCGUUUCAAUUUAGCACUCCAAUUUAGAUUCUUGAGACUUUUUAUUUGAGACCGAGUUUUGCUUGCACGUGCAUGGUCUAUUCCAUAUUUAAUUUUCGUUUCAUGCUUAAUUUCCAUUUGUUUGUGUUUAAUGGUUGUUUUAUGUGAUUAUUUGAUAAUUUAAGUGGUACCUUGACCUGUUUAUUAUUUUGGAGGGUAAGUUAGUAAUUUCACUACGUUAGGGCGUCGCUUCAAGGGAGGUACACGCUAUCCCUCAUUUGCACUACAUUUGACCUUACGUGCUCCUACGUGUUAUGUGAAUAUGCAUGCCUACUCCGCUUUCCUUACUUCCUUGCAUGCAUUUAUUUGCUUUUACUUUUAUUUAAGUUUUAUGGGGUAUGUGUACACCUCUUGGCUUGUAAUAGAUAGGGCUCGGAGAGCAUCUUGUCCAUUUCCCCUUCCCCUUUAUGCUUUUAUGGGGUAUGUGUACACCUCUUGGCUUGUAAUAGAUAGGGCUCGGAGAGCAUCUGGUCCACUUCCCCUUCCCCUUGCUUGCUUGUUUUUGUUGCUACAUGUUUAAUUGCUUUAUUAGGCUCUUGCAUCUAGUCGAGCAUGCUAAAUGCUAUGUGCUAUGUGUUUACGAGUAUUUUGGCAUGUCUACUUGCUUUCAUAGCCAUGAAUGAAUGGAAUGGAUGAAUGUACGUUUCCGCUAGUCCAACGCUAGUCGGAAUUCAUAGAAUGGGCUAGUCCAACGCUAGUCGGAAUUCAUAGAAUGGGCUAGUCCAACGCUAGACCCUUAGGGAUUUCCCCUCAUUAGCAUAUCAUUUGCUUGUUCACCACAUAUCAUGCAUUUUUCUUAGUUUUAUCACUUGGCAUGCUCCUCGAACCCCCUUUCCCUUCAUUUUAGGAUUUUUGCAUAUCAUGAUAGUUGUAGGGUCCAUUUGCUUGAGGGUCCCCUUCUGAUGAGGAAAACGAGCGAGUGUGGCUAUUCUAUAGCCUUAGCACGCUAGUUUUGCCUUCUAAUCAAAGGGAAAAUCAAAGUCGGAAAGUUAGGAGUCAACCCCCGUACCCGUCUUGCUUGCAUUCCCUAGGCUCAUGCAUUCUACAUUCACUCUAUCAUUCUAUACCCUCAUUACACUUUUAUUUUCUCCUCCUACACCAUGCCUUCAUAUCCCUUCCACUUGCACACAAACACUUGGAUUUUUAAAUUCUUUCAUACAAUUUCACACUUGCACGCUUGAAUCUCAUUUGCAUUAAUCGACCUCUAUGAGGUUUUCCUUCGUUGGCCGCCACAAUUCAUGUGGUUUGGGACCAAAAGCCUCACGAGAGACAUCGUAGAAUUUAGGAUUGCAUUUUCCUUUUCGUUUUGCAUUCAUAUAGUCAUAUCCAACGUGCGAACAUAUAUUGGGUAGAAAAUUAGGAAAGGUAAGGUUAAGUCGCGCAACUAGCCUUGGCUAGGUCAAAGGGGUGCCUUGGAUUCUAUCCUUGCCUUCCCCUUUGUCAAACGUGACCCCCGAACCUUUUUCUUUGGCUUACGUGGACUAGGAGUCGUUUUAAAAAGGGUUUUACUACUUUGUCUUUAAAAAAUACUUUUUGGGUGACUUGGUACACCGCAAAUCUAUACCAAGUGGCGACUCCGUUUUCAUAUUUAAAAAACCCUUUUUAAAAUUUCAUUUGGCCAAAUCGUCGCUUUCCAAAGUCCCAUGGCCUUUUUACUUUUCAUUUUGCACACGUUCACACCACACUUCACACACACAUCACUCACACACACAUUUCACAUAUCAUUUUUUCAUUCGAAAAGUGGGGCGCGACAGUUGGCGACUCCAUUGGGGACUUCCUAAGUGGGUCCGAGCAUUUGACUUAGCCAUUCGUUUCCUUUUUCUACCCUUUUUAUGCAUUGCAUUUGGAUAUUAGGGUUGCAUUUUUUGUUUUAAGGACUUUUUCGCAUCGCGCGCGUAUCAAACAUUUCCCUCACUCACGUACGUGUGAUUGGUUGAUUGGAUGUUGUUUAUUUGUUUAUCUCGCGCUUGCAUUGCAUUUGGGAGGGGGUGUGUCACCUUUAGAGCCUCGCGUGGUUCUCAACCCCUUCCCUCAAAUUAGGGGAACACUUCAUACGUGCAUAUUUAUUUGCUUUAUCCCAUUUUAUUUGUAUUUUCGUGGGCGCCAUCCCACACCGCCUUGUAGGAUUAGGAUCGAUUGCCUUGGGUAGGCGGCUGGUGUGCUCUGCGCCCAUAGCGCUACCUAAGGGAUCACUCGAGCCACCGAUCGAAGGCCCUGGGAGUGAUGACCCUUCGCCUUUAGGUCUGAAGGCUUGGGAGCCGAAGCUUUAUCGAGUCUAGGCAUUAGUGAACCCCAGCCUCAUGCAUCCAUAUUAGAAUAACCUAGGGUAGAGUCGGCCUCACCCUUUAUAAGCACAUUAGGCACGAGGGAAGGGGUUCUCCCCCUUUUACUCGCUUUAUUGUAUUUCUUUUCUUAAUUGCUCCCAAUGUGUUAUGUGUACUAUCAAUUGCACUAACCAUUUCUUUGUUUCUUGGCUUGCAUUCAUAUGCCUUAGCGAUAAGAGGCCCUUUUGGCACUCUUUUAGUGACUCACCCACUAGAUAGCUCACAUGUUUGAAUUUCAGUCUUUGCACUUACUUUUCAAUAAGUACAUUUCAUUUUAGACCUUUUCCCCCCGUUGCAUUAUUUAUAUCCUUUAGGCCAUGUUUGUCACAUGUUUAUAUCGCUUUAAUAAAAUGGCAUCAUGCAUAAACCCUAGAAAGGGAAUGCCAUUUAGGGGAUCCCGUGUUAGGAAUGAACCACCCCAUGUCUCGGAUAUAUAAUCCGAAUGAGACUUGCACGUUUACCUUUCGCGUACCAUCCGAAGGGGUAGUGCACAAGGUAAGGUAAAGAUCCAAUCAUUUUCAUGGAGCAAUUUUUGGAAUAUGAGCAUCUAAUAAUCACUUUUUGGCCAUUUUCUCAAAAUUGGUAAAAUUCCCUUGCGUAAAAGGAUAUAUUCGAAGAAUAUUCACAAAUGAUUCCUCAUUGUUGAGACGAUAAAUAUAGAGGCCAAAUUUUGAUUUUAGAGGCUCAUAGACCAAGGCAUUGUAAUGAUUUCUUGAAACCACCCAGUGGGCGAAUAAUUCAAUCGAUUUUUGAACAAAUCAACCAUCUUAUCCAAUCCAUUUUUUUUUCAAUUCAUUCAAUUUUAGAACAAUUUAAUCAUUUUUGAAUAAAUUCAUUUCAUCCAAUUCAUUUGACCAAUUUACCCUUUUUAGGGUCAUUCGGUCGAUUUUGAAUAAAUUAUCAAGUCAUUUGAUCAAUUUACCCUUUCUAGGGUCAUCCGGUCGUUUUUGAAUAAAUCGUCAAUUCAUUUGACUAAUUUACCCUUUUUAGGGUCAUUCGGCUGAUUUUUGAAUCAAUCAUUCAUUUGGCCAAUUUACCCCUUUUUAGGGCAACCGAGCCGAUUUUGAAUAAAUCAAGUUUCGUUCAAUCUAUUUGAUCAAUUUACCCUUUUUUUUAGGGUGCUCUGAUUAAUUUUGAAAUUUCUUUGAAUUCAUUUGACCUGCUUCCCUUUUAGGGUAAUUUGGUCGGUUUUAAAUAAAUUGUCAACUUCAUUCAAUCCAUUUGCCCUAUUGGGGUAUUCAUUGUCAAAUUCCAAAUUGGGAAAUCUAGUCAAUUUUGAAGAAAACCAUCCAUUGUAUCCAACUAUUUAAUCAGCUGGGUUUUUGACUCAUGCUUCACUGAGGAAAUUUGUCAACGAAUUCCAGUCUCUUCGAUAGGAGUUCGUCAAGGUCAAACCCAUGCGUUUUGCAACUCAAAGGUGAUCAAUCUAUUCGGACGUUGUCCUCAUUUUGACAAAUCUCUCGUCACUCCAAUGGCCAAAUUUUUCAAAUUAUUUCUCACUCAAUGAGUUGAUCAGAUCCAUCAGGUAUUGUAUAGUGCCUGCUCUGGAGGACUGCAUUUUCAUGAUAGGCCUACCCUUGGCACAAAAGGGUUCCCCCAUAGGACAUGCAUCCGAAUUUUUUGGAUAGUUACUAACUCUUGCCUUUUUCUUUUCCUUUCCUUUAUUUUCUUUGGAAUAAUUGAGCGAGAGUUGAAUCUAAAGACAAUUCCUUUUAAAAUUCUCAGGUAAUAUUUAAACAUAACUUCUCGUCGAAGCCCCAUCAUAACGUGAUCCCGUAGUCAAGCCCAAAAGAAUCGUGUAGACAUGAGUACUCGGCCAGGAUCGUCUGAUAUGACCGCUGCAACUACCCAGCCGGAAGCCACAAGUCCCGGGAUUCAGUUGACUGAAUUACUCGCCAAAUUUGGGGAAAUGGCAUCUGAAAUGGCAACCCAAAGGAAGUUGAUUGAUGAGCUAAUCAGCAGCGGAGUUCAACCUGAACCUGUACCUGACAGGCAGCCAGAGCCAGAAUCAUUUGUCAUCCCUUCAACUCAAGUCACUGAUACUCCAUCAUUCCCUAUUCCACCCGAGGAAACUUUCGCCUAUCCCACCACAAAUUUGCCAUACGCCUACCCUCCUAAUCCUUCAUCUUUUCUUACUCGCAGGCAAGGCUCACAACCCCAAGCUACUUCAAAUAUAUCACCUGAGUUACAUACCUUUUAUUACCCUGCUGCUGAACCUUUCCUACCAGACCACACUGUUCAAACCAAGCCAGAAAUGGGGGAAUCUUCCACUCCCGUUGAUAUGAAGCUGCUCAAGCGCCUUGACCGCUUUGAUGAGUUUAUGGGGAAAAGUCAGGGGUUGAACAAGCAAGGAGUUUUGGAUUACGAUAAGUUUUGCCUUUUGCCGAAUGUGCGGUUGCCUGAGAGGUUCAAAACCCCUAAAUUUAACAAGUAUGAUAGGACGGGUAAUGUCUCUGCCCUCGAAUCACAGUUGGAUGCUUUACAAGGACAAAGGAGUAGUGGGAAAAAGCAACAAUUCCAAAAGAAAGAGGGGGAAAUUGUUUUUGUCUGGGAUCGAAACCGUGUCCCAAAAUCCAGGCCUAGACAACACCCUACCUACUCAAACUCCUACCCUUAUCAUUCGAACCCUCAUCCUGUUCAUCACCCUAAUACCACUCAACCUCGUCCUCGCCCUAAAUACACCAACUCGUCUAUAGCCCCUUUUCAAAUAUCUCAGCCUAACUUCCAACAAGUUCGACCCCUACCUCCCUACAAUCAACAAUUUUCUCCACCAAACAGACCUACCUACAACUAUCCCCAACACACUAAAACUUACAAUCAAAGCCGUACCCGAACAUUCACCAACCUAGGCAGGCCUCUGGACCAAUUGUAUGAACAAUUAAAGGCUGCUGGUAGAAUUGGCAUAAUUCUCCCUCCAACUUACUCUCAUGGCGUCCCUGCCGGAUACAAUCCUCAGUACACUUGCGCCUAUCAUUCGGGAGCACCCGGCCACCCAACCACUGAUUGUAGAGCACUUAAGCACAAGGUGCAAGAUAUGAUUGAAGCAGGAGAGAUUGUAAUUAGAAGAAAAGAGGCACAAGCGCCAAAUGUGGAUAAGAACCCCCUGCCAGAGUACGAUAACACCAUUGGGGUUAUUAUGGACCAUACGGAAUUUAAGGAGCCUGCUAAAAACUCAUCAAGUGAGGCUGAAGUGUUUGGAAAUGAUGCAGAAUUUCCCGAUAUCCCUGAGGGAUCAAUUUCCAAUUGGACAGCCGAAUUUCUACCCAUUCAAAAGGAGUUUCGGUAAACCUAAAGGGGUUUGUCAUUCAUGCGAAUUCAUGAGGAAAAAACUUUUGCAUCUGUAAUUAGCUAAUGAAAACAUCUUUACUUUUGACUAAAAUUUGCGCAUGUAAAUAUUUUUUUUAAGUUUUAUUUCAUUUGCUUUCAAUCAAAGGUUUUAUGAAAAUGCACAAGUCAUUCUUGUCAGGUUAUUUUGUUUAUUCGUUUGUUUCGGUCAUAUUGCUUGUUCAUUUGUUUGUUGUAUAUUGGUUUGCUUAUUAUUCCAAAUUCGUUAAUUCUUUCCAAUGACCAAAGAUAACAUUAUUUGACCCUUUGGAUAUCACUUUUCUGGAAUUCAAUAAUGGCAAUCUCUAUCUCACUCACGACUUGAGAAUUUUGGAACCCAAAUUUCAAAGCAAGAGUGAUAAUGAGAAAGUAUUUGAUUCUUUUUCAAAAAAAUCUUGAACAAAAAGAGGAGAAAUUCGAACCAAACCUAGAAGCCAUAGCAAUUGUUCACAUUGGCACUGAGAAUAAGGUCAAAAGGACAUAAAUCAGCAUUCGUUUGAACAAAAGCAGAAAAGGAGAUGAUUAAGAGUUUGACUAUGUGUCAAGGUGUACAGAUGGUUGGAGGCAGUCUCGUUUGCAGUAGCAGAAAUUCUAUCUUUGCACAUUCUAAUGGGAGUUCAGCCGAGAAUGCCGUUUGUCAUGAAAUGUUACAAACACGCCUGGCCUGAGCCUACGACGAGAAGUUUCAUCAGCAUACAUUUUGAGGAAGGCGACAAAGCACUCAAGCGAACUUUGCCAAUACAAGACGAAGGCAGAGACAAAUUCGCCCAAAAUCAGAAAGGGCCGUUCGUUGUCCAAAAGGUAUUACCUGGCGGAAUACUCAUGCAAAUGGAUGGUCGAACAUUCCCUCAACCCAUCAAAUCAGAUAUGUGCAAGAAGAUUUUCAUUUGAUCAUGCAAAUUUUCCUUAGAAAUUCAUGCAAAUGGCGAAAUGCAAGUCAGGCCCUCUUCUUUUACAUUUAAAGCAUUUUAUCCCUACUUGUCCCCUUUGAGCCAUCAGAAUUGACAAAUUUUCGUUUGGCAGCCCCUGAGAAUUGCCAACCCCACACUGGGGCAAAUUCAUUUUGAAAAGAGAUGAUUGGAAAGGAAAGAAAAACCCCAUACUGGGGCAAAUUUAUCUUGGAGAAAAGAUGAAAAGGGAAAAAGAACCCCACACUGGGGCAAAUUUAGUUUUUGAAAAAAAAAUGCAAAAGUAAGAAGAAUGCAAUGAAGAAAAUGCAAAGGGAAAAAUCCAAUCAAACUGGGGCAAAAUUUUCCUCAGUUUUGUUCAAAAUUUGGAGAUGAUCUCAAAAUGAUGCAAUCUCAGGUUAUUUCACACCUCUCAUCAGAUUUGCUUUCAAGCCUCAACUUUUCUUGAAAACACCCCACCUGACCUCAUUACAAAAGCCCAAAGUCCUGGCUUUCGUCACUUGUUGUAUUUCUAUUAGGAAUUUUGCUAAUCAACUGGCAAGUGAUGUUCAUAAGGCCUUCGCCUAAUCUUACAAGGGAAGUGCAUUUUACUGAUGCCUGAAAUCUCUAACUCACAUUUCUGAGUCGAUCAUGGUCGAGAUAUUUCAUUUUUUUUUUAGGGUGAAAACCCGAAAGGGCGCCAAGGCAAGUUUUUUGCAACGAGCAAGCACGAGGAGGAACAGCUGGUGACUUGGUUCAUUUGGAUUUCUUCUCAGUUUUGUCAUACUUCUGCCAAUAUUAAAUUCCAGAACAAAGAUAUCCAGAGAUUUGAAUAUGACAUCAGUUGGCCAAAAUUGUGUCGCUUUGUAAAAAUAUUCUUUUCCAAAUACAUUCUUAUGAAAUUCAUCUUUCCUCAUUUACUUGUAUUCAUGGCAUUUUUGGAUGUGUUUUACAUUCUUUGACAUAUUCAUUCCAUGCAUAACAUAGGAAAUCAUUUUGCAUUGAUUUUUCAUGCAUCAUUCUUUUACCAUUGGAUUCGGAUGAAUGAUAAACCCUAAGGUUUGUGCAAGAAUAUGGGAUUCAAUCAUCUUUUAAAGUGAGUAAAAUGCAACCAAGCUGCUACAUGGAUUUAGUGACAUGUAAAUGCGCACUUUAUUGGUCUCCGGAAUCGAAAGGUUUCAAAAUUACAAAUUCAACCAAGGCAGAUGCCGCAGCAAAAGUUGGCAAAGGCAUCAAAAGACUCAUGUUUACACGAUUCUCAAGGCAAGCCGGAUCGAAUGAUGGUGGCAAGUCCAUUAUUUCUUCUUGUCUUGCAGGAACGUUGCAUUUACAAACACAAACAACCACACUUCUUUUAGCACCUGAAUCGACGUCAGAAAAGUUCCCCAGUAAGCAGAGACGGAGUGAUAAUUUGGCAAAGAUUGGGUCAUAAGGAACAACAUCAGCUAUCGAUUCCAGCCAUAAAGAUUCAAAUCUCCCUCUUGGUACAAGAGUUUGAACUACUCUCAGGUAAGAACUCAAUUCAUUGUUUAAAAAUCCCGUGGGUCUAUCCCAAUUUUACAUUUCUGUUCGGGUCUAUCCCAAAUUUAAAUUUCUGUUCGGGUCUAUCCCAAAUUUAAAUUUCUGUUCGGGUCUAUCCCGUGGGUCUAUCCCAAUUUUAAAUUUCUGUCCGGGUCUAUCCCGUGGGUCUAUCCCAAUUUUAAAUUUCUGUCCGGGUCUAUCCCGUGGGUCUAUCCCAAAUUUUACAUUCCUGUCCGGGUCUAUCCCGUGGGUCUAUCCCAAUUAUAUCCCAAAUUUUACAUUCCUGUCCGGGUCUAUCCCGUGGGUCUAUCCCAAUUUUACAAUUUCUGUUCGGGUCUAUCCCGUGGGUCUAUUCCAAAUUUAAAUUUCUGUUCGGGUCUAUCCCGUGGGUCUAUCCCAAUUUUACAAUUUCUGUUCGGGUCUAUCCCGUGGGUCUAUCCCAAAUUUAAAUUUCUGUUCGGGUCUAUCCCGUGGGUCUAUCCCAAUUUAAAUCUCUGUUAUCCGUGGGUCUAUCCAAUUUAAAUUCGUUCGGGUCUAUCCCAAAUUUAAAUUUCUGUUCGGGUCUAUCCCGUGGGUCUAUCCCAAUUUUAAAUUUCUGUUCGGGUCUAUCCCGUGGGUCUAUCCCAAUUUUACAUUUCUGUCCGGGUCUAUCCCAAUUUUAAAUUUCUGUCCGGGUCUAUCCCAUGGGUCUAUCCCAAAUUUAAAAUUUCCUGUCUGGGGUCAAUCCCCAUCGUUUGAGUAAUUCGCAGCCGAAGAAUGCAAGUAGAUAUUUGGUGUCUAUUUCUUUGUCUCAAGUUUUUUCAAAACUCAGACAAAGAGGGGCAAACUGUAGACACCAAAUUUUGAAUAAUUUUAUGUGGCAUCUAUUUCAUGAUUGUUUGCAUUCGUUGUUUACUUUUAGUUUUAAUUUUUAGUUUUAGCUUUUAAGUUUAGAAUUAGCGUAGAGUUUUUAGAGCAAAGAAAAGGAAAAAAUCAAAAAUAUGUUGUUUUUAUUCAAUGCUUUCUUGAAAAGAAAAAUUCAAAAAAUAGGCUUUAGUUGGAUUGGAAAAAUGAAAAAAAGAGAAAGAGGAAAAGGAAAAACCACUCACAAAAAAUAUUUUUUUUAAAAUUAAAAUUCAAGUUUAAUGUUUUUGUUAUUAUUUUGUUUCAAAUAAUGCUUUGGAAAAAAAAGAAGAAGAAAAAAAAGGAAAAUUUGUUCACAAAAAAUAUGUUUAUUUCUUUAAAUUCAAUCUUUGGGCACUUUAGUUAUUUUUAUUAAGUUAUUUUGGGAAAAAUGAAAAAAUGAAACAAAAAGAGAUGGAAAAAUGGUCAUUUUUGUUGUUUUUAGUUGUUUAGUUUUUAAAUUAUUUUCGUUAUUAUUAUUGUUAUUAUUACCUGGUUUUUGGCAAUUAUUAUUAUUAUUAUUAUUUAUAUUAUUAAGUUCAGUUUUAAAAAAAAAAAAAAAAAAAAGAGAGAAACGCGACUUGCAAGCUGCGUUUUUGCAGCUUGCAAGAGAGGGCCUCGGUGAGCCCCUUGGGCUGCAAUAUUUGAAGAGAUUGCUGAGUGUUUUAGGGUUGAACUGGGAUAUAAAUAGAAAAGAAAAAAGCCAGCCGCAAGAGCUAAGAGAGUCGGGGGGGCUUCAGGAGAGCUAACGAAAAAGAAAAACUGCAGAGCUAGGGGAAGCUAAGAGUGACGGGGUUGGAGGAGAGAAAAGCUGAGCAAGAUGGAGUCUUGGGGCUGGAGGAGAAACACAGGCAAAAGAAAAGGAACCUACCGAGGGAAUAGAGUGGGGGCGGAAAGGAAAAUCUGGGCCAAAUAGAGAGAGACCAAAGAGAGAGUAAAAACUGAGGAGAAGAUAGAGAGCUUUUGGAGAGUAAACCAACGGGGAGGAGAUUCAAAGGAAAAAACAGCAAAAGAAAAAGCUAAGGACGAACGGAGGGAAACCAGAAAUCAGUGAGAGAAAGAGAGAAAGGCCGCAAGAAAGGAGAUAAAGGGGAGGGUUUUGGAAGAGAGCAUCGACGGGCUGAAAGAAAAUUGAGCAAGGGUUUUGGGGACUGAGGAAAGAGUUACGAGAAAAAGAGGGAAGACAAGAGAGAGUGACGGGAUAGAGAUUGAGAAGCGGCAAAAGGAAGGAAAUCAGAACAAAGGGGGGGUUGAAGAAAAGGAAGUAGCAACUGGGGAGAGCUAGGAGAAUCUGAGAGCAAGGAAAAAGAAAGCCAAAGGGAAAGCAGCGUAAGAAAGGACCAGGGGGAAAAGGACGAUUCUGAGGAGAACCAAAGAAAGAGCCCAACCUCAUCAUCGGCUCUGAUCUGUAUCAAGAAACCAGCAAGAGCUACGUGAGUAUCGAGAUUUAUCUUACUGAAAUUUUUAGUUCUUUCUGCCCACUUUCUGUUUCAUGUCCCCAAGAUUCUGUUUUCUUUGUUUAUGAAUGGAAAAUCAAGUCUAGUGAAUAUGCAUAAGCUGUGUUUUGAAUUUGUUUCUGUGAAAAUUGGGGAAUCGAAAAAAAGGCAGUCAGCUUUACAUUUUUCGGUACCAGAAAUUUGAUGAACGUGGUCCAUGUUUCUGAUUAGAUUUUCUGAUUGCAAACCUGUGAAUCAAAAAGCUGGUAGCUUGCUCGUUUGUUUUCUCUUUUGUUUGAAGCUGAAUGAGUGAGGCCGACGGGUUGCAAGUAUGAGUCUUUGCAUCGUGUUUGUUCCUUUGAUUUGGAGUCUUGGGCUGCUGUCUUGAAUUUUUUGGGUCUGAAGUUAGUUAGAUGUCCGUAUUGCUGACUUUGAUUGGAGUUUAAGAAGCUUAUUUGGUUGUUUUCUUGCACGUAUGAAAGCUGAGAUUGCACAGGAAGGCACCCAUGAUUGAGUUCAAAUUGCUGGUUUCAUAGCUGUCUUUUGUUUACACAUGUGAAGCAUUAGAGACUGGGGUAGCUUGCAUGUGAUAUUUCGGUUUGUCAAAGCUGUUGACUUGCAGUUUUUGAAGAUCUUCUUGCCUGUUUUAAGUUUGUGUCAAUUUGAGAUAAUGUGUAUAAAAUCUGUCACCAAUAAUCUUGAAACCUUUGGCUUUGUUGUAGCAGUGUUCGUUCCUUCAAGAAAAGUGUUUAAAUAUGUCCAUAGUUUUUGCAUCGGUCCUGCCUGUGUGUUUUGCUGGCUUUGGUUCCCCAGUUCUAGCAUGCUUGAUUCUUGGUGAUUACCUUGAGAAAUUUCUAAAAUUGUGAUGAAAAAAAAAAGUUAUUCUACAAAGGGGGUAAUUUUUGAAGUUGUUUCCAAACUUGUGAUCUUCGCAUUUGUGAAAUGCGAGUUCACAUACUUCGCAUUUCACAAAUGCGAGGUAGGUAUUUCCAAAAAAAAAGAAAAACAAGAUCGCAUUUUCCAAAUGCGAGCUUGUAAGCUCGCAUUUGGAGAAUGCGAGAUUGAGUACCUCGCAUUUAAGAAAUGCGAGGUACUCUCAAUUUGAAACCAAUCAGACAGACACCAUGAAAUUAUCAAUGCGAGGUACUCACUCUCCCUUCACUCUCUCCGUGCAGCCCUCCUCACUCUCAAAAUUAUCUUGGUCACCGCUUUGUCAUCGGAAAUCUUUCGAUUAAAUGGCCAAAAUGUUCAAUUUUAAGUGUCUAAUUCUUCCAUUACAUAAAAUGUUAUAUGUAUAUUGGAAAAGUUUAGUCCUUAUUUGACUUGGAAUUAGUCAUUAUGCAAUUAGGAUUUUUAUAUUUUAGAAAGUAUAUUUGGCUAAAUAAGGAAAAUUAUGCUUAGAAUUUUGCAUGGUGUCUUUAGUAUAUUUGGCACAGCCAUUUUCCUUUACCUUUCUCACAACUUUUUCAGUUAUUUUGAGGGACAUAAAUCGGCAAUAGAGCUGGUGGAUGAAAUGUUGUCUACUUUGGGUUUGCUGGCAGGGUGUUUAGUCCACUUUUAAGGGGAGAUUCUGUCAAAAUUUUUUCAAAAGAAAAAAAAAUAUAUUAAUCAUAAUAAAUUACAAUAAACAAAUAAAAUUCUUGUCAAAUAUCUUGCAUUUGCUAAAUGCGAAGACCCCAUAGAUAGAAAACCAUAUGCAAAAUGCCCCCUUUGUAGAAUUUUUUUUAAAAUCAUCAUAAUUUUAAAAUUUUGCGUGAGGAUUCUAUCCAUCACACUCACCGUGGCAAAAAUCUGCGAGAAGCCUAAAUUCUGGUAAGUGUGGAUAAAAAGAAAUCCUGAAAGGGGACAACAAUAUUAUUUUUAGAUCAAACUAAGCAAUUUAACCAUUUGGGGUAUCAUCAUAAGAAAUUCGACAUUUUGAAUGAAAUUUUCUGGGAUUUUCUUGUUUUGAUACUUUGAUCUUGGGUCGUUAUUGUAUUGCUGAUAUCAUUUUAAAUUGAUUCACAAUUCAAUGGGGUUUUCAUUACAUGGCUCGUACAUUGCACGGUUGGCAACUAGUAAUUUUCCAAAAAGGAAGAUGAAAGGACAAAAAAAAAAAGAGGUAAAAUAUGGAAAGUGCUCUGAAAUCAGUAUUAGGCCUCUGGACAUGCGAUCGUUUGUUAACAAAAUGGGAGGUCACUGACCUCGCAUUUGUUAAAUGCGAGGUCUAAGUGACCUCGCAUUUAUUAGAUGCGAGGUAACGGACCUCGCAUUUAACAAAUGCGAGGUAUGGUUUUUUUUUUGUUUUUUUUUUUGGAUUUUGUUGAUCGAAAAUUCAAGGAGACUUCGCAUUCAUCAAAUGCGAGCUCAUGGAGCUCGCAUUUGCUGAAUGCGAAGACCCCUUGGACAGAAUCCCAUGUUCAAAAUGCCUCCUUUGUAGAAUUUUUUUAAAAUUCAUCAUAAUUUUAGAAAUUUCUCGAUUACCUUGCCAUUGUUCUUUUCCUGUCAUGUUUUGAAACAAAAGCAUCAGCUGCACAAUUUGGCCUGGGGUGUCCUGUCUUUGCGAUUGAAAUUUGGGAAGAAUCAGCCUAGGGAGGUUGCAGCAGAUUUGUUGCGAAAGACUCAUUUAUUUGAACGUCGAAUUUCUGGUUUAGAUGUUUGGGAAUCAUAAUUUUGUUGUUUGGAUCGGAAAGCUGGCUGUGUUUCACAUCUGAUGAACCCCUCACAAAGCAUAGCUAAUGGUGACUUGAAAAUUGCAGCACCUUGUUCCUUUCUUUGGCUGAUACGUCUUGUAUAUUUAUAGUUGCCAAUCCAGAUUUUCUGUUUUAAUCUUGUAACGAAAAUGGUACUCGAAUUGGUUGAUGAUUAGGAAUGAUGUUUUGUGGUUGUUGAUGUUUGUUGGAUAGGUAAUGAAUCAUUGCAGAAUUUUUAGAACUCCAUAACCGAAGAGUUGUUGCAGGCAAUGUUUACGUAGCUUUGCAUGAUUUUGCAUGAAACUAUUUUUUGAAAAUUUCACUUCAACCCCCCCAAAUCCCCUCUUGAUUUACUAAGGCCCAAUUACAUUCAAAUGCUUGCAAUUAGAUCCUAGGAUAGUUGCAAUUGGAACCGUGGCUUGACUUUUUCUUUGCUAUUUGACCUUUUAAAGUUCCUUAAAUGUUUUGAUUGGGCUUGCAUGGUUGAUUAAUUUUUGCAAUUGGAUCUCUGUUGUGUGAUUGUGCCUUGAUAUGUUUUUUCAUGUGAAUUGUGGACAAUGUUAAUAGAUUUCUAGGAUCAAAUCAUGAAAGUUUGGUAACUUGGAAGCAUUGGUGGUCUUGAUUUUGUUUGUUUUAAAUUUUGCUUAGCUAAUCUUGUUUCUAAAACUUUAAAUAAUUUUCCAUUUCUUCCUUUCGUGAUUUUUUUGCACUUGAUUGCGAUAGAUUCCACCUUCAGCGUUUCAAUUUAGCACUCCAAUUUAGAUUCUUGAGACUUUUUAUUUGAGACCGAGUUUUGCUUGCACGUGCAUGGUCUAUUCCAUAUUUAAUUUUCGUUUCAUGCUUAAUUUCCAUUUGUUUGUGUUUAAUGGUUGUUUUAUGUGAUUAUUUGAUAAUUUAAGUGGUACCUUGACCUGUUUAUUAUUUUGGAGGGUAAGUUAGUAAUUUCACUACGUUAGGGCGUCGCUUCAAGGGAGGUACACGCUAUCCCUCAUUUGCACUACAUUUGACCUUACGUGCUCCUACGUGUUAUGUGAAUAUGCAUGCCUACUCCGCUUUCCUUACUUCCUUGCAUGCAUUUAUUUGCUUUUACUUUUAUUUAAGUUUUAUGGGGUAUGUGUACACCUCUUGGCUUGUAAUAGAUAGGGCUCGGAGAGCAUCUUGUCCAUUUCCCCUUCCCCUUUAUGCUUUUAUGGGGUAUGUGUACACCUCUUGGCUUGUAAUAGAUAGGGCUCGGAGAGCAUCUGGUCCACUUCCCCUUCCCCUUGCUUGCUUGUUUUUGUUGCUACAUGUUUAAUUGCUUUAUUAGGCUCUUGCAUCUAGUCGAGCAUGCUAAAUGCUAUGUGCUAUGUGUUUACGAGUAUUUUGGCAUGUCUACUUGCUUUCAUAGCCAUGAAUGAAUGGAAUGGAUGAAUGUACGUUUCCGCUAGUCCAACGCUAGUCGGAAUUCAUAGAAUGGGCUAGUCCAACGCUAGACCCUUAGGGAUUUCCCCUCAUUAGCAUAUCAUUUGCUUGUUCACCACAUAUCAUGCAUUUUUUCUUAGUUUCAUCACUUGGCAUGCUCCUCGAACCCCCUUUCCCUUCAUUUUAGGAUUUUUGCAUAUCAUGAUAGUUGUAGGGUCCAUUAGCUUGAGUGUCCCCUUCCGAUAAGGGAAACGAGCGAGUGUGGCUACUCGAUGGCCUUAGCACGCUAGUUUUGCCUUCUAAUCAAAGGAAAAAUCAAGUCACGAUUUAGGUCUCCCCGUACCCAAUAUGCAUGAAUUCCCUAGGCUCAUGCAUUCUCAAUCCACUCUAUCAUUACACUUUCACUUUUGUCUCAUUUGCACACAUGCACCUUUUUAUCACUUUCACUUGCACACAAACACUUGGAUUUUUAAAUUCUUUCAUACACUUUCACACUUGCACACUUGAGUCUCAUUUGCAUUAAUCGACCUCUAUGGGGUUUUCCUUUGUUGGCCGCCACAAUUCAUGUGGUUUGGGACCAAAAGCCUCACGAGAGACAUCGUAGAAUUUAGGGUUGCAUUUUCCUUUCCGUUUUGCAUUCAUAUAGUCGUAUCCAACGUGCGAACAUACAUUGGGUAGAAAAUUAGGGAAAUUGGUUUAAGUCACGCAACUAGCCUUGGCUAGGUCGAAGGGGUGCCUUGGAUUUUUAUCCUUGCCUUCCCCUUCGUCAAAUGUGACCCCCGAUCCCUCGUUUGGUUACGCAGACCCAAAAGUUCUCAAAAAGGGUUUAUUUACUUUUUAUUCAAAAACAAAAACACUUUUUGGGUGACUUGGUACACCCUAACUCUAUACCAAGUGGCGACUCCAUUUUUUGAUACAAAAAACCCUUUUGAACUUCACUUGGCCAAAUCGUCGCAUUCUAAGUCCCAUGGCCUUUUACUUUUCAUUCCGCACACGUUCACAUGUAUAUCACACACACCACACACAUCGAUCGAAAAGUGGGGCGCGACAAUAGGCUAACAAUUUUCGCUCUCAAACCCAUAUUUCACAAUCUCUAUACACCAAGUUAGCAAUCAAAUUUUGAUCUCCAGUAGGCGUUCUAACUUUCAAGUCAUAAGGUAACUUAAUUGGUUUCACAUCUACCCCACUCAUGAAUUUAGGGUUUACAAAAGAGUAUGUCGCAUCCGGAUCAAUUAAAAGCUUAUCCAAUCGACGUCAAGUCAAACACAAGUAUAAUUUCAAGUAUGAGCAAGUCAAUUAUCUAAUCAAGUAAAAGAGAACGAGUGCGAUAAAGUACACACUCGACUCGACAAGUUCAAUUCACAUAUUUGACAGGAAGUAUUUCAAGUAUUAUACAACAAGUCAUACACUUGAUACUCAUCAAUUCAAAACAAGUGAGUAAAUAAAGUCUUUAGUUGUCCGCUCCGAGAUUCCCUUCAAAAUCCUCUUGAGCGCCCGAAGAAAUAGUGAUCAACCAUCACUCACAUAUACUCACAACCACUGAUCAUUCAAAGAAGAAAGUACAUUCGUUUAAAAUUUAAGACAAUGUCUUAGAAGAGUUUAAUCCAUCAAAAAUAGAGAUUUAAAAGUGAGGAUUUAAAGUCACAAAAAAAACUUGUAUCCUCCAUAAAAUCGGAUUUAAAACGGACUAUCAAUAUCAAAAGGAUGUGAAAAGUUCUUAAAAGCUCAUUUCCUAUGAAAUCGGAAAUUUUCAGCUUUACGUGACAAAACUUAGAAAAAUUGUAUCUUGAGUUUGGUAUGUUCAAAAAUGGAAAACUUUAUAAUGUUGGAAACUAGACUAAAAUUACUAAAACUUCCCAGAAGACACUUUUCCAAGAUUCCAACUAGAAAGCCUUCAAAUUUCAGUUUAAAGUUGCAGUUUCAAGAAGAUAGGACAGAACUAGUCUUGGUUUUUCAGCAAUGUUUGGAAAUUCGAAAAAAUUCACAGAAGAGUUCCAAACCAUGUUUCAAACACAACAAACAGAACUAAAUUCGGAAUUUUGAGAAACAAGAUAUAACAGUUGGAGGUUGACUGGUUUUAGCAACCUGUUCAUAAGAUUUUCCAGUUUCCAACUUAAACAUAGUUUUGGAAUCAGACCAUAUCUAACUCUACGCAAGUCCAAAUUGAGAAUGGUUUAUGGCGUUAGAAACUAUGUUUAAAAUGGUACAUUUCAUUACAAGACAUCGUUUUCAAAAUCUUUUCACAAGUGGGACAAAAGCAGCCACAAGAUGAAGCUUCCCAGUUUCUCUCGGACAGACAGGCAUAACAGGACAUUCUAAUUUGCCGAUUUGCUACGGUUUACUCAAAACGAACUAGCAGGGGAAUUUUAUACCGUUUGAAAGCUCUAAAUGUCUAGUUUUGAAUGCCACAAACGGCACUCAAUUUCGACUUUUGUAUAAAGAGUUGUGUUCAGACAAAUUACCCUUGUCCGGCUACCCUGGUAACCAGUUUCCAGAUUUCGAACUUCCUCUAAAACUCAAGUUUUAUGUAACCAUUUGAAAUGAUUUUUGAAAGAAACUUUCUACACACAUAAUACAAUAUAUAUCAAUCAGUUUAGCUUCCAUAUAAUGAACAAAAAUUCGAGUUCAAAGCAGGACAACAAAAAAAUUUUGGCCAGCUCCCUCUCACGACUUCCUUCAAUUUUCUCUCCACUAUCAAACCAUAAUCAAGCUAUAUUCACAUAAACAUCAACAUCUACCUCAUAGGUCACCUCAAGACUGCUAGCCUAGAAUUUAAAACAAGAUAUAAGCUUCCUCAAGUCCUCUAGCCUACUAUCUUGAUUAGGGUUUGAAGCCCAUGAAAACUAACCAUCAAUUUUUUUAUAAAUGGAAAGAUUAAAGGAGGUAUUAAGGGUUACCUUCCAAGCAACUAAAUCCUAGAUGUAAGUGAGAGUUUCCUCCAAGAUAUCACCAAGAAACUCCACAAGAGUGCACCUUUCCUCAAGCUAGAGUGAAAUUCCAAGUGGGUUGAUGGUUGGAUGUUGAUUUGCAAGCCAAAUUGAAGCUAGGAGAUGAAGUUUCUUUCUUCCCUUUUCGUUUCUUUUGGUCGGCCGAGAGAGAGAGAUGGUGAGGGAGGGUUUGGUGUUGUGAAUCUUGUAUAGAAAGAUUGAAGAAAAGUAGCUUUAAGUUGUGCAAGAAAGUCAACUCUUAAUAGUAGCGAAAUAGUGUUGUGUACUACCACUCCCUCUCUUGUUUAUUACACUUAUCCACUAAUCCUCCAAGGUAAUUCCUCUAAUACUGUAAUUACUUAUACUUACUAUUAGUCUAGUACAAAAUCCUCGAAUCUCCAAUUAGUCGUACCGGCACAACUUUAAAGAAACUUUCGACGUGAGCGUGAUAAAGCGAAAUUCAAGGGAAAUUCAUGCAAUACUAGUAUAAUUAAAUAACACUAGGCCAAAUAAUUAUAAAAAUGACUAGAUUAAGAAAUAAAACAUGAGUUCUCACACAUUCCGUUUGUUUUGACGGCCACAUUACACGGAAUGACACAAACCAUGCAUUUUGGUUAAUUCAGUGACAUUUUCGUCUAAAAAAAUAGUUUAAUAAUCUAGACCAGUACAAGUGUACAGUUUAUUGACAUUUAGUGCAAUUUGUGAAAUUUAUAAUUUUAGGUAUAAUUUUUUUAAUGACCUAGACCAGACCAGAAAUUAGCAGAAUUUAUAAUUUUACUUGUUAGAUAGCAAUGAUAUUUUUAUAAUUUUCUUAAUUUUAUUAACUUUUGUAUUGAUUAGUAAUAUACAUACAUACAUAUAUGUAUGAAUAAUGUAAUUUUGUAGCAUUAUUAUAUAUUUUAUCUUUUAUAUAUUUUUCAAAAAUCAAAAUUUGUAGGACUUACCCUCCACAUCUCUGGGUUUUUACCUUACUUGGGCGGACAUAAAACGUCUCACCCAAUGCUCUCGCCUUUUAAAACAUUGUUUAAUGGUAGGGAAACACACAUUCAACAUCUUAGUCAUAGGAUAGGCUCUUAUUGCAAGGUGACCAUACUUCUUUUGUGCCCUGAUAUUAAUUUCAUAAUAUUUGCCAAAAACAAAAACAAAAAAAAAAGACAAAAAGGCUGUUGUUGUAGGCUAAUUUCAAUUAACCGAAAUGCUAAAAUAAGUGGGUCUAAUUGGAUUUAUUUACAUACUUUGCGAAAUUGAAACGCAUAUCGGACUUGUGGAUCAUUUGCCCAAAUUAGGGAUAAACCACAUGCAAUGUGCUACCCAUAAAAUGACUAGGUUUUAAAGUCAAUGAGAGAAGAAGAAUAAGAUCUAGAUUUUUUGUCAUACUUCUUAUGAUAAUCGCCACUGCAUCAUCUAGUUUUUUGACCAUGUUUGAAUGCAGAACGUAAUAUAUUCACAAUAGCAUUCAACAUAAAAUUACACAUGGUGAAAAAAUAGAAUAUGGAAUAGAGACCGAGAAGAAAGGAUAGAGGAUCCGAACUUGAAGAAUAGACAGACUAGAGAACAAGAAAGCAUGUCAACUUUUAUUGUGCAUGUGGAUUUUUUUUUUUUAAAAUAAUAGAAGGAUGAUGAAGUUACUCGACACAAGGGCCUCUCUUGAUCAGAUGGUAGAAGAAUUCCAUCUGAAUCUUCUACUCGUAUACUUGUGUCCCAUUUCAGUCCAUCUGAUUUUGAUGAUCCAAACUAGCAAGUUGGUUGCAAAAUAUGUUCAAGAUUCACGUUCCUGAAACACUGGAUAGUCGAUAAUAAACCUUACUCGUACCUUCCAGCUCAAGAAAUGUAAGCUUAAUUGAUGGUUUUGACAUUAUAGUAUCACUUGCCUGGUUGAAAUUGUUCUCAUUUUUAGUUAAUCCUUUUAUUCUCAGCCAGCCGAUGUUAAUUAAUGAAAAUCCCAAGAGUAUAAGUCACCUCAAGGUAUUUAUUUGAUAUGAGUCCCAUCCGAUUGGCAUAGGGAAUACUCCAAUUUAAUGAAAAUUUUGUAAGAAGUUUCUUCGUGCUUGCCUAUGGAGCAAUUUGAAUCGCUUUAUUGUCGUACUUAUUGUCUUAAAGAGAAAAUGAAUUAUGUUGAAGAAGUGUUUUAUGUUUUUACAGUUUCUUUUUGGUUGAGUUGCAUUGGAGAUUGGAGAAUUAAUGACAAUUUAUGGUACUAUAUCGUUUUCACAUGAUCUUUGUUUUUUUUUUUUUUUGGAUGAGGGUUUUCUUCAGCAAAUUAUAUUUAAUCGGAUCCUUGGAUCAACAUGUAGGAUACAAUAUGAAAUUUGUUAAUAUGAUUCUUUAAUUUUUUAUUUUGAAAAAUUAAACUAUAAAGAGGGCCCUCACCUUAUGGUCCAGCCUUUUCUUGCUAACAUAAGAAGCGAGUAAAGACGAAAAAAUCGUUCACCCAACAAAUGUGGUGCAGGUCAAUCAAAUCCUUUAAAGGGCAAGUGUUUGCCCGAUGGCCACCCAAACUAUUCGAUUUAGUCGUUUCUUACCAAAACAUAAAAGUUGUAGAUAAUCACAACAACUCAAUCUGUUUUUUUCAUUAUUUCAACAAAAUGGAGGCAAUUAAGGGAAAAAAGUGGGCACAAUUAAAAUAAUAAAAGUUAUUAAUUAAGUCAUUUAUGGGAAGAACAAAACCUUGACUAGACAGAUGAGUUUAUAUUUUUCCUUAUGAAUUAUGUGAUGGAUUUGAAAAUCAAAAGCCUUUAUAUAUGGUUUUUUUUCACAUUGUGCAUAGGAUAAUCCAGAAGAAAAACAGUGUAAAGGAAGAGAGAAAUUAAUAUAGUUGAAUAUAAGGAAAAAAAAAGAUGUUAUGCUUUCUAUAUAUUCCUCCUAUUUAUAUGGAUGGAAAAUGAAAUUUUCAUAAAAUUUCAUACUUCAAUCAAGUACCAGUGUUUCAUGAUCAAUGAGCAAAGGGAAAAAAAAACUUUAUCAAAGAUAAAUAACAAUUUUAUUUAUGGUCUCGAUAUCAAAUGCAUUACAACCUUAUAACUGGAUGCACUGAACACAACGAAAACUUAUAGCAAUCGAAAACUUUGAACUAAGGUUUUGCCCUGACACAUGAUUAGGGCACCUUAUUAGAAGAGAUCCAUGCAGCAAAGACUUAGAAUUACUUUGACAUAAUUAAAAAAAAAGAUACAUGAGAAUAACUCAAGAGUCGAGACCACAAUCCUUUAUAUGUAUUGAAAAACUUGCAAACAUAGCUAGGUAAUUAGGGGAAAUCCAUUAGGGUUUAACUUUGGAAGGACCUUUUAUAUUUUUCAAAACUACAUUCUCAAACAAGAACUGAGAUAUGUCUGCUGCCAUGAUCUGGCUCUUAACUUCAUCCUGAACCUUCCUUUUAAGCCCUUUCAGUGCCUUCUCCAACUUCAGAAGUUGCUCCAGAUUCAUCUCUUCAAUUGGAGCCUGCCACCAAUUCUUGUGUUGGCCUUCUUGUAUCAUCUGAACAAGAACUUCUUCACAUUUUUUGUUGGCUUCCAAUUGUUUCUUAAGGUUGAUAAUUUUAUUGAGCUCAGAAAUGUUAUCACCAUGGUGAUUGGCAACAACAUGGUGAUCAGUGCCACCGUGGAUGCUAGGUGAUGCCUUGUUUCCAAGGAACUUAUCAAUGACAGAUCCAAAAGAUGAAUGACCAAAAGCGUAAGCCUUUUUUCCAGGCGAGAACACCAACAAAGCAAGUUUUGCACCAUUAAGAGUGCAAAGUUUGCUGGCUUUCAUGAAAAGGUCAUUGCGACGUUUUGAGAAGUUAUCAUGGAGAUUGUUCUUUUUCCCCAUUUCAACUACAGGAACCUUUUGGUAAUCUCUAGUUAAUUUUUUGGCCGUUGACGGGAUUUUUUUAUAUCAAUGUAAGUUUAAAUCCAAUUUUAUACCCGUCGACUGCAAGUAUACAUGCCAAAAUUGUAAUGUAGGGUAUGUAUUGAGUCGAUCCCACAAGGAGCAAUUUAAACAAGUACUAGGCCCUUAUUUUCUCCAUUAUUUAGACUUAUAAAUGAAUUUGAGUAGAGAAAUUAUAAUGCUAUUGUCUAUAACUCUAGUUUAACAAAUGCUAAAUGCAAAUGGAUAAAUUUCACUCAAGAAUGAAUCUAGGGAUGUAGAUUCCACUUAUGGCGUAAACAACACAAAUGAAUAGAUUUACCUCUUGUUAUUAUUCUUGUUUAACCAGGGAUUCAUUUCCAAUAUUGCCAAGCUUUAUUCUCAUGAUAAAAUGGCCUAGAGUAGUCCAGUUUUCCCUAUUUUCAUGGUGAAAAACUACUACUACUCUGUUUUCUUUCAUGAAAUGCUAAUUAAUCCACUUAAGUGUAUCUCUAUUUUCAUGAACAUCCAACUUAAGCUCUACUCAUGUGUUUCCAUUGUUACUACCAAUUCUCAUUGAAUAAUAACAACUAUAAACAUGCUAUUGGUGAUCAAUCAAUAACAAGUAAUUACAACUGUACAAAUAGACAAGUUAAUACAAGAUAUAACAAAUGUAAAUCACAUUUAAUUCAUGUCAUUUUGCCAUAAAUUUCAUCUACUCCCUAGAUAAAGAAGUUUAGCUAUUCAUGAAUGAUAUAACAAUCAAACUCACAAGUUUAUUAAUGCAAAAUAUCAUAAAGUACAAGUACAAGAAAGAUAAAGAAAAACUUAGCCAAUUAAUGGUGAAGCCCUCAAAUUUCUGCUAUGUCUUGUACAAGAUGAUUACAAGUGAAGUCUCUAAUUGCUUCUUCAAGAACUUCUAGCUAGAGAGAAAAUGUUACAAACUGAAAAACUAGUUACGUAUGGUCCUCUUCUCUUUUUCCAUGGUUCUCUGCAUAAAAGGUGGUAGAAAUGCACCAUUCUUUCUCCUUCAUGAUUCCAACAACUCAGAUUUUGUAAAGAAAGUCAAUAGAAAUGUUGUUUUGACUUGUCAAUAAUUCAUUUUGUCUUCCAUUAUGUUGCAGGAACAUGUGCCACCGAAUUCUCUCACCCAAGAUAGCUGGAAAGUUGUGUGAAAAAUGAGAAAAACGGCUGCGCCACUUGCAGAAGAGAGAGACAGAUCCGAGCCUCGGAUCCGAGGGGUGAAGAACAAUCUGAGCCCGAAUCAUUGCUGAUCCGAGGACUUUUCUUUAUGGAUCCGAGCUCGGAUCGUCUGACCUCGGAUCCAUUGCUCCAGAAGUACAGACGAGGGCUCGGAUCGCCCUUUGUUCACACGGAUCCGAGCUGGUCAAUUUCCAGUUUUUCACUUCUUUCCUUUUUCUGCAUUUUUGCUCCUAGUUUCUUUUGUACUUUAUCCUCUGGACGAUCCUUGCAUUUCCUUCAUCUCGUGCAUGAAUUUCAUAUAUCAAUAUCCUUCACAAUUUCACAAAAUUAACGCAUUAAUCCACUCAUUUAUCAAGUUUUGAACACUUAAACAAUAUUUAAGCAAUUAUCACCAAAAGAGUUCAAAUGUGACAGCCCAACCUCCCCCUAAGGCGAACCAAAGUGUUCGGCGGACCGCCUGCCCAACUCUCGCCGGGACUCAGUCACCUCAAGUAAAACCGGGAAGACCACAAGAACAAGUAUAAUAAUAAUCCUAAACUUAAAGCAAAUUUAUAUACAUAUCUAUCUCAAAAGAAAGUACAAACUCAAAUAUACAAAGGUUCUUCAAUUCUUCAAACACCCAACCCGCUAAACGCUAAGGCGAGAACCAUUACAAAGUUCAAAGAACUAGACUAGGCUAGUCUAUACGGAGCUCUCGUCCUUGCUCGCCUUCCCCUGCUAAGGAAAACAAAACUAAAGGAAUGAGUUAAAAGCUCAGUGAGGCUCCAAACACAUAAUUUAACAAGGAGUCCAAAGCAUCAAACAUAGAUAACUAAUAAUUCAAGAAACAUUUAUAAUAUGAAGUGGUAAGAACACAUUCAUUAAAAGGAUACGUGCUCACAUGGAGCCAUUCAUUCAUUCAUUCUCCUUUUAUUUCCUUAUUCCUCCAACGAUUGGAAAAUGCAUUUUUUGUAAGUAAAACCCUUCAUUUACAUUACCACUCGUUCAUUCAUUUCAUUUCACCCCCUUCCGGACGUUGGCCGGACUCCACCCGACAACAAGGUAAUAUUCGAGUAUACCAAACAUUCACCCAGGGUCACCAAAUUGCCCGACCGAGUCCGCUUCUGGCUCGAGUCGAUCGGUAACGAAGGGCAGGGCCCAAUUCAGCCAAAAGGUUUACAUUCAUGCAUAGGUAGCGUUUAAAUCGUUGCAUCAUUGAAAAUUUUACAUUCUUUUAGGUCAAGUGCGGUAAAGUACACACUGACCUAGUAAAACUCGUUUUGGAAAUCAUUGAGAGCACUUAACACAUUAUCAAACAUCCACAACAAGCCAUAUAGUCAAUAGAAAUACAACAAACUAGGAACACUCACCUAUUUACGCAAAAUAACGUUCAAAAUAUCCUUCUGGAUAAUGCUCUCAGUCACCGAUGAAACCUAAGAUUAAGCAAGAGAGAAUAUUACAGUACAUCUAGCAAAACAAUUAGGUGAAAUCGAAGAAAAUCCGACUAACUACGAGUAGAACGUAUAAAGAUGACAUUAAAAGUGAAAAGAGGGCAUUUGGAUCUGAGGACGGAAAUAAUUAAGGGUUUCCCAAAUCAAACACAAAACUAAACUAAAAAGGGUGGUAGAAACUUCCAACGGAAAACACUUGGACCAAAGACCAAUCAGAAUCCAGCUAGAUAGGCUAAAGGAAGAUUUUGUUUUCCAUGAAUCUUCUAUUUGACUCAAAAUCCACAUAUAUAUUCAAGUAAAUAUUAUAUUACAAGUGUCUUGAUAAAAAUUAUGUGAAAACGGAGGACAAAAUACCUUAAUUUCACACUUAAAACAUUACUUGAAAGUGGUUUUCUCGGAACCCUAAUUCAUACCUCUUUAUUUUGGUAAGGGAGUAAGUAAACAUUUGAAAUUUCAAAUUGAAGAGGUAUUAUGUUUUCAAAUGGUAAAACGGUUAUGAUAUUCACCAAGCGAAAAUAUAUAAGUUCAAAUAGAGAUGUAACUCCUCGAACACCCUUCGGGAGAACUGAUGUAGUUCUCAAUGAAGUGCGUCCAACUCGAUACAAAAAUCACAUUUCUAAAUCCACUCUAACUUACUCAAAUUACCAGAAAAUAAACGGACAACAUUUCCCUUUAACCACUUCACUUUCACCCUACCAUGAAAUACCAAUUCUCAUAGCAAGUAAUCACAAUCACAUAUAAUAUAUUGGAGGCUCUUAAACCCCCUUAAAGUACAACCAAUUGGAAGCUCAAGAACCAAUCAUGAGAAAGCCCCUAAAUGAAAACCCUAAAACUGAAAUUUCCGCACAAUUGCUGAAAUUUUCCGCAAUUAACCACAAUUAAUAUGCACAAGCUUCAUUUUAUACCACAUCAAUCUAUCAUUCCAUAACCAACUAACACUAAUCUUAUAAAAUCAGAAAAUUUCCCAAUAAAUCAGAAAUUGAUCCAACUUUAUUUAAAAUCAUGAAAUCCUCUACAAAAUAGCAUAACUAACCUCUACCAACCACCAAUUAACCAUUUUUAAAGCAAGAGAUACUUUCUUAUCCAACUUACCUCAAACUCAAGAAAGCUAGCAACUUAGAGCUUCUCUUUCAAAAAUCACUCCACCAAAAGCUUUAAUCUUUCUUAUUGUACACUUGUAUGGUGUUGCUUUCCAUUUGGCUGGCUAAAACUCAAGAUUUAGGCAAGCAAGUGAAGUGAAGAAAUUGGAGUUUUUCCUCUCUUGUUUUCUUUCCAAGACAGCCGGCCAAGGAAGAUGAAAAAUGAAGAGCAAAUGCAGCCAAAACAAGAUAAGUAUGGGGAGAAACAACUGGUCAAAGUUGGCUGCCGAAGCUGCCACGUCACAAUCCGGCCGGAUUCCAGGCAGGAUUCAAGGCAGUGGCGGAUCAAAUUUUUUUCAAAUCCCUCAAGCAAUCCGGCCAACAAUCCGGCUGGAUUUGGUCCAAAACCUUUCCACCAAAAAUUUUUCUUUCCAAGCUCAAACAUUGCGCUCAUCCGCUCUUCCAACAAAGAUAUAUAUAGUCUCACACAAUUACACUUGAUAUACACAAUCACACGUUCAUAUAUAUAGAAUGAAAACCCUCCUUAGAAAUGGAUAGCAAAAUGUUUUCAUUUUAAGAGAGAAAGUGAAAUUAAACAAAAAUGCUGAGAAUAUGUGAAAAUUUUAGGAUUCUUACAUCAAAUAUGGCUUUAAUCUUCUCAAAACAUACCAAAAGUUCAUGCCAAACUUGUACAAAAUGUACGUUAAAUAUUCUCUUAUCAAAUUCCCCCAUACUUGAAUCAUUGCUUGUCCUCAAGCAAUUUCACACAUAAUUUACUACAAUGAUUCAAGAGAUAAAACAAUAUGCGUACUUUUGUUAAAUUUAGUUUCUCAAAACCUAGAAACCAAUCAUUAUGCCAAUUCUCAGAUUACACUAAAUAUUUAUAAUAUCCAGUUAAAUAAAGAUAAUUAUACCUUAAUUUUGACAAUUUCAACUCAAUCUCUCAUCCUAUCCUAAUUUCAUGAAUAAGUAAAUCACAUAGUCAAUUCUAUGGCCUUUCUCAUCAUAUAUCCUUCAAAAUUUUCAUAACUAAGAGGGAUUUAUUUAUACUUCAUUUUACUUAAAUAGUGAUAAUGCCUUUUUAUGCGAAAAUCGACACUUUUAGGUGAAAAUUCCCGGUUACUCAACAUUUCACUCAUUCAAAUUGCUAAGCAUACUCUUAAUUCUAAUACCUUUUUACGUGAAUGUCGACAUUUUUAAAUGCCAACCCCCGAUUACUCAGUAUGCGAAUCAUUGGAGUAGAAAUAAAUUUAUUUAUAUAUAUAUAUUUUUUAAUAAUAAUCUCUUCCCUCUGAGCAUAAUUAAAAGAUGAAUCUGUUCUUGUUAUGACUAUAUCACUCACUUACUUAUAAAAUUAAGUAAAAAUGAGAAAUAUCAUUAAACCUGCAAAAUUCUAAACAUAAUUUUCCUUAUUUAACCGAAUAUACUUUCUAAAAUGUAAAAAUCCUAAUUGCAUAAUGACUAAUUCCAAGUCAAAUAAGGACUAAACUUUCCAAAAUACAUAUAACAUUUUAUCCAAUGGAAGAAUUAGACACUUAAAAUUGAACAUUUUGGCCAUUAUUGGAAAGAAUUUGUGAUGAAAUAUUGGAAAAUAUUUUAGAAAAAUUUUGACAGAGUUUCCCCAUAUAAAUAGAUAAAACUCCCUGCCAACAGGCUCAAUUUCAAGAAAAUUAUCCUCAUGACAAUAUUUCCAAAUAUGAUUCCAAUAUUUCUAACCCAUAAACAACUAAAAUCAUGCACUUCAAAACACAAUCACCCCAUAAGAUAAAGUAAUCCCUCCCCCACACUUAGAAUUUACAAUGUCCAUAUUGUAGAUGAAGGUAAAAGAAACUAAUACUCCCCUCAAAAGAAGUAGUGAUGCAAUUUGAAACCACGAUCAUCACGAUCAUCCAAUUUCUACUAGCCAAAUUCUGCAUGAAGGGAAAAAUAUAUAUCCAUAGAGAGUGAGACCAUUCCACACGUUUUAAGAAAAAUAGAAAAAUAACAAAAAGUUAACACUAAAUCGAAAAUAAAAGAUGAAAAACUAAAUUCAAGCUGAAAAGAGAGUAAAUUAUGCAGAGGGGACGCCAAGCUCAAUCGCUUUAGUGCUGCCGCCCUAUUCACGAGCUGCAGUACCGCCAUCCUCCUCACGAUCUGCAUGCCCCUCAUCGGGCAUUGGCUCAGGAAUCGGUGUAGGGGAGCAGCGAAUGUCGAAAUGAUCCUCGAUCGCUCGAAGAUGGCGAUCAUGCUUGUCUAGUCGCUCCGUCAUCAACCACUCCGUCUGAUCAAUGCGCUCCAUGACCCGUGUCUCCAUACAGCAGAUGGCAUUGAGGACCUCUUGCCACUUGGAUCGCGGCAGAGGGGGUGGUCGUGGAAUGGGAGGAAGGAGUCUGCUGUGCCUCCAUCUCUUGAGCUUCCUGGUGUGGUUCAGUGUGAGGUGGAGGCUGAGUGAAAGUCGAUGCUUCUCCAACAUCCCGAACCAGAGAAGCUCCAAAAUCCAUAGGAAUACCCAAGGACCUGAGUACUGAGGCAUUGACUUCCUCGGCGGCUCUAGUAACACUGGCUCGCUCGGUUCCCGGAGGAACAUUGAGUUGCUCAAAAAUAAGGGAGAGCAAGCGAGGGAACCCAAAAUAGGUUUCGCCAGCCCUCAUGCGAGUUGUGGUCCUCAUAUAACUGAUAAUAAUGCUUGCCAGAGGAAUACCAGUCAGCUGCCGACCGAUACCAUUCAUCAUCUUAUCCAUAAAAUAGAGGUCACUAUUGCGGAGCUCCCGUUUACCAAUCCUUUUGGGUACCACAUUGAAGGCGAAGAGAUAGAAGAUCAGAUGGUACCUAUGCUCAAAGGAAUCGGCGUACACAAUGAGCUUCUUCGAACUUCCUCGCUCCCGAUAUUGACCCUUAAGACGUGCCACAGAUUCUUCCACUUGCCAUGGGUCACGUGCCUUGAACUCAUGGUCAAUUUCACAUCCUCUCCUUCGUCCUUUAGUUUGACGAUUUGGGCGAUUUUAUGUCGAGUGAGAGCCACUCGCUUGCCUCGAACCCAGGAGACGAUGAGGUUGCCACUGUGGCUCUGUUUGUCUUCCACAUUGAUGUAGAACUCCCGGACCAGAUUGGGAUAGUAAUGUUUCGGCACAUUUAGUAUAGUCUCCCAUCCAAGUCGCUUGAAUGUCGUGGAGAUCUUGUAGUGGUCAUCCACCUCUGGGCCCAAGUGUUUUUCAAUUAUGAUCUCUUUGUCUAAACCGGUCUCGUACCAUUGUUGAUUUUCAAGCAAAGUGAAUCGCAUGGUAUCAUAGUCCGAAGGUGGCUCCUCAUGGCUGGUAGAUGCCCUCUUACGUCGGGAAUGAGGCGGUGACUCAGGUGAAGAAGAUUCCUCCACUGGCGACUUCUCAUGCAAGGAAGGUGUGUGUUCUUUACCUGAAGAAGGUGAAGGAGUGCAAACACGGGUCCGUCUUGUGCAAGCCAUGGUGUCUAUAUAAAAAACAAGAUCACUUCAUAUCAGUAACAAUCUCACUCCUUGGAAAUAUAUGAGAAGUAAUUUGAGAAAAUUUUGGCAGAACUUCCCCUUAUAAAAUGAAGGAACUCCCUGCCAACAAUCAACAAAUUUAAGCAAAUAAUCUGCUUAACACAUUCUCAAAUCCACUUUUAACAUUUAGAAGAUAUAUUUUCAAUAAGGAUAUCAAUCCUCACAUGAUAAAUCCAAAUGUUUGAGAGGUAAAGCCAUUUGCCAGAAUAGAAUAUUAUCUCAAUGUAAAAUGGACUAUCAAAGACAAUGUGCUAUAAAGUUAAGCCUUAAACAUCAAUUGAACACAACAUCUUCUUAUACAUUACUAAAAACAUUCUCAAUUCAAACAAUUCUCAGCUUUUGGCAAUUUCUCUCAAAGCAAUACAUAACAAUCCGCUAUACUUAAUACAAUUUAUCAUCAAUUUGCAUAAAAAUGAGGUUCAUUUCAUAAAAACAAAUGCAAAUUAUCCAAAGAAACAAAAAAUUGCAAGCAAAAGUACAAUGUGAUUUCAUAAGAAAAAUUAUACAAAAUUAUCACCAUAUUAACAAAUUUCUCAAUUCUAAGCAAACAAGCAUUUCUAAUGACAUAUAUUAGCACAAUGUAAUACUAUUAUAACAAGAAAUUUCAACAUAUAUGCAUUUCCCUUUUUAUGCGAAAAAUUAGAAAAAAUAUAAAUUGGGAAUUGUAAAAUAUCCAAGAAAAUUAAGAAUUGUUACCUCAAAUGUGUAGAGUGAUGGUGAAGGUUGAUAAUGAUACAAAAAUGGAAGAGAAACAACUCAAAAUUUGCCCCCAAAUUGAUAAAAUUGAAUUCAGCCCCUUUUCUCUGAUUUGAUGAUCAAAAGCCCCCAAAUUUUUGUUUUUGAUGUGAAAUUGUUGAGGGUUUAUGACCAGAAAAUGUUGGGGAAUGUUUUUAUGGUGAAAGAUUGAAAGAUUAAUGGAGAAAAUGAAAGAUUAGAGGAGAGGGUGUAGGGUUUCGGUGAAAUAGGAAUAGGAAAAUCUGGAAAAUGAGGAACCAAGCCCUCGGUUUCUUUCUUAUCGCGAACCGAUCCGAACUCGGAUCGGUUCUGGCAGCCCUCGGAUCCGCCACUCCAGAUGUUCAGAUGAGCCCUCGGAUCCUACUAGAUUUUGUUGGAUCCGAGCUCGGAUCACCUUUUUGCAUUUUUCCAGAAUGCACGAUCCGAACUCGGAUCAUACCCAAUCAUGGCUCAGAUCCUGAAGGCUCGGAUCCGUCUCACCAGAAACACAGACGAGCCCUCGGAUCCUGUUGAACAAUUUACGAUCCGAGGUCGGAUCUCCAAAUUUCGCCUUUAAACCAUAAAAGAUCCGAGGUCGGGUCCGUCUGGGUUGAGUCAGAUCUGAGCUCGGAUUUGGCAUUUUCUGCAACAAUUUUAGAAACUACAAAUUUUCAAACUUUUUCUCCCUUUUCCAACCAAUUCCAAAUUACACAUUAGACAAACUUUUUAUCAAUUCCAACUCCCCACGCAAAUGUAAUAUACCAUAAACACUAAAUCCAACCUCUCAAAACACAUCAAAUACAUCUACAUUGCAAAUCGAUGGGUGAGAUUCUUUGAUCAUUUUUGCAUUUUUACACCAAAAUGGCACCUUUGGGUAUGAGAUGCACAUCAAAUGAGUCCAUGAGCAUUUAUAAACAUGUUAUCACCGAAACUCACUUGAAUACACUGGAAAUGCAACAUUGUAUAUAUGAAUGGGAAUUCUAAACAGUUAAAAUACAAUUUGGUAAGAAAACCUCCCUUUUUACGCUUGUUCUUCAAAUGCACCUCCAAGAUGGAUGUUGAAACUCAGAUACCUCCUACAAACACAUGAAAUACAUAUAAUUAGUCAAUCAAAUAACACCAAAAUAUUAAAAAUACAUAAAAACACACAACUACAAUAUUAUUAUUGGGUUGCCUCUCAAUAAGCGCUUUGUUUAAAGUCAUUAAGCUCGACUCUCCUACAGCUUCUUUAACUCUCCAUUGUGUUUCCUAAGGAGUAAAUCACGCCUUCAGGAACUCUUUCUCUGGCCAAAUAGAGCUUCAAUCUUUGACCAUUCACUUUGAAUGGAACACUAUUUUCUCCUUUUAUUUUCACCGCUCCAUAAGGAAAUGUGCAAACUAUUUCAAAUGGUCCGGACCAUCGAGACUUAAGCUUUCCAGGGAAUAGUUUAAGUCUUGAGUUAAAUAAUAAAACCUUUUGCCCUUCUUCAAGAUGCUUCGGAAGAAUAUGUUUAUCAUGCCAAUAUUUGAUCUUCUCUUUAUAAAUUUUGGCAUUUUCAUACGCAUGUAGCCGGUGUUCCUCCAAUUCACUUAACUCAAAUAGCCUCCUUCCACCUGCAAGAUUAAAAUCCAUGUUAAUUGCUUUAAUAGCCCAAUAAACUCUAUGUUCAAUCUCUACAGGUAAGUGACAAGAUUUUUCAUAAAUUAAACGAUACAGCAACAUCUCUAAAGGUGUCUUAAAUGCCGUUUGAUAAGCUUAUAGUGUAUCAUCUAGCUUUGUAGCGCAAUCUUUGCGUGAUUUAGUCACAGUUUUUUCCAAAAUGAGCUUUAUAUCUCUAUUAGUUAGUUCCGCUUGUCCGUUGGCUUGAGGAUGGUACGGAAGUAAUGUCUUGUGCCUGCAGCCAUAUUUAAACAAUAAGAAGUCAAGUUAUUUAUUACAAAAAUAUUUUCCUUUAUCACUAACUAUGGCCUUUGGGAUACCAAAUCUGUAAAAAAUGUUCUUUUUAAGAAAUCAGAGUACAACCUUAGAGUCAUUAGUAGGUGAAGUGAUUGCCUCUACCCAUUUAGAAACAUAAUCUACUGCUACUAAGAUGUACUUAUUAUUAAAAGAAUUAGGAAAUGGUCCUAUAAAAUCAAUACGCCAAACAUCAAAUAACUCAAUUUACAAAUAUGAAAUUAGAGGCAUUUCAUUCUUUCUAGAGAUGUUACCAGUUCUUUGGUAUUGAUCACAACUUUUAACCUAAUUUCUAGCAUCUCGGUACAUAGUAGGCCAGUAAAAUCUAGAUUGCCAUACCUUUGCUACGAUUUUAGUUGUAUUAAAAUGACCUCCCAUUUCAAGAAUAUGAUAAUACAUUAAAAUACUGUGUACCACUUCCUCCGGAACACAUCUUCUAAUUAUUUCAUCUGCACAAUGUUUAUAAAAGAAUGGUUCCUCCCAAAAAUAAUGUUUAGCAUCAUUUAAUAAUUUUUUCUUUGGUGAAAAUUUAAAUCACUUGGUAUCACUCCACUAACUACAAAAUUAACUAAAUCAGCAUACCAUGAUGACUUUUGAAUUGCCAUUAAAAACUCAUCUGAAAAUUCUUCUUUAAUGGAUGAAUGGUCUUCUUGAAGCAUGUUUUUCAGUCUAGAAAGAUGAUCAGCGACUAAGUUCUCGGAUCCUUUUUUAUCUUUGAUUUCCAAAUCAAAUUCCUGCAAUAAUAAAAUCCAUCGAAUUAGUCGAGAUUUUGCAUCUUUCUUAUUUAAAAGAUACUUGAGUGCUGCACGGUCGGUAUAAAUGACGAGUUUAUCCAAUGCAAAUAUCACUGCUAGCAACUCCUUCUCUGUUGUUGCAUAGUUGAUUUGGGAUUCAUUUAGCAUUUUACUUGCAUGAUAAAUGACAUGAAGUCUCUUAUCAUGUUUUUGCCCAAGAACAGCUCCAAUUGCAAAAUCACUCGCAUCACACAUCAAUUCGAUUGGCAAGCUCCAAUCCGGUGAUGCUAUUAUAAAUGCGGAGACAAGUUCCUUCUUCAACCUAUUAAAAGCAAAUAAGCAGUCAUCAUUAAAGUGAAAAGAAACAUCUUUUGCAAGUAAUUCACAUAAAGGUUUAGCAAUGUUAGAGAAAUUCUUAAUAAACCGCCGAUAAAAUGUCACGUGUCCAAAAAAGCUUCGAAUGCCUUUCACAUUGGUAGGUGGAGGCAUUCUCUCAAUAACCUCUAUUUUGGCUUGAUCUACCUCAAUAUCUUGUGAAUAAAUUUUGUAUCCUAGAACAAUACUCUCACAAACCAUGAACUGACAUUUUUUCCAAUUGAGUACAAAGUUUGUUUCUUCACAUCUCUGUAAAAUUAGAUCUAAAUUGUUAAGACAUUGAUCAUAAGUAGAUCCAAGUACAGAAAAGUCGUCCAUGAAGAUUUUUAUGAUUUUCUCAUUAAAAUCAGAGAAAAUUGCCAUCAUGCAACAUUGAAAAGUGGUCGGUGCAUUACACAGUCCAAAAGGCAUUCUUCGAAAUGCAAAUGUGCCGAAAGACAAGUGAAUGUGAUUUUCUCUUAAUCUUCCGGUGCAAUGACUAUUUGAUUGUAUCCUGAAAAAUUAUCCAAGAAAUAAUAAAAUUCAUAUCCAACCAAUCUUUCUACCAUUUGAUCAAGAAAAGGAAGAGGAAAAUGAUUCUUUCUAGUAGCUGCAUUCAGUUUUCUAUAAUCAAUACAGACUCGCCACCCAACCACAACUCUAAAGGGAAUCAUUUCAUCAGUUUUACCACGUACUAUGGUUAUCCCCCCUUUUUUUGGCACUACAUGAAUAGGAGAAAUCCAAACACUAUCAGAGAUUGAAAAAAUUAUACAUGCAUCCAACCAUUUAAGAAUUUCUAUUCUUACCACUUCUUUCAUAUUUGGAUUUAACUUUCUUUGAGUCUCAACCACCGGUUUAUUUCUUCCAACAAAAUCCUGUGCAUACAAAUAGUUGGAUUAAUUUCGUUGAUAUCAGAAAUUGUCCAUCCUAUAACCUUUAAAUGCUUCCUCAAAACACGUAAGAGCUUUCCUAGUUGUUCCUCAUCUAGUGCAGUAUUGACAAUCACCGGCAAUGUCUCCUUUUCUCAAAAAAUGCAUAUUUGAGAUGUUUAGGGAGCGAUUUAAGCUCAAGCAGUGGAGUUUGCUCACACGAUGGUGGAGGUAGCCCUUUACUCAACCCUAACUCCUCAUACGCAUUUCUCCUUUUGUAAGGAACCUGUACCUGCAAAAUUCAGUAAUUUCUUCAGCUUGUUCCUCUUGUAAGCUUACACCAUUAAGACAAAGUUCAAAAGAAUCAUCAUCAAGAUUAACUUGACUCAUCUCUAAUGCCAAUUCAUCACAUAUGUUAACAGAGUAAACAUGGUCAGUAAAAGAGAGAUAUUUCUCUACUUUACUCAAAUCAAACUCUACUUCCUCUUCACCAAUUUGGAAUUUGAACUUACCACGUUUAACAUCUAUUAUUGUACCUGCAGUGGCCAGAAAUGGUCUACUAAGUAUAAUAGGUACAUUGAUAUUUUCCUCCAUAUCUAAAACAACAAAAUCAACAGGAAUAAUGAAUUUCUGUAUUUUAAUAAGCACAUUCUCCAAUAUACCCAUUAGAUGUCUAAUAGACCUGUCAGCCAAUUGCAAGGAAAUGUUAGUACGUUUUAACUCUUUCAAUCCCAAUUGCCUAGCCACAAUUAAAAGGAUCAAUGAAACACUCGCACCAAGGUCGCAUAGUACUUUAGAGAAUUCUACAUUACCAAUAAUACAAGGAACUGUGAAACUUCCCGAAUCUUUCAACUUUGGUGGCAAUUUAUUUUGUAUGAUGGCACUACAUUCUUCCGUUAAUGCAAUUGUCUCACUAUCUACUAACCUCCUUUUCUUAGUCAUUAUCUUCUUGAGAAAUUUUGCAUAUGAAGGAAUCUGCAAAAUAGCAUCAACAAAAGGAAUGUUAAUAUGUAAUUAUUUGAAAAUGUUGACAAACUUCUCAAAUUCUUUGUCAUUUCUCGAAGGUAUCAAUCUUUGUGGAAAUGACACCGGUGGAGGAAUUGGUAUUGUCUCAUCAAUUUGUGGCUCGCUUUCUUCCACCUUGUCUUUCCCUUCAAUUGACUUGUUAUCAUCUCCUAACUCACUCAACUAUUUGUUUUCCCUUCUUUCAUGUUUUAUCACAUUUUCAACUACAGGUGGCUCACCCACUUCCUUACCACUUUGGAGGGUUAUGGCCUUCACAUACUCUCUCGGAUUCACCUCAGUCUUGCUAGGUAAAUCUCCUUGGUUGCGAUUGUUAACUGCAUUAGUUAUUUGCCCUAAUUGGACCUCAACAUUCCUGUAUAUAUUGGUGAGUUGGUCCAUCCUUCUCUUAAUUCUUUCAAACUGUUGAGUAGUGGCACUAACUAGCUUUUCAAUUUUAUCAUUUGUUACAUUUGCUAACUUCUCAAUUGCCAAUUCCCAAACUGAUUUAGAUUCCAAAAGUGAUUGCUUCGGUUGAAAACCCGGUGGAUUAACUGGUCUUUAUUGGUUCUCUUGAUCCUUCCAUCCAAAAUUCGGGUGAUUACACCAUCCUGGAUUGUAGGUAUUGGAAUAUGGAUUAUUUUGAGGUGGACGGUUGUAAUUGUUGAGAUAUUGAAUCUGUUCGCUGCUAGAGCACAUAGAAUCAUCAUGGUCUCCUCCACAGUUAAUACAACAAGCAACAACUACUCCUUGAUUAGAACUAGAACUAACUUGCCUUUUAAGCAUCUUAACCACAUUAUCCAUCUUUGCACUUAACAUAUUCAAGGUAUCUAUUUCAAGCAUACCUGCUGUUCUCCUUGUAUUACCUCGUUCGUUGACCCAUUGGUAGUUAUUAGCAGCCAUUUUUUUAAUCAAUUGUUGAGGUUCCUCGGCUGACUUUCCCAUCAAUGCUCCUCCCGCUGCCGCAUCUACAUGCGUCUUUUUGGAUAAGUGAGACCAUUGUAAAAUGUUUGCACUAUCAACCAAUCUGGUAAACCAUGAUGAGGAUAUCUUCGUUGUAAUUCCCGAUAGCGCUCCCAAGUUUCGUACAAUGUCUCUCCUUCCUGUUGAGAGAAACUAGUUAUAUCCAUUCUGAGUUUAGCAGUUUUUCCAGGUGAAAAGAAUUUAUUAAGAAAAUCCUUAGCUAAUUCAAUCCAAGUAGUAAAAGUGUUUGGAGGAUGAGAUUGUAGCCAAACCUUGGCCUUGUCCCUUAGCGAAAUGGAAAUAAUCGAAAUUUAAUUGCAUCAUCACUAACACCAUUAAACUUAAUUGUAUCACAGAUUUCAAAAAAUAUUGACAAAUGAGAAUUUGGAUCUUCGGUAGCAUUACUUCCAUAUUGAGAUUGUUGCACCAUUUGAAUCAGUGAUGGUUUAAUCUCAAAAUUAUUAGCAUUUACCGUUGGCCUUGCGAUGCUAGUUUGAGAUUCCUAUGUCCCCGGAAAAGCAAAAUCUCGUAGAGCUUGCCUAUUUAGUUCAUCUUCCGCUAUUUCUUCCUCAAACGGUAGCUCUAUCAAAAUUUCCUCUAUCGGCUGUCAAACCUUUUGUUCCUCUUGCUGUGGUGUAUCCCUCCUUUGUCUAUGAAAUAUCUUCUCAAUUUUUGGACCGAAAGGUACAACUUCUCGAGAUAUCCGGUGCAUACACUACAACAGAAAUAAGAAAGAUUAUGCAACUUUUUUAUUUGUCAAAACUGAUAAAAUAUAAGAUUAACUAUAAAUAGCUCAACUAUCAAAAUUAAAGCUAUCUAAAUUAAUAGAAAUUAUUAGGCCCUAAUAUUGCCGCUCCCCGGCAACGGCGCCAAAAACUUGAGGAAAUUUUUUUUUAUAUCAAUGCAAGUUUAAAUCCGAUUUUAUACCCGUUGACUGCAAGUAUACAGGCCGAAAUCGUAAUGUAGGAUAUGUAUCGAGUCGAUCCCACGAGGAGCAAUUUAAACAAGUACUAGGCCCUUAUUUUCUCUAUUAUUUAGACUUAUAAAUGAAUUUGAGUAGAGAAAUUAUAAUGCUAUUGUCUAUAACUCUGGUUUAACAAAUGCUAAAUGCAAAUAGGUAAAUUUCACUCAAGAAUGAAUCGAGGGAUGUAGAUUCCACUUAUGGCGUAAACAAUACAAAUGAAUAGAUUUACCUCUUGUUAUUAUUCUUGUUUAACUAAGGAUUCGUUUCCAAUAUUGCCAAGUUUCAUUCUCAUGAUAAAAUGGCCUAGAGUAGUAUAGUUUUCCCUAUUUUCAUGGUGAAAUACUACUACUACUCUAUUUUCUUUCAUGAAAUGCUAAGUAAUCCACUUAAAUGUAUCUCUACUUUCAUGAACAUCUAACUUAAGCUCUACUCAUGUGUUUCCAUUGUUACUACCAAUUCUCAUUGAAAAAUAACAACUAUAAACAUGCUAUUGGUGAUUAAUCAAUAACAAGUAAUUACAACUGCACAAAUAGACAAGUUAAUACAAGAUAUAACAAAUAUAAAUCACAUUCAAUUCAUGUCAUUUUGUCAUAAGUUUCAUCUACUCCCUAGAUAAAAAAGUUUAGCUACUCAUGAAUGAUAUAACAAUCAAACUCACAAGUUUAUUAAUGCAAAACAUCAUAAAGUACAAGUACAAGAAAGAUAAAGAAAACCUUAGCCAAUUAAUGGUGAAACCCUCAAAUUUCUGCUAUGUCUUGUACAAGAUGAUUACAAGUAAAGUCUCCAAGUGCUUCUUCAAGAACUUCUAGAUAGAGAGAAAGUGUUACAAGCUGAAAAACUAGCUACGUAUGGUCCUCUCAUCUUUUUCCUUGGUUCUCUGCAUAAAAGGUGGUAGAAAGGCACCUUUUUUUCCCCUUCAUGAUUCCAACAACUCAGAUUUUGCAAAGAAAGUCAAAAGAAAUGUUCUUUUCUUUUGACUUGUCAAUAACUCAUUUUGUCUUCCAUUAUAUUGUAGGAACAUGUGCCACCGAAUUCUCUCACUCAAGAUAGCUGGAAAGUUGUGUGAAAAGUGAGAAAAACAGCUGUGCCACUUACAGAAGAGAGAGGCAGAUCCGAGCCUUGGAUUCGAGGGAUGAAGAACAAUCCGAGCUCGGAUCGUCUAACCUCGGAUCCAUCGCUCUAGAAGUACAGACGAGGGCUCGAAUCGCCCUUUGUUCACACAGAUCCGAGCUCGGAUCCGUGUUGGUCAAUUUCCAGUUUUUCACUUCUUUCUUUUUUCUUCAUUUUUGCUCCUAGUUUCUUUUGUACUUUAUCCUCUGGACGAUCCUUACAUUUCCUUCAUCUCGUGCAUGAAUUUCAUAUAUCAAUAUCCUUCACAAUUUCACAAAAUUAACACAUUAAUCCACUCAUUUAUUAAGUUUUGAACACUUAAACAAUAUUUAAGCAAUUAUCACCAAAAGAGUUCAAAUAUGGCUUUAAUCUUCUCAAAACAUACCAAAAGUUCAUGCCAAACUUAUACAAAAUAUACGUUAAAUAUUCUCUUAUCAGCCGUGACUUGAUCUGUUCAAUUCACAAUGUCAAUAUUUAUAGGGUUUUUUUCAUGCCAUUGAUGCCGCUUUUCCUUCUGUGACAUUGUCUUAUAUGGAAACAAAUUAAUUCACUUAUUUAUCCUCAAUCUAACGCAUUAAUGGUUGGAAAGCAAAUUUAAAACUUACCAAAUCAAGCCUCUGAACAAUUGUUCAAUUAACUUCCACGUGUCAAAGAUUUGCAUUAAAUUUUUUUCCUAAUCUAGUUUCUAAACAGUUUUACAAUCAGUAUCCAUGCAUGUGGGAGAAAUUCAAUUAAAUAUUUUUUUCUCAAAUUGAACUGCUUAAUUUUCAAAAUCUAAAUAUUACUUGUCAGUAUAGAUCUACCUUUUAUAUUUGUUCAUGAUCCACUUUAUCACCAAAUCAAAAAGUCGACCAUUUUUAUUUAUGAAUGCCACUCAUAAUAAGUUACAAGAUUAAUGAUAGUUGUGCUUAACAUUGUUAAAUUCAUGUACAGAUAAAGCAUAGUUGUACAAAUUGUUAAACUCUUCCUUAUAAAAUGGAAGCUUUCAAAUAUAACUUUUAAAUAUUAGUAUUCAUCCAUCAUAAAAGUUUGAAAAAGUAAGUCUCACCUUAAAUUUGGUUUCUCAGAAUCAUAUCAUUAUCAAAUCCUAGUCCGCUACUUCAUAUGGUAUUUGUAUACAAUGUUUUUGUACAUUUUAAAAAUAAAUUCUGUACACACCAAAAAAAAAAUUUCCCUUCUUACUCCUUCCUCAACACACCUCAAUCUACCACCACCUUCACCGUUGGCCACCACUGAUAGCCACCUCUACCAGCACUGGCACCAGCAUCGACACCAAUAGUAUUGAUUUGACAAUUUUAACAUGCUAAAAUUUGACAAAAUUGAUAGUAUUGAUUUGACUCAGUUAUGCAUUAUUGCAUUUAUUAUUAAAUGGUAAUGACCUUUAAAAGCGACAAGUGCAGUAACACCAAAAAUUCAUUGAAGGAUGAAACGUCUAAAAUCAUUUCCAGAAAGAUCAAAAAUUGGUGUUAACGAAUGGAGGAACUUGAAGAAGAUAACAAGAACACAAGUAUAAUUCUAUCAAAGGAGGGAUCAUAUUAAUCACCUAUUGCCAAUAAGAUGCUGCACUGGUGGUCACAUGGCCACUUUUAUAGCUACAAACGAUUCCUUCCCAGUGGCAACAAUCAACAUCGUCAAUAUUGCAAGACGUGAGUCGACUCGAUAGACAUUUUACAUCUUUUUUAAAGUCUAUAAGAGCUUAUUUUUUCACUUGCAAGGCAAGUUGCAUCAAUAUUUAUGAUGGAUAAUAAAACGGCUGCAAUGAGUAAGAACUCAGAGAAAGAGCUUGAUCGACUCAUGAUCAUGUGGUGUUUAACGACAUACUACACUAACACUGUCCAUUGCUCGAUAGAGGCAGUAAUACUCCUUCAAAGAUUGAAGAUAUCAAAGUCAAUAUCUAAAGCACUAUGCAGUCGUGCUUUAUUACAUUGACAACCACGGACGGGGCCGCCCCACUAAGUUUCAACAUUUGCAUUUUUGGGCUUCAGAAAUUUGUAAAAUUUUUGUAAGAAAUUCCGAUUACCCCAUUGCCUUGCCUUUAAUCUCUGCUCCUCUUCAAACAUUUUUCGACAUUGCAUGUGGUAAAUGGUUUACUGUUCAUAACUUUGAUUUAUGCUGUCAAAUGGAAUUCUCUGAAUAAUUGAAUUUUGCAUCAUUUUAGAUUAAUGACCGAAUUUUAUUUGUAAAUGGCGUAGCAAGACUUGGGUUCUAGCUUUCAUUUGUUAAACUAUCUUAAUAAUACUCGAUUGCAAAGUUUUACACUUUCAUUUUCCAAAAACAUGAAACAUUUUUAGGAAAACUAUUUAACUUUACUUCCAAAUUAAACUCUGAAAUGUAGUUAGUGUCAAAGUUUGACAUAUCGGUCGAUAUGACAAAAAAAAUAGAAAAAAAAAAGAUAUACAUAUUUUGAUCAAUACCAAAACUUUCAUUGGGCUGGAUUCCUAGUGUGACAGAAGGAAAGGAAAAAAAGUAAGAAGGUAGAGGAAUAUAUUUGUAGCACUUCCUUUUGCACAUCUAAGAGAAAAAGCUCAUCUCACCAGUGAGAUGUUUUUGUCUCCUGAAUUAGGGCUGUAAAUGAAUCGAGCUGCUCACGAGUAACUCAAGUCAAAUUUAACUCGAGUUUGAUAUUGAUCAAACUCGUGUUGAUCAAGUCGAAUUCGAACUCAUAUAUAAACUGGAACCUAAUCUUAUUUUUCUACUAACUACAAUACCUCUUGAGUUUUUAGCUAAGAAAUUAUUUUUAAUUGUAAACAACAUGUUUAAUAUAUGCUUAAUCCAAGCUAUUGCAAACAAAUCAAUAGUUGCAAGCGAAAGAAGACUUGACAAACUAAUCUGUAUCUCCUUAUCAAACAGUGAAAAUGUUUCCUUUGGAAUAUAUUUGGAUGGCCUUCUGCUUCAAAUGAGAGCACUGGUAUGGGAUUUCCAUCAUGAUCGAGUAGCACAAGCCAUCAAGGUAGGAGUGCAUAUUCAAUCAGACUAUUUAGAAGAAUAGUGCCAUAUUGAGCUGUUGUUGGUUCAACAGGAAUGAGAAUCCAGGGAAACAAUCCGGAUCAAGUGGACUCCUAUCUUGCAGGUGGAUUUGCUUAUUUGUUUUGAUAUCUGAUAGGUUGUCGAAACCUGUGCAAUAAUAAAAAUAAAUCUAGUUGCCAAUCGAAGCAAUCAAAACCCAAUUCUAAGUAUUGGAGUAGGGACUCUAGGUGUGCAAUGGGUUACUUGAUUCACCCUGUUUUCGAAGAGUUUGCUUGAUUCGAUAUACCAGAAUGGGAUUGCUUAUUCACAAAUAACUAUUGCUUUGUAAACAGGGCAAGUAAGGUCGUAUCCUCAGGACUAGGAGAAAAUUCGUUUCUUUUCAAGUUUGGGACACGGGGUAUUUUUAUCGGAAUAAAAAUAAGAACAAUUAAGCAAUACAACCAAAACAAACAAUUAACUAGUACGAACGUAGACAGAAAUUAAAUCAAUAAUAGACAAACUCUAACCAAGGAUACAACUACUCAAACACAGUCCAUUCAUCCGAUCAUCGAUGCAAGGAAGGUUCACUUAAUUUAUUAAUAGGUUAGUUAUAGUCGCCGACGAGCUCUGACGACCAGCUUUUCCUUAGUUUAUUGAUAACCAAGGUACGACCAUUAAUUACUCCUAACCAGGAAACACUCCUAGGUACGACCGUAGGAGUUAAUUCCCUAAUUGCAUUAAGAAAUAGAAAAACGUAACCCCGGUCAACAACACGCUACGAGGGUUAUUUAAAUUAGAUUGCAUGUUUCCCUAGCGUGUAUCAACGCUAGUUGCCACAAAUAUUAAUCAACUAAACAAUUACGGAUUCAAUUGAUUAAUUUGGUAGGAGAUUAAUAAGUCACAUUGAAUAUCGAGCCCUUGACAUCCAAUUAACAAAAUAAUCCAAUGAAAAUUCAAAUAGAAAAUGUGCAAAUAUUAACAAAUUAAGGAACGCAUGAAAACUAAUUCGAUCUCACAGAUAUUCGGGACUGCGUCGUCGCGUUGAUCCUUGACUAGAUGAAAAGAUUAGCCAUGCCUCAUAAGAAAAUGUCCACGCAAUUUAAUUGAUUUUGAAGGCAUCAUCUUUUCUAUAAUAAUCAAUAAUAAUAACAAAGCUAUGUUCCAGUCAUGAAUAAUGGAAAACAAAAAGAAAAAUGAAGCCAAAGCCAGAACGAAGCUAUUCCUAAUCUAAACAAAAAUAUGACUCUCCUCAGUUCCUAUCCAAUAAGGAAAAGAAAACAAAAGGUAAGGCCCUCCUGAAUGUUCCCCCUUUUUCGUUUCCUAAUCCUAGUCAAAAACUCCAAUACUAAAAAACUCCUAAUACUAGCAAACUGCUAGUCAGUAAAAGGAAGGAAAAGGGGCCCGCUUGUAGCAUUGAGCCAGAUUUGUGGAUCUUUUGGAAGCUUUCCAUGUGUGGAGCAAUUUUCUCAAGAAGAUCCCCUUUUUUAGCAUUCUUCUGCUCCACUUUCUGAAAUUAAGUCCAAAUACCAAAUAUAAGUAUAUGUUAACAAUUAAAACAAUAUUUGGCAAGGACAAAAAGGAAAAUUAAUGAUAAAACUACUAACAAUUAACACCCUAUCAAUAUCUUGUAAAACAUAAUGGAGAAACAAGCUACUUUAAAAGCUACUUAGAGGUCUCCAUCUUAUGCAAAAGUUCUUGGAUAUAGUUAUAUUAAAAAAUUAAAGGUACUAUAUUUAUAAGCUCAAUCUACCAUACAGACUAUUCUUUUCUUUCUUUUUUCCAUAUACCCUCUAAACUGUUUACUGACUACCCAAAAAUGUAUUUUUGCCUCUUCUGGUGUCUCUUUGAAAGCAUAUUGCAUCACCUUGCCCUUUAAUGUCCGAAAAAUAUUUUCAUACCUAGCAAUGUAAAUUACAUUCCUGAAUACGUGUUGUGGUUACAUAUGUGACUUUUGAUUUCGAUUAAAAUCAACAUUAAGCAUGUUCUUGCUGAAUUCUUAAAACUUUGAUGUAUUAGUGAUCAAAGGUAUUAUUACCUCUCAUGGGAAUGGUGGUUUGCGUAGGCAGAGAUGCUUUAUUCGGUUUUUAAUAUUUGAAUUUUCAUGAUAAAGUUAUUGAGUGUGAAAUUCUUUGGCUCCGAUUAGAACUAGAUCUGAAUUUUGUGAUUUAGGCAUACAAGUUUCAUAAUUUUUGAUGGACCACAAAACAAUGAUGCUUGAAACAACAAAUUAUGAUGCAUUAAUUAAUUAUAAGCAUGUAACAUAAUCAUUAUCUCACUAUCUUAACUUUUUAAGUGGAUAAUUAUCGAUCAUUUUACUGUGUUUAUAAUUUUGGGCAUGCCUGGCACUUUUGUGUAAGCCGUACAACUAGUUAUAAAUCUAAUACAUAACUUUAUUCAAACUAUAUUAGCAUAAAUUAUUGCAAUACUUCUAAACAUCUGUUUCAAAUGGUUUUAGUUAAAAAAUUAUGAUUAAAAUAACUAGUGAAGUAUGAAUAUGACAUGCCUUUAUGAAUUUUGAAAAGAAUUGGAUGGGGUUAAAUCCAAACCUCCACAAUCUAAAUCCACACCCUUAUAACCAAAUUGACCAAAAACCCAUAGCAUUUAUGGGGCUUUGUAGAAACUUUUUCAACGAAAAAUUAUCCUUUUUUUCUUUUUCUGAAAAUAGAUGGUGCUAGAUUGGAUUUAAAAUUUACAUCAUUAUGAAUGGUUUUAAAAUUUUUGAUAUUUUUUAAUUCACUUUGAUGGCAUUCUUUUCCCUCUUAUUUGGUGGAGAGAAUGUUUUUAGUUUUUCUUGUGUCUUCCCUUCAUUUUAGAAUCUAAUUUCCAAUGGUAAGUGAUUAAUUAUUAUAAUGUUCAUCUACAUGAAUAAUUUUUUCACACAAUCUAAAUAAUUUUAUAUAAUAAAUAAUUCUUUUAAUAUAUAUAUUUUUAGUGUAAGCGGGAGGACUCGAAUCUGAGACCUUUCGCUUACACUCCCUCCUCCCGUACCACCUAACCCAUCUCUCCCCCCUAUAUAAUAAAUAAUUCAUUUCAAGUUCAAUUGAUAAUCUAUUGAGAUACAAAAAGAAAAAAAGAAAUAAAAUAUAUGCUAGAUUAUCAAUCUAAUUUACAUAUAGUAUAUUUUGCUCAAAAUUUAAAGAGAUAUUUAAUUGAGUGUUUAAUAAUUAAGAUAAGUGAAAGAAUUUUGAUACUUGCAACAUUGGGAAGGGUAGAAAGAAACAAAAUACAAGGAAGAAUUGACAAUUUAUUAGAAACGAAUAUUGGCUUCAGCAUCUCACUAGUACCUGUUGGAAGACCUUACGAGGAAUUCAAGAAUUACAUCACGAAUCAAACAUGCCAAAUACUUAAAUCGGCAUUCAUCCUCUCCAACUGUGAUUGGGUUAGUUUUGUUUUCGAACUCAUUUCUGCUCAAGGAAACUGAUUUGUGAAGAAUGAGAAAGCUGAUGGAGAUUGCUCGCAAUUAACCUCGGCAUUCAUCCUGUCUUUUUUUCUUUUCAAACUUUGAUUGUUGGCAAAAAAUUUGGGGUUUUAUUUUUCUGCCAAACUUCAAGAACCAUAUGAACUUAAAUCAUGCGUACCACAUGUUUGACAUAAUGCCUAUAGAGUAAAGUAACCUGGAAUAUGGUUUGCUAGCCAAAGGUAAGGUCCAUCCUGGUUCAAAAGAAAACGAUCUCUUUUCUUUUCAUAAUAGAAGAUAAGGUUUCGGUACUAAGGUUUUGAAGGAGCGUCUUGGGCAGGGGUACAACAGUCCAUGGCUGCCCUCUGGCCACCUGAUGGGGGCAUCCUGCCCCUCCUACCUUUCAACGCAAAUCCUUUUUAGAGUUGUUCACGAACAAUUCACCGCAGCCAACGUUUUCCUUUGCGGCAGAGGAGGCUACACAAAAAGGGGAACUUGCGCUGAUUUUCCCACAGGCAGCGGUGGAAGCUAUGGCUAGUCCGUUUCAUUUCUCAUUGGUUGGGAAAUUCUCCAGAGGAAGACCGAAGUUGGAGGAGGUGAGGAAGUUCAUUACGUCGCUGGAUUUGCGUGAGAACCCGUCGGUGGGCUUGUUGGACGCACGACAUGUGUUGAUUCAGUUGCACAAUGAAGCUGACUUCCAUCGUGUAUGGUUUAGGAGGAUAUGGUAUGUGUCUUCCUUUCCCAUGAGAGUAUUCAAAUGGACCACGGACUUCCAUGUUGACAGGAAAUCGUCGAUGGUUCCGCUGUGGCUCCAAUUACCAAAACUUCCCAUACAUUUUUUCAAUAAGGAGGUGAUUUUCCAGAUUGCUUCUAUGGUGGGUAACCCUUUGUUGGUUGAUGCGGCUACACUUGUGGUGUUACGGCCAAGUGUGGCACGGGUGUGUUUUGAGAUGGAUUUAUUGCGGCUCACGCUGUUGUGGGUUUGGAUUGGCAAUGGAAAUCACGCUGGUUUCUGGCAAGAGUUGGUAGUGGAGAACGCUCCUAGAUACUGCUCACAUUGUUUUCGCCAAGGUCACGAUGUGGAGACUUGUCAUGUGUUGAAGCCCGAGUUGCGGAGAGCCUCUGGUCAUCAUGCCAAGAAUACUGGAACAAGACAACUCCGUUUGGUAGAGACGGUGAAUACAGACAUGCCUAAUGGGCCUGCGGAGGGUAAUGGGGAAUUGCCAUCAGUGUUGCUGCAAGAGGCGGCAGAGGUUGAUGGAGCAAAGGGAGAAGUUAUGGAGGCUGUGGCUGGCAACGAUGAUCAUAGUCAAUCAAUAGGUGGUGCGUCUCACGAGCAGCGAGCAGGGAUUGAGCAAGGGGACCAGGUGCAGCAGACCUCUGCUGCUACUCCAGUGAAGCAAGAAAGGAUGAUAGAGGCGGACUGUGGGACGGUGGCGGUCGAAGGUAUUGAGGUGGUGCUGCGACAUGAGGGAGGGGGGGAAUGUAUUGAGGCUGCAGAGAGUGGGCUGCCCGCGAGGGUGGUCGUGCGUUCUGCUGAGGGGCAAGUGGAAGACAUACAGGACACUCAACGAAGGGUGGGUAACCUCUCCCCUAGGGGAGGAGAUCGUGACUGAGAAGAGGUGUCACCACUGGAGAUGGGGCAUAUAGACACGGGAGAUGUUUCUGAUACCCUGGCACAAGAGGAAGUGGUUCGUAAGGAGAGAAUGGAUGCAAGGUCGCUUGGUCUCUGGGCUGGCCUUCCGUCAGAUAGAACCAAUGUUUUGAAAACCGGACAGGACCGGCCGGUUCGACCGGUUGAACUGUGAACUGGCUAUGGCACCGGUCCGGUUCAAUGCCAUAGUUGACUUUGUCAGAAAACCGGUCAAGAACCGGUCGAACCGUUAAAACCGCCAUUGAACCGGAUUGAACCGGUUUUCAACCUUUUUUUUUUUUUUUUUUGCAAAAUGCAGCUAUUAAGAUUCGAAUUCAAGACCUUUGUAAUAGAAGACCAAUAUAUUAACCGUUGCACCAUCACAUCUUAUUAAUUUGUUUUGAUAACUUAUUUAUAUAAAGCAAACACUCAUAUUUUUUUUCAUUUUUUUUACAAAAUCUCAUUCUCUCAUGGCCCUUUCUUUUUAAUUUUGAACUCUCUCUCUCUCUCUCUCUCUCUCUCUCUCUCUUUCAAUCUUCUUUUCUUUUGUCACUUCCUUUUCAAUCAAACCUCUUUAUUUUUAAUUUAUUGAUAUUUUCUUCCAUCUUUUAAUUUUAUUUUUGUCCAUUAAAUUGAAAAAAGUUAAAAAAUAAUUAUUUUUUUAACCCAAAUUAUUCAAUGCCACAACCACUCACUUUUAUCUCAUUUUUUGUUUCUUAUCAAGUUUACAUUUCUAUUUUCAAUUUUCUUGACUUCCUUUGAAGUUCAAACUUCCUUUUUUAAAUUGUAAUUUCUAAAUCCCAAAACGUAAAUUAAAAUUUAAGUUCACAAUAUCUAAAUUCUCAUAGACGUGAAUUUUGUAUAAUUUCAAAAUAUUGUGAUAUUUUUGGGUUGAAUUUAGAUAUAAUUGAAAUUGAGAUGAAAUUUAUUUGUUUUAACUUAUAAUUUAAAAAAUUUAUUUUUAAAAACCCAAGUUAUUAAAAAAUAGUAAACUUUUCAUCAUAUAAAGUAUUAAAUUAGUACAUUACAUGUCUUAUUUUGUACAUAUAUAUUUAUAUAAAUUAUUUUUUUUAAAAAAAUUCAUUGAACCGAGGUUGAACCGGUCCGACCGGUUGAACCUCGACCCUUUCAAUUCACCGGUUCAAUUAACGGUCACAUUUAAAACAUUAGAUAGAACACUACGAUCCAUGGUUAGUUCUUCAACAAAUUCUUUUUCUGUCCUUUCUGAUGAUUAAGUUACUUUUUUGGAAUAUAAGAGGGGUAACUCGUGCUCCUAACUUAAGACGGUUAAGGAAACUUAUUAAAGUGUAUGAUCUUCAAUUGGUGAUUGUUGUUGAACCUAAGUUGAGGGUGGAGUCGAUCACUGAUAUUAGAAUUAAAUUGGGGAUAGAUUGUUGCAUGUCCAAUCAUUGGGGUUCUAUUUGGGUUUUCUACCGGUCGUUGUUUACGUGUCAGACUGCCGGGAAGACUCCCCAACAUUUAACUAUUAGAGCGCAAUCUCAUUUUUUUCAAGACUCCACUAUUUUGUCUUGUAUACAUGCGAAGUGUACAGAACAGGAGAGGGAGGAUUUGUGGAGUGCGCUUUUGAGGGAUAAACCCGCCUUGAACCCGUGGUUUUUGGUGGGGGAUUUCAAUGCGGUCAUAAAGACCGAGAAGAAGAGGGGCGGUUUGCCAUUUAGACCGUCUGAGGGGUUAGACUUUUUGAAUUUCAUGGCAGUGGCUGGAGUUCGUGAUGCGGGAUUCUCUGGAUCAAGGUAUACCUGGUGUAAUAAUCGCUCGGGAAUGGCGCGGAUCUGGAAACGUUUGGAUCGAUUACUUCUGUGUGGGCGCUCUUUGGAGCUUCCGUUCCAAGUCAUGGUGCAACAUUUAGGCCGUGACCCGUCGGAUCAUGCUUCUCUGUUGCUGUCGGUGGCUACUAGGCUAGACAACAAACCUAGGCCGUUUCGUUUCUUAAACAUCUGGACCAGUCAUCCUGGUUUACUGGGGGUAAUCAAGGAUUGUUGGGCUCAGCCAGUCAAUGGCUCUCCUUUGCAAGUAUUGGCCUCGAGGUUGAGGAAUGUUAAAAAUACCCUUAAGCAAUGGUCUAGGACGACAUUCGGGGAUAUUUUUGAGGGAGCCUGUAGUGCAGAGUGCGUGGUAGCCGAGGCUGAGACGGAGUACGACCUGGAUCAGACUGAGCAACGACGGAGCGAGUUACAUCAUGCUCGAGCUCGGUUGAGACGUGCGUUUGUAGUUGAGGAAGGUUUUUGGAAACAAAAGGCGCAGGUUAAGUGGCUUUUGGAUGAAGAUAGGAACACUAAAUACUUCCACUCUUUGGUUACGGAAAAGAGGCGUAGGGCGGUGAUUCAUCGAGUUAGGGGUGCCGUUGGAGAGUGGAUUGAAGAGGAGUCCCAGAGUGGGAAGGCAACGGUGGGAUUCUUUCAGGAGGUGUUCACGGCAGAGGGAGGCCUACCCUCCCAUACCGGUCAGGAGGUAAUACCGAAAUUGGUAACGGAACAGGACAACUCAUGGUUGACAAAUGUUCCAUCUCUUACAGAAGUUAAGAACAUAAUCUUUGUUAUGGAUGGGGAGAGCGCAGCAGGCCCGGACGGGUUUACAGCAAAAUUCUUUACCUUUGCUUAGGAGGUGGUGGCAUCGGAUAUAUACCGGGCGAUCAUCAGCUUUUUCUGCGGGGCUGAACUACCUAGGAGUAUCACGGCUACUUCGAUUGUGUUGUUGCCCAAAGUGGAGAAUCCUCAAGAUUUCACGCAGUUUCGACCGAUUAUUCUGUGCAACUUUACUAACAAAAUCAUCUCCAAGCUAUUAUCGACAAGGUUAGCGACGAUAUUACCCCGGAUUAUAUCUCCACAGCAAAGCGGGUUUAUCCAAGGGAGGCAGAUUACAGAUAAUUUCUUGUCAACUCAGGAGAUAGUAGCGGAUAUCGGGAAAUCAAAUCGGGGUGGCAACGUGGUCAUCAAGUUAGAUAUGAUGAAGACUUAUGAUAGAGUCUCAUGGCCCUUUCUCCUACAGGUGAUGCAGCAUUUCGGGUUCAGUGAAACCUGGAUAGACAUGAUCUGGCGCUUAAUAUCGAAUGUGUGGUUCUCGGUAUUGGUUAAUGGUGGCCACCACGGUUUUUUCAAGUCUUCACGGGGUUUACGGAAAUGAGAUCCUAUUUCACUGGCCUUAUUCGUAAUUGGAGCUGAGGUGUUUUCUCGAGCCCUCAAUGCGUUACCCACACAGAAGGGCUUUACCCCGUUUAGAGUACCUCUUCGGUGUCCUAUAGUUAUGCAUUUGGCAUUCGCCGAUGACGUGAUUAUCUUUUCAAGUGGGGGCAGGUGGUCCCUACGAUUGAUCAAACGGGUUCUGCAGGAUUAUAGUGUGGCUUCAGGUCAACGGUUCAACCCUCACAAGAGUUGUUUCCUUACUCAUCCACGGGCUUCCUCUCAAAGGGUAGUGGUUGUUAGCCAGGUACUGGGGUAUAAUAGACGGGCUUUUCCGAUAAGGUACCUUGAUUGCCCCUUGUAUGCUGGAAGGAGCAAGAAGAUUUACUAUGCGGAUACAUACAAUGCAGUGGCGACCUGGAUUCUAUCUUGGAAGAACCAGAUUUUGUCGCCAGGAGGCAGGGUGGUAUUGAUUCAGAGCGUGCUAGCCUCUAUGCCAGUUCAUUUGCUGGCAGCCGCAUUUCCUCCAAAAGGGAUGUUGGUGGCACUGGAGAAAUUGUUUGCCAAGUUCUUAUGGGGGUAUUCUAAUUCGGGGGACAAGUUCCAUUGGAUGCGUUGGGCAGAUCUGUGUCGGCCGAGGGAUGAAGGGGGAGUGGGUCUGCAGGGGUUGAAGCAGGUCUACGAUUCAUUUUUCAUUAAACUCUGGUGGAAAUUUCGGCAACAAUCACUAUGGGCAGCGUUUAUGUCCCAGAAGUAUUGCGCAGGACAGUGCCCUUGUCUUGCUAAUAUUGGGUAUCGGGGAUCCCAGGCUUGGCGGAGGAUGGUCACAGUAUAGCGUUUUGGGGAGGACAAUAUUAGCUGGGUAAUUCGUGAGGGUGCAUUGGAUUUUUGGCAUGACAAUUGGAUGGGGUCAGGUGCGCUUUUGGCGAUAAGGUGGAGGUCUUCUAUGAUCAUUCGGUGGCUGAUUUUGUCGAUCGGCGGGCCUGAAAUGUGGACAUGCUCCGUCAAUUCUUGGAUGGGGAAUUGGUCAAGUAGGUUUUGGAACUUGACCCUCCUCCCGGUAGGGGCAAUGAUAGAAUGGUGUGGAUGCUUACGAACUCGGGCGUCUUUUCCACUGCAUUGGCUUACUCACUGAUCCGUCAUUCCGGUAACAGAUCUUGGCUCUUUGGCCGUAUAUGGCAGCAGGGUCUCCCAGUCAAGGUUUCUUUUUUUAUGCUGAGAUUACUGCAGGGGAGGCUCCCUCUUAUGGAUCGCCUAUAGAGAUUUGGGGUUUGUGGCCCGUCUAGAUGCUGGUGUUGUCAGAACCCCCAGGAGGAGGACUUGAAUUAUGUGUUUUGCUCAGGAGAGGGAGCACGAUUGGUCUGGCGUCAUUUUGAGAAUACUGCUGGUGAGUUUAGUGGCGUACAUACGGUGCGUCACAUGGUGUAGACUUGCUGGUUAAGGAGGGGGACUAAUGUCUAUGUAAAGUUUGUGCAGAAUAUACUUCCUUCGGUGGUAUGCUGGGUUUUGUGGAAGGCUAGGAAUGAGGGUGUGUUUGAAGGUUGGAAGAUAAGGGUCGGGGUCACGGUGAAUCGGAUUAUCCAACUUCAGCAUAAUUUCCUUCAGUCACGGUUCCCGAAGAUGCAGUGUUAUGCCCCCACAUGGGAAGGGAUGCUUCACGAGCUGGGUAGUCAUCAAAGGCAGAUGGUUAUUAAGCCAGUUUACUGGGUAACUCCGCGAGAAGGAUAUAAGUUGAAUUCAGAUGGAUACUCUCAAGGGAACCCAGGAAGGAAUGAGAGAGGUGGGCUUGUGCGGGAUUGUAGACACCAAAUUUUUGGUUUCGAAUUUUAUUUUUUAAAUUAGUUUAAUUUUGGAUUUAUUUGUUCAAUUUUAGAUUUAUUUUGGUUGAUUCCUGUCUCAUGUCUCUUAUUGUAUUUUAAUUAGUUGUUUUUAUUCAAAUUCAAUGUUUUCUUGGAAAAAAAAGGAAAAAGAGAAAAAUGAUGAAAAAUGAAAAAUGAUGAAAAGAAAAAAGAAAAAAUGAAAAAAUGAAAAAUUGCAAUUUUUGCUAUUUAUUAUUUCUAGUUCAUUCAUUUUUAGCCGAUGUUAAUUAAAUUGUUGGUUUUCAUUUAAUUUUAUUACUAUUUUGUUAAAUUACUUUAAAAAAAAAAAAAAAAUUUCGCAGCAUGCAAGCUGCGUAUUUUCGCAACUUGCAAAGGACAGUCACGUAUGCCCCAUUGGAGGGUUGGAUUUUAAGGUAGAGCAGGCCUUUCAUCCUUACCAUUGGGGUGAGGGUUUAGGAGAUUGGGGAGUUCAUAUAAAAGGGAAGAAAACAGCAGCCGCAAGAAGGGGAGGGGACUCACGGCUAGGUUUUGAUAGAAAAGAGAAAAAAUGAGAGGAAAAGAGAGAGCAGGGGGGACGGCAAAAGAUCUAGAGCAAAAGGAAAAGUGAAAGUUGACUGCGGAAAAGAAUAGAGAGCCGCAAGCCCAAAAGGAGAACGAGAGGGAGGUAGCUACGGGCUAAGUUUCUGGGGGAGCUGGCCAAGUGAGGAUCUGAAAUGAAGAGAGUUGCAGCAGAGGUGAGCGGCUGAGUUGAGCGAAAGGGGUAGGAGAGUUCCUUGGCGGCGGAGAGAAAGAAAAACAGCGAGAGAGGUAGGAGCUGAGAAUCCUUCGACCGAGAGAAAAUUUUACAGCUGAACAAGGAAGAGGGAAGCUGGGAAAACUUGGCAGAAAACUUCGGCAAGGAGAGAAAGGAAGUGGCGGCUAGAAAGGGCGAGAGAAGAAAAGGAACCGAGGAAUUGCAACAAGUGAGUGAAAGCUAGAAAGAAAAAGUGAAAAAACAAAGCGACGAAGAAGGCUAGGAAAUCUGGGAGAAAAGGCUUCGGGAGUUGGGCUAGAGGAAAGGUAAAACCAGAAACGAGGGUUUCUGGAGCUGAAGGAAGAAGGGAUAAAGCUGCGGGCUUGGGGCGAAAAGAAGGAAACCGAGGGCUAAAACAACUAGCAAAGGAGCUGAAAAGGAAAACGAAGCAAGAAAAAGAAGAAACUUGGCAGCAAAAGAGUUGGGAGCGGCGGACAGAAAACAAGAAGGGGCAAAAGAAAUUUCUGCAAAAGUUUUCAGCAGAACGGGCUGAUUUUUGGCACACUUUGCGGCAUGAUUAUCUCUUUUCUGGAUGCUCAAUUCGAUUGGAUUUUGGCUUCUGCACACUCUCCAACAUCAGAGGGGCAAUUCUUGUUCAGAAAUCUCUGAGAGAAAACAUUGAUAAAGUCUUCGAAUCUGCCCCCAAAGACCGCUGCCUGGCUUCACUGGUGCAGGUUCGAAGCUGCGACGGAGCAACUCUAGCACCUCUCUCACGUCCUUUCCUGCUCUGGUUUCGAUCCAAAGACUCCCUCAGGUAUCAAUUUAAAUUGAUUUCGUAGCCCUUUCCAUAUCCCUUCGUGGCUGAGAUGCAUUUUUGCGCUGUUGUUGCUGAUGCCUGGUUUGCUUGCUGGUUUAUGUAUUUCUUGUUCGCCUGCAUUGUAUUUAAUCUUGCCUAUGUUCGGUCAUUAGACUUCGUUGAGGAGUGAUUCUGUGUUCAUGAUGUUGAGCUUGCGAGUAAAAAUGCUGCUGUUAUGGUUCGUAGCAGCAUAAAGAAAUUGCAGAAAGCUUCAUUCGCUGCUGGAAUUUUCGGCAGAAAGUUUUGUCCGUUUUUCUGCAAGGAGUUUUGCAUGAAAAUUUUCCUCAUUCUGGUUUUGCCAUUUCCUUGCAUGCAUGAUAAGCUGGAUAAGAACCUGAGGUUGGGUUUGUGGUUUGAGAUGUUUUGUAUGAAUCUGCCAUGCGAAGUGUUGAAGCUCAAAAGCAUUGCUUGCUGAAACUUAAAACCAUUUUGCACGAAAGUUCUCCAGGAUUUGCAGAAUUCCAUUCUAAGUUUUAGCUUGUUUGAAUGUUGAAAUCAUGUGUUUUGUCUGUCUGGAUUAAAGCUUUGAUGUUUAGUUGAGAGAGUCUUGGUUAAAGUGUGCGUUUGAAUCUGAAAUUUGUGUGCGAAAAUGAAAUUGCAACAGAGCAAAGGUUGCCGCGCUUGUUUUGCUGUUUUUUUUUCCUUUUCCGUGGCUAUCCACCAAGCUUUAACCUCUUCUAAUUUGUUAAUUAGUCUUGUGUGGGAAGGGGCAGUGGAAGAUUGGUUUCAGUUUGCAUGUGCGAGUCCUUAAAACACUUGAAUCAUGAUUCAAGGCUUGCUGGAAAGAGAACUUUAGCUUGUUGUGAGCCUUAUCUGGAUGCAUGCUGUGUUUUCUCUGUUGACUCCAAGAUCCGGCAUUUUCUGUUUGGUUAACAAAUCAACCAGCCUUUUGUUAUCUAAAUUGAUUGCAUGAAUGCAUCUGAGUUGGAUAAAGAAAUCGAAUGACUGCAUGAAUGCAUCUAAGUGCAUCAAUGGAUGUGCAGCAAGUAUUGCAGAAGCUCUCUUCAAAUCUGAUUUGCAUGACUUUGGUGCUUAAAAAGAAGGAUUUCAUGAUGGAAAUGAGAUUAAUGUUUAGUGAUUGUAUUGCAUUAGUUGCUUGAGACAUUGAAGUGUGGAUUGUUUGAGAUGAUGACUUGGAAAGAAAACUGCAGCUGGAAGUUGGAUAAAGCUUCAUCACAGAAAUUUGUUGCAGAAGCUUGAACCUUCUACGUAUUCUGCAUGCAUGAAACAAAAAGGAAAUUGCACUUUGACCCCUUGGCUUCCAACUAAUGCCGCUAUGACCCAACCAAUUGAAUAAUUUCCUCAAUUUGGUCCUUGACAAUUUUAACUCUACAACUUCAUUGCUUGUUUGUUUUAAUUAAUUACUAUGCUUUGUUUCAAUUGCACUUAAUUCAUGACUUUAGGGGCUUUAUGACCAAGUGAGCUUGUGUUUGCCUAUUUUAUUUAAUUUUCCCAAAUAAAUUGGUACCUUGACCAUUUCUUUUAUUUUGGAGGAUAAAUAAGUGAUUUCACUCCAUUUAGGGCAUCAACUCAAGGGAGGUAUAACUUCUUUUAUCCUUUUUGUCUCUCCUAUGUGAUCCAACGUGCUAAGUGAGAAUUGCAUGUCUACUUUGCUUUCCUUGUCUUUCCUUAAUUCCCUUCAUUUAUUCAUUUGCUUUUGUUUUUAUUAAGUUAUUCUUUACGGGGUAUGUGUACACCUCUUGGCUUGUAAUAGUUAGGGCCUGGCGAGCAUUUUUGUCCAUUUUUCCCUUCCCCUUUUGUUUUAGUUAGCAAAUGUAAUAGGUUGAUUGCUUGCUUUUGUUGCUACGUGUUAAUUUGCUUUAUUAGGCUCUUGCAUCUAGUCGAGCAUGCUAAGUGUUAUAUGAUACGUGUUUAUAGAUGAUUUGCAUGUCUACUUGCUUUAUAUAGUCAUAGAUGAAUGAUGGAUGAAUGCACGUCACCACACUAGUCCAACGCUAGUUGUGGUUCAUCGUCCCGUUUUCCACUAGUCCAAUGCUAGUAGGAAUUCAUAGAUAUGGGCUAGUCCAACGCUAGACCCUUAGGGAUUUCUCUCGCUAGUUCAUACUUGCAUGUUUCACUACAUUUCAUGCAUUUUUCUUAGUUUUUUUUUUUUUAGCAUUUGGCAUGCCCCUCCAACCCUUUCCCCUUCAUCUUAGGUUUUUGCAUCUCAUGCUAGUUAUAGGGUCCAUUUGCUUGAGGGUCCCCUUUCGAUAAGGGAAACGAGCGAGUGUGGCUACCCAAUAGCCUUAGCACGCUAGUUUUUCCUUCCAAUCAAAGGGAACACUAAAGUCGCAAAGUUAGGAGUCAUUCCCGUACCCGACUUGACGCAUUCCUCUAGGUUCAUACAUUCUCAUUCUUAUUUCACUUUCUCACUCUUUUGUUCACAUUUUCUCACUACUCAUGUCCUUCUCAAUGCAAAUGCUAUGCUCACACAUUUUUCCCCUUGUCACUUGUCUUUCCACCUCACAAAUUGCACCCAAUUGCACUUAUAAGUAUCUACUAUCAUAUUUUCAUCCAUUUGCACACAAACACUUUUAUUUUCUACACUUUGCACACGUGCACUUGUCUUACAUUUGCACACAUGCACGUUUUCUUACAUUUUCACACUUGCACUCAUAUUUGAGUCUCCAUUUGCAUCAUUCGCGACCUCUAUGAGGACUUGCCUUAUUGGCCACCACAACUCAUGUGGUUGGGACCAAAAAAAGCCUUGUAAGAGACAUUUAAGAUUUAUGAUUGCAUUUCUUUUUCAUACCCAUUAGUCAUAUCCAACGUGCAACGCAUAUUUUUGCGUAGAAAAAUUAGGAAAAGAAGGGCUAAGUCACGCAACUAGCUUUUGCUAGGGUAAGGGAGUGCCUUAGCCUUCGCCUUUGCCUUUUCCCUUAUCAAAUGUGACCCCCGAUCCCUCACUUUGGUUACGUAGACCCAAAAGUUCUUUAAAAAGGGUUUGUUUGCUUUUCUUUCCAAAAAAUCGCUUUUUGGGUGACUUGGUACACCCUAAUUCUAUACCAAGUGGCGACUCCAUUUUUCAUUCAAAACCCUUUUUGAACUUCGUUUGGCCAAAUCGUCGCAUCUUCAAGUCCCAUGGCCUUCUAUUUUCAUUUUACACACGUUCACAUACAUAUUCCACACACUUUCAUUCACACAUCAUCAAAAAGUGGGGCGCGACAGUUGGCGACUCCACUGGAGACUUCCUAAGUGGGUCCAAGCAUUUGAUUUGGCUAUUCUUUUCCCUUUUCUACCCUUUUUAUGCAUAGCAUUUGGAUAUUAGGGUUGCAUUUUCCCUUUUUAGGGCCUUUUGCCUCGCGCGCGCGUAUCAAACUAUUCCCUCACUCACGUAUGUAUGAUUGGUUGUUUGGAUGUAUGUUGUACUUGUUUUAUUCCGCGCUUUGCAUUGCAUUUGGGUGGGGGGACAUACCCUAGAGCCUCGCGUUGGUUCUUGAUCCCUCCCCUCCAAACGAGCACUAGCAUACGUGCAUACGCUUUACUUUUUUACCCCUCGUUUAUUUUUCUUUUAGUGGCUUGUCACGCCACUCCACCCUAUUAGGAUUUUAGGCGACUCACUUGGACUUGUGAUCGCGACACGAUGUGUGCGUAGCAUGAUCCGAGGGGUCACUCAAUCUUCCAUUUUAAGCUUUGGGUUCAUAGCCUUUAGCUUUUAAUUGAAGAUUGAGGAUUUUUGAUAGAUUCAUUCAUGACAUGUAGCCGUGACACGAUGUGUGCGUAGCAAUGUCUGGGGAAUCACUCGAGCCACCGACAAAGAACCUUGGGAUUGAUGACCAUUGGUUUCCAAGUCUGAAGGCUCGGGGACCUAAAACCUAUCGAGUCUAGAUGCAUUAGUGAGCCAAUACCUCAUGCAUCCAUGAUAGCUUGCCUAGGGUAGAGUAGGCCUUAUCCUGAGUUAGGGACACUAUUCACGAGGGGAGGGGUCCAACCUUUUUUUUCCCUCUUUUUGCUUUGUACUGAUUGCUUUAUCUCGUUGCUACAAGGUGUUAUAUGUAUUUAUAUGAUUGAACUAACCUUUCUUGAUUUUUGUCUCCAUUGCAUUCAUUAGCCCUAGGAAAUAAGAGUCAUGGCAUGGCACUCUCUAGGAGCCUACCCCAUUUGAUGUGACACGUUUAAAUUCAAUGCUUCACAUGUGUAACAUGAAUACAUUUCAUUUUAGGCUUACCCUGGCAAAUAAAGGGUCCCUUAGGUCAUGUUUCAUUUCAAAUUGCAUAUUUUACUGCUUUAAUAAACUGGUAUCAUGCAUAAACCCUAGAAAGGAAAUGCCAUUUAGGGGAUCCCGUGUUAGGAAUAAGCCACCUUGUGUCUCGGAUAUUUAAUCCAAGAAGACUUGCACGUUUACAUUGUAUACCAUCCAAAGGGGUAGUGCACGAGGUAAGGUAGGAUCCGAUCUUUUCAAAGACGGCAAAGCGAUUGUUGCACAUUAGAAUAUGGGCAUUUAAUAAUCACUUUUUGGCCACUUUAUCAAGUUGGUAAAAAUCCCUUGCAAAAAGGACAUUAAUUUGAAGAAAUUCACAAAUAAUUUCUCGCUAUUGAGACGAUAAAUAAACUAAGGCUAAAGUUUGAUUUUAGGAGACCCAUAGACUAAUGCAUCUCAAUAAUUUUGAAAUCACCAAUGGCAGGGCAAUUCGAUCAAUUCAUUUUGCCAAUUCAUUCAUUUUAAGACAAUAUAGUCGACUUUCAAUAAAUCGUCAGUUCCGCUCGAUUUCAUUUGAUCAGUUUAUCCUUUUAGGGUGAUCUAGUCAAUUUUGCAUAAAACAUCCGAUCCAUUUGAUCGAGUUGCCUAGUUUUAGGGCAAUUUGGUCGGUUUUGAAUAAAUCAUCAUUUCACUCGAUCUGUUUGAUCAAUUGAUUUCAUUCAAUUAAUUUGAUUCAUUUUUAGGGUUAUCCAUUCGUUUUUCAAUAAAGAAUCAAAUUUCAUUCAAUGCAUUUGACCAUUUUACCCUUUUUAUGGUAAUCUAGUCAGUUUUGAAUAAUCAUCAUUUUCAUCUUAUCCUCUUGAUCCACUUAUUCCUUUUUAGGGUUUAAGUCUAAAAUUCACUGAAUAAAUUAAUCGAGGCAUUGCAAUCCUUUCAAGAGUAAACUCUCUUUCACAUAUCAUGUAUUGUCCUCAUUUUAGGAUGAAUAUUUCUUCUCACUCCAAAUUGGCAAAAUUUUUCAAAUCAUUUUUCACUCAAUCAAUUGAUCGGAUUCAUCAGGUAUGGUAUAGUGCCUACCUUAGAGGGUUGCAUUUUCAUGCUAGGCCUACCCUUGGCAUAAAAAGGGUUCCCCCAUAGGACAUGCAUACCGAUUUUUAUUCUUGCUUACUGAUUCUGGGUAUUUUUCCUUUUGUUUUUCCCCCUUCCCCUGCAUUCAUAAAAAUGUUUCAAUAAGGUGAAAAUAUUUCUUCUAUACCUGAUAACAAUUUUGAUCUGAUAGAGUUUGAAAAUUACAAGUAUUACUUGGUUCUUGGGCAGACUCUACAAUGUGAAUUCGAAAAUUCAUUUGAAAGCGCUCGUGCAAAACAUCUAAGGGAUUUCAUUGCUCAAAGAAAAAGGGGCUAUUAAGAGAGAAAAGUGUGUAUACACGUGUAAAGGAGUUCUUUAGAAUUUUUCUCAUGUGUAUUGCUUUUAAAAUUUUUUCAAACAUUGGCAAUAAUGAAGCUUUUGUUCAGGCAAUUAUUUGUGUACAUUUCAUUCUUUAUUGAGUUCAUUAAGAGAUUUCAUGGUGAAUUUUAAGAAAUAAGCUCAAAUUGAGAUUUUUCAACCUCUGGCCUGAAAACUCACAAAUGUAUACACCAGAUUGGUGAUCCGAGCUAUGCAAUAAGAGUGCUCAAAAUUAAAAGAGGUCGCUCAGAAGGCCCAUGAGAUACCUUUCUCCUUCACUUAAUCCCAAAAUAAAGUCAGUCACAUUGAUUGAUAAAUUGGGGCAACUUUUGCUUAAAAAUGUUCAAGGUGUCUAAUCCGGUUCAAUCACAUCUAAGUGAAAGAAAAAAUGUGCAUUAUUCUUGUUUGUUUUGAAAAUUUGGGAUGACACUUCGAGCAUUCGUUUCACUACCUAUACAGAUUUUUAUCAUUUGCUCUCCCAUUUGAGCCUUUAAAAGAACAAUUUCGUUUCAAAUAAGGGUCUUAAUGAUCACUACCCUACAUUGGGAAGAUUUUCAAAAGAGAAUGGAUUCUCAACGAGCAAUUUGUUUACUUGGUUGUCAUGAGGCGUAAGAAUGAUACUUUGGCCAUCGUUUCUACAACCUAAACACCAUUUAUCCUUUGCAUCCUCAUUUGAGCUAAAAUUGGUGGUUCUUUUCAAAGCACUUACGAUCGUACCCCACAUUGGGGAGGGAGAUUGGAGAAUUUUCCAAAAGGGGAAAAGCAAAAAUGCUGAAUAAGGAGGGAACCGCAAAUUGGGGAAAUUUGAUUCCACUUGGGUUCCAAUUUUGAAAAAAAAGAAAAGAGAAGAAAAGGAAGAGAUUUGUCUGCGUGGAUCGCCUAUGUUUCACAAAUAUGGAAGAACAAGGGUCUUCCUCAGUCAGUUAAUUCAUAUACAUGCCAGAAAUUUCGCAUUAAUAAAAGUUUCCUUUCAGAGUUAUUGUAAGGAACGGAAUACAAGUCAGGCCUUCUUCUUUUCCAAUCAAACAUUCUAUCCCUAGUUAUCCCUUUUGAGCCUUCAGAAUAAAAUACUUCGUUUGGCAACCUCUGAGAAUCGCAAACCCCACACUGGAGCAAGUUUGAGUUGAAAAAGGAAAAGUCUCAAAAAGUGAAAAGUGAUAAUACAACAAAAUCAAAAGCAAAAGAAGAAAAGAGAACCUCAGUUCAAAAAUAAAUUGGGGCAAAUUUUGUGAAAGUUUCAAAGGAUGGCAAAAGGCCGAAAAGUCAAAAGAAGAAAGAAAAUGAAAGUGAAAAGCCUCAAUUGAGCAUAAACUGAGACAAAUUCUGAUUUUAUCCUAAAAUAGGGUUGGCACAACAAUGCGAUCUCAGAUUACUUAAACCACUCUUGAAAUCUGCCUUCAAGCUUUAACCUUUCUAAGCACCCCACCGAACCCCAUUACAAAAAGUCGAAAGCCCCGACUUCUGUUCUUUGCAAUGGUCCUGUCAAGAAAAUUUCUGAUGCCGGAAAAUUUUAGCUGUAUUUCUGAAUUGCCUGGGCAUGGGGUUGACGCUACUCGCCCUGUGAAAACCCACCAAGUUGAGGGAAAGGAAAAAGAGAGUGAAUGCAAAAGAAAAAUGCAAAAGAUUUGAUGCUGAAAGUCCCUGGUGAAUGUUGAGAAAAUGCAAACAAAGUCUGAGAUUUUUGAGUUCAAAAUAGGGGCAAUUUUGGGAAAAUGCGAUCUUCGGUGCAAUAUCCUGGAAAGUUUUAUUCUUUAGCUAUUGUUUUCAAGCCAAAUUACAAGCUAAUAAAGUCCAUCGUUGACUUAUUCCUUCAUGACAACCCAAAGUGAAGAUUAUGCUCAUAAGAAAUCCCUCGGUCACUCAUGAUCAUAAGGGUAUAACCAGCUUUCGCAUGUUUAGCUAUCGUUUCUACCCAUUUGUUGCAAGCUUAAAGCUUAUAUGUUGACUCAAUUUUCUUAAGAAAUAAGGGUGACAAACUAUUUGCUUUCACUAAGAUGUGGUAUUGAGGGGAUUACAUACCAUUUGGGCACAAGAAUAAGACAAAUCUUGACCUCCCAUUUCCAAAUCAGACAUAACACCAAUUACCCAAAGUAUCGAUGUUAAAGUGAGAAAGAAAUCUUUUGUAAUUUGACAUUAUUUUGAGAAAUUCAUCAUGAAAUUUGCUGUGUGAUUCUAAGCAAGACGUUCAAAUUUCUUCACAUUAUAUAGAAAACACAGUUUCUUACUUUGUUCAAAUAAAUGGAGAGGCAUCCAAACCGAUUUUUGCAAUCAAAUGGGCCCAUACUGGGGCAAAAUUUUUAUUUGCAAGAUUUCACAAAAUAAGCCCACACUGGGGCAAAUUUUUUAUAGUCCAUUUGAGGAUUUCGUCAAAGACUCAAGCAAAACUUUCAAAUCAAUCAUGCUGCCUUUUUAAUGAAAAUUUGAGUGCAUGUAGGCCCCCUGUGCAGGUAUUCAUAGUUGAAAUCGACGAAAGAGCAUCCGGUGUUAUGGAAGGCCGAUGCCGAAGAAAGAGAAGAAAGAAGGGAAAAGGGCCCUACAUUGGGGCAAAUUAUUUCGACAAGUCUCUCUCAGUCAGGAAAAAUCAAAAAAUCAAAAAAUCAAAAAAAUCAAAAAAAUCAAAAAAUCAAAUCAAGUUCAUCACGGCAGACUCGGGUUUGAUCCCACUGUCCGAUUGUCAAGACAUUUUCAUCGCUACUGGAGCAUGGGUUAUUCCCGCCAGUAAGCAUUUCAUUUACAUCACUACUGGAACAUGGGUUAGUCCCGCCAGUAAGCAUUUCAUUUUUUACAUCGCUACUGGAACGUGGGUCAGUCCCGCCAGUAAGCAUUUUCAUUUACAUCGCUAUUGGAGCGUGAGGUUAGUCCCGCCAGUGAGCAUUUCAUUUUCACAGCCACUGGAGCGUAAGGUUAGUCCCGCCAGUGAGCAUUUCAUUUACAUCGCUAUUGGAACGUCCCGGGUCAGUCAGUAAGCAUUUUCAUUUACAUCGCCAGUAAGCAUUUUCAUUUACAUCGUUACUGGAGCGUGAGGUUAGUCCCGCCAGUGAGCAUUUCAUUUUCACAGCCACUGGAGCGUGAGGUUAGUCCCGCCAGUGAGCAUUUCAUUUACAUCGCUACUGGAACGUGGGUCAGUCCCGCCAGUGAGCAUUUCAUUUUCACAGCCAUUGGAGCGUGAGGUUAGUCCCGCUAGUGAGCAUUUCAUUUACAUCACUACUGGAACGUGGGUCAGUCCCGCCAGUAAGCAUUUUCGUUUACAUCGCUACUGGAGCGUGAGGUUAGUCCCGCCAGUGUGCAUUUCAUUUUCACAGCCACUGGAGCGUGAGGUUAGUCCAGCCAGUGAGCAUUUCAUUUUCACAGCCACUGGAGCGUGAGGUUAGUCCCGCCAGUGAGCAUUUCAUUUUCACAGCCACUGGAGCGUGAGGUGAGUCCCGCCAGUAAGCAUUUCAUUUUGUACCACCACUAGCCGUUGGGUCAGUCCCACUAGUGCGCCUUUCAUUUUACCCUGCCGCUAAACAUGGGUUAGUCCCACUAGUGUGCAUUUUGUUUUCUUCGCCGCUAAACAUGGGUCAGUCCCACUAGCGCGAGUUUCAUUGCCGUUAAACAUGGGUCAGUCCCACUAACGUGCAUUUCAUGUUUCAUUGCCACUAAACAUGGGUUAGUCCCACUAGUGUGCAUUUUGUUUUCUUCGCCGCUAAACAUGGGUCAGUCCCACUAGCGCGUUUCAUUUUCAUCGCCGUUAAACAUGGGUCUAUCCCAUUUACAUUUCUGUCCGGGUCUAUCCCGUUUACAUUUUUGUCCGAGUCUAUCCCGUGGGUCUAUCCCAUUUACAUUUUGUUCUGGUCUAUCCCGUGGGUCAAUCCCAUUUAAAUUCCCGUUCGGGUCAGUCCCGUUUUAAAUUUCUUGUUCGGAUCAGUCCCGUUUUAAAUUUUUGUUCAGCCCAGUCCCGUUUUUAAACUUUUGUUCAGGUCAGUCCCGCUUUAAAAUUCUUGUUCAGAUCAAUCCAUUAUAAACAUCUCGUCCGAGUCAGUCUCAUCAAAAGGGGUCAGUCCCUAUCGUUCGAGUCGUUCACAGCCAAAUAACACAGGUAAGUAUUUGGUGUCUAUUUCUUUGUCUCAAGUUUUUUCAAAACUCAGACAAAGAGGGGCAAACUGUAGACACCAAAUUUGUGGUUUCGAAUUUUAUUUUUUAAAUUAGUUUAAUUUUGGAUUUAUUUGUUCAAUUUUAGAUUUAUUUUGGUUGAUUCCUGUCUCGUGUCUCUUAUUGUAUUUUAAUUAGUUGUUUUUAUUCAAAUUCAAUGUUUUCUUGGAAAAAAAAAGGAAAAAGAGAAAAAUGAUGAAAAAUGAAAAAUGAUGAAAAGAAAAAAGAAAAAAUGAAAAAUUGCAAUUUUUGCUAUUUAUUAUUUCUAGUUCAUUCAUUUUUAGCCGAUGUUAAUUAAAUUGUUGGUUUUCAUUUAAUUUUAUUACUAUUUUGUUAAAUUACUUUAAAAAAAAAAAAAAAAUUUCGCAGCAUGCAAGCUGCGUAUUUUCGCAGCUUGCAAAGGACAGUCACGUAUGCCCCAUUGGAGGGUUGGAUUUUAAGGUAGAGCAGGCCUUUCAUCCUCACCAUUGGGGUGAGGGUUUAGGAGAUUGGGGAGUUCAUAUAAAAGGGAAGAAAACAGCAGCCGCAAGGAGGGGAGGGGACUCACGGCUAGGUUUUGAUAGAAAAGAGAAAAAACGAGAGGAAAAGAGAGAGCAGGGGGGGACGGCAAAAGAUCUAGAGCAAAAGGAAAAGUGAAAGUUGAUGGCUGAAAAGAAUAGAGAGCCGCAAGCCCAAAAGGAGAACGAGAGGGAGGUAGCUACGGGCUAAGUUUCUGGGGGAGCUGGCCAAGUGAGGAUCUGAAAUGAAGAGAGUUGCAGCAGAGGUGAGCGGCUGAGUUGAGCGAAAGGGGUAGGAGAGUUCCUUGGCGGCGGAGAGAAAGAAAAACAGCGAGAGAGGUAGGAGCUGAGAAUCCUUCGACCGAGAGAAAAUUUUACAGCUGAACAAGGAAGAGGGAAGCUGGGAAAACUUGGCAGAAAACUUCGGCAAGGAGAGAAAGGAAGUGGCGGCUAGAAAGGGCGAGAGAAGAAAAGGAACCGAGGAAUUGCAACAAGUGAGUGAAAGCUAGAAAGAAAAAGUGAAAAAACAAAGCGACGAAGAAGGCUAGGAAAUCUGGGAGAAAAGGCUUCGGGAGUUGGGCUAGAGGAAAGGUAAAACCAGAAACGAGGGUUUCUGGAGCUGAAGGAAGAAGGGAUAAAGCUGCGGGCUUGGGGCGAAAAGAAGGAAACCGAGGGCUAAAACAACUAGCAAAGGAGCUGAAAAGGAAAACGAAGCAAGAAAAAGAAGAAACUUGGCAGCAAAAGAGUUGGGAGCGGCGGACAGAAAACAAGAAGGGGCAAAAGAAAUUUCUGCAAAAGUUUUCAGCAGAACGGGCUGAUUUUUGGCACACUUUGCGGCAUGAUUAUCUCUUUUCUGGAUGCUCAAUUCGAUUGGAUUUUGGCUUCUGCACACUCUCCAACAUCAGAGGGGCAAUUCUUGUUCAGAAAUCUCUGAGAGAAAACAUUGAUAAAGUCUUCGAAUCUGCCCCCAAAGACCGCUGCCUGGCUUCACUGGUGCAGGUUCGAAGCUGCGACGGAGCAACUCUAGCACCUCUCUCACGUCCUUUCCUGCUCUGGUUUCGAUCCAAAGACUCCCUCAGGUAUCAAUUUAAAUUGAUUUCGUAGCCCUUUCCAUAUCCCUUCGUGGCUGAGAUGCAUUUUUGCGCUGUUGUUGCUGAUGCCUGGUUUGCUUGCUGGUUUAUGUAUUUCUUGUUCGCCUGCAUUGUAUUUAAUCUUGCCUAUGUUCGGUCAUUAGACUUCGUUGAGGAGUGAUUCUGUGUUCAUGAUGUUGAGCUUGCGAGUAAAAAUGCUGCUGUUAUGGUUCGUAGCAGCAUAAAGAAAUUGCAGAAAGCUUCAUUCGCUGCUGGAAUUUUCGGCAGAAAGUUUUGUCCGUUUUUCUGCAAGGAGUUUUGCAUGAAAAUUUUCCUCAUUCUGGUUUUGCCAUUUCCUUGCAUGCAUGAUAAGCUGGAUAAGAACCUGAGGUUGGGUUUGUGGUUUGAGAUGUUUUGUAUGAAUCUGCCAUGCGAAGUGUUGAAGCUCAAAAGCAUUGCUUGCUGAAACUUAAAACCAUUUUGCACGAAAGUUCUCCAGGAUUUGCAGAAUUCCAUUCUAAGUUUUAGCUUGUUUGAAUGUUGAAAUCAUGUGUUUUGUCUGUCUGGAUUAAAGCUUUGAUGUUUAGUUGAGAGAGUCUUGGUUAAAGUGUGCGUUUGAAUCUGAAAUUUGUGUGCGAAAAUGAAAUUGCAACAGAGCAAAGGUUGCCGCGCUUGUUUUGCUGUUUUUUUUUCCUUUUCCGUGGCUAUCCACCAAGCUUUAACCUCUUCUAAUUUGUUAAUUAGUCUUGUGUGGGAAGGGGCAGUGGAAGAUUGGUUUCAGUUUGCAUGUGCGAGUCCUUAAAACACUUGAAUCAUGAUUCAAGGCUUGCUGGAAAGAGAACUUUAGCUUGUUGUGAGCCUUAUCUGGAUGCAUGCUGUGUUUUCUCUGUUGACUCCAAGAUCCGGCAUUUUCUGUUUGGUUAACAAAUCAACCAGCCUUUUGUUAUCUAAAUUGAUUGCAUGAAUGCAUCUGAGUUGGAUAAAGAAAUCGAAUGACUGCAUGAAUGCAUCUAAGUGCAUCAAUGGAUGUGCAGCAAGUAUUGCAGAAGCUCUCUUCAAAUCUGAUUUGCAUGACUUUGGUGCUUAAAAAGAAGGAUUUCAUGAUGGAAAUGAGAUUAAUGUUUAGUGAUUGUAUUGCAUUAGUUGCUUGAGACAUUGAAGUGUGGAUUGUUUGAGAUGAUGACUUGGAAAGAAAACUGCAGCUGGAAGUUGGAUAAAGCUUCAUCACAGAAAUUUGUUGCAGAAGCUUGAACCUUCUACGUAUUCUGCAUGCAUGAAACAAAAAGGAAAUUGCACUUUGACCCCUUGGCUUCCAACUAAUGCCGCUAUGACCCAACCAAUUGAAUAAUUUCCUCAAUUUGGUCCUUGACAAUUUUAACUCUACAACUUCAUUGCUUGUUUGUUUUAAUUAAUUACUAUGCUUUGUUUCAAUUGCACUUAAUUCAUGACUUUAGGGGCUUUAUGACCAAGUGAGCUUGUGUUUGCCUAUUUUAUUUAAUUUUCCCAAAUAAAUUGGUACCUUGACCAUUUCUUUUAUUUUGGAGGAUAAAUAAGUGAUUUCACUCCAUUUAGGGCAUCAACUCAAGGGAGGUAUAACUUCUUUUAUCCUUUUUGUCUCUCCUAUGUGAUCCAACGUGCUAAGUGAGAAUUGCAUGUCUACUUUGCUUUCCUUGUCUUUCCUUAAUUCCCUUCAUUUAUUCAUUUGCUUUUGUUUUUAUUAAGUUAUUCUUUACGGGGUAUGUGUACACCUCUUGGCUUGUAAUAGUUAGGGCCUGGCGAGCAUUUUUGUCCAUUUUUCCCUUCCCCUUUUGUUUUAGUUAGCAAAUGUAAUAGGUUGAUUGCUUGCUUUUGUUGCUACGUGUUAAUUUGCUUUAUUAGGCUCUUGCAUCUAGUCGAGCAUGCUAAGUGUUAUAUGAUACGUGUUUAUAGAUGAUUUGCAUGUCUACUUGCUUUAUAUAGUCAUAGAUGAAUGAUGGAUGAAUGCACGUCACCACACUAGUCCAACGCUAGUUGUGGUUCAUCGUCCCGUUUUCCACUAGUCCAAUGCUAGUAGGAAUUCAUAGAUAUGGGCUAGUCCAACGCUAGACCCUUAGGGAUUUCUCUCGCUAGUUCAUACUUGCAUGUUUCACUACAUUUCAUGCAUUUUUCUUAGUUUUUUUUUUUUUAGCAUUUGGCAUGCCCCUCCAACCCUUUCCCCUUCAUCUUAGGUUUUUGCAUCUCAUGCUAGUUAUAGGGUCCAUUUGCUUGAGGGUCCCCUUUCGAUAAGGGAAACGAGCGAGUGUGGCUACCCAAUAGCCUUAGCACGCUAGUUUUUCCUUCCAAUCAAAGGGAACACUAAAGUCGCAAAGUUAGGAGUCAUUCCCGUACCCGACUUGACGCAUUCCUCUAGGUUCAUACAUUCUCAUUCUUAUUUCACUUUCUCACUCUUUUGUUCACAUUUUCUCACUACUCAUGUCCUUCUCAAUGCAAAUGCUAUGCUCACACAUUUUUUCCCUUGUCACUUGUCUUUCCACCUCACAAAAUGCACCCAAUUGCAUUUAUAAGUAUCUACUAUCAUAUUUUCAUCCAUUUGCACACAAACACUUUUAUUUUCUACACUUUGCACACGUGCACUUGUCUUACAUUUGCACACACGCACGUUUUCUUACAUUUUCACACUUGCACUCAUAUUUGAGUCUCCAUUUGCAUCAUUCGCGACCUCUAUGAGGACUUGCCUUAUUGGCCACCACAACUCAUGUGGUUGGGACCAAAAAAAGCCUUGUAAGAGACAUUUUAGAUUUAGGAUUGCAUUUCUUUUUCGUACCCAUUAGUCAUAUCCAACGUGCAACGCAUAUUUUUGGGUAGAAAAAUUAGGAAAAGAAGGGCUAAGUCAUGCAACUAACUUUUGCUAGGGUAAGGGAGUGCCUUAGGCUUUGCCUUUGCCUUCUCCCUUAUCAAAUGUGACCCCCGAUCCCUCACUUUGGUUACGUAGACCCAAAAAUUCUUUAAAAAGGGUUUGUUUGCUUUUCUUUCCAAAAAAUCGCUUUUUGGGUGACUUGGUACACCCUAACUCUAUACCAAGUGGCGACUCCAUUUUUCAUUCAAAACCCUUUUUGAACUUCGUUUGGCCAAAUCGUCGCAUCUUCAAGUCCCAUGGUCUUCUAUUUUCAUUUUACACACGUUCACAUACAUAUUCCACACACUUUCAUUCACACAUCAUCAAAAAGUAGGGCGCGACAGGGAUAGUCGAGGAAAUUUUUUGUUCGGUUACGCGGAGCACUUCUGAGUCAUAACCAGCAUGCAGGCGGAACUUCGAGCGUUGCUAUGGGGCGUUAGACUUUGUGUUGCUCGAGGGUGCUUGGAGUUAAAUUUAAAGGCGGACUCUCUCACCUUGGUUCAGAUUGUUCAAGGAACUAGUGCUUGUCCUUGGCGUCUGCAGAGAGAUCUAGAUGAGUUGAUGAUGUUCAAGCAUUAUUUCCAAUCGAUCACACACUGCUACAGGGAGGCAAAUGCAUCGGCAGAUCGUCUGGCAAAUUUUGAUGCUGACUCUAGCGCAGGACAUAUGUUUAAUAGAUUCUCGGACUUGCCGCAAUUGGUCAGGGGGGCUAUUAGAUUGGAUCGUUUAGGGUUUCCUUCGUUUCGUACACGGUGUCUGGGAUAAUGAGAGAUUGAGUUGAAGUUGGUAGUACGCAAAACCAGGAGGACAUUUAUUUGGUAGCUGCAUCUUUAAGCCAGCAAGCGACAGGGGCUUUCCAUCUUUAUAGGAUAGGAGUGGCAUCUAUUCGACAGAUUAAAAGGCAAUAGCAUUAGAUGCAGUAUAUAACUAUCUUGUGGUUAUUUUCUUGAAUUUGGGUUUGUUGACAGGGAGUUUCAUCCAUUUUAUGGGGAAACUCUGCCAAAAUUUUUAUAAAAUAAAUAAAUUAAAAAAAAGAUAAGUGCAAGAAAGGAGAAAAGUCUUGAUCUAUUAAUUAUUCAAAGUACAAAGUGAUAAACACAUGUAGUAUCCCCAUUUCGAGACCACCUAUCAAUUCAAGAGAGAAGAAAGACAUGAGAAAUUAGCCUUUAUUCUUUUUAUGAAAAUAGAUGGUGCUAGAUUGGAUUUAAAAUUUACAUCAUUAUGAAUGGUCUUAAAAUUUCUGACAUUUUUUAAUUCACUUUGAUGGCAUUCUUUUCCCUCUUAUUUGGUGGAGAGAAUGUUUUUAGUUUUUCUUGUGUCUUCCCUUCAUUUUAGAACCUAAUUUCCAAUGGUAAGUGAUUAAUUAUUAUAAUGUUCAUAUACAUGAAUAAUUUUUUCACACAAUCUAAAUAAUUUUAUAUAAUAAAUAAUUCUUUUAAUAUAUAUAUUUUUAGUGUAAGCGGGGGAAUUCAAAUUUGAGACCUCUCGCUUACACUCCCUCCUCCCGUACCACUUAACCCAUCCCUUCCCCCUAUAUAAUAAAUAAUUCAUUUCAAGCUCAAUUGAUAAUCUAUUGAGAUACAAAAAGAAAAAAAGAAAUAAAAUAUAUGCUAGAUUAUCAAUCUAAUUUACAUAUAGUAUAUUUUGCUCAAAACUUAAAGAGAUAUUUAAUUGAGUGUUUAAUAAUUAAGAUAAGUAAAAGAAAGGGGAAAAGUCUUGAUCUAUUAAUUAUUCAAAGUAUAAAGUGAUAAACACAUGUAGUAUCCCCAUUUCGAGACCAACUAUCAAUUCAAGAGAGAAGAAAGACAUGAGAAACUAGUGGCCUAAGCAAAUAAAAUAAAGAACAUGAAAAAAUAAUAAAAAAUGUUAAUUAGAAUUUGUAAUACACAUCUAAAACAAUUCUGAUCUAAUUCAUAUAUCUUUUCAUCCUAAAACUCUUAAUAAUUAUUACUUAAAACAUAAGAAACUAUAACAAUUCAAACUCUAAAUAGUGGGCACAAAAAUGCAAGUCAAAACUGUUGGCUCAAGGUGUAUUGAUUUUGACCAUGAGAAUUAUUGAAUUAUCGUCUAUUGUCCAAAAUUUGAACAAAAGAAGGAGAAAUUUUGGAGAGUAAAUUUGUUUUGAUCAAAACAUUUAUGACAACUUUAGCACAUGGGCCCAAUACUGGAUCAAAAAACUGAACUGCUCCCAAUAAAGAUGUUCAUAUCAAGUUUACAGUUUGAUAUGCGUUUUAGGUAAUAUUGACUUUUUCUUUCAUUUAUAUCAAGAAAAGGGGGUGCAAACGUCAUCUUCUAUGGUUAUCAAGUAGAUAAUAAUAACCAUUAGGUGGAAUCUAAUAUUCAUAGCUUCAAUCCAUUAACCACUGUUAAAAAUUAUAACAUUUUCUUAUAUAUGUGAAAGAUUUGGAAUUGUAGCAUGACCGAAUAUAUUUUCACCAAGUUCGGGUAAUUCACCCAACAAUCAGGAAUUUCUUCUGAUAGAGAAUUCUCCCCAAGAUCCAGAUAUCCAAGAACUUGUAUUUCAUUCUUCACUUCACACAAAACGUGAGAGAUACCUCCUGAAAACAAAUAGUUGGAAAUUAAGGUCUAAAUAUGUCAAAGAAUGGAAAAUUAGUUGUGACUAUGGGCCAUUGAAUGUGUUUGAUUAUAAUGCACAUAUAAAUCUUUAACAAUUUCAGAGAUAUUUGAACUCUUACCAUGGAGUUGAUUGUGAGAAAGGUCUAUAGAUCCCAAUGAUGAAUUGAAUAACCAAGGUGGAAUGGUAUCUGAAAUUCCUGCGAAGGACAAGUUCAAAUUCCGAAGGAGUUUUUGUAACUUCCACGAACUCAAUCCAAGUGUUACAAAUUGGGCACGAGGAGUCCAACUUGCAUUUACUUUUAAGGUCAAGGAGUUUUUAGAUGCAUCAAAAUACCAUAAAGCUGAAAAAUUGUCUAGGUGACUCUCAUUCACAAUGCCUUCCAUUAAAUUGUCGUAAAUAAUACGCUCUUCAAGUUUGGAAAGCUGUCCAAGACUUUCAGGAAGAGUUCUAGUGAGUUUGUUGUGAGAUACAUCCCAGAACUCCGAGGAUGACAGUUUUCUUAAAUUUGAUGGAAUUGAACCAGAUAGAGCAUUAUCAUUUAGCGAAAGGUAUUCUAGAUUUGUACAGUUGCCAACUGUGCUUGGAAUUUGACCAUUUAAGUGAUUACUGCUUGUAUCAAGUGUAAUCAAGUCCUCGAUGUGAAUACUUCACUUGGUAAAGAGGAGCUAAGAUUGUUGUUAGAUAGAUCAAGAUAUUGAACAUUGUAUAUGUUGGCAAUAGAGCUUGGGAUAUAACCUCAAAAGUGAUUGGAGUAAAGAUCAAGUGAAACUAGGGAAAUUAAAGUGAAUAAUUGGCUUGGGAGGAAGGUAGCAAAGUUAUUGCAUGAUAGAUCUAAAGAUGUAAGGGAACUCCAAUUCCAAAUUCCAUCCAAGGAGCCUUUGAAUUGAUUCCCCCAAGGUUGAGAGAAAUGAGAUUGUUAAGAUGAAAAGACUCAUCUCGUAGUGAACCAUUCAGAUAGUCGAAAGAAAGAUUCAAGUGCUUGAGAGAAGUCAAGUUCCAAGGACCUCUGAACAAUGGGCAUUCAAUUGAGGUCACACUUAAAUCAAGAGAAGCAAGGGUAGUAAGCCCGAAAAUCCAUCUAGGGAUGAGGUGUCUAAGAAAAUUUCUAGAGAGAUCCAGAAUAGUAAGAGAAGAAAAGUAGGUGUGAUUAUAGGGGCGCUAUCAAGUCGAGUGGUCAAAAGCUUGGCUUGAGCUCCAAAAAUAAAUACUCGAGUGCUUGACGAGCUUAAUCGAGUUUUCAUAUUAUAUUUAUAUUAUAUAUUUUAAUUAUGGAAUGACUAUUAUGGGUUUGUGUUUUAAUAAAUUUACAUGAAAUAAUGUUCAGUUAAAAAAAAGUGAUGGAUGGAAAAAUGGUAAUGUCAUAAAUCUAAAAUGUAAAAAAUUAAAAACAAGAAAAAAAAAUCACUCUCGUUUACCUUAUUGUCUGAACAAGAAUGCACUCUCACAAUCUCACUUUCAAAGUUCAAACCUUUAGUACUUCAUCGCAGGCCGCAGGUGAGCAAAAACCAGCAUCGCGCUUUGCUUCUCUACAAAAGCCACUGGACCUCAUCUACUAAUUUGCUUCUCCUUUUGGUUUCAACUUCACAACAUGAUCACGUUGAGCCAUUGAUUAUCUCCUCUGCACUUAUAGUUGUAGCAUGACUAGCGGCGGAAUGUCACUCGAUUGUAAAGCACCUGGCAGCCGGCAGUCAAUGCAGCUCGUUUGAGGUAAUAAAAAACUGACCUUGGUAUUUAGGUGUGAAUUUUUGAGUCUAAGUUCCCAUUCUACUUCGGAAUAUGAAAACCUAAUUUUGGGUCUUUGAUAAAAAUUGUGGGUUUGGUUGACAGUGAGUAGAGGCUAUUAAAUUAGCAAUUUGUGGCUUAAAUUUAUGGUGGAAUCAAAGGGGAGUAAAAGCUAUUGUAAAUUUUUGAAGAAAAUAUGCAAAGUGACACUGGCCCUUCUACUGGUGGUUCAAGAUUAACUGCUGUACCUCAGGGACUAGGUAACCUACUGAUUCCUACGUUGGUUUUGAAAUAGCUUGAGUGAAUGUGUGGUUUGCUUGUCUGUUGAUUCUACGUUGGGAGCUUGUCUGCUCACUACAAGAAAUUUGGCCUUUUGUGACAACAGAGAAAGUUGUCACAAUUGAAAAUUUUAGUGACGACUUUUAAUAUCGUCAUACUUGAUCAUGGGUUCGCCCAUCAACAGUGACAACACGGGAUAAGUCAUCACAAUAUGGAUGGCGCGCAACUAUCCAGUGUGGCGGGAGAUCACCAUUGUGACAACUAGUAAACAUGUUGUCACUGAAAUUGUUCCUACAGCGACAACUUAAAAUAUCGUCAUAAUAUGGUUGCCAAUUCUAAAUUAGUGACAACAACUAGUCGUCACUGUCCAAAGCGUUUAUUCCCAUCUCACUUUCACUAAUUCUACUAUGUCACCCUAAUAUUUUCAAUAUGGCCCAUAUGUUGUAAAUAAAUUUUAUUAAUUCUACUAUGACACCCUAACUUUUAUAUUUUGACCCCAUAUACCACCUUAAUUCUACUAUGGGCCAUGUGUUGUAAAUAAAUUUUAUUAAUUCUACUAUGACGCCCUAACUUUUACAUUUUAGCCCCAUAUACCACCUUAAUUUUUCAAUAUGGCCCAUGUAUUGUAAAUAAAUUUUAUUAAUUCUAUUCUAUGACACCCUAACUAUUACAUUUUAGCCCCAUAUGCCACCCUAAUUUUUUCUAUAUGGCCCAUAUGCUGUAAAUAAAUUUAAUUAAUUAUGUUAUGACACCCGAACUUUUAUAUUUUAGCCUUGUAUUUGGUAAACUAAUCUCAUUAACUCUACCAUGACAUCUUAUCUUUUGCAAUUUAGCCUCGUAUGUGAUAAAGAAAGGUUUUAUUAAUUCUAUUAUGGCAUCCUAUGCUUUUACACUUUAGGUUAUGUUCAUCAUUAGCAAAAUGAGGAAAGUAUUGUAAAAAACAAUGUUUGCCUAUUUUUUAAUUAUUCCAAACGUAACUAAUACCUUGUUAUAAAGUUAAAAAAUAUCAUGAAUUCAUUAUUUAGUUCUCUUGACAAGAUAUGAGAAAUUACUGAUUAAUAUAGUGUCAAAAUAAUGGUAGAGAAUAAUAAAAUUUAAUAUGAAAUUAAGUAAAAAUCUUGACAAUUGCAUGAUUGGAGUUUGUUAUAUAUUACAAUUUACAAUAAUUAAAUUGUUUAUGGUUUAUGAGUCAGUACUUGUAUCAAAUAGAUUUAGUAUUUCAUGCAUGUAUUAGUAAACCAUUUUGGUUAUUUGAUCAACUAAACAGAUUGUUUGGUCUUGUCAGACCACAAUUCGUGCAUAAUUGAUAAAAUUAUUAAAUUGAUACCAAAAAUAUUUGCAUUAAAAGAUCUUUUUUUGAAUCAUAAACAUAUUUUUAAUAAGCCUUUUAGUUUUUGAACAUUAUUUUUGGUAGAGAUCCUAAUGUUGAGAUGCUUUGAAUCAGGGAUCUUCAACCUUUGCUGAGCUGUUCGGGGAGGCGUUAUUUCUAUAAAAAAAGGUUCAACAAUUUAGAGAGAGAAGGCGUUAUUUUUUAGUGUGUAAUAGUGGAAGCGGGAAGCUGAAAAUUGAAGGAGUAGAGGCGGGGUUCUAAAAGAAGCAGAAACGACGUCAUUUGAAGUUGAUUUGGAAGAAAAACACUCAACAACACUUAGCCAAAUUUCAGACAAAACUCAUUUCCCUCUUUCUUUGCCUUCGGACACCAUCUUCUUCUCAUUCUCUCCACUGCGAUCUUGCUAAAAUUACUGAGAUAAUCACUAAAUUGUGCUACCCAAACUGAUAGGGCAGCUUUAGUAGAGUAGGAGAUAACAAAUAUCCCUAGUUCGUCAUGGCAUAUGACCAUGAAUUUUGGGAAAAAGCUAGAGUUUGAAGACUGAAUUAGAAGGAAAAGAAGACCUAAGGUUGUCACGGCAUAAUUUGAGGUAAAAAAAUCUCAAUAUUUUCCAUCUAUUUUCCAACAGUUCUGUCUAAUAUAGGUCGUAUGAGAUGAAUGUUGAGUUGUGGGAGUGAAACGAAGUGGAAGGGAGGGUUGUGAGCUACAUGUUGAGCUGAAUCUAUGUUGAGCUGAAUCUUGGAAGGGAGGGUUGUGACCAUGAAUUUUCGUCAUACUGCUAUGGCUGUUUGUCAAUGUGUCUUCUGCCCAUUAUGUGUAGGCUUAUCACAGUCUUUGCUUGAAUUUGAGUUUAGUGUUGGGUGCUGUAAAUAUCUGUUGUUUGUGUAAUGAAGGGAUUUUCUGAAGAGUUUUUAUUCUGUAAUUUUAGAUUUGAUAUUGGUAUUUUCCUGUUUAAAAGUCACAUUCAAGGGGAAUUCAUAUUUCCCUUCGUGCUUCUGCCAAAGUCACAUUCAAGGGGAUUGUUGAUUUUUGGACUAGUCAAAAUAGAAGUGACCUGCCUAAUGGACAAGAAACUGAACCGUAGCAUAAUUCAUUUUCAGUCAACCACAGAUGGAUUGUUGGGCUACAAUGUAUACAAUUCUAGCUUCUCUUAGGAAUGAAGAAUGUCAAGACUUCACUAAGAACCAAUUUUCAGUUGUUACUGCAGUUGUCCUCUAUUGUCUGCUUCUUCCAUAUUUUUCCCUUUUUCAUGUGAACCCAUUUCAAACAUUUAGGAACAAAUCCCCUACUGAUGAUAAAUUGACAUGAUUUGGAAUUCUCAUUUCAAGCCAUUCUUGCUACAACUAUUUAAUUAUUAGUUUUCAUCCAUUAAUAUCACCAUUCUUGCUGAGAUGUGGAUCUGUACUCUGUAUUUCAAGUACAGAAUACUAUGCUGAAACUUUGUGGAUCAGUUGUUUCCACGAAACUUACUCAGCUUAUAAGCAAGAAUGCAAGCAACUUCACUCCAGAAUAUUCUAGUGAGAUAAAACAAAAAAUGAAAGAAAUAAGAUGGUAAGCAACUUUGUCUGAGGAAUGCAAGUGAUUCUGACUGAUUCACCUGUUUGUAAUAUCUACUCCCAUUAAACGGGUUGCCACAAUUGGUGCAUUAUGUUUGGGUAUCUAUUUUCUGUAUAUUUCUUCACUAAUUAGCUUUUUCAUUGGAGCCUUAGUUGAAAAAUAGUUCUCAGCUUUUUCAUUGCCUUUGUUGUAGCUGCUUUACAUUGGACUCAAGAGACAAUUAGGUCCAUUUUUACCUCUGUUCUUCUAAUUUCUCAUUACUUGUCAGGUAACUUCUUUAAACUGACUCUUGAAGAACUGACUUGUUUUUGCUUUAAUAGAUUGCUUUACACUGCUUUACAGCUUUCCAGUGUAAAUCUAUUGCUUCAUAACUAGCAUAUCUAUGCUUAUUUCUGGUUGUAAUGUGUAGAUAAAAAUUUGUGACUUAUCUUCUGGAUUUGUAACUCUAGGAAAUGGACAAAAAUUGGAUGAAACUUGAUAAUAGAAAGGACGAGUCUUAUAAACUUGGGGUGGCUGCUUUCUUAAAAUUCGCAUAUUCUCGAAAGGCAAAACAUCUUACGAUAGCUUGCCCUUGUAAACAAUGCAAUAACUUCUGCAACCAUACAAAAAGUGUGGUGGAGGACCACUUAUUUACAUUUGGAAUUAGAAAAAGUUACACCAGAUGGAUACAUCAUGGUGAACAAUUUUGACAGGAAAUUAGAGAGAAUAGUAAUCUGGGCGGUGAUGAAGAAGGGGAUACUGACAAUGAGGAUUUAAACCUUAUGCUCAAUGACAUAGGCACUGCAUAAUGGGGGGGAAUUGGUUUAGUAGGGAAGAUGAUGGUGAAGGGAGUUCAAUGUUGAAUGCUAGUGAGACUGAUGCCUUCCUAAAAUUGUUGAAAGAUGGAUAAAGGGAACUUUAUCCUGGAAACAAAUUUUACUCAAAACUGUCUUUUUUAGUCACUUUCUACAUCUCAAAACGAUGAACGGGUGGACUAUAAACUCAUUUAACACAUUGCUAGAGGUCUUUAAGAAGGCACUACCUCCCGAAGCUUCAGUUCCUAAGUCUUUCUCUGAUGCUAAAAAAAGUAUUCGAGACUUAGGGUUCAUAUCUGAAAAAAUACAUACCUGUGUCAAUGAUUGUGUCAUCUUCUGCAAGGAAUAUGAAAAUUUGGACACUUGUCCAAAUCUAAAUUGCAAAGAGCCCCGCUAUAAGUCAAAAGGUUAAAAAAUUUCACGAAAAGUUCUUCGCUAUUUUCCCUUGAAACCCAGGCUUCAACUCUUAUAUGCCCACAAGGAAAUAGCUUUAGAUAUGCGGUGGCAUAAAGAAAAGCGUGUAGAUGAUGGUAACACCAUGAGGCAUCCGACGGACAGCGAAGCAUGGAAACAUUUUGAUAAAUUAUAUCCAGAUUUUGCUCAUGAUCCUAGAAAUGUCAGGUUUGGCCUUGCGACUGAUGGUUUCAAUCCUUUUGGAACCAUGACAUCGACUUAUAGCAUUUGGUCUGUUUUUGUUGUACCAUAUAAUCUGUCUCCCUGGAAAUGUAUGAAAGACCCAUUCUUUUUAGUGUCAAUGUUGAUUCCUGGUCCUAAAUCCCCGAAAAAUGAGAUCUGCGUCUACAUGACACCUCUAGUAGAUGAGUUGAAUGAAUUUUGGGAUGAUCUAGAAACUUAUGAUACAUAUACUGGUCAGAAAUUUACACUAUGUGUUGCUUUAUUUUGGACUAUAAAUGACUUCCCCGCCUAUGCUAUGUUAUCUGGAUGGAGUACUAAAGGGUAUCAGGCUUGUCCAAUUUGCAUGGCAGAAACAUCCUGUAUGCAUUUGAAACAUAGGAAAAAAUUAUGCUACACAGGCCAUCAUCGCUUCUUGCCUAGUGAUCAUCAUUGGCGUAGAGAAAGAAAACCACUUGAUGGUAAAGUUGGAUUUUAGGAAUCCUGUUAUUCCCUUAUCUGGAAAAGAAGUUCUGGAACAAGUAGAAAGAGUUGAGAUACAGUUUGGGAAAACAGCAAAUCAAGGCAAGGAAGCGCAAAGGUGAUGCCAGUAGGCUUAAUUGGACAAAGAAAAGUUGUUUUUUUGACUUACCUUAAUGGUCGAAUCUAAAAUUGCGGCAUAAUUUAGAUGUCAUGCAUACAGUGAAAAAUGUAUCGGAGAGUGUCUUUGCUACUAUUAUGGAUAUUGAUAGCAAAACUAAAGACAGCUGGUAGUGUCGCAAUGAUUUGAAGGAGUUAGGUAUAAAAAAAGAGUUGCACUUGAUUCAGAAUGGUGAUGUUUACAUCAUGUCUCAUGCUUGCUACCAGCUAACAAAAGAGGAAAAGAAAAAAAUAUCUGAUUUCUUAACUUUUAUCAAAUUUUCGGAUGGCUUUGCUUCAAAUAUAUCUCGAUGCAUAAAGAAUGGGCAAUUCCAGCUUUCCGGAAUGAAGAGUCAUGACUUUCACAUUUUCAUUCAACGAAUACUCCCACUUGCAAUUCGUGGAAGCUUAACUAAAGAAGUUCGACAAAUGCUGUUUGAAUUAAGUGAUUUGAUUAAAAAGUUGUGUGCUAGAACAUUGCAUUGGGAUGUACUACAGGAGUGUGAUAGAAAAAUUCCUGUGAUAUUGUGCAAAUUAGAGAGACUAUUCACUCCUGCCUUCUUCGACAUAAUGCUGCACGUGCUGGUUCACCUACUUGCCGAAACAAUUCUUGCUGGCCCAUCUCAAUAUCGUUGUAUGUUCCCAUUUGAGAUGUAUGCCGUCGUACAUAUAUAGUGUCUUUUUGUUAGUCAAUUAUUAUAAUUCCUGUGAUUCUUACUCCAAUGAAUACUAAUAUUUCCUAUUUUUAUUAAAAUAAGAAAAAUAGGAAUACUUAAAAGUUAUGUGUAGAAUAAGGCUCACCCAGAGGGAUGUAUUGCCGAGUGGUACAUAGACAAAAAAUGCUUGACAUUCUGCUCUAUGUAUUUGGAUAAUGUCGAGACAAUAUUCAACAGGCCCGAGAGUAACAAUGAAAGAGUUGACAAACACGGGCAGCUGUCAAUAUUUUCAGGCUCUGCAUGUCCAUUUGGAGGGUCUAAACAUCGAUAUUUACCUAAUUCAGAGCUAACAAAGAUCCACACCUUUUGCUAAAUAACUGUAAUGAGCUCGAUGACUACAUCAAGUAAUGUACUAGUCUUAAACUCAGCUUAUAUUUUAUGACUAUGACUCACCUGUAAAAUUAUGCUAACAUAUUUUUUUUGCUAGUGAGCAUAAAACCUUGUUGGAAGCUGAAUGCACUGAAAAUGUUAUUCAACGGCAUGAUAAGGAGUUUGCUACAUGGUUCAAAGAAUGUGUAGGGUCUAAUUAACUUAUUAGUUGUUUGGACUUCUUAUGGCUAUAGUUUAAAUAAUAUAUCAUUUUAACUUUUCUCAAUCUCUGAACAGGUGUUAUAUGGUUCCCAACCUUGGAAUAAUGAAUUUCGCUCAUUGACCUUAGGUUUAGACAAUAGAAUUUGUAUGUAUACAGGUUUCAUGGCUAAUGGGUAUAGAUUUCACACUGAAGAUCGUGAAAGAGAGAGAAAAAUGCAAAAUAGUGGUAUCGUAGUGAAAGGCGAGCAUGGUAAUAAUAUCAUUGAUUUUUAUGGUCUCCUAAAAGAAAUUAUUGAAGUGAGGUUCUGGUUUGAAAAGAAAAAUGUUGUCCUAUUUAAGUGUGACUGGUGGAAACUAGAUGAUAGUUCUGGCCUGCAAAUAGACAAGGAUUGGGGUAUCACAAGUGUGAAUUCAUCAAGAAGAUGGUAUGAAGACCAACCUUAUGUCCUUCCUCAACAUGUGGAACAAGUAUUUUAUAUUGAGGACCUGAAAUUAGGUAGAAACUGGUAUGUAGUUGAGAGGUUCGGUCCAAGAAAUUGUUAUGAUGUUCCUGAACAUGUGGACAAAGAGGCAAUAGUUGAGGAGAUAUAUCAAGAGGAAGCACAAGCAGGGGAAUUCAAUAUUAUAAUAGAUCUCGAUAAUCCCCUACCAAUUUCAAGAGAAGAUGGCAAUCUAUUAAAGUACGCGCCUUCAUCCGUUAUUCAUGGUGACCAAUCAAAGAAAGGAAAUCAACAAGCUGAUGAAGACUUUAUUGAUGACAGUGACAUUGGGGACCCUAAUAGUUGCGAUAAUGAAGAAGAUGAGGAUAUUCUUAGUGAUAGUGACACUGAUUCAUAUUAGAUGACAUCGAUUCAAUAUGAAUCUAAUGGUUGUUGGUAUCUUGAGUACAACUUCUACUUUAGUUGCAUUGCUUUUGUCAUCUUGUUUGACUUAUCUUUUGCCUAUUAAACUACAUAAAAAGGAUAUAUUUAGACUACAUUGAAUGUUUGGUUAGUUGCUACUUUCAGAUUGCUGGACCCGAAACGAGAGCUCAAACACUUAGAAGACAGGCACAGCAAAAGCAACUAUCACCACCUUCAAAUCAGCAACAAGGUCCAUUUGCAAGUACUAGCUCAAAUGGCACUGCUACCUUUGUGACGCCAGCAUCUUCACCACAAAAUGUUACUGCUGGUUCAAACAACGGGCAGCCUCACACUCCUGAAUCAUUUGCAUCAGAUGCAAAUGAGACUGCGCGAUCUCAUGAUGGUCAAAAUGAUAAUAGUAGUACCAACUUCUGCACUUACAUUUCUAGUUCUUUUAUUUUGUUUGAACUAUUAUAGCUAAUUUAGUCUUGAAUUUUGUUUAACCAUAGCUGUGCCAUUGCCAAAAAGAAGGGGUCGUACUAGAAACAUUAUAUUGGCCCGCAAAAGAGAGGAUAAUGAAACUCUAACUAUUGAGGUUGACCCUUCCAUUCGGCGCAUAGUAGGAAAGGACUCUCAAUACUUCAUUAGUUAGAGUGGCUGUGUUGUUAGGAAGUUUGGAAGGCUUAAUGUUGACAAAUGGUCACAUCUUGAGGCUAAAUAUAGAGAGAACAUCUACAAGACGGUUAUGAUAUUUGUAUUUUUUUUGCUUAUAUCACUACUAGAAUGAAUUGUUUGAUCUUUAUACUCAUGCAAUAUUCUUAUGUACUUCUAUGUAAUUUUUCGAUACUUAUAUUUGUCUAGUAGGAUGACUUCCAAUUUGAGAAUAACAUCACCUCAAAAACUGCGAUAAAUAGGCAGUUGAACAUCUGGUAUCGGAAUCACCGAUAUCGGUUGCACAAGUAUUUUCUAAUUUUUGGGACGAAGGAGGAAGCAAUUCAACAUGUUCCUGAAGGUGUAUCAGCUGAGGAUUGGACAUGGAUGUGCAACUACUUUGGAAGUGAAGAAUUCAAGAUCUAGUUACAUACUUGAAUUAGUCUUACCUAAAUAUAAAAUUUAUUUCAAAUGUUUAGAAUUACUGCUGGUUGUUUAUAUAUUACAGAAAAUCAGUGACCGUAACAAAGUAAAUCGUGCCAAGAAUGAAACUCAUACUACUGUGGGAACAAAGUCACUUGCUAGAGUUGUUAAAGAGAAGGUAAUCAAUUAAAACUGUUUGGAGAUUCCAUUAUACUUUUUGUCCUUCUUUACUCUCAAAGUCUGGCGUCAAACUUAUUAUUUGACAGAAGAGGAAGGAGGGAGUGGAGCUUUCAGAGAUAGAAACGUUUGAAAUUAGUCGUACAUCAAAGAAGACAGGAGGGCUGAUAAAUGAUCUAGCGAAAGAGACUUUGGUGUGAGAUGUCAUUCUAUUUUUAUGCAUUUACAACUCCUUUGUGACAUGCCUUUUAACACCUAAGCUAUAAUGUCUUGUCUAGGCAACAAUGAAAGAGAUGGAAGCUACAACUUCAAUGAGUAGUGCUGAAAUUUGUCAAUAAUAACUUGGAUACAUAUCUGGACAGCUUCUUAGCCGCAGCACAACCAAGAGACAAGCAAUGGAGAUUGACCACUUGAGGAGUGAAAUUGAAGAACAUCGAAGACGGGCAGAUGCGGCAGAGCAAUGAGCUACACAAAUUGCAGAGGAAUUCAAUGCCCAAAAGGAGCUAAUUAAGAGUUUACAAGAUCAGCAACUUGAAACUAGGGAGCUGUACGAGGAGUUGAUAGCUCAAAUGAAUGACUUGCGCAAAUGAUAGACUUCAAAAAAGGUGAGGAGAUAGAUUCUUUGCUUUUAUUUUGGCUGAAACUCUCUUUUUGACUGAUUUUUUUACUUAUUAAGUUCACAAUAGUUGGAUAUGCUGAAACUCUAAAGAAAAGUUUUUUUUCAAUGCAGUCUAGCUUCAUAUUUUGAUCGUGAGAAGACUGAUGCAUAUGCUGCUAGAGAUGAUUGAAAUCUGACCUGGUUCUGUAGUCUAUGCUUUAGUUUAGAAAUCUAUCACUCUAUCUUCUGGGAAAGAUAUGUAUUGGCCAUUACUACUUAUGCUGAUUAUGUAGGAUUACUAUAUUCCCAACAUUUACGAUUCACUUUUGUUUUGAUUAAUUUAUAGAUGUGUUAUGGCCAAAUAUAUGACUUUGCGGCAUAUAUUCUAUGUUGAUUUUGCCUUUUGUCAAAUCGAAUGUUUUGUUAUAUUUGUUGAAAAUGCCAGCUUUAGUUCCUAUAUUUGUAUUGGUCAAUUUCAACUCCUUAAGACAAAACUCAGUGACAACCUUCCCAAAAGAUGUCACUCUUAGCCAAAUUUAAUUUUUUUGCUAUAAUUGUCAGAACGAGAGCCGUGACAAUAUUAUACUUGUAAUGAACAAUGCGGCUCUUCUAGGCAAAGUUGUAAGUUCACUAAGUGACGAAAUAUUUUUGUCACUGAAUACUAGGAAUGAGAGUGACAAGUUCAAGUCAUCACCGUGCUCGUUCAAAUUUGUGACGACUUUUGCUACCUUUUAUGACAAAAAAAAUUUGUGAAACAGUGACAAGAAAAUUCGUUGCAGAAUACUAACCAUUAGUGACGACUUACUCUUCAUCAUUAAAUAACAAUAUUUAGUGACAACUUUGAAGAGGUUGUCACACGUACCCAUUUGUGACAUAGAAUUAGUGACAACCAUGUGACAAUGGAAAAAGUCGUCACUAUACGCAUAUAAUGACGACUUGUUUAUUUUAGUGAUGACUUUUUAUUGUCACAAAAGGCCAAAUUUCUUGUAGUGGCUAAUUCUAUGUUGGCGUUUUUUUGGAAGGACCCUGCGAGCCUGCAUAUUUUCAGUUUCUAGAAUGUUUCUACUUGCUAUAUCCCGUAUGAAUUCCUGGAAACAUUUUGCUAUCCUUGGCGUUGAAUUACUGGCCUCAACAAAAGAUUUGUGCAAAAGACUAAGUUGACUGCUUAGAUUUUGGCUCAUUGUUUGGUUUUAAAUGGACCUUGCCCCCAUGCAAUUGGCUAAACCGACAUGUAAUGUAAAUUGGCAUGUUCUUGGGGAAAAAAACCAACAUGUAAUCCUUUUAGUUUAAGACUUAAUGAUCCCUGUGAGAUUAAUGUACGAAUAGUUUAAGACUUAAUCAUAGCUAAUGGUUUUUUUUUUUUUGGCAAAUUGAAGGUGGAUGUAGUCCACCUAAGGUUUCUUCUAUCCCUCAGCUAUCAAAUGUAGGUUCAUCCUCUCUAAUAUUGCUCGACAGUCCUAUUUUUAUUAACAACAACACAACUCCAAAUCCAGAAAUACAUGUGGUUGAUUAAGGAACUGAAAAAACUCUAGUUGAGAAUGAAGGAACACAAGUGAAUGCUAUGGAGAAAAAAGUAAAAGAAGAGAGCAAAAUAAAGGUGAUGAUGAAUUCCACAUUCCAAAAAGAAGUAAAACAUCACAAGUUUGGGAUGACUUUGAAGAAAUUGAAGAAAAUGGCACAUUCUAUGCCACACGCGUCCAUUGUAGGGAAAAACUUUCAAAGGGUAAAUCUAAGCAAACUUCAAGCAUGUUAAGGCACCAGAUUUUGUGUCCAGCUAGAAAAGUGCAUCUCAGAAUGGUAGCACAGCAGACAAAACUAAAUUUUCAGCCAGCUGAUGAGAUAUUUUCGACUUUAUCGGCAUUACAUACUGGCAAGUUUGAUAUGGAGGCAAUGAGGGAGGCUGCUGCACAUUGGGUGUUAAUGCAUGAGCAUCCAUCACUAUCUUGAAGGAAGAAGGUUUUAACAUCAUGAUGAGAUGGGGAAUGCCAGAGUGGCAAAAGAUCUCUCGGAGAACGGCAAAAUAUGAUUGUGUGACAGUCUAUAAAGUUGAAAAGAACAAGUUGAAGAACAAGUUGAAGCAUGUGCAAAAAGUGAGCAUCACAACCGACCUUUGGAAAUCUAAAAAUCAGAAAAUAGAGUAUGUGGUCAUCACCGGACAUUGGAUUGACUCAAAUUGGAAGCUUCAGAAGAGAAUUCUCAAUUUUGUUUGCAUACCACCACCUCGACGUGGGGUGGAGAUUGCUGCUGCAAUUUUUAAGUGUGCGAAGGAAUGGGAAAUUGUUCACAAGAUACAUACUAUAUCUGUCGAUAAUGCCUCCAACAACGAUGUUGCUAUCCGACUUUUGAAGGAUGACUUCUCUAGAUCAAAAAAGUUGCUAUGUGGAGGCAAACUUUUUCAUGUUCAAUGUUGUGCACACAUCUUGAACCUUGUGGUAUCAAGAUGGCCUUUCCAAGAUAGUGGACAUCACCAACAAUAUUAGGGAAAGUGUGGAAUUUGUCAAUCGCUCCGAGGGAAGAGCUUUGUUGUUUGCUGAGAUUGCCCAACAGCUCCGAAUACCCGGGAAAAAAAUGCUUUAUGAUUGUCGGACUAGAUGGAAUGCCACUUCAAGAUGCUGAAUUGUGCCAUCAAAUUCAGAGAUGUUUUUCCCCGCUUUCGAGAUAGAGAGCCACUUUAUGAUUUUUGCCCAUCUCCUGAUGAUUGGGAUAAAGUAGAAAAGGUUUGCUCUAUCUUGGAGAAAUUUUGAACAGCCACACAUAUUAUGUCUGGGACUGAUUAUCCUACAAGCAACUUGUUCCUUCAAGAGGUGGCAAAAAUUAAGAAAGUUUUAGAUGCUCAAGUCAAUGAUAAAGACGACUUCAUCCGGGCCAUGGUAAAAAAGAUGAAAUCCAAGUUUGAUAAAUAUUGGGGCGACUGUAAUUUGCUAAUGGCAAUUGCUGCCAUUUUAGAUCCGAGACAGAAAAUGCAAGUUGUAGAGUUCGCAUACCCUCAAAUGUAUCCUCCUUACCAAGCUCAAGAACAUAUUUCAAAUGUUCGAAAAGUCCUAUUUGAUCUUUAUGAGGAAUAUGUUGCUUUAAUGGCAAGUAUAGAAGGAAGAGCAAUGGAAGAUUGUUCUUUAGAAGGGCCGCGAAAAAAUGCACCAGCUUCUUCUUCUUGGGAUGAUUUCGAUAUCUAUUGUGAUGAAGUUGAGACUAAUGAACUCCUUAAGUCAGAAUUGGUUGAUUAUUUAGAUAAGCCUCACCAAAAGACUGGAGUAGACCUGAAAGCAUUUGAUUGCUUGGAAUGGUGGAAAAUAAAUCGAAUUUCCUAUCUAGUAUUGUCUCAAAUGGCUUGUGAUAUAUUGGCUAUUCCAGUAAGUACAAUGGCAUCUGAGGCCACGUUUAGUGCCGAGACUCGAGUAAUAGACUCCUAUCGAGCUUCACUUCACUUGGAUACUAUUCAAGUGUUGCUGUGUGUCGGAGAUUGGUGUAGAAAUCUCCAUGGAGUCAAAAAGAAAAUGAAGGUAAUAUUCAGUAUUUUAGUAUUUGAGACCACUAUUUGUGCAUAAGUUACUCAAUUUAUUAUUUUCUAAAUUAUUUCUAACUUUUAAUGUUUUGUUUUCUUUCCCUUUCUUCUAAUAUGCAGCAAGUUAAGAUAAUUAAAGAAGUUGAGUUGCCAAAAGUAUGAAGAUGUCUCUCAAACAGCCAGGUUUAGUAGUAUGGUCCUUAUGGAAUCUUGUAGUUCUUAAUUACUUUUUUCUUACUUUUGUCCCUUAAAUUGAUACAACUGCAUUCUUGAUAGGACUGCAAUUUUUGAAUAGCAGGUUGUCCUCUGAUGCAUACUGGGAUGCCAAGUAGAUUAGCACCUUUCUUUUGUUAAACAAGCUGUGGUUGCACUUGUUCUUUUGAAUCUUGAUGCAUACUAGAAUCUUGUGUGCUUGCCUUGCGGUGGUUGUUCAUUUUUUGAUAUCUUGAUGGACUGAUCAGUGAUAGUUCAAGCCGACUUGUUACUUUUGUAUUUUGUAAUGCUCGAAACUUUUGACACUAAUUUGGAAUGUUAACUAAUCAGUGGUGGUUCAAGUCUAUUUCAAUAUCUCGUUAACUUUUAUUUGCGAGGAUGUUAACUGAUAUUAUAUGUAAUUUGGGAUGAAUUUGAAAAGGCAAACCUAUUUCACUAUAUACACUUGUUAGUCAUGGUUUAUAUUGGAAAUCUGGAAAUUAGGAUAUUGAAUUUGGAAGUUUGGAUUUUGAGAAAAUAGGAACUCGAGCUCGAGCUCGAUCUCGAGUAGCUUAGGCUUGAUAUUUACUAUAACUCAAACGAGUCAAGCUCGAGUUUAAUUUUUAUUUUAUCGAGUCGAGCUCGAGCUCAAAUUUAUAUACUCGUUCGAGCUCGAGCUCGAGUAACACUGAUUGCGAUUGAGUUUAAGCUCGAGUAUGGUGUUACUCGAGCUCGACUCGACUCGAUAGCAGCCCUAGGUGUAAACGAGUUGAGAAAUAUGAAGGGAUCAUGUUAAAGAAGGGAUCAUAUUAAGUUUUGAUACUUUGCCAUCAAGUUGUGGAUUCUACCUUUUACAAGACUCUUUGCAGCACCAGAUUUGCCAUCAAGUUGGGAUUGAAGUUUUUUACUCUUUUGGCCCCUUUCAUCUGAUGAAAGUAGAACUUGUAAUCGAGAAUAGGGACAAGCAAAAAGACUAAUGAGAAAUGAAAAGCCAAAGACUUAGAUUCUGUUUGAUAAUCAAAUUCAGUACUUAAAUUUAAUGAUUCAGAUCUUAACAUAUUCAAGUUGUUUGAUAACUAAAAAUUGAAUAUUGGAAUUAAUUAAGUGGCACUGAAUUUUCUAGGCAAAACUUGCUCCCAAAAUUAAGUGAUAAACUAUUCACUUAUCACUGAAUGUGAUAUGCACUCAAAUAUAUUAGAUUUAAUAUUUAACAAUUCCAUAACUUAAUAGAUUCAGAUUUCAGAUUUCAGAUUUCGAAUUUUAGUUUUAUCAUAUGCACCCUUAGUAUGAAAUUAGACAGGAAAUCUUGACGGAGAAAUUAGAUUAAAAAAAUCCCAAUUAAGCGCCUUUCUAUCAUUGCGUAUAGGAAAGAAAAACGAAUUAAGAAAAUAUUAAGGAAAAUAAGCUUUUAGAAGCAUGAAACAAGCAGUGAAGGUAGAAAAGGGGAAAAAAAACCAAUACUAGAUUUUUUAAAGCAAAAGGAAAAAGUAGGAAGUCCCAAAAGGAAAAUUUAAUGGAGAAAGAAAAGGAAAAGCUUUCUUUAUUAGCUGAAAAUCAACAUUAUCAACAACUAGAACAAACAAGCAGAACUGUAGAAGUGAAAAAAAAAAAAAAAAAAAAACCUUCAAUACUUCUUGUACCAUCCAAGGAUUAUAUCCUUAACAUGAAAUCUUUGUUAUACGACAAAGAAAACCAGAAGAAAAGUACGAGCAACAAAUGGCAUCAAAUCAAGGUCAAUAAUGCAGAACGAGGACGUGGAAGUCGAUAAUUUCAUUCUGGGUGGUAUCAUUGUAAGUAUGGAUUAUUGCUGUAACUAUUCCACGGGCCAAUCGAAAAGCCCCAGAACCACCUACUAUUGGCAUCUCCUUGUACUUCUGGAAGAAGGGAUAAUCACCUAGAACGCUAAGGGCACUACCAUUGAACUUGCCAUCGUUGAAUACCAAGUUCAUGAUGCCAAUUUGUGAAGCAUCUUCCUCUUU
rnacentral:lncRNA from 1 species